rnacentral:lncRNA from 1 species
AGCUUCUGGGUGAAGGGUAUGGUGAACGUAAGGAGGCUUGCAGUUCCCAUCAACAAUUUUGCAGCCAGAAAGUUUAGCACAGGUGUCUCUUGAGCCACCCGCGAAACGGCAUGAGUUAUAGACGUUUCUUGCUGUGGUGGAUGGGCAACAACUCUUUGCUUCCACCUGGAUCUUCUCUUGUUGCAGGACUAAGCCUAACACUAGCAUACACAUGAUCAAACUCUUCACUCCUUCCAUGCUUUCUAGCUUGUUUUCCAAUGAGAUUUAGUCGCGGAUCAACAAACUAAAGCAAGAGGGCUGAAAGGCUACUGCUUCUUUGGUCUUGUGGUUGUGCAUCUGAUUGGAGAGUGCGACACGUCUAUUUAUAGCUGAAGCCAACAUCAUGCCCAAGCUGCACCCGCAUGAUAGAGAUGAUUAUGUUAUUUUAAUUCACAAUAGUUAUAUUGGUGAUAUGUUCUCUGUAUUUGUUUGUUUAGAGACCAAGCUACUUUAUUGCAUGACACAUGUAUAUGGAUGGCUUGGUACAUGCUUACCUGCUAUCAUCCAGCGAAAUAUAGAAGACCGAGUGUGUACUGUGUUCUGUAGACUGCAACUGAUCCCAUUUCAUGCAAAACUUUUGCUGCCCAUGUGGUGAACGUGAUGAGAAAUAGAAGCUUAAUCACAUGGCAUCUUCUGCCUUACUAGCAUCUAUAGCUAGUAGUACUGGCCUCGUAGCUAGGUGGCUGUUAAAAAUUUUACUAAAAAAAAUGUCGCUACUACACAUUAGGCUAACCUAUGGGUAUAGCUGUUUACAACACCCAAAUUUUAGAAUCGCAUGUAUCCAAUCGAUAAUAGUACUGCUGCCAGUUAAUGUUGUAUACUAGCAGUGAUUAUUUCACACACUAGCAAAUUUAAGUCGAUGGCCACUUGACAGCAACAACACACGUGGAGGACAUAUCAAAAGAAAACGGCACUAAGCUGUUGUGAAAAAAGAAACAUAUACAUCAGCACAAAUCUAACGAUACCGAUGGAGUUCAUCAUCACUUUCUGUCACUGUAGCUAUGUCCUUACCAACAUAUAUUAUUGCCUUCUCUUGCCUCCUCUCUCUAGAUAUGUGUAGAAUCAUGUGAUGAUUUAAUCGUGGUGAUGAACAAUUGUCAAAGGUGAGUGCUUUGUGAAAAUACGGUGAAUAGUGUUUUCGGUAGUCGGCUCUUGGUGGCUGGUCAGACCAGGCGGGGACUGCCGGUCAGACCAGUGGUGUUGGACCGGUCUAACCGGGUUGCCCAACGGUCAGAUUAGCAGACUCCAGGUAGGAGUCAGUUUCGGAUUGUUUUCAUGGGAUUUCUACAGUGCUUUAUGGAUAUGACUUCCAUAUGGUUUCUAUUCGUAUAUGAUGCUAUUGCGUGAUGGUCUGAGUGAAGUUAGUAUGAACUUGCUGCCUCCACGCCACCGGAUCUGGCGGAGGCGAGGUCCAACCCGCCACCACCGCUACACCUCUUCUCUCGCUCGAUCUGGUGGGGGGAGGAGGGGUCCGGGCCGCCGCCUCCAUGUCGUCCGCCGCCGCUGCACCUCCCCUCCCCCCGAUUUAGUUGACGGGAGGGCGUCGCUACCUCUCCCGCCGCUGCCGCAGAGAGAGAGAGAGACACAGAGAGAGAGAGAGGAGAAGCGUCGCUACCUCUCCCACCGCUGCCGCAGAGAGAGAGAGGAGAAGCCGAGAGAAGGGCUCGGCCUUAUCUCCUGCCGGUGUGGGUGUGGGCCCCAUCUGGAGGAAAAAUAUCUCCCUUGGCUGGUUCGGCUCGAUUUUAUCGGUUUCGGUUUUUUUAAACACCGGCACUUAUAAUUAAUUAUAGGUGAACCGACACCUAAAAUAUAGGUGCCGGUUUUUCUGUAAAACUGACACCUAUCUUCGUUUAAAGGUGUUAGUUUUAUUUUUUUUUUCAUUUUAUGAAGGUGGGAAAAGCACUAUAGGUGCCGGUUUAAUCACUUCCGUUACCUAUAGUGGCAACACCUAUUUGAUAUUUUGUAUGAGUGACUAUGAGUAUUGUUAAGUCAGAUUUGACACCACAUAUGCUUUAAUUUUUUUUUAAUAAAACCACUCGGCUGGUUGAUUUAUUUGCUCUUUGACUAUAUGUUUAGUUUGUUCAUCUAAUCACAUAGUUGGGGUUACACCUAAUUAGCUGCAUCUAGUCGAUGCCACUGACGCCCUCCUUCCCUCCAACUAGAUCAAGGACAGGGAGGGAAAGGGAGUGCAGCCGCCGCCAGCUUCCGCCCCUUUGGCCAGAUUAGGAAGAGAGUGGAGGGGCUGUGGUGGAAAGGGAAGUGGAAAAGGUGAGGGAGAGAGCUGAGACGGGUGAGGGGCUCAGAGGUCGAGCAGUUAGGGUGUGGGAGGGGCAAGGUGCGCUUGUUGGUUGUGAUCCAAUUUUUUUAAGCCGCUCCUAUAUUUACUGGCGAACGUCUUAAGUCCUCGCCUGCAAAAAAAAUGUUAAAUUACUGGCAAGGUCUAAAGAGGACCACAUGCGAAAAUUACUGGCAAGGACUUGAGAAGCCAGAAUAAAGUGUAGCUCAUGAGCUGGUCAGUGAUGACCAGAGUUGAGGUAGAGGAUAAUAUGUAGACCCCUCCAUAAACUAAUUGCUGGAAUAGACCCUUUUUGGCAUCAACCUCAUUGGCGCCCUUCCUCUCUUGCAGCACCAGCAUCAUUACCACUAUCCGAAUAGGACUUAGUCACGUGCGCCCUCCCUCCUUCCCCCCAGUCCGUGCCCGAAUAGGAGCAGUUCUCCCUUCCCUCUCCUCUCCUCCUCAAUUCCAGUCGAUUUGGACCUAUUUUUCUCGGAAUUUCUCAUGGAAGUUGAAGAGCAGCAUAUACUACACCAUUCCUCUUUUUUUUUGGUUUCAUUGGUCAAAUAUUUAGAGAUCAGAGAGUAACCCUAAAAACUUCGUUUUUCCCCCAAAUUUUAGGCCUCCCAAUGUGGGAUUUUAGGCUUGUAUUGGUUCUUGUAUGUAACUUGCUUCAAGCUCUUAGAAUUUUUCAGAUAUAUAGGUGUUAUUCAAAAUUUUAAGUUGAAAAAUGAAUGCAUGAAUAUAUGCAUAAAUUAAUUUAUAGGCAUUCAAUUGAAUGUAUGUGUUAGUUUAUUGGUGUGUAUUGAUAAUAGAUUUGAGCCAUGGAUUUUUCAUUUUCAUAGGUAUUUGUUAUAUGAAUGAUAGACUAAUUUUGUGGGAUGAUACACUAAUGGUGUACAAACCAUACAAUUAGGUUCGUCAGUAUAUCAGAGUCGGUCGGCACGUGAUAGGUCAAUGAUCGAAUGGUACGUAGAGUGAUCUCGCUGCAUGUGAUUGUGAUCAGAUAAGUACUAUCAGCUGAGUGAUGUAAAGAAUAGACUAAUUAAAUUAUAUUAUAAAAAUAUCUAAGUGCUAGCUCUCUGAUCGAUGAUAAUAUAAUAUGUGUAUGCAUAUCUCGUGCAUAUAUAUUAUCACCUAUACAAAUUUGCUUCCUUGGAUUAUGUAGAUGGAUAUAAUGCAGGGACAUGCAGGCAUGCGGACCAUGCUUAUUGCACUAGCUUGUACAGUUGCACCUAUACCUAUUGUCAGAACAAACAUGGUGAAGUGAGGUCUAGCUAGCAAGGAAGUAGCAACUAAUAGUUCUGCAUUGUACUAGUCGUUGUAGCCCAUGUAACGACUGCUGCCCCACUCUUUGGUUUUACCCCGAUUUAUGUUAACAAAAUUUUAAAAUACUUAAUGUGAAAUUUUUUUAUAUAGAAGUUGUUUAAAAAUAUUAGAUAAAUCUAUUUCUAUCUUUGUAAUAAUUGUAACUCAAUUAAUCAUGCUAGCCGUUUGGAAAUAUCUACGCACUUUAACCUUUUUUUUGUGUGUGUGUUUUAGAAUUGUAAAGUUACAUAUAAAUUAUUCGAGCCCAAUUUCAUACUUGCACUAAACCCCUAAAAAACCGUAAACAUAUAUAUUUCCUAUAAAAGACAUAAUAUGAUCCUCGGCGCCCCAAGGUGUCUUGGUUGGCUCCGUCAAUGCACUAACUCGACCAAACCAAGAUGGCACCUAGAGCACCUCAUAUUCUGUGAUGAUUUAAUAACCUAGGAACUAAAUCCAUAUAUAAAUGAAUAAUUAUAAAAAAAAAUUACAUAUAUACCACAUAUCCUAAGUCCCAAAAAUCACAAAAUUGACAUAUAAAAAAAUUGCAUCUACAUUUUUUAAUAAAAAUUGACAUCGCACAAAAUUGACAAAUUGUCAUUUCACAAAUUUCACAAAUAUCACCCUAACUCCCAAAUUUCACAUAUCACAAAUUGCACAUAUCACAAAUUUUCACAAAAAACCUAAAACACGCUUACCGCUAGCGGCUUGGGGCGGAGGUGGCCGGCGGCGGAUUUUGGGGAAGCCGGCAGCUUGGGAAGGAGGUGGCCGGCGGCAGUGGUCGGUAAGGCCAGCGGCUUGGGGAGGAGGUCGGCGGCGGCAAAGGUUAGGGAGGCUGGUUGUUUCGGGAGGACGACGGCCGCGGCGGAGGUCGGGGAGGCCGGCGUGAGGGCGAGGAGGAGAGGAGGCAGCAGCGGCCCAGAUCUUGAUGGCGAGAGGAGGAGAGGAGGAGAGGAGUAGAGGAGGAGGUGGUGGCCGGAGAGGACGUCGCCAGCAUGAAGGGCGAGGACGAGAGGAGCCGGCGGCAGAGGUGGAGGCUGGUGAGGCGAGGAGGCCACCGGCGGCGUUUGGGGCUCAGCGAGGAGGCGGCGGCGGCGGCGGCAAACAACUGGGCAGCGUCGGUGGUAAUUUCGCCCGCCCGCCCGGUGCUUAUGUAACCAUAUUGUCGCCUGCGGGUAAUCGAUAUUCCCAUGCGGGCAGUUUAAGUAGCCCGCACGGGAUGAUAUUAUUUCGUGCGGGCGGCUUAAGCCACCCGCACGCAAAAAUAAAUGCAGAUAAAUUAAUAAAUCCCAUCUAAAUAUAGUUAAUUAAUCAAUAUAAUUAUUCAACCACAAAUUAAAUAUAGUUAUAGUUAAUUAAACCCAUAAAUUAUUUAACUAUAAUUGUAUAACUAUAACUAAAUAGGGUUAUAGUUAAUAAACCACAACUUAAUUAAUUAAUCAAUAUAAUUAUUCAUCCAUAUGAUUAAUGCCAAUAAAUUAUUCAACCAUAGAAAUAUAAUUAUUUAACCACAAAUGAAUUUCAAUCGCAUCUAAUUAAAUUGCUUGUAUAUUGAUCAAACCACAUCUUAAUUAUUCAACCAUAUAAAUUGAGAACGACAUAUAGUACAGAUAAACAUGGAACCAUAAGUUUUAUACAUUAAUCGUUUGAAGGGGCUAUAAGUUGGAUACAUUAAUCGUUUUCAAAACAGGUUGUACACAACAACAUAUAUAUAUAUAUAUAUAUAUAUAUAUAUAUAUAUAUAUAUAUAUAUAUAUAUAUAUAUAUAUAUAUAUAUAUAUAUACUAAUGUUUCACAAUUUUCGCAGCACCAUCCUUCCGCACACGUCAAGGGUUGUCUCAAUUCGCUUGAUCUGGUUAGGAAUAUCUUUGAAUAAUGGGACGUCGUCAUAUUGGUUGUAAUCUGACACGUCUUUAGUGUUAUCGAUGCCAAUAAUGUGUUGCUUUCCCACUACAGUAAUGUCCAUCCGCUCAUUGGAUGGGUCCUUCACAUAGAAAACCUGUCCAACAUAUUCAGCGAGAAUGCAUGGAUCAUCCUUGUGGCUUUGUUUACUACGUUCCACAACCGUAAGGCCGUAGUAAUCGAUGGAUACGCCUGUUGUGUCUUUGACUCACUAGCAUCAUAGCACCGGGACCUGGAUGUUAAUGCCAUAGUCAAGCUCCCAAAUGUCUUGUAUUAUCCAUAGUAUGACUUCUUCUCGCCUAUUGCGUCCAACGCCUCCACACGAACUCCACUAUUAUGAGCUGCGCUUUUCUUGUUCUUGCCUAUCGUGUAAAACGUAUAUCCGCCGAUGUCGUACCAUUGCCAUGAGUUCACGAGGCUACUUGGGCCAGUUGCCAACCUAUGCAAGCGAUUCACCGAACGACAUGUUUUUUCCUUCAACCAUUCAGGAAAUUUGCGCUUCUGUUCCUUUGAGAUCUAAGUCGCCGGUCUUCUAGGGUUGCAUGCUCUUAUCUCGUUCAUGUGUCCCUCAAUGUAUGGCUCGAGGAUGGCUAGUUGUUGCGGCACGCUACUAAAAGCUUCCGCUACAGCUUUGUAGUCAUUAUCAUAGAACCUUUUCUUGCCUACGGUCCACUUCCCAAGUAACCGACCCUCAUGUACAACGGGGGUUAUAACAAUGGGUGUGGCGUCUUUCACGUAAUCUAUAUAGCAUUCAACCAGCCACCUCCUCAGUUGUGUACCCCAUUAUCAUUUAUCCCUUCUGAUGAGCUGGGUUACAGACAUACCCUUUCAGAACCGACAUGUACCUCUCAGACGCCCACACUGUCUCGGUUGCCAAUGUUUGAAGUGGGCCUAACUCUUCAGGAUCAAAAACGUUUUGUGACAUGUGAGACAUAGAAAGCAUCGGCUCGGCUUGGAGGUGGUUUCCUUUUUUAAAAAAAAAAAUCAGGGAGAGCACAAAGGUACCGGUUCUAUAACUGACACUAAUAACCUAGUGUCACUAGUGCCAACCAAUUGGUGCCGGCUGGGAAACCGACACCAAUUGGUUCCUAACUGGCACCUAUAUUGGUUUUUUGUACCAGUGGCCAUCAUCAAUGAGGAGGUUGAGUAUAUAGUUGACCCGAUUAAGGAUCAUAAUCAAGGCAAGUGUCCUCCCUCCCUUUGAAUAUAUUGAACCUCAUGUUUUCGGCAAACAUGUUGUUUUACAAAAUCUGCACAUAUUCGAACGAUAGGAAUGAUUAGAAUACCUUGUUUGUACUCAAAUGGAUCUACUUAUCUUUUUAUUUAUACCAAAUGCUUUUCCUUGCUUGAUAUGUUUAUCAUGGAUAUGGAUCCUACUUAUCCAUGUUGUUUUGAACACAUUUAAACUUAUUUCCAUAGAUAAGACAUGGAGAAUUACCAUAGUUGGCCUGGCAAGAAACUUGCAACUACUAUGUGCACCACAGUUACACACCUACAAAUAUGCCACCAGACACGCUCAAAUGACUGCAGCGCCUGCAUCACUGAUUUUCCCCCUUAUUUUAGAUUCAAUACGGUACUUGGGCUUCGAUCUUAAUUCCUGCCUAGUCUAGCUAGCUGAACCACAGAUAUAGUAUCUGGUCAAUAAUUAUUAUGUGCAUGCAUAUCUCAUGUUAAUUAACUCUCUCUGGAUCGAUGCCUAUUGUCACCUUAAUAUAUAUAUAUAUAUAUAUAUAUAUAUUGCUGAACAGGGAGUACGUGGAUGGACAAAAGAGCACACCAUAUGCAUAUCAUAUGCAUGGCACGUAAGCCAUGCGGACUGCAUUCUCGGGAUGGAUGCAUGGUUCAGAAUGAACUUAAAAAACUCGUACGCAUGAUCCUUGGUGAUUUGGUGGUAUCUCCAAUGUGUGAGAGGCCUAUCAGAAGCCUACUCUAGGUGCGGAAAUUAGCAUUAUAUAUAGUAUGCUAUUUUUUACAAGUUCAAUUUUAUCAAAGUUUAUUUUUUUCUCCUAGAAUCACCAGUAGAGAAACGAUUUUUCCGUGCGGUUAAAAGUGAUUUUCGCGUGUGGAUGUUCCAACCGUCUGGAACCAAGGGUCUGUAAAAUUUUUGCGUGAGGGUGGCGCACCCACACGCAAAAAUCUAAUUUUCGCGUGCGGAGUGGUUAUGUCGCCCGCAGGCAAAAAUAAAAAACCGAAAAAUAUAAAAUCCAGAAAAGAAAACCCCAACCCUAAAGCUGUGGUCGCCGCCUCCUCGCGGUCGCCGUCGCCGUCACCGCCGCGGUAGUGGAUCCGGAGCCUCCGCACUGUCCGGGCCGGUAACGGCCACCGCCGCACGCACUAGCCGCCGAGCUCCCCGCUCCCGCCUGCUGUUCCCGCUUGCAGCCCCCGGGCGAUGCCGCGCGCAUGCCGCCGAGGCUGCUGGAUCCGGGCGGGGGACGGCCGCCGCCGCCAGAAUCGGGUGAGGGGAAACUGCCUCCACUGGAUCCGGGUGGGGGACGGUCGUCCGCCGCGCGCACGCGCCGCCGAGACGCCGCUCCCGGUUGCCCACCGCCGCGCACACGCGCCUUGGUGCCCGCCGCUCUCGGUCGCUGACGCACGCAUGCCGCCGAGGCCGCCGCCAAGUGAGGCGGUGCAGCCGGCCGCCGCUGGCCGUGCCCGUGCCGGCCGUGCCCAGGGGAGAAGAGAGAGGUGAGAAAGUGAGAAAGGAUAGAGAGGUGAGAGCGUAAGAGAGAGAGUGUUGGUAUUUCUUACGACCACAGAUAAAUCUGCAAGCACACGGAAUACCGCUGUAGCACUUCACCUUCGGGUUAAGACGAUCCAAGGACAACAACUAUAGGUAGGCAGGCCAGAGAGGACUUUCUCUAUGCUUUAAUUAUCUACGCUAAGCAAGGUAAUUCCCUAUCUAUUGCUUCGGGCACCGACCCCUGCUGGUCUGCCAGCGUGGUUCCGGCUAUAGCUCUAUGAUGUAUUCGAACCUGGUGGAUUACUAGGACGGAAUUCAGGACUAUCACCACCUGCCGCCUACCUUUGACAAAUCCGUGGGAUACACAACUAACAAUGGUUAUCUCUGACAUAGACACCACGCCUAAGUUAUUAAUUACUACUCUAAUACUAGCGCAGGAACUUCCUUCUCUAUCCGGAGUCCUGGCACUAGAGCACUUAGUAUAAAUACUAAACAAUGAACCUGCAAAGAUGGAAAUAUAACUUACUUAGACUAAAUAAUUAAAUAACAAAAGAAAGAAACACGAAUGUUUACUUAAUAGAAGAAGUUCUCUGAACCCGGAGCAGAGUGUACCGACAGCUCCGGUACUCCUCCCGAAUUCCUCCUACGAAGCUACACUCGUCGACGUAGAAGUCGGAUGAGCGCCAAACUUCCGGGCACUCCUCCAGAGCUUCCCAUCACUCUCAAUCAUAUUCUAAUGUACAAAAGAUACAAUAGAGCCUCUUCUAAUUUUGCUCAAAGUUGUGUGUCGGAAAUGAGAGUGAACUACUCCUUAUAUAGGCAGGUAUGACGGUUACAGCCUAUGCGAAAUGACCAAACUACCCUGGAACAGCCAUCAGGAAGUAAUCAGGGCCGUCCACACAAAAUUUGGCGAUCAACGGCCACCAAAAGGGUUCGGCCAAACUGGUAACCCGGGACGGCUCCGUUCGGCCCGUUUUUCCAUCGUGGACACUAAUUUUGAGGCCCUCAGCCCAUUGGCAUGAUAGUUGGGCCCGUUUGGAGUUGUUUAAUUGACUUAUGGGGCCUCCAAUCCGUGUAAACGCGUCCUGAAUGCGCGGAGGUGCAUUUUGUCGCAUGACGGAUGUGUUUUCUCCUCAAAAUACCUGCAUACACAUGUUUCACCAACACUAGUGGAAAUGAUUAGUAAUAAUACCUACCACUAAGUUGGAUACCAUAUUUUAUUUCAUUAUAUGCAAGUAUUGACGGUCAAAUAUUAUGAUUUUUGGAUCGUCAACAACACCCCCACACUUAACCUUUGCUCGUCCCGAGUGAAGGCUAAGGACUCUACAACAGAGUUAUAACUUCCUUACUAAUAAUCAUGCAAACAAAUUAUUCAAAGCCAUACAUGUACUUGUGGGUCUUUGUAGUGUCUACCAUGCGAUCCUGAGCAAUUGAGAAAUGGAACAAUCUUGACUCAAGUCACCCUAACUUUUCAUGAAGAACAACUUGGGGUUUUUUUUCAAGUAACACAAAACUAUAACUUUGCUUUACUCCCCCAUUGAUUCUCUCGAUCAUCAAAGUGUAUGAUUCCUCACAAAGGCAUAUGAUUGUGCCUUUUCUUUUCCUACCAUCUAAUAAGGCUUAUGUGGAGCUAGGGUAUGGAAAAGAGUAGAGCAUUACUUGCAUCCAUGGAAAGACAAGACAUACUUUCUGGUCAAGAAUGUGCAUGUGUAUGUGUAUGGUGAAGUUGUGGGUGGAAAAAGGAAAAUAAAAAUAACUCCUUUUGUUUACCUCCUCCUCCAUUUAUUUUUUUUCUUUUGAAACUUGGGAGAGUACAUGGCUAUCCUUUUUUUCUUUUAUUUUUCUUUUUUUCUCGUUCUUUUUCACCAUCAUGCUCCAUACUUCUAUGAGCACUUUUUUUUUCUUUCUUUUUGCACAGCCAUGCCUCUCUCUUUUUCUUUUUUUUUUCUUUGGAAGAACUUUGGAGGAAGAGGCAUAAAUGACAUGGAGUAUUUAUUUUGUGGACUAUAGAUGAAAUGAAUGGUAAAUGAGCAAUGUUGACUUCCAAUGUAGAAGUCAAGCAUUUAAGUGUGUAUGUGGAAUGUGUGUGAUCUUGACCAUGAAAGUAUGAAAAGCAUUUCACUAGGGUCACAAAACUUGACAAGGCUCAAUGUAUUAAUAAGUAGCGUAUGUAGCGAGCUAAUCAUGAAUGAUCAACCUAUGGCUCUAGUGGGAAUAAAAAUAUCAAUGAGGAGUUUAGCAUCGUUAUUUUUUUUCUUUUAUAAGAUUCCCAAGUGUGCAACAUGAAGAGCAGGAUUUCUUUCAUCAGACUAUAUCUCAAUCCUCAAUUACCUAGAUAGCAUGGGGUGCCUAUUGAAUAUGUCUCCACAAGCAGCAAGUAAUGAGCAAAGAAUAAUAGGCAUGCAUGUUAUUUUUAGGGAGGCCAUGAACUCUAAUUGUACCAUCCCUAGCUUGAGUUUAAUUAUCUUCGAUGUUUCAGAAUUGGUAAUCAAAUUAAACUCAAGAUAGAAUGGAUGUCCAAAGGAAAAAUUGUGCAAACCUGCGCUCUGUAUAACACAGAGGACGAUUCAUUGGUUCUGACUGUAUCAAUUUCCCUUGUGUGUUUCAUCAUGGCUCAUCACUUCUGGGGUGAUCUUGCUUUGGUUAUGGCGUUGAUGUGCAAGAUCACCCCCACACUUGACUUUGUACAUGGGGCUCUUUAUUGGACACAAAAAUGAAAAAUAAAGACAAAAGUGAAGCAAAAAGGACUCACUUGGUUGGAAGACUAAGUAGCCAACUUUAUUUUAUUUUAUUUUAUCCAUGAAAGCUAGACCUAAGAUAACUACAGGGAGGCCAAAGGACUCGUGGCAUUGAAAACUAACGGAUCAAGUGGGAGCUAAAGACUCCGGGUAGAAGCUAAAAGAGACUAGAUUCACAACAUCUAAGUCACAAUCAACUUCUAACGGAUCAAGGAAAACUUUUAAACGAUGACCAUUUACCUUAAAGAUGUUACCUUCGUUGUCGCACAGCGUGACGGCUCCUUGUGAUGAAGCGUCGACGACAGUAUAUGGACCCAUCCAUUUACUUCGAAGUUUUCCAUGUCCGAAAAGUUUCACCCGAGAAUUGAACAGCAGCACCUUGUCCCCUGCUUUGAACUCCUUGUGCUUGAUCCGCUUGUCAUGCCAUCUUUUGGUUCUAUCCUUGUAGAUCUUGGCAUUGUGAUAGGCCUUGUCCCUCCAUUCUUCUAGCUCAGAGUGCUGCAUCUUCCUGUGCUGUCCGGCUCCCGUUAAAUCCAUGUUCCAAGUCCGGAUAGCCCAGUGCGCCCUGUGUUCCAACUCUACUGAAAAGUGACAAGUCUUCCCGUAGACAAGUUGGUAUGGUGACAUGCCGAUGGGCGUCUUAUAAGCAGUCCUAUAUGCCCAAAGUGCAUCAGGUAGCUUGUUCUUCCAUGCCUUCCCCAUCUCAUUGACAGUCUUCUGCAGAAUGUUCUUGAUUUGUUUGUUGCUUGUUUCUGCCUGUCCACUUGUUUGGGGAUGAUAUGGAGUGGCAAUGUUGUGCUGAGCCCCAAGUUCUUGCAAAAAGUUUCGGAAGGUCUUAUCGAUGAAAUGAGACCCUAACAUCCGGCGGGCGUGCUUGGCGUCUGCGGCCCUGCAUGGCAUUGCCUCUACCCACUUGGACACAUAGUCAACGGCCACCAGGACAUACUCGCAAUCAUAGGACUUUGGGAAAGGUCCCAUGAAAUUGAUGCCCCAUACAUCAAAUAACUCGACUUGAAGGUUGUAUGUAAGUGGCAUCGCAUCGCAAGCAGUGAUUCCUCCAUGCUUCUGGCAACUUGUGCAUCUCCGAACGAAUUCCUUUGUGUCAUCGUACAUUGUUGGCCAAAAGAAUCCGCUCUGCCAGAUCUUUGCGUGUGUUCUGAAUGCUCCAUAGUGACCUCCAUAUGGGGCAGCAUGACACUUCUUAAUGAUCUUCAUGCCUUUAUCUACCGGAACGCAUCUUCGUAGUAGACUGUCUGAACAGACUCUGUACAGGUAAGGUGCAUCCCACAAGUGCCCGCGGCUCUUGUAGAUCAACCUCUUCUUAUUUUCUCCCGGGGGUAAAUGCCCCGCGACCAUGAAGUUGACGAUGGUUGCAUACCACGAGUCAGAGUCUAUGACUUUCAACAGCAUGUCGUCUCGCAGAUAGUCAUUUAUCGGUAGCUCGUGCAUGUUAGUGAUUUGCAUACGCGACAAAUGAUCUGCAAUAGAAUUCUCUACUCUCUUUUUAUCCUUAAUCUCUAUGUCAAACUCUUGGAGCAGAAGAAUCCACCUAAUCAGCCGACGUUUUGAAUCUUUUUUAGCUCGAGCUUGGCUCGUCCUAGGCUCGAUUUGAGCUCGGCCCGAGCACCAAACGAGCUGAACCCAAGCCUGAGCAAAAGCUUGCGAGCUUUACCGAGCCGAGCUCAAGCUUCUACCGAGCCUGGCCGAGCUUGACUGUGUAUAGUUUAUAUUGCAUGUUCACCUCUUUAAUAUAAUAAACUAAUAGAUAAAUAUAUAUAUAUAUAUAUAUAUGUGUGUGUGUGUGUGUGUAUGUAUCUAUUUACACAAUAAAUUAGCAUGUGUUAGCACAAUAUAUUUAUUUUAAUCAUUUUUUACUCUGUUAUUAGUGUGAUUAACUAGAAAAUAAUUAUACUUAUCAACAGAUUAUUAUUAAAAUAUAUAUUAUACUACUUAUGGCCGAGCUCGAGCUCAAACCGAGCUUGCCUAAAAGCUCGAAGGUGCAAUAUGCUCGGCUCGAGCAUGUGUCGAGCUCGAACUUGGGCAAAUGAGCUCGCUCGAGCUCGGCUCAUUGACAGCGCUAAUCAGAAUACAACAGUAUUCAAACAAUAGUUCAUCUCAGGUUCAACCUAAUACCAGAGUCUCAGAUACUCUGCUUCCAGAAUCAAACAAUAGUUCCACAACAAGCAGCAAAAUGUAUGGUUCAAUUAAAAGAAUCUUACAUCACCCAUGGAAUAAUGCAUAGCAAGUCCAUGUUCAACCAUAUGCACUCCGUUAAGCCAAAUAUUCACCUGCAAUGGGUCCAUAAAGAACUCAAUGGAUUACGAAGAAAAGGUGAAUGGGGAUAUCAAAUAUUUCAAAAUCCAACUAAAAGGGAAAGCUGGACACCGACCAGCGUGACCAAUAAGGUAAAUAAAAGGAGGCAACAACAUUAGGAUGGAAGCCAACAUGUACUUUUGGGGUUGCUACUGCCUAACAUAUUCAUGGUAAGCAAAUAUAUAUUUGUCUAAAUCCAACUCCAAUGUUUCUAAGUGCACAAUAACUAUUUUUAGACGGAAGCAAUACUGAAACAUUUAUAAAGUGUAAUAGUACCAUAAUAUCUAUGAUCACUAUAACUAUUACUCUAUAAAAACAUAACAAGUUGUAUAAGAGCUGCUCAUUUCUUUGAACUACAAGUUGUAUCUGCAUCAGAAGGAAAUACAUCAUAUAAGUUCCAGUAUCAAAUAACGUUCUAGCGAUGCCUAGUAUGUAACUUAUCACGACUAAUGGUAUCAUCUGAAAAAUUAAAAGAUGGGUCAAGGGCAGCAGCAUACAUGUAAUGUACCAAAAUAAGUAACAAAAAAAUGGCACUUUUUUCAUGAGUUCUAUUAAUAUAAAGAAAUAUGGAGCAGAGAACUUCUAGUAAUAGAGUUUAAGCAUACUUAGAAACUGAUCAUCAGAAUGUAUGUGUGUUUUUGGACAUUGGGCACUGCACCUUGUUGGAAAAACAUAGUAUUUUCCUGGAAGAAAAAUCGCCAUGCUGCAACUUUACAUAGGUCUUUAAUGCAGAAAAGCAAGACAACAGAUUUAAUCAAGGAAUUGGCACAUCAAGUCCAAUACGUAUUUGUGUAAUAUUUUUCCUUUAGAAGUUCAGCCUGUAACAUUUACCCAAAGAACACACAAACAAAGGACUAAUUAAUUGUUGGAAGAAGAGUAGCAAUUCCCCUUUAACAUACAUAAAGAAAGUUCCCCUUUUAGUUUUUCUUACUAAAAGGAUAAACAUACACAAAGAAAGUUCCCCUUUAAAUCAAGAAAAGGUUUCGUUAAGAUAGUUAUGGAAACAUAUUCCCCUUUAGUCCAUGUUUUCGCUUUCGGACAAGUAAUCUACUCUUACGCCCAAGAAAGUUCACCUAUGCUAACAAAUUCCUUGUCCCUGUAGUAAAUUUAUUCAUGGAAUUCAGUUUGCUAAUGUUUUUUUGCACUAGUUUAGUUAGAGUUAUGUUUAUAAGCGGUGCAGCCAGGUGGCAAAUUAAUUGUCAAAAUUGCUAGAGCAAUUAAAGUUGUCAAUUGAAUACUAGUUUUGUUCUGUUUUGCACUUAAUAUAGCUGAUCACAGUUUAAAAUGCCGCUGCACUUAACAAUAGGUACAGAUCUUGAACCCACAAAAUCCAUAUAAAAUGGUUUGGAUUGUAGGUAAGCAUAAUGUUUGUAUUUUGCUAAUUAUUCAGAACAUUCAUACCAAGAUGCUAGUAAAAUAACUCAUUCAGUUAGCCAAAAGAUUCAGGCACAAUUUAGCACAGAUUUCUACAAGCAAAAGAACUCCAUCCAACUCAUGCCUUCAGUAGAAUAAAACUGUGCUCAGGAUCAGCAAGGAGCUGUGUAAAAAAAUGUAGAAAAUCUAAGAGAAAAAGGAAAUAUAAACCUUCCUGUCCUCAGCGGUUGCGCUCCGGUGGAAGGGGCAGGUUGAACCCGCCACGGCGGUUCAUCUACUGCCGUGGCUGCCGCUUGGUGACGACGCGCACCCCGCUAACAUCGGCGUCGGGGACGUGCUUCCCCUUGGUGGAGUCGAAGCCGACGGGGAUCCCCAUCAUCUUCAUCAUCUCCAGCUCCUCCACGUCCACGUCCCCUUCGCCCGCCGCGACCCCAUCCCCGGCGGCACUCUUGGGCGGGACGAGGCCCGCCGCCGCCAGAUCUGAGCAGGACGAGGCCCGCGUCGCCAACCACAUGUCGACGUCGUCGGGGUUGCCGCCGCUGCCACCACCCGCGUUGUCGUCGUCGUCGGGGAUGGAGCCGCGGCCGGAUCCGCACGAGGGAGGGCCCCCUGGGGCCGGAUCCGCGCCGCUCGGCCGUCGCUCGUCGCCCGCUCCCAUCUGGCGCCGCUCGCUCCCAGCCGCGAUCUGCCGCCACCCUCGCCUGGCCGCCAUGCUGCCACCGAGCCCCCCGGCCGCCGUCGCUUGCCGCCGCUUGCUCCCGCCACCGAGCCGCCCGACCAUUGCCCGACUGAGAGGAGAGAAAGGGAGAGAUUGAGAGGAGAGGAAAUGAAAAAAGAGAGGGUGUUAAUAUCUGUUGGGAGAGAGAGAGGAGGGGUGGUGAAAAAAAUUUGAAGCAAGGAGGAGCGAAAGAGAAAGAGGAGGAAAAUAAUUAUUAAAAAUAUUAAUUUGAUAAUAAAUGAACUUCGAGUUGAAUUUUAAGAUACUAAAUGAACUUACGUGAAAAAUUUCUUAAAAACAAAGUUAUAUAAAUCAUUGAGAUCUAUAACUUUUCUUUUGGACAUUUCUCCAUCCGAGUUUGAUUGAACUAUAUAAAAUUUGAAUUUUAAAAUAUAAGAAAUUCAAAUAUUUUUUCAGGUAGUAAAUGAAUUCAAAUGAAAAAGUCAUCAAUAACAAAGUUGUAUAGCUUAUCAAGAUCUACAACUUUUAUAUUGGUCAAUUUUCUAUAUGAUUUUGUUUGAACAGUUUGAAUUUGAAUUUCAAAUUAUGACAACUUCAAAACAAAAUAUGACUUUGUUUUGGUCAUUUCUUUAUUUGACAAAGUAAUAGUAACACUGUUCACAAAAUUUACAUAUCUCUAUUAUAUAUUAUAAACUAUAUAAGAGAUACGUAUAUUCUGUGAACAAUGUUAUAAAUCGCUUCGUCAGAUGAAGAGAUGACACAAAUAAAAGUUAUAGAUUUUGAUGAGAUAUACGACUUUGUUAUUGAUGACUUUUUUAGUUGAAAUCAUUUAAUAUUUGAAAAUGUUGUUUGAAGUUGUCAUAAUUUGAAAUUCAAAUUCAAAUUAUUGAAACAAAGUCAUAUAGCAAAAUGACCAAAACAAAAGUUGUUGAUAUUGAAGAGUUAUACAACUUUGUUGUCGAUAACUUUUUCAAUUGAAAUUAUUUAGUAUUUAAAAAUGUUAUUUAAAGUUGUCAUAAUUUGAAAUUCAAAUUUUAUAUAGGUCAAUCAAACUCAGAUGGAGAAAUAACCAAAACAAAAUAGGUAGAUCUCAAUAAGUUAUACACCAUUGUUUUUGACAACUUUUUCACACAAGUUCAUUUAGUAUGAUAAAACUCGAUUCUAAGUUUUAAUAUUUUGAAAUUAAUUGAAAUGAUGGAGGCAAAAUAGACUUCUCGGUGAGGGAGGAGCAAAAGGGCUGGCCCAUAACAGGCCUUGUUUCAUACCAUCUAUGUUUAACCUUUUUUUUCUUUUAUUUUUUUUACCAUUGUGAAGUAACACACAAAAAUCGAGAUCUACCAAUUUUGUUUUGGUUAUUUGUCCAUCUGAGUUUGAUUAGCCUAUAUAAUAUUUGAAUUUCAAAUUAUGACAACUUCAAACAACAUUUUCAAAUACUACAUGAUUUCAACUCGAAAGGUCAUCAACAACAAAGUUGUAUAAAUCAUCAAUAUCUACAACUUUUAUUUUGAUCAUUUUUCUAUACGACUCUGUUUCAAUAAUUUGAAUUGCAAUUUCAAAUUAUGAUAACUUCAAACAACAUUUUCGAAUACUAAAUGAUUUCAACUAAAAAAGUCAUCAACAACAAAGUUGUAUAAAUCAUCAAUAUCUACAACUUUUGUUUUGGUCAUUUCGCUAUAUGAUUCUAUUUCAAUAAUUUUAAUUCGAAUUUCAAAUUAUGACAACUUCAAACAACAUUUUCUAAUACUAAAUGAUUUCAACUGAAAAAGUCAUCAACAACAAAGUUGUAUAAAUCAUCAUAUCCACAACUUUUGUUUUGGUCAUUUUGCUAUAGGACUCUGUUUUAAUAAUUUGAAUUUGAAUUUCAAAUUAUGACAACUUCAGAGAACAUUUUCAAAUAAUAAAUGAUUUCAACUGAAAAAGUCAUCAACAUCAAAGUUGUAUAAAUCAUCAAUAUAUAUAACUUUUAUUUUGGUCAUUUCUUCAUCCGAUAAAGUGAUAGCAACAUUGUUCGCAAAAUUUACAUAUCUCUUAUAUGGUUUUGAUGUAUUUAAUAUUAUAUUUGUAAAUUGCGACGAAAUUGCUAUAACGUCACAGGUUUUUGGCCGGUUUAUGACGAAAUCGAUAAAAUGUCAUGUUAUUAUGGGCCUUGUAUCCAUUGUUGCAUAUCCGUGACGAUCUCUGAAAAACAUCACGAAAAUUUCGUCAAAUUUCAUCACAGAUUAAAUAGAUUCUUAUAGUAUUUGGGACCCUACAGUGAGGUUCCAGAAAUAAAAAAAGAGUGAUUCAAGAGAGAGUCAUCUAAGGAAUAUAGUUAGUUUGUGAAAAUAUAUGAAAAACCCAAGUGAGUAUCAGGGGAAAAGGAAUGACUUGAGUCACGACCGUUUCAUUCAUCAAUCGCCCAAGAUUGUAAGAUACACACCGCAAAGUUCACAGGUACAUAUAUGGCUUAGAAUAGAUUGUAUACAUGUAUAUACCUUGAAGAAUUUUAUUCCACAAUAAUCCUUAAUGGGACGAGUAAAGAGCUAAGUGUCGGGGUUUUUUGACGGUUAUUAAUUUCCAAAUUUACGCCGUCAAUACCUGCAUAAAUAUAAAAAGAUAAAACAUCCAACAUAGUGGUAGGGUUUAAUUCUAACGAUUCCUACAGUAUUGGUGUAUAUUUGAAUGCAAGUAAUAAACCAUCAAAGUUGAGGCGAAAUAUACAUAAAGAAGGAGGAGAAUCAAACUUAUAUCCAAGCCUAUGGAGUCUUGGUCCACAAACCUAACAAAACACCUACAAUUGGGCCCAUUCACCAUACAAGCGAACGGAGAGACUCCCUGCCAGAGCCCAGGAGGAAGUGCUGGGCCAGGGAGGCUGCCCAGGGUUCGGCCAAACAAUGCCUGGCCCAGCCCAGCCACAACCGCCUUCAGGCCAUCCCCGAUACAUGUCAAUCUCUACUACCAUAUUGAAUAACUCACGCGACACGCGGACACUUGUUCCAGUAAUCCAUGCCAAGUCCAUGUAUUGUUUGUCUUCUACAACCAGAUGCAACGAAUUUGAAGAGCCCAACCUAUAUAUAUACUCUAAAUUAAGAACUCCUAAGCUACCAUAAGCGUGGGGUCGGCACACUCUAUUCCAAUCGACCAAACAAUUGCUACCAUUGGCCUUCUCUUGCUCUGACCGUGAGAAGCCGCUCCUCUUGUCUAUAGGUUUGGUCACCUAUUUUGGAAGGUGAUAAAUCGGUAUAGUUGAGAGCACUUCUUUCACCGUAACUAAGCGACUGCCCUGUUUAUGAGUGAGGUCUUCCACAAAGAGAGUAUGUCAUCAGCAACUGUGUCAAUAAGGGAUAGAAAGUCCGCUUUAGAAGGCUUCUCUACUGUACCACUUUUGCAAGGGAAGUCCUUCACCUUACAAGGCAGCGAGUUAACAAUUACUUGCAGAUCUUCAUCAAAACAUCUAAUAGGAAUGACAAACCUCUUUUGCAUAUUUGUUAACAGCCCCAAAGCAAGACCGAAGAUAUUGCGUUUGACAAUUUCCUCAAUUUUCAGCUGCAAUAGUCUUUUAAUGAGGAUUUUAAAAUUCAUCAUCUUUCCUCACAUGAAGUUCUGGCCUGUUUCUUUUUCUUUUUACUUCAAAGCCCAGCCCCCCCACACCAACAUCUCUCAUAGUAGUUUCUGCUCAUCUUUCACGUAGCUCCAAUGGCAGUCACAUCCCUGCCAUCAUCUUGUUCUAGUGUUGCUCGGAGUCAGGACGAAGUCAGUCGGGCUGAACAUACAUCGACCCCAUCCCUAGUUCCUAAUUUUGAGGUUAUAGCAAAAUACCUACCAGCUGCCAAGCACGAUUGAGAAGCGCUGAACGAGAGUUACCCAAACAAGCAGUACAAAAAACAAUUAAAUAAUGUCUGUAUAUACUGUUCUUCAAGGUAAUAAGCAUCAGUACAUCCAUCAACAUGGCUUGUACUGAGCAACCUUAGGAGUAUAUCUAAAUACAGGUGUAAGUUCAUUGCUGGUUUGUAAGUGUAAUAGUUUUAUAAUAAUGCUCCCAAGGAGGCCUUAGGCAUACAGUAAUAAACAAGAGGUUGGAUCUGUAAGUUCUCAUGGUGAAUAUAAAUAUGGUUACCUGGUACUGGUAAUUAUUGAGCUCAUUGUGUUGUGGCCAAGAAAACUUUUGAAUAUUUUGGAUGGUCCUCAAGCAUAUAGAAUAGUAAGUCAUUAUACGUUAUUAACUGUGUUUUUAAUCUUCUGUUCAUGAGGUCAAUUGAUAAUAAUUAAACAUUCAUUGUGUUUUGGUCACGUAUCCUUUUAAUUAAGGAAGGAAAAUUAUUUAUUUUCUUCAUCAUGUAUAUGUUCAUAAAACCUGUAUUGGACUAUCUAGCUCAAUUGAUCAUGUGUAUUCAGUGCUACCUCAGUUCCGAUAUAUGUAGCAUGCAUUAUAUAACUUUAACAAAAGGGAUCCAUCCCGAUGACAAGAUUUAUUUCUUAGGCAAUGAUAUCAUCACUCUACAUAUGCUCACAUCCUCAAGAAAAGAUAAUAUAUGAUGGCAGAUCGUGAUUAUCAUAGCUUAUUGGAAAUACAACGUGACAGAAAUCAAGAGAGAUCGAUGGCACACUGGAUUGGAUAUCAUGAUAUCCAUUUUAUUUAUGAGUACUCCAGGGUGGCAUAGCCUACCAUGGGCUUCCAUGUGUGAAGCCCCUUAUGCUUGCAUGUUGCACUUGCUUAGGAAACAACGGUGACAGUCUCAGCUUCCUUGGUACAGAAGCGGCGGCAUGCUUCGUUGCAACGAUCGACGGCAUGAUUGGCUUCUUCAUUGCCAAAAACUGAAAAGGAAAACAAACGUUUCAAUCUAUACAUUAGCUAUAUAGAACAAAGAAUAUUUAUUUUUUUGGUUGCAAAUCAAUGGUAAUUUAGCUUGAUGUUUUUUCUCGCUUACGAGUGCUCAUGGUGCUGCACACAGACGAAGCACAUCCCAGCUUGCAGAAGUCAACUACCUCCGAUUCCUCUGCAAAAUCAUGUAUAUGCAUGAAUAAAUGCUUGUACCAAUAGAUAUUACAAAAUUAAUAGCCCAAAAGUUUACACAAAGGGAGUUAAUAUGUUUUAAUUUGCCUAGGUUAGCUGGGGUGAAGGGCGUGGUGAAUGCAAGAUAGAAAUAUAGACAAGGAGAGCUAAUGUUUCUAAUUUACCAGCUUCUGGGUGAAGGGUAUGGUGAACGUAAGGAGGCUUGCAGUUCCCAUCAACAAUUUUGCAGCCAGAAAGUUUAGCACAGGUGUCUCUUGAGCCACCCGCGAAACGGCAUGAGUUAUAGACGUUUCUUGCUGUGGUGGAUGGGCAACAACUCUUUGCUUCCACCUGGAUCUUCUCUUGUUGCAGGACUAAGCCUAACACUAGCAUACACAUGAUCAAACUCUUCACUCCUUCCAUGCUUUCUAGCUUGUUUUCCAAUGAGAUUUAGUCGCGGAUCAACAAACUAAAGCAAGAGGGCUGAAAGGCUACUGCUUCUUUGGUCUUGUGGUUGUGCAUCUGAUUGGAGAGUGCGACACGUCUAUUUAUAGCUGAAGCCAACAUCAUGCCCAAGCUGCACCCGCAUGAUAGAGAUGAUUAUGUUAUUUUAAUUCACAAUAGUUAUAUUGGUGAUAUGUUCUCUGUAUUUGUUUGUUUAGAGACCAAGCUACUUUAUUGCAUGACACAUGUAUAUGGAUGGCUUGGUACAUGCUUACCUGCUAUCAUCCAGCGAAAUAUAGAAGACCGAGUGUGUACUGUGUUCUGUAGACUGCAACUGAUCCCAUUUCAUGCAAAACUUUUGCUGCCCAUGUGGUGAACGUGAUGAGAAAUAGAAGCUUAAUCACAUGGCAUCUUCUGCCUUACUAGCAUCUAUAGCUAGUAGUACUGGCCUCGUAGCUAGGUGGCUGUUAAAAAUUUUACUAAAAAAAAUGUCGCUACUACACAUUAGGCUAACCUAUGGGUAUAGCUGUUUACAACACCCAAAUUUUAGAAUCGCAUGUAUCCAAUCGAUAAUAGUACUGCUGCCAGUUAAUGUUGUAUACUAGCAGUGAUUAUUUCACACACUAGCAAAUUUAAGUCGAUGGCCACUUGACAGCAACAACACACGUGGAGGACAUAUCAAAAGAAAACGGCACUAAGCUGUUGUGAAAAAAGAAACAUAUACAUCAGCACAAAUCUAACGAUACCGAUGGAGUUCAUCAUCACUUUCUGUCACUGUAGCUAUGUCCUUACCAACAUAUAUUAUUGCCUUCUCUUGCCUCCUCUCUCUAGAUAUGUGUAGAAUCAUGUGAUGAUUUAAUCGUGGUGAUGAACAAUUGUCAAAGGUGAGUGCUUUGUGAAAAUACGGUGAAUAGUGUUUUCGGUAGUCGGCUCUUGGUGGCUGGUCAGACCAGGCGGGGACUGCCGGUCAGACCAGUGGUGUUGGACCGGUCUAACCGGGUUGCCCAACGGUCAGAUUAGCAGACUCCAGGUAGGAGUCAGUUUCGGAUUGUUUUCAUGGGAUUUCUACAGUGCUUUAUGGAUAUGACUUCCAUAUGGUUUCUAUUCGUAUAUGAUGCUAUUGCGUGAUGGUCUGAGUGAAGUUAGUAUGAACUUGCUGCCUCCACGCCACCGGAUCUGGCGGAGGCGAGGUCCAACCCGCCACCACCGCUACACCUCUUCUCUCGCUCGAUCUGGCGGGGGGAGGAGGGGUCCGGGCCGCCGCCUCCAUGUCGUCCGCCGCCGCUGCACCUCCCCUCCCCCCGAUUUAGUUGACGGGAGGGCGUCGCUACCUCUCCCGCCGCUGCCGCAGAGAGAGAGAGAGACACAGAGAGAGAGAGAGGAGAAGCGUCGCUACCUCUCCCACCGCUGCCGCAGAGAGAGAGAGGAGAAGCCGAGAGAAGGGCUCGGCCUUAUCUCCUGCCGGUGUGGGUGUGGGCCCCAUCUGGAGGAAAAAUAUCUCCCUUGGCUGGUUCGGCUCGAUUUUAUCGGUUUCGGUUUUUUUAAACACCGGCACUUAUAAUUAAUUAUAGGUGAACCGACACCUAAAAUAUAGGUGCCGGUUUUUCUGUAAAACUGACACCUAUCUUCGUUUAAAGGUGUUAGUUUUAUUUUUUUUUUCAUUUUAUGAAGGUGGGAAAAGCACUAUAGGUGCCGGUUUAAUCACUUCCGUUACCUAUAGUGGCAACACUUAUUUGAUAUUUUGUAUGAGUGACUAUGAGUAUUGUUAAGUCAGAUUUGACACCACAUAUGCUUUAAUUUUUUUUUAAUAAAACCACUCGGCUGGUUGAUUUAUUUGCUCUUUGACUAUAUGUUUAAUUUGUUCAUCUAAUCACAUAGUUGGGGUUACACCUAAUUAGCUGCAUCUAGUCGAUGCCACUGACGCCCUCCUUCCCUCCAACUAGAUCAAGGACAGGGAGGGAAAGGGAGUGCAGCCGCCGCCAGCUUCCGCCCCUUUGGCCAGAUUAGGAAGAGAGUGGAGGGGCUGUGGUGGAAAGGGAAGUGGAAAAGGUGAGGGAGAGAGCUGAGACGGGUGAGGGGCUCAGAGGUCGAGCAGUUAGGGUGUGGGAGGGGCAAGGUGCGCUUGUUGGUUGUGAUCCAAUUUUUUUAAGCCGCUCCUAUAUUUACUGGCGAACGUCUUAAGUCCUCGCCUGCAAAAAAAAUGUUAAAUUACUGGCAAGGUCUAAAGAGGACCACAUGCGAAAAUUACUGGCAAGGACUUGAGAAGCCAGAAUAAAGUGUAGCUCAUGAGCUGGUCAGUGAUGACCAGAGUUGAGGUAGAGGAUAAUAUGUAGACCCCUCCAUAAACUAAUUGCUGGAAUAGACCCUUUUUGGCAUCAACCUCAUUGGCGCCCUUCCUCUCUUGCAGCACCAGCAUCAUUACCACUAUCCGAAUAGGACUUAGUCACGUGCGCCCUCCCUCCUUCCCCCCAGUCCGUGCCCGAAUAGGAGCAGUUCUCCCUUCCCUCUCCUCUCCUCCUCAAUUCCAGUCGAUUUGGACCUAUUUUUCUCGGAAUUUCUCAUGGAAGUUGAAGAGCAGCAUAUACUACACCAUUCCUCUUUUUUUUUGGUUUCAUUGGUCAAAUAUUUAGAGAUCAGAGAGUAACCCUAAAAACUUCGUUUUUCCCCCAAAUUUUAGGCCUCCCAAUGUGGGAUUUUAGGCUUGUAUUGGUUCUUGUAUGUAACUUGCUUCAAGCUCUUAGAAUUUUUCAGAUAUAUAGGUGUUAUUCAAAAUUUUAAGUUGAAAAAUGAAUGCAUGAAUAUAUGCAUAAAUUAAUUUAUAGGCAUUCAAUUGAAUGUAUGUGUUAGUUUAUUGGUGUGUAUUGAUAAUAGAUUUGAGCCAUGGAUUUUUCAUUUUCAUAGGUAUUUGUUAUAUGAAUGAUAGACUAAUUUUGUGGGAUGAUACACUAAUGGUGUACAAACCAUACAAUUAGGUUCGUCAGUAUAUCAGAGUCGGUCGGCACGUGAUAGGUCAAUGAUCGAAUGGUACGUAGAGUGAUCUCGCUGCAUGUGAUUGUGAUCAGAUAAGUACUAUCAGCUGAGUGAUGUAAAGAAUAGACUAAUUAAAUUAUAUUAUAAAAAUAUCUAAGUGCUAGCUCUCUGAUCGAUGAUAAUAUAAUAUGUGUAUGCAUAUCUCGUGCAUAUAUAUUAUCACCUAUACAAAUUUGCUUCCUUGGAUUAUGUAGAUGGAUAUAAUGCAGGGACAUGCAGGCAUGCGGACCAUGCUUAUUGCACUAGCUUGUACAGUUGCACCUAUACCUAUUGUCAGAACAAACAUGGUGAAGUGAGGUCUAGCUAGUAAGGAAGUAGCAACUAAUAGUUCUGCAUUGUACUAGUCGUUGUAGCCCAUGUAACGACUGCUGCCCCACUCUUUGGUUUUACCCCGAUUUAUGUUAACAAAAUUUUAAAAUACUUAAUGUGAAAUUUUUUUAUAUAGAAGUUGUUUAAAAAUAUUAGAUAAAUCUAUUUCUAUCUUUGUAAUAAUUGUAACUCAAUUAAUCAUGCUAGCCGUUUGGAAAUAUCUACGCACUUUAACCUUUUUUUUGUGUGUGUGUUUUAGAAUUGUAAAGUUACAUAUAAAUUAUUCGAGCCCAAUUUCAUACUUGCACUAAACCCCUAAAAAACCGUAAACAUAUAUAUUUCCUAUAAAAGACAUAAUAUGAUCCUCGGCGCCCCAAGGUGUCUUGGUUGGCUCCGUCAAUGCACUAACUCGACGAAACCAAGAUGGCACCUAGAGCACCUCAUAUUCUGUGAUGAUUUAAUAACCUAGGAACUAAAUCCAUAUAUAAAUGAAUAAUUAUAAAAAAAAUUACAUAUAUACCACAUAUCCUAAGUCCCAAAAAUCACAAAAUUGACAUAUAAAAAAAUUGCAUCUACAUUUUUUAAUAAAAAUUGACAUCGCACAAAAUUGACAAAUUGUCAUUUCACAAAUUUCACAAAUAUCACCCUAAGUCCCAAAUUUCACAUAUCACAAAUUGCACAUAUCACAAAUUUUCACAAAAAACCUAAAACACGCUUACCGCUAGCGGCUUGGGGUGGAGGUGGCCGGCGGCGGAUUUUGGGGAAGCCGGCAGCUUGGGAAGGAGGUGGCCGGCGGCAGUGGUCGGUAAGGCCAGCGGCAUGGGGAGGAGGUCGGCGGCGGCAAAGGUUAGGGAGGCUGGUUGUUUCGGGAGGACGACGGCCGCGGCGGAGGUCGGGGAGGCCGGCGUGAGGGCGAGGAGGAGAGGAGGCAGCAGCGGCCCAGAUCUUGAUGGCGAGAGGAGGAGAGGAGGAGAGGAGUAGAGGAGGAGGUGGUGGCCGGAGAGGACGUCGCCAGCAUGAAGGGCGAGGACGAGAGGAGCCGGCGGCAGAGGUGGAGGCUGGUGAGGCGAGGAGGCCACCGGCGGCGUUUGGGGCUCAGCGAGGAGGCGGCGGCGGCGGCGGCAAACAACUGGGCAGCGUCGGUGGUAAUUUCGCCCGCCCGCCCGGUGCUUAUGUAACCAUAUUGUCGCCUGCGGGUAAUCGAUAUUCCCAUGCGGGCAGUUUAAGUAGCCCGCACGGGAUGAUAUUAUUUCGUGCGGGCGGCUUAAGCCACCCGCACGCAAAAAUAAAUGCAGAUAAAUUAAUAAAUCCCAUCUAAAUAUAGUUAAUUAAUCAAUAUAAUUAUUCAACCACAAAUUAAAUAUAGUUAUAGUUAAUUAAACCCAUAAAUUAUUUAACUAUAAUUGUAUAACUAUAACUAAAUAGGGUUAUAGUUAAUAAACCACAACUUAAUUAAUUAAUCAAUAUAAUUAUUCAUCCAUAUGAUUAAUGCCAAUAAAUUAUUCAACCAUAGAAAUAUAAUUAUUUAACCACAAAUGAAUUUCAAUCGCAUCUAAUUAAAUUGCUUGUAUAUUGAUCAAACCACAUCUUAAUUAUUCAACCAUAUAAAUUGAGAACGACAUAUAGUACAGAUAAACAUGGAACCAUAAGUUUUAUACAUUAAUCGUUUGAAGGGGCUAUAAGUUGGAUACAUUAAUCGUUUUCAAAACAGGUUGUACACAACAACAUAUAUAUAUUCUUGUGGCUUUGUUUACUACGUUCCACAACCGUAAGGCCGUAGUAAUCGAUGGAUACGCCUAGGGUUGAUCCAAGUCGCCGGUCUUCUAGGGUUGCAUGCUCUUAUCUCGUUCAUGUGUCCCUCAAUGUAUGGCUCAAGGAUGGCUAGUUGUUGCGGCACGCUGCUAAAAGCUUCCGCUACAGCUUUGUAGUCGUUAUCAUAGAACCUUUUCUUGUCUACGGUCCACUUCCCAAGUAACCGACCCUCAUGUACAACGGGGGUUAUAACAAUGGGUGUGGCGUCCUUCACGUAAUCUAUACAGCAUUCAACCAGCCACCUCCUCAGUUGUGUACCCCAUUAUUAUUGAUCCCUUCUGAUGAGCUGGGUUACAGACAUACCCUUUCAGAACCGACAUGUACCUCUCAGACGCCCACAUCUGAUGUAGGUAUACGGGUCCAAUUUCAAUAAUCCGAGGGACGAUGUGGACAAUCAAAUGCUCCAUCAUAUUGGAGUAAGAUGGAGCGAAAAACAUCUCAAGUUGACACGCUGUCUCGGUUGCCAAUGUUUGAAGUGGGCCUAACUCUUCAGGAUCAAAAAUGUUUUAUGACAUGUGAGACAUAGAAAGCAUCGGCUCGGCUUGGAGGUGGUUUCCUUUUUUUAAAAAAAAAAUCAGGGAGAGCACAAAGGUACCGGUUCUAUAACUGACACUAAUAACCUAGUGUCACUGGUGCCAACCAAUUGGUGCCGGCUAGGAAACCGACACCAAUUGGUUCUAACUGGCACCUACAUGGGUUUUUUUUACCAGUGGCCAUCAUCAAUGAGGAGGUUGAGUAUAUAGUUGACCCGAUUAAGGAUCAUAAUCAAGGCAAGUGUCCUCCCUCCCUUUUUUAAUAUAUUGAACCUCAUGUUUUCGGCAAACAUGUUGUUUUACAAAAUCUGCACAUAUUCGAACGAUAGGAAUGAUUAGAAUACCUUGUUUGUACUCAAAUGGAUCUACUUAUCUUUUUAUUUAUACCAAAUGCUUUUCCUUGCUUGGUAUGUUUAUCAUGGAUAUGGAUCCUACUUAUCCAUGUUGUUUUGAACACAUUUAAACUUAUUUCCAUAGAUUAGACAUGGAGAAUUACCAUAGUUGGCCUGGCAAGAAACUUGCAACUACUAUGUGCACCACAGUUACACACCUACAAAUAUGCCACCAGACACGCUCAAAUGACUGCAGCGCCUGCAUCACUGAUUUUCCCCCUUAUUUUAGAUUCAAUACGGUACUUGGGCUUCGAUCUUAAUUCCUGCCUAGUCUAGCUAGCUGAACCACAGAUAUAGUAUCUUGUCAAUAAUUAUUAUGUGCAUGCAUAUCUCAUGUUAAUUAUAUAUAUAUAUUGCUGAACAGGGAGUACGUGGAUGGACAAAAGAGCACACCAUAUGCAUAUCAUAUGCAUGGCACGUAAGCCAUGCGGACUGCAUUCUCGGGAUGGAUGCAUGGUUCAGAAUGAACUUAAAAAACUCGUACGCAUGAUCCUUGGUGAUUUGUUGGUAUCUCCAAUGUGUGAGAAGCCUAUCAGAAGCCUACUCUCGGUGCGGAAAUUAGCAUUAUAUAUAGUAUGCUAUUUUUUACAAGUUCAAUUUUGAUCAAAGUUUAUUUUUUUCUCCUAGAAUCACCAGUAGAGAAACGAUUUUUUCCGUGCGGUUAAAAGUGAUUUUCGCGUGCGCAUGUUCCAACCGUCUGGAACCAAGGGUCUGUAAAAUUUUUGCGUGAGGGUGGCGCACCCGCACGCAAAAAUCUAAUUUUCGCGUGCGGAGUGGUUAUGUCGCCCGAAGGCAAAAAUAAAAAACCAAAAAAUAUAAAAUCCAGAAAAGAAAACCCCAACCCUAAAGCUGUCGUCGCCGCCUCCUCGCUGUCGCGGUCGCCGUCGCCGUCGCCGCCGCGGUAGCAGAUCCGGAGCCUCCGCACUGUCCGGGCCGGUAACGGCCGCCGCCGCAUGCACGAGCCACCGAGCUCGCCGCUCCCGCCAGCUGUUCCCGCUUGCAACCCCCGGGCGAUGCGACGCGCAUGCAUCCGAGGCCGCCGGAUCCGGGUGGGGGACGGCCGCCGCCGCCAGAAUCGGGUGAGGGGAAACUGCCUCCACUGGAUCCGGGUGGGGGACGGUCGUCCGCCGCGCGCACGCGCCACCGAGACGCCGCUCCCGGUUGCCCACCGCCGCGUGCACACGCCUUGGUGCCCACCGCUCUCGGUCGCCGACGCACGCAUGCCGCCGAGCCGCCGCCAAGUGAGGCGGUGCAGCCGGCCGCCGCCGGCCGUGCCCGCGCCGGCCGUGCCCAGGAGAGAAGAGAGAGGUGAGAGAGUGAGAAAGGAUAGAGAGGUGAGAGAGUGAGAGAGAGAGUGUUGGUAUUUCUUACGACCACAGAUAAAUCUGCAAGCACACGGAAUACCGCUGUAGCACUUCACCUUCGGGUGACCCCAAAAGGAUAUCGAACUCAAGGAACGUGUGUAAUCUAUCUAAGGUUAAGACGAUCCAAGGACAACAACUAUAGGUAGGCAGGCUAGAGAGGACUUUCUAUGUGCUUUAAUUAUCUACGCUAAGCAAGGUAAUUCCCUAUCUAUUGCUUCAGGCACCGACCCCUGCUGGUCUGCCAGCGUGGUUCCGGCUAUAGCUCUAUGAUGUAUUCGAACCUGGUGGAUUACUAGGACGGAAUUCAGGACUAUCACCACCUGCCGCCUACCUUUGACAAAUCCGUGGGAUACACAACUAACAAUGGUUAUCUCUGACAUAGACACCACGCCUAAGUUAUUAAUUACUACUCUAAUACUAGCGCAGGAACUUCCUUCUCUAUCCGGAGUCCUAGCACUAGAGCACUUAGUAUAAAUACUAAACAAUGAACCUGCAAAGAUGGAAAUAUAACUUACUUAGACUAAAUAAUUAAAUAACAAAAGAAAGAAACACGAAUGUUUACUUAAUAGAAGAAGUUCUCUGAACCCGGAGCAGAGUGUACCAACAGCUCCGGUACUCCUCCCGAAUUCCUCCUACGAAGCUACACUCGUCGACGUAGAAGUCGGAUGAGCGCCAAACUUCUGGGCACUCCUCCAGAGCUUCCCAUCACUCUCAAUCAUAUUCUAAUGUACAAAAGAUACAAUAGAGCCUCUUGUAAUUUAGCUCAAAGUUGUGUGUCGGAAAUGAGAGUGAACUACUCCUUAUAUAGGCAGGUAUGACGGUUACAGCCUAUGCGAAAUGACCAAACUACCCUGGAACAGCCAUCAGGAAGUAAUCAGGGCCGUCCACACAAAAUUUGGCGAUCAACGGCCACCAAAAGGGUUCGGCCGAACUGGUAACCCGGGACGGCUCCGUUCGGCCCGUUUUUCCAUCGUGGACACUAAUUUUGAGGCCCUCAGCCCAUUGGCAUGAUAGUUGGGCCCAUUUGGAGUUGUUUAAUUGACUUAUGGGGCCUCCAAUCCGUGUAAACGCGUCCUGAAUGCGCGGAGGUGCAUUUUGUCGCAUGACGGAUGUGUUUUCUCCUCAAAAUACAUGCAUACACAUGUUUCACCAACACUAGUGGAAAUGAUUAGUAAUAAUACCUACCACUAAGUUGGAUACUAUAUUUUAUUUCAUUAUAUGCAAGUAUUGACAGUCAAAUAUUAUGAUUUUUGGAUCGUCAACAACACCCCCACACUUAACCUUUGCUCGUCCCGAGUGAAGGCUAAGGACUCUACAACAGAGUUAUAACUUCCUUACUAAUAAUCAUGCAAACAAAUUAUUCAAAGCCAUACAUGUACUUGUGGGUCUUUGUAGUGUCUACCAUGCGAUCCUGAGCAAUUGAGAAAUGGAACAAUCUCAUGGAACAUCAGGCGGGCGUGCUUGGCGUCUGCGGCCCUGCAUGGCAUUGCCUCUACCCACUUGGACACAUAGUCAACGGCCACCAGGAUAUACUUGCAAUCAUAGGACUUUGGGAAAGGUCCCAUGAAAUUGAUGCCCCAUACAUCAAAUAACUCGACUUGAAGGUUGUAUGUAAGUGGCAUCGCAUCGCGAGCAGUGAUUCCUCCAUGCUUCUGGCAACUUGUGCAUCUCCGAACGAAUUCCUUUGUGUCAUCGUACAUUGUUGGCCAAAAGAAUCCGCUCUGCCAGAUCUUUGCGUGUGUUCUGAAUGCUCCAUAGUGACCUCCAUAUGGGGCAGCAUGACACUUCUCAAUGAUCUUCAUGCCUUUAUCUACCGGAACGCAUCUUCGUAGUAGACCGUCUGAACAGACUCUGUACAGGUAAGGUGCAUACCACAAGUGCCCGCGGCUCUUGUAGAUCAACCUCUUCUUAUUUUCUCCCGGGGGUACAUGCCCCGCGACCAUGAAGUUGACGAUGGUUGCAUACCAUGAGUCAGAGUCUAUGACUUUCAAUAGCAUGUCGUCUCGUAGAUAGUCAUUUAUCGGUAGCUCGUGCAUGUUAGUGAUUUGCAUACGCGACAAAUGAUCUGCAAUAGAAUUCUCUACUCUCUUUUUAUCCUUAAUCUCUAUGUCAAACUCUUGGAGCAGAAGAAUCCACCUAAUCAGCCGACGUUUUGAAUCUUUUUUAGGGAGCAAGUAUUUUAGUGCAGCAUGGUCAGUGUAAACAAUUACCUUAGCUCCCACUAAAUAUGACCUGAAUUUAUCAAUGGCAAACACUAUGGCUAGGAGCUCUUUUUCAGUUGUGGCAUAGUUAAGCUGAGCUCCAGUCAAUGUUUUACUAGCAUAUGCAAUAGCAUGGUGUUUUCUAUCCUUAGUUUGCCCAAGAACAGCUCCCACAGCAAAAUCACUAGCAUCGCACAUGAUUUCAAACGGCAGUGACCAAUCAGGGGGUUGGAUGAUUGGUGCUGAGAUGAGUGAUUCAUUAAGGAUUUUGAAGGAUUUCAUACACUGAUCAUCAAAGUCAAACGGAACAUCCUUAGCUAGCAAGGCGGUUAGGGCUCUAGCGAUUUUGGAGAAAUCCUUUAUUAAGCGCCUGUAGAACCCCGCAUGACCCAAGAAGCUACGGACUCCCUUGACAUUGACAGGAGGUGGAACCUGUCGAAUUACUUCGAUUUUUGCUCUGUCCACCUCAACUCCCCUUUCGGAGAUUUGAUGUCCCAGGACUAUUCCGUCACGCACCAUGAAGUGGCACUUUUCCCAAUUAAGUACCAAGUCCUUUUCCUGACAUCUUUGUAAGACCCUAUCUAAAUUCAACAGACACUGAUCGAAAGUUUUACCAUAGACUCAAAAAUCAUCCAUGAAGACUUCCAUGAUAUCCUCGAUCAUGUCAGAGAAAAUAGACAUCAUGCAUCUUUGAAAUGACGCGGGUGCAUUGCACAACCCGAACGACAUUUUGCGAUAUGCAUACGUUCCGUACGGGCACGUGAACGUGGUCUUACUUUGAUCAUCAGGAUGGAUGGGGAUUUGAUGAUAACCAGAAUACCCAUCAAGGAAACAAAAAAAGGGAUGGUUCGCCAACCGCUCAAGCAUUUCAUCAAUGAAAGGCAGUGGAAAGUGAUCCUUCUUAGUAGCCUUGUUGAGUUUCCUAUAGUCAAUGCACAUUCUCCAUCCUGUUACGGUUCAUUGCGGGAUCAACUCGUUGUUCGAGUUUUCAACGACUGUCAUGCCUCCCUUCUUAGGCACUACUUGGACAGGGCUAACCCACUCGCUAUAUGGCACGGGAUAGAUAAUCCCGGCAUGUAGGAGUUUCAAGACUUCCUUUUUGACGACCUCCCUCAUCGAAUUAUUCAACCUCCUCUGAGGUUCCCUAGAUGGAGUGCAAGACGGUUCUAAGGGAAUGCGAUGAGUGCAAAGGGUCGGACUGAUGCCUUUCAAGUCUUGGAGGGAAUAGCCAAAAACUAUGAUGCUUUUCUAAAACGGCGAUAAGUUGGGUCGUCUCCCUCUUAGAGAGUUUGUCACUUAUAAUGACAGGAGACUCCGCAUCGCCGUUCAAAAAUGAAUAGCGUAGGCCUAAAGGUAAGGGCUUUAGCUCAAUUGGGGCUUGUGACGGCUGAUCCGUUUUUGGCAAAUCAAUCGUUUCCCCAUAUUUAUCCUCCCCUUCAUUGAAUUCUUCAAUGGAUUCAUCGAAAAUAGACUCUGGGCCUUGAAUGGAGAAACGGCCAUCACUUCCUCAAUUGGCUCAGGAACAGGAAGAGACUCCGUCAAAGAAUUGGUUGAUUGCAACAUAGGGAUGGAGGUGGCGAUUCUUCCUAUUUUCAGGUUGAGGACACUGGUUUCGGGCACAUCUAAGAGUUGGGAUGGCCUAUGAGUAUGUCGAAAUCAGAUAUGUCAAACACAUGGAAAUCUAAGAUGACCUCAAUGUUGUUGGGCAGUGUGGGCACUCCAGAGAUAAUCCCUAAACCUUCGGUAGUAGAGUUUGUGGAAAUUUGGAAGGUCUUGACGGUUGGUUCCAACGGUUUGUCCCCUAAGCAAUCGAGUGCAAAUGUUGCGGACAUAAUACAGAGCACGGACCAAAUUACCUCCAAUGAAACACAUAAUGGUUGAGGUGGGGCAUCGGAUCUGAAUCGAUUCAUAUGAGAGCUCACCUUCCCUUAACCAUUCGUUACUCAUGAUGGUGGUCAACUUCUUCACCAUCUCUUUAAGCAUAGCUUUAUCGAGAGGAUCAUUAGACUUGACCUUGGUCGGUGGUCUCUUCUCGCGGGAAUAAUUUGAGGUGUUUCCAUAAUCUUCGAAAAGCUCCUGCUCGAAUUGGAAUGGAAUUUCUGAAGGAUGAACUAGGAUGAGGAUUCGACAGUUGAGUCGGGUUCCAACUCCACAUGCAGAGAUUCCUCAUGGAUAAUCUCAACCUCCGGGACGGCUUCGCUUCAUCCGAAAGAAUCAUUCUCUGAGAUCAAAUGUAAGAAUUCUCUUCCUUCGGCGGUUGUCUUGUGUGCGAAUGAUCCUCCGGCAGAAAUAUCGAGAUUUUCAGAAGACUCCUUGUCUAACCCGUACCGAAAAUGUUGUAACAACACAUGGUUGGGUAAAGACAAGUCUAGGCCAGACUGAAUUAACAGUGAGAACCUGGCCUAUGCUGCACCGAGAGAUUCCUUCUCAUUCCACGAAGAUUGAUUACACGGGUUAAUGGAAAGAAAGUAAGGCAAAAAUUGCACUUUAGUUCCUCCCUUUCACCGUAGAAUUUCUUGACAGACAGAGUGUACCAUUGCUUCGCUUCAUGUCCAAGAGAAAAAGGAAACAAUUUCCACUUAAGAGUUUCAUGCGUCAUGCCUACAAUGGAUAGGCAUGAACACACUAGUUCAAAGUCCCGAAGAUGGAGGUAUGGGUUUUCACCGAUACUACCAGAGAAGGUUUUCUCUUGAACCAUGGCUAUAUAGCCAGGACUGAUUUUGUAGCCAUCGGAUAGGAUUGGUUCUUAAGAACAGGACGGCUCACAAAGAUCCGCCCGAGGAGCAGAAAGGUUUUGAAUUGUGGGUUGCUCCAUCAAGGAAAGGAAUAAAAGAAGAAGAAAUGAAAAUAAAGAUACGAGGAUGACCUAGACUCGGAUAAAUUAGCAACCGUUCCCCGGCAACGGCGCUAGAAAUGCUUGUUGGUAUUUCUUAUGACCACAGAUAAAUCCGCAAGCGCACGGAAUACCGCUGUAGCACUUCACCUUCGGGUGACCCCAAAAGGAUAUCGAACUCAAGGAACGUGUGUAAUCUAUCUAAGGCUAAGAUGAUCCAAGGACAACAAUUAUAGGUAGGCAGGCUAGAGAGGACUUUCUAUGUGCUUUAAUUAUCUACGCUAAGCAAGGUAAUUCCCUAUCUGUUGCUUCGGGCACCGACCCUGCUGGUCUGCCAACGUGGUUCUGGCUAUAGCUCUAUGAUGUAUCCGAACGUGGAGGAUUACGAGGACGGAAUUCAGGGCUGUCACAACCUGCCGCCUAUCUCUGACAAAUCCGUGGGAUACACAACAAACAAAGGUAAUCUCUAACCUAGACACUACGCCUAAGUUAUUAAUUAUUACUCUAAUACUUGCGCAAGAACUUCCUUCUCUAUCCGGAGUCCUAGUACUAGAGCACUUAGUAUAAAUACUAAACAAUGAACCUGCAAAGAUGGAAAUAUAACUUAGACUAAAUAAUUAAAUAACAAAAGAAAGGAACAUGUCACGAGCAAGGAUUAUGUGGAGAAGAAUCGGGAUGAGUGGGGAUAGAUUGGAUUAUAGUAGAUGAAAUGACAAGAAACAGUCCUAAACCUAAACGGCGCGACGCUCUCCAUCGCACUGAGAAGGCAGGCCGAUGGGCACUAAAUUAAAUCUUGAUCUAUUGCCUAAUUGACCUAUGAUAGGAUCCCUCCUUCUAUAGAUGGAGGACCACUUAAUCUAAUCCUAACAAACCCUAAGCCUAUCCAAUGGGCCUAGGACGCCUGGCCUAAAGCCCAGGACAUUACUCCCCUAUUUUUGAGCAGCUCGUCCUCGAGGAAUUAAAUCCCUGUCCAGGAAUCAGUCAGGGCACACAAAACAACAAAAUAAUGUACAGAUAGAUACGUAAAUAAAGCGUAUAUACUUACAUAAGAGGCGCUUAGUCCUCACACCAAAAGGGAACGACAGCAGCGGAAAAGGCGAUCCUAGCGGGACUUCAGCUCCACUCCACAGGCAAAACUCAACUGGGGUCUAAGCCUUGGUCUACUAACUUCGUCUUUAGCUCAGAAGCACUACACUUCUAAAAAAGGGAGAAAUAGCAAGGCUGAGUACAACUACCGUACUCAGCAAGCCACACAAAUGAUGCACUUGUGCAAGGGGAUACAAAGAGAGGUUUGUGGCAAUUUGCAUAAAGGAAGUUGUAAAGCAUUUUAUUGCGCAAAACAGUAAAGCAGUUGGUUAAUUAAGAUAAUAUUAAAUCUCUACUGAACAACGCUACAGCACGUUGUACAGGCCCAACCAUCCCACCUGAACCACACAGUGCAUUGGAUCGAUUUAUUUGGUGAGAUUAAUCACGGUGAUUCUGGUCGAUUGCCCAAAACCGCAGGCAUGGCUAUUCGAAUUGUUUUACUCUGGCUAGAGGUGCACAACUGUACCCACAAGACACAACCCACCGGCAUGUCACCGCGCCUGGCCGGACACGUCACCAUGUUGAGUGAUUGUGACAAGACCCUUCAUAUAACCACCUCUGACCAAUCGCACCAAACCACACGUUUCACCCCCAUCCCCAGCAGGCAACGGGCAGCCCCCCUCGUACCACGGUCGAUCCGGAAGCCGCAAAGGCCGUCGCAGGGCGCAUCCAAACUCCAUCACGCCCACCCUAGCCAGGGUACGUCAACCAGAGGAAAGCUAUACUUCAAAUCAAGCAGUUACCCAUUCCCGCUUGUGGUAAGCGCGGUAAGUCUUCCAGUGCAUCCCGCGAACCGGUCAUUAAUUGCCAUGGGUGCGACUAGUAAAACCAUGCACCCACAGGACACCACUCAGUCGCAUUUUAAUUGGAUAAUUAUGACCAAUGAAACAUGGCCACUUAAUUUUAGUGGUAAUUAAGCAUGGCUAAGCAUAAAUAAUUCUACCUGAGUUAACACAAGUAACACAAGCUAGUCGAUUUAUCAUCGAAGGUUCGCAAAGGACAGAUAUCAAGUAAUAUGGCACAAGCGAGUAAAUAGGUAAACCCUAUUCCCAUGUAAUUAGCAAAACAUGCAUAUUUAUUUACAAACGGUAAAACGUUUGUAGAGUAGGCUCAAUAUGUUCAAGGGGGGAUGUGUGACUUGCCUUGCUUCUUCAAAACAAUCUUCUGAACUCUGAUCCUUGCGACCGCGAUCUUCCGAAACGAAGGAAACUACACGCUGGCACGCAAAAUGAGGAAAAACUCUAAUAAAAACCAUGUAAACAGUACAUAAAUAGUAAACAAACAUGUAGAGCUCAAUUUUAGAUUAAUUUUGCAACUUGAAUGGCUCAAUUUGGAGUUCGUAUGAAUUAGUUAUGAAUUUUAGAAGUUUUGAGCCAUUUAAAUUAAUUUCUAUAAUUAAAUCCGAAUUAUGACGCAAUUAAUAAUUAUUUUUACAAAGGAAAAGGGUCGUUGCUGACAUCAUCAAAGGGUGGUGCUGACGGGCGGGCCCCACGAGUCACAUGGCGGCCACAGUGGCAAGGCAAGGCGAGGUGGCGACGAUGUGGUGCCGACGCGGCGGGGCCACGGGCGGCCACGGCGGACGCCCCGUGGAUGGCCCGGAUCAGCCUGAAGGGGAUCAGGAGGCCACAGCGAAGGAGAGGCCGGCUCGCCGGCCGGGCCGACCAAACAGCGAUACGGCGGUGGCAGCCGGCGACGCAGGACGGCGGCGAGCGGCUAGAGGGCGGCGGUGCUCACGAGCGGUGGCGGCGCACGCGGAAAAGCGGCGGCGUGGCACGGCCAGCGAAGAUGAAAAGGAGGACAGAGUAGGGGUCCUCACCAGAAGUGGCGGACGGUGCAGAGCAAGAUGACGACAACGGCGAUUAGGAGGCUCUUGGUGAAGGAGGAGGGGCGGCCGAGAGCUGACAGGACCUGGGGAAUCGAUUGGAGGCAUUAGGGAGGGAAAUGGAUGAUCGGAGCGGCGAGGAAACAAUGCCAAGGACGGUGAAGAGCGGCGGAGCUUACCAACGAGAGAGGGUGAUGGAGCUCUGGCGGGUUUCCGGCUAAAAGGGGUGGACACCGAGCUGGCCCUCCCUCCCGUGAAGCCGAAGGAGGCGGCGACAUGGUGCGGAGUCGACCGGAGAGGCGACACAGUGCUGCCGGAGGCGACAAACGCGGCGGCGGCCUUCGGUCGAUGGCGAAAGAGGUGUUUCCGUCAGUAGACUGGGCAAAUGAGGUGGCGGCCGGCCUUGCUCUUGCAACCGCGAAGCCAAUGGCGCAAGCAGUGAGCCGCGGCGUUGGUUGAAGCGGUGGUGGCGGGCGGCUGGAGGCGGCGAAUUGCGGUGGUGGUUCGGGUUGGCAAUGGGGUGGUGGUUCUGGCGAUGGAAUGGGGAAACGGAGCUGAGGCCGGGGUGCGGCACCACGCGGCGAAGCUGGUGGUGGCAGUGGCGCAGCACGGCGACGGCGGGAGCGGUGGCGGCACAUGGUUGGAGGGCUCCGGAGAGUGGCGGCACACGGUUCAACGUGGGGACCACGGUAGGGGCAUGGUGAGCUCGGGAAAUUGGGGAAAAAGGAGGGAGGAGGUCGAGGGUGGCAUUUAUAGGGUCGGGGAGGGCACGACAGUGGUGGGGAGAGGUGGGGCACCGGCGACGGGGUAGAGCGCUGACUUCGGCGAAGUGGCGGUGCUUCAGCGCUGAUUUUGCAGGGAGGAGUGGGGGAGGAGAGGAGGGAAAGUGGGCGACGAGGUCUAUUGGUGGCGAUGUGGGGUGGAUGCCAUGGCGGCUGGAGGUUGGGGAUGGGGCUGACAGGUGGGGCCACGGGUCCACCUGUCGGCGAGGGAAAGAGAGAGGAGACGGGAGACGGAGGCAAAAAAGACUUAGAGGAAGGAGGCCGAGCGGGGCGAGGGAGAGGGGCCGGCCCAAGAGGAGAAGGGAGGAGAGAGGCAUGGCUGGAGUGGAAAAAGGGGAAAAGGAGGGGGAUUGGGCCGGGAGUGGCCCAAAGACAAAGAGGGGAAAUUUUAUUUGUUUUCUUUUUAUUUAAUUGAUUAAUAGAAAUCCGAAAAUUAGAGGGAAAUUCCAGAGAAUAUAUCACGGCACAAAGAAUAUUACAAAAUAUCCUCGGCCAUGAUUUUUAAAGGAAAAUUUUUAAUUCCCUCAAUAAUGUCACAUGAUUAAAUUGCUUUAACUUUUAUUUAAUUCCUAAAAAAUGCAUUAUUUAAUGAUUUUUAAUCCUGAACGAAAAUCGGGGCGUUACACUAGAGUACAUGGAACAGGUACCACUGAUGUUAGAAACCGAAAAGCUUUGUCAUGACAAGGCUAAUGUGUUUGGCAAGCGCACAUCUACUGCAGUAUGAGUAUCCUUUAAACUAUUCGAAUAGCCGUGCUCGUUGUUAUCGGGCAUCGGGACUCACUAUGGCAUCUUGGUUAGAAACCUAAUUCAAGAUUUUAUUAAAUACUGACACAUUUCAAACAUCACAGGCUUUCUUCUUCUACAUUCUCUGCUUUCUACAACUUAAUAUAGCCCUACUCAAUUACUAUUAUUUCAUGCAUUCAUUACUCAAUAUAAUAGCUUGCUGAGUACAACUCUUGCUUCAACCCCUCCUUUUCAGAGUCAAUUUGAUGUUCUUGCCGAAGCUGGGAGUUCAAUCAUAUAAGUUAGUCUCAUUUCAACCUAGUUCUCAAGUCUAGAUUAGUUAGAUGGUUUAAGUCUAAGUAAAACAUUCAUGUUGAGUCCCUCUAUAGCUUCUGUUGGAUUAGUUAGCCACAAGCUUGUAAAUUCCCCUAUUAUUUUAUGUAAAGAAAUCCCCUUUGGAGCCUUGUUCAACUGUAUGCAAUAAAGAUCCAGAUUGUUACCUGUAUCAAUCAAUCGAUCUAGGGCUUGAUAAAGUCUAGACAUACCGGUUUUCGAAUCAUUAGUUUUCACUUCAAGAAUCUAUUUUAUCUAUGACAAAAAAAUUCAUCAUGGAUCACUGAAAAUUCGUCACAGAAAUUUGUCUGUGACGAUUCUACUUACCAUCAUCUAUUGAGCGUCACAGAUUAAAUCUGCCGAUGUUUUCUCCGAAAUCGUCAUGGAUCAGUACAAUCUAUGACGUUUUUUAACCGUCAUAAAAUGUUUUUGGGCUCGUGUAGUCCAGCCAGGCCCGACCUUACGUCACAUAUGGUUGCCACGUGGUGGCCAACAUAGCAGGUGACGUGGUCGUUGACACAUGUGUGAUGACGUGUCACUGAUGACGUAGCAGCUAACGUCAGCAAAUAUUUUCAAACGUCCCAUUAUUUUUUUGACGACCCAUUAAUUUUUUAACAGCCCAUUAAUUUUUUACAUUGGUCCAUUAAUUAUUUAACAGCAGCCCAUUAUUUUUUAGAACUAGCCCAUUUUAAAAUAGGUUCAUUUUAGAACUAGGCCCAAUUCAAAACUGGCCCAUAUUUUCAACGAACUAUCAGUUCAAAGCCCACUAAACGGGCCCAUUAAAUUUGAGCCCACCAAAUUCAAUCCAAUUUUUCAUACCAUCUCAGAUUCAAACCUAAUAAUAGAUACCAUCUCAGAUUCAACUAAUAACAUAACAGAUACAAUCAGAAUUAGGGCUAUCAAAAAAGCUCGAGGCUCGCGAGCAGCUCGAGCUUGGCUCGUCCUAGGCUCGAUUUGAGCUCGGCCCGAGUACCAAACGAGCUGAACCCAAGCCUGAGCAAAAGCUUGCGAGCUUUACCGAGCCGAGCUCGAGCUUCUACCGAGCCUGGGCGAGCUUGACUGUGUAUAGUUUAUAUUGCAUGUUCACCUCUUUAAUAUAAUAAACUAAUAGAUAUAUAUAUAUAUAUAUAUAUAUGUGUGUGUAUGUAUCUAUUUACACAAUAAAUUAGCAUGUGUUAGCACAAUAUAUUUAUUUUAAUCAUUUUUUACUCUGUUAUUAGUGUGAUUAACUAGAAAAUAAUUAUACUUAUCAACAGAUUAUUAUUAAAAUAUAUAUUAUACUACUUAUGGCCGAGCUCGGUUAGGCCGAGCUCGGUAACCGAGCUCGAGCUCAAACCGAGCUUGCCUAAGAGCUCGAAGGUGCAAUAUGCUCGGCUCGAGCAUGUGUCGAGCUCGAACUUGGGCAAAUGAGCUCGCUCGAGCUCGGCUCAUUGACAGCCCUAAUCAGAAUACAACAGUAUUCAAACAAUAGUUCAUCUUAGGUUCAACCUAAUACCAGAGUCUUAGAUACUCUGCUUCCAGAAUCAAACAAUAGUUCCACAACAAGCAACAAAAUGUAUGGUUCAAUUAAAAGAAUCUUACAUCACCCAUGGAAUAAUGCAUAGCAAGUCCAUGUUCAACCAUAUGCACUCCGUUAAGCCAAAUAUUCACCUGCAAUGGGUCCAUAAAGAACUCAAUGGAUUACGAAGAAAUGGUGAAUGGGGAUAUCAAAUAUUUCAAAAUCCAACUAAAAGGGAAAGCUGGACACCGACCAGCGUGACCAAUAAGGUAAAUAAAAGGAGGCAACAACAUUAGGAUGGAAGCCAACAUGUACUUUUGGGGUUGCUACUGCCUAACAUAUUCAUGGUAAGCAAAUACAUAUUUGUCUAAAUCCAACUCCAAUGUUUCAAAGUGCACAAUAACUAUUUUUAGACGGAAGCAAUACUGAAACAUUUAUAAAGUGUAAUAGUACCAUAAUAUCUAUGAUCACUAUAACUAUUACUCUAUAAAAACAUAACAAGUUGUAUAAGAGCUGCUCAUUUCUUUGAACUACAAGUUGUAUCUGCAUCAGAAGGAAAUACAUCAUAUAAGUUCCAGUAUCAAAUAACGUUCUAGCGAUGCCUAGUAUGUAACUUAUCACGACUAAUGGUAUCAUCUGAAAAAUUAAAAGAUGGGUCAAGGGCAGCAGCAUACAUGUAAUGUACCAAAAUAAGUAACAAAAAAAUGGCACUUUUUUCAUGAGUUCUAUUAAUAUAAAGAAAUAUGGAGCAGAGAACUUCUAGUAAUAGAGUUUAAGCAUACUUAGAAACUGAUCAUCAGAAUGUAUGUGUGUUUUUGGACAUUGGGCACUGCACCUUGUUGGAAAAACAUAGUAUUUUCCUGGAAGAAAAAUCGCCAUGCUGCAACUUUACAUAGGUCUUUAAUGCAGAAAAGCAAGACAACAGAUUUAAUCAAGGAAUUGGCACAUCAAGUCCAAUACGUAUUUGUGUAAUAUUUUUCCUUUAGAAGUUCAGCCUGUAACAUUUACCCAAAGAACACACAAACAAAGGACUAAUUAAUUGUUGGAAGAAGAGUAGCAAUUCCCCUUUAACAUACAUAAAGAAAGUUCCCCUUUUAGUUUUUCUUACUAAAAGGAUAAACAUACACAAAGAAAGUUCCCCUUUAAAUCAAGAAAAGGUUUCGUUAAGAUAGUUAUGGAAACAUAUUCCCCUUUAGUCCAUGUUUUCGCUUUCGGACAAGUAAUCUACUCUUACGCCCAAGAAAGUUCACCUAUGCUAACAAAUUCCUUGUCCCCGUAGUAAAUUUAUUCAUGGAAUUCAGUUUGCUAAUGUUUUUUUGCACUAGUUUAGUUAGAGUUAUGUUUAUAAGCGGUGCAGCCAGGUGGCAAAUUAAUUGUCAAAAUUGCUAGAGCAAUUAAAGUUGUCAAUUGAAUACUAGUUUUGUUCUGUUUUGCACUUAAUAUAGCUGAUCACAGUUUAAAAUGCCGCUGCACUUAACAAUAGGUACAGAUCUUGAACCCACAAAAUCCAUAUAAAAUGGUUUGGAUUGUAGGUAAGCAUAAUGUUUGUAUUUUGCUAAUUAUUCAGAACAUUCAUACCAAGAUGCUAGUAAAAUAACUCAUUCAGUUAGCCAAAAGAUUCAGGCACAAUUUAGCACAGAUUUCUACAAGCAAAAGAACUCCAUCCAACUCAUGCCUUCAGUAGAAUAAAACUGCGCUCAGGAUCAGCAAGCAGCUAUGUAAAAAAAUGUAGAAAAUCUAAGAGAAAAAGGAAAUAUAAACCUUCCUGUCCUCAGCGGUUGUGCUCCGGUGGAAGGGGCCGGUUGAACCCGCCACGGCGGUUCAUGUACUGCCGUGGCUGCCGCUUGGUGACGACGUGCACCCCGCUAACAUCGGCGUCAGGGACGUGCUUCCCCUUGGUGGAGUCGAAGCCGACGGGGAUCCCCAUCAUCUUCAUCAUCUCCAGCUCCUCCACGUCCACGUCCCCUUCGCCCGCCGCGACCCCAUCCCCGGCGGCACUCUGAGCAGGACGAGGCCCGUGUCACCAACCACAUGUCGACGUCGUCGGGGUUGCCGCCGCCGCCACCACCCGCGUUGUCGUCGUCGUCGGGGAUGGAGCCGCCGCCGGAUCCGCGCGAGGGAGGGCCCCCUGCGCCGGAUCCGCGCCGCUCGGCCGUCGCUCGUCGCCCGCUCCCAUCUGGCGCCGCUCGCUCCCAGCCGCGAUCUGUCACACCCUAAAAAUUCAAAUUAUAUAAAUUGUUGUUUAAUUGGAAUUUCUAGAAUUUAUUUUAAAAAAAAGUCUUGAAAAGAAGAUAUAGUUCUAAUUAAUAAAAUCCAAUAUAAAAAGUGGCCAGAUAAAAUUUCAUUAAAUACUUUGCUUAAUUCUAUAAUUCCUAGAUUUUUCUGGGAUUUAUUUGAGCUAAGGAAGUAUUUUAAUAAAUGGAAUUGCAUUUAAGAAAUAGUUUAAAUUGAAAAAGGUUUUAAAAAGUCUUCUUUUGGCUUUGGGCCGAAAGUCGGCCCAAAACCUCUCUUCUCUCUCUCCUCGGCCCAGCCGGCCCAGUCCGCAGCCGCCCGCGCGCGCGCGCGUUCGGUCGCUGACAGGUGGGUCCCACCUGUCAGGCCCGUCGUCUUCCUCGGGCCGAAACCCUAGCGCGCCGCCGCCGAGCCGCCGCCGCUGUUUCCUUCCAAUCCGGCCGUUUCUUUCCUUCUCCGGUCGAAUCAAAAGAGGGGAAACAAUCUCCGUGAUCUCCUCUACCUUUUCUCCUUUGGAAUCAUCGGUUAAAUCGCUUUGGAAAGCUUUGGGAUCGAGUUCGAUUCGGAUCGGUUUUCUUUCUCUCCAAGCCGAGGUUUCCUUCGCCGUUGCCGUCGCCGUGGGCCUUCGCCGCCGCCUCCGAGCCCCUUUAAAAGGAUCCCCGGAGUCUUCUCUUUUCGCCGCCACCCUCGCCUUCACCUCUCGUCGCCGGAAGAGCUCUAGCGCCGUGUGCCCUAGCUUUGCCGUCGCCGCCGCCGCUCCAGCCGUGCGCCGCCGUCGUUUCAGCCGUCGCCGUCGCUCGGGAAGACCACCGUCGUGCUCGCCAAGUCGUCGCCGUCCUCGUCCGCCCCUUCGCCGUCGCCGGAGAUCACCGGAGCAGCUUCGCCGUCGUUGACCCGAAGGUUCCCGCCGCUUCCUCCUCGUCGCCGUCGCCGUCCGUUGGUCUUCCGCCGCCGUUUAGGUCACCGGUGAGUUCGCCGUGUUGUCCUCUACGUCUUGGUGCCCUCCGUUUGCGUCCUGGCGCCGCCGUUCGCCGGCGAGCGUGCGCCGCCCGAGCCGUCUCCUCUGCCGAGCCGCCGCCGCUGUCGGUGACGUCACCGCUGACGUCAUCAGGGUCGUCCGCCGUGAACCGCCGUGGACCCGAUCGAUCUCGGCCGUCCAUCUUGGAUCGGUUAGAUCUCGGCCGUCCGUUCGCGUGAACCGCCGCCCGUGCGCCCGGUCCACCAAACCCUAGCCCGCUGACGCAAUAAAUCCCCUUUUCCUUUUCAAAAAUAAUUCAUUAUUGCGUCAUAAUUCAAUUUAAACCGAUUUAAUCUUUAAAAAUUCAUAACUAAUUCAUCUUAGCUCCGAUUUAGUUGGUUCAAGUCUCUAAAUUUUUCUAAAAUUGAGAUUUACACUUUAAAAAUAUCCACAUGUACUGUUCAUGCUUGUUUAUGUGCUGUUUUGGUGAUUUUGCUCUUUUCUGCUUAGAUUCCGUCGUUUCCGGAGAGUCCGUUUUCGCAGAAGAAGAGUUUGAAGAGUUCCAAGGCCAGCAAGGCAAGUCACACAGAUCCUAAACACAAUCCUUUGAGCAUGUUGAUCCUAUAUUUAAAUUCUCUAUUUAUUUCAACUGUGCAUUUAUUUUCGAAUGUCACCGGGUGGUGUGAACCUGUUCCUUUGUUAUGGCCUGUUUGCAUUGAUUACUCUAUUCCUUGAUACCUUGGGUUAUUACAAUUUGACUAGUUGAGCUUUAUUUAUAUUGGUUCAACUAGAUAUUAGAUAUAAUUGCUUAGCCCUGCUUAGAAACAUUAGUACACAUUCGGGAUAACUAAUGACUCACUAAUAUUUCAUGAUGGCUUAUUGAUAGUUCACGAUGGUCAAUCGUGAUUAGUUAAUUAAUUAAUGUGCCAACUAAAACCUGGUAAUGGUGGGUUGUGAGCACAUGGUUUUGAUGGUCGUGCUCAUGACAAUUAAGGACCGGUUCACGAGUUUCGGUUGUGAAACAUUUAUCGUGCCAACCACAAGCCAGCAUGGGCAACGGCUUUAUCUUUUGUAUAGCAUGGUUCAUUGCGGGGCACCAGACUGAGAAGUGGCGGAGAUAAGCCCACGGGGGUCGCUGGGGAGUCCAUGCCUUGUUUAUAAGGGGGUGAUUAUGAUCCAGGAAGGUGCGCUGCAAUGGAUUGUGUUAUGCGAGGGGUAUUGUCACAACUCCUUUCCGAGAUACCGUGGUGGUAUUGAGGCACAUGGUGACAUGAUGUGGGGUUGUGUCUUGUGGGUACAGUGGUACACCUCUGGCCAGAGUAAAACUAUUCGAAUAGCCGUGCCCGCGGUUAUGGGCGGGUCUAACAAUGUCUUUCGUGAUUAGUCUCACACCUCUCAUCAUUAUAAAAGAUGCUUUAACUGGUAAUAAUUUGAUUAGCUCCUGGUUUGGAAUGGUAUAUUCCUGGUUUGGAGAUAGAACUGUGCAGCCGGGGUGGUUGUUCAGAAUGGUUGGGCCUAUACAACAGGGUAUGUUGUAUAGCGUUGGAUUAAUAUUGUUUAAUUACUUAACUGAUUUAUCAAAUUCUCAAAUGUUUGCUAAAUGCUGCUUUUGCAAAUGCAACCCUAUUAUGCCAUCCUUUGUUAUCCUGUGCACUUGCAUAUUUGCUGCGUGGCUUGCUGAGUAUGUCAUAUACUCACCUUGCAAUCAUUCAUCAGAGGAAGAGUUCUACAAUGAGGCUGAUGGUGUGGAGGAUUAGGUGUAGCGUUGGUCAAGCUGCCUAUGGAGUGGAGCCGUCUGCGCCGUUUAUUUAUUUUCCGCUGCUUAGAUCUUUAUUGAUUGAGAGGAACUAUCUACCUCUGUAAUGACAUUUUAUUCGCUUAUUAAUUAGAGUAAUAUUUGUACUCUAUUAUCAAUUUGUUAUUGUGUGCCUCGGUUGAUUCCUGGACGAGGGUUCACACACAUGUAAGCGUUUGGAAUUUUGGAUAGAAAUUCCGGGCGUGACAAGUUGGUAUCAGAGCAUCUUUGACCCUAGGUUAUGCCAAAUGGUUACCCAUAGAAGCCCUCUGAAAAAUAUUGGAAAAGUAGAACUGUUCUCCUCCCUUUCUCUUUUAAUUAAACCAAACUAAUGGCACAUGCACUUCAUAAUCUCUUUUAAUGGUUCUCAUUAAAAAUUUAUUCCAGUGUUAUUAGUACUGUACAUCUAUUACUGUACUAAUGGCUCAUUUACCAGCAAAAGUUUUACAAUACUGUUUUAUUUAAUCUUGCUGCAAUAAAAUAAAUUUAGCAUGUUGAUUUUAUAAUUUUCUUUCAUUUCUUUUGAAACCAGUUAUUCAAAAUUACAAAAUUUGUGACCUCGUUUCCAACUGUUUUAACUUAUCUCGCAAAGCUUGGUUUACUUUAUUUACUUACCUUUUUACUCUGAUUUUCUAAACUUUAUUCAAAUUAAUCCAAAAACUUGUGCUAUUAAUUGGAUAAAGGUCUUAACUCCCUCCUUUCACUUGUCUUUAGAUGCCGCGUUACAAGCCUGAGUACCUGUUUGGUGUUGAGGGUUUUGUCCAGGAGUUGCGUACGAUGUCCUUUGUCAUUGGAUUUGGGACUGCUCCUUUUUAUGCCCAGAUUCCUCAUGAUCGUCAUGAAGAGAAGUGCCGAGUCAAAGUCACCUUGAACAGUAAUAGUGAAGAUAUCCCCUCAGUGAUGUUUGAAGCUGGAGGAAGAAACUAUAUCCAUGCAUGUCAGGAGGUGGCAAGGAUCGCCAUAGGAGAGCUCCGUGAUCGCUACAGUGAUCAAUUGGCCGACACUGAGUAUCGCUACCAUCCUCGCCAACCACAGGGAAGUGACCGUGGCAGUUACCUUGAGACUGAAGGAAUUGAGAAUGAUGCUACCACAAGGCAUUUGGUUGAGAUGUUGUGGGCUAUGGAUGAAAGUCGUGCAGAGACUGUGUUAGCCGCUCAAGAUCGUGAAGACCGGAAUCGUGGUAAGAUUUGCAAGUUAGAAGACAAGGUGGAUCGUUUGGAGAAGGAAUUAGCCGCAUUGAAGGGAGAAGCACCGCCGCAGAAGGCCAGGAUUCGUCUUACCGCAAGGAAGAGAGCUCUAUUUGUCCCUCGCUAUCAACUGGCGCCAAAGGUUCGUGUGGUGGAGAAAGAAGUUGCUCCAGCUCAAGCGGAUCCUCCGGUCAUCAUCAUAAGUAGUGAUGAAGAAGAAGAAUCCUAGCGCAACAAUUCUAAGAUUGAGUGGGUAGCAACUCAAGAUGAUGAAGACGAGCCUUCAAUCGACCUCCGAUGCUUGGAAGAACUAGAGUGACUAGUUAAGUCGUUGUCUUAGAUCGUUGUGUUAGUUUGCUUGCUUAAAGUUUGCUUGUGUGUGUGGGUCUCGCAUGUGAUUUACAUCAGUGGUGGGAUGUAAUUGCAUGUGUUUGUUUGCUUUUGAGUGUUAGGAAGUUGGUGAGUUUAGUGGUGUGAGAGUCUUCAGUUUGUAAUAAUGAAACUCAGUUAAGAUCAAUAAAAGUUAAAGUAAUUCUCUGUCCUAAGUAGUUUCCCCGGUUUCUCUUCUUGUGCCCUGUCCAUGCCAGAUGGUGAACACUCGCAGCAAUGGGAAUGGUCCCAACAACCCCAAUAACAACAACAAUGGAGAGAAUCCCACUCUUGCUCAAGUUCUUGCUCAACAGACACAGCUUAUGAACAUGAUGAUGCAGCAAUUUCAGAAUCAGCAAAACCAAGGAAAUAAUCAUGUACCUCCACAGAAUAAGUUAGCAGAAUUUCUUCGUGUAAGGCCGCCUGUUUUCUCUAGUACCACUAAUCCUGUUGAAGCUAGUGAUUGGCUGCAUGCCAUAGAGAAGAAGUUGGAUUUACUUCAGUGUACUGAUCAGGAGAAGGUCUCAUUUGCAUCACAUCAGUUGCAUGGCCCUGCCUCUGAAUGGUGGGAUCACUUCCGCCUUAACAGGACUACUGCUGAACCUAUCACUUGGCUUGAAUUCACCGCUGCUUUUCGGAAGACGCAUAUACCAUCGGGAGUAGUGUCUCUCAAGAAGAAGGAGUUCAGGUCGCUUACUCAGGGAUCUCGCUCUGUUAUGGAGUAUCUGCACGAAUUCAAUCGUCUUGCUCGUUAUGCUCCGGAAGAUGUGCGCAAUGAUGAAGAGUGCCAGGAGAAGUUUUUGGGAGGACUUAAUGAUGAGCUUUCUUACCCACUCAUGGUUGGAGAUUAUCCUGAUUUCCAGAAAUUAGUGGAUAAGGCUAUUCGUCAGGAGGACAAGUACAAUCGCAUGGAGCAGAAGAAACGUCGGAUUGCUCAAUUCAAGACACAACAGGGAAAUAAUCAGAAGCCACGUCUUACUUUAGGACCCCAGUCUAUGCCACAGGGAGGUUCUUCGUCUGUUGUUCGUCCGCAACGUCAGUUCUUCAACAACAAUGCUGGCAACAACAUCCGUAAUCAAGCUCCACGUCCUGUUGCAGCUCCACCACAGCAACAACCUGCUAAGAGGGAGCAAGGCAACAAGCCCGUGGUGUGUUUCAACUGUGGAGAUCCAGGACAUUAUGCUGACAAGUGUCCGAAGCCCCGACGCGUGAAGGUUGUCCCUGCCCAGAAUAACUCUGCUGUACCAGCAUCCAAGGCUCGUGUAAAUCAUGUCGCUGCUGCAGAAGCUCAAGAUGCUCCAGAUGUGAUUUUGGGUACGUUCCUUGUUAACUCAGUUCCUGCAAUAGUACUUUUCGAUUCUGGUGCUACACAUUCAUUCCUAUCUAUGAGUUUUGCGGGAAAUCAUGGGAUGGAAGUAGAAGAUCUUAGACGUCCUUUGAUGGUUAGUACCCCAAGCAAUCAAGCACUCUCUUUGCAACGUAGCCCCUCUGUCAAAAUAGAAAUUCAAGGAGUACCAUUUCUGGCCAAUCUUAUCUUGUUAAAAUCCAAAGACCUUGAUGUCAUCCUAGGGAUGGACUGGUUAGCCAGACAUAAAGGUGUGAUAGACUGUGCCAACAGAAAAGUAACUCUCAACAGCUAUGAUGGUCGAGUUGUAACUGUUCAUGCAUUGUCAUCUGAGUCUUUAAGGUCAAGACUGAACCAAAUAACUUUGGAAGAGAUUCCUAUAGUCCGGGAGUAUCCUGAUGUGUUCCCAGAUGAUUUACCUGGUAUGCCGCCUAAAAGGGAUAUAGAGUUCAGAAUAGAUUUGGUACCUGGAACAACUCUGAUCCAUAAGAGACCUUAUCGAAUGGCAGCCAAUGAGUUGGCAGAAGUUAAGAGGCAAGUAGAUGAUUUGCUACAGAAAGGAUACAUCAGACCGAGUUCAUCACCAUGGGGAGCUCCGGUUAUUUUUGUGGAAAAGAAAGACCAUACUCAGAGAAUGUGUGUGGACUAUCGUGCACUAAACGAUGUGACUAUCAAGAAUAAGUAUCCACUACCCAGGAUUGAUGAUUUGUUUGAUCAGCUUAAAGGUGCCACUGUUUUCUCCAAGAUAGAUCUUCGAUCAGGGUAUCAUCAGUUGAGAAUCAAAGAGGAAGAUAUACCUAAGACAGCUUUUACCACUAGGUAUGGGUUGUUCGAAUGUACUGUUAUGUCUUUUGGACUUACCAAUGCCCCUGCUUUCUUCAUGAACUUGAUGAAUAAGGUGUUUAUGGAAUACCUAGACAAGUUCGUGGUGGUCUUUAUUGAUGAUAUUCUUAUAUACUCUCGAACCAAAGAAGAGCAUGAGGAACAUCUUCGCCUUGCAUUGGAGAAGCUACGAGAACAUCAACUGUAUGCUAAGUUUAGCAAGUGUGAAUUUUGGUUGUCCGAAGUGAAAUUCCUUGGUCACGUCAUCUCAGCCGGAGGAGUUGCCGUCGAUCCUAGUAACGUGGAAUCCGUAACCAAUUGGAAGCAACCAAAGACAGUUUCAGAGAUUCGCAGUUUCCUAGGCCUCGCAGGAUAUUAUCGGAGGUUUAUAGAGAAUUUUUCCAAGAUUGCUAAGCCCAUGACACGACUGCUUCAGAAAGAUGUGAAGUACAAGUGGUCGGAAGAAUGUGAGCAGAGUUUUCAAGAGUUGAAAAGUCGCUUAAUAUCAGCUCCUAUUUUGAUUUUGCCUGAUCCAAAGAAGGGUUUUCAAGUGUGUUUGCAUGGCGUCCCUAAGAAGAUAGUGUCUGAUCGAGGCAGUCAGUUUACUUCAAAUUUUUGGAAGAAACUUUAGGAAGAGAUGGGUUCUAAGCUGAACUUUAGCACUGCUUACCAUCCGCAGACAGACGGACAAACCGAAAGGGUGAAUCAGAUUUUGGAAGACAUGUUGAGAGCUUGUGCUUUAGAUUUCGGUGGAAGUUGGGAUAAGAAUCUACCUUAUGCAGAAUUUUCAUACAACAACAGUUAUCAAGCUAGUCUACAGAUGGCUCCUUACGAAGCACUGUAUGGUCGGAAGUGCCGCACUCCGCUUUUGUGGGAUCAAACGGGAGAACGUCAGGUUUUCGGGACGGAUAUCCUAAGGGAAGCAGAAGAAAAGGUAAAGGUCAUUCAAGAAAGAUUGCGAGUGGCUCAGUCUCGACAUAAGAGUUAUGCCGACAAUCGCCGUAGAGAUUUGAGUUUUGAAGAAGGAGACUAUGUGUAUCUUCGUGUCACGCCUCUUCGAGGGGUUCAUCGUUUUCACACCAAAGGAAAAUUGGCACCGCGUUUUGUGGGACCUUAUAAGAUUGCCAGUAGAAGAGGAGAGGUUGCUUAUCAGUUAGAAUUACCUCAAUCUUUGGCAGGAGUCCAUAAUGUGUUCCAUGUGUCGCAAUUGAAAAAGUGUUUAAGGGUACCUACCGAAGAAGCUAAUAUUGAGCAGAUAGAAGUCCAAGAGGAUUUGACUUAUGUUGAGAAACCAAUCCGUAUACUGGAAACAAAUGAGAGAAGAACCAGGAAUCGAGUUAUCCGUUUCUGCAAAGUUCAAUGGAGUAAUCACUCGGAAGAAGAAUCAACUUGGGAACGAGAAGAUGAAUUGAAGUCAGCUCAUCCGCACCUGUUUGCCAGUUCUUCCGAAUCUCGAGGACGAGAUUCUGUUUAAGGGGGGUAGGUUUGUCACACCCUAAAAAUUCAAAUUAUAUAAAUUGUUGUUUAAUUGGAAUUUCUAGAAUUUAUUUUAAAAAAAAGUCUUGAAAAGAAGAUAUAGUUCUAAUUAAUAAAAUCCAAUAUAAAAAGUGGCCAGAUAAAAUUUCAUUAAAUACUUUGCUUAAUUCUAUAAUUCCUAGAUUUUUCUGGGAUUUAUUUGAGCUAAGGAAGUAUUUUAAUAAAUGGAAUUGCAUUUAAGAAAUAAUUUAAAUUGAAAAAGGUUUUAAAAAGUCUUCUUUUGGCUUUGGGCCGAAAGUCGGCCCAAAACCUCUCUUCUCUCUCUCCUCGGCCCAGCCGGCCCAGUCCGCAGCCGCCCGCGCGCGCGCGCGUUCGGUCGCUGACAGGUGGGUCCCACCUGUCAGGCCCGUCGUCUUCCUCGGGCCGAAACCCUAGCGCGCCGCCGCCGAGCCACCGCCGCUGUUUCCUUCCAAUCCGGCCGUUUCUUUCCUUCUCCGGUCGAAUCAAAAGAGGGGAAACAAUCUCCGUGAUCUCCUCUACCUUUUCUCCUUUGGAAUCAUCGGUUAAAUCGCUUUGGAAAGCUUUGGGAUCGAGUUCGAUUCGGAUCGGUUUUCUUUCUCUCCAAGCCGAGGUUUCCUUCGCCGUUGCCGUCGCCGUGGGCCUUCGCCGCCGCCUCCGAGCCCCUUUAAAAGGAUCCCCGGAGUCUUCUCUUUUCGCCGCCACCCUCGCCUUCACCUCUCGUCGCCGGAAGAGCUCUAGCGCCGUGUGCCCUAGCUUUGCCGUCACCGCCGCCGCUCCAGCCGUGCGCCGCCGUCGUUUCAGCCGUCGCCGUCGCUCGGGAAGACCACCGUCGUGCUCGCCAAGUCGUCGCCGUCCUCGUCCGCCCCUUCGCCGUCGCCGGAGAUCACCGGAGCAGCUUCGCCGUCGUUGACCCGAAGGUUCCCGCCGCUUCCUCCUCGUCGCCGUCGCCGUCCGUUGGUCUUCCGCCGCCGUUUAGGUCACCGGUGAGUUCGCCGUGUUGUCCUCUACGUCUUGGUGCCCUCCGUUUGCGUCCUGGCGCCGCCGUUCGCCGGCGAGCGUGCGCCGCCCGAGCCGUCUCCUCUGCCGAGCCGCCGCCGCUGUCGGUGACGUCACCGCUGACGUCAUCAGGGUCGUCCGCCGUGAACCGCCGUGGACCCGAUCGAUCUCGGCCGUCCAUCUUGGAUCGGUUAGAUCUCGGCCGUCCGUUCGCGUGAACCGCCGCCCGUGCGCCCGGUCCACCAAACCCUAGCCCGCUGACGCAAUAAAUCCCCUUUUCCUUUUCAAAAAUAAUUCAUUAUUGCGUCAUAAUUCAAUUUAAACCGAUUUAAGUGUUUUAAUCCGAUUUAAUCUUUAAAAAUUCAUAACUAAUUCAUCUUAGCUCCGAUUUAGUUGGUUCAAGUCUCUAAAUUUUUCUAAAAUUGAGAUUUACACUUUAAAAAUAUCCACAUGUACUGUUCAUGCUUGUUUAUGUGCUGUUUUGGUGAUUUUGCUCUUUUCUGCUUAGAUUCCGUCGUUUCCGGAGAGUCCGUUUUCGCAGAAGAAGAGUUUGAAGAGUUCCAAGGCCAGCAAGGCAAGUCACACAGAUCCUAAACACAAUCCUUUGAGCAUGUUGAUCCUAUAUUUAAAUUCUCUAUUUAUUUCAACUGUGCAUUUAUUUUCGAAUGUCACCGGGUGGUGUGAACCUGUUCCUUUGUUAUGGCCUGUUUGCAUUGAUUACUCUAUUCCUUGAUACCUUGGGUUAUUACAAUUUGACUAGUUGAGCUUUAUUUAUAUUGGUUCAACUAGAUAUUAGAUAUAAUUGCUUAGCCCUGCUUAGAAACAUUAGUACACAUUCGGGAUAACUAAUGACUCACUAAUAUUUCAUGAUGGCUUAUUGAUAGUUCACGAUGGUCAAUCGUGAUUAGUUAAUUAAUUAAUGUGCCAACUAAAACCUGGUAAUGGUGGGUUGUGAGCACAUGGUUUUGAUGGUCGUGCUCAUGACAAUUAAGGACCGGUUCACGAGUUUCGGUUGUGAAACAUUUAUCGUGCCAACCACAAGCCAGCAUGGGCAACGGAUUUAUCUUUUGUAUAGCAUGGUUCAUUGCGGGGCACCAGACUGAGAAGUGGCGGAGAUAAGCCCACGGGGGUCGCUGGGGAGUCCAUGCCUUGUUUAUAAGGGGGUGAUUAUGAUCCAGGAAGGUGCGCUGCAAUGGAUUGUGUUAUGCGAGGGGUAUUGUCACAACUCCUUUCCGAGAUACCGUGGUGGUAUUGAGGCACAUGGUGACAUGAUGUGGGGUUGUGUCUUGUGGGUACAGUGGUACACCUCUGGCCAGAGUAAAACUAUUCGAAUAGCCGUGCCCGCGGUUAUGGGCGGGUCUAACAAUGUCUUUCGUGAUUAGUCUCACACCUCUGAUCAUUAUAAAAGAUGCUUUAACUGGUAAUAAUUUGAUUAGCUCCUGGUUUGGAAUGGUAUAUUCCUGGUUUGGAGAUAGAACUGUGCAGCCGGGGUGGUUGUUCAGAAUGGUUGGGCCUAUACAACAGGGUAUGUUGUAUAGCGUUGGAUUAAUAUUGUUUAAUUACUUAACUGAUUUAUCAAAUUCUCAAAUGUUUGCUAAAUGCUGCUUUUGCAAAUGCAACCCUAUUAUGCCAUCCUUUGUUAUCCUGUGCACUUGCAUAUUUGCUGCGUGGCUUGCUGAGUAUGUCAUAUACUCACCUUGCAAUCAUUCAUCAGAGGAAGAGUUCUACAAUGAGGCUGAUGGUGUGGAGGAUUAGGUGUAGCCUUGGUCAAGCUGCCUGUGGAGUGGAGCCGUCUGCGCCGUUUAUUUAUUUUCCGCUGCUUAGAUCUUUAUUGAUUGAGAGGAACUAUCUACCUCUGUAAUGACAUUUUAUUCGCUUAUUAAUUAGAGUAAUAUUUGUACUCUAUUAUCAAUUUGUUAUUGUGUGCCUCGGUUGAUUCCUGGACGAGGGUUCACACACAUGUAAGCGUUUGGAAUUUUGGAUAGAAAUUCCGGGCGUGACACGAUCUGCCGCCACCCUCGCCUGGCCGCCACGGUGCCGCUGAGCCCCCCGGCCGCCGUCGCUUGCCGCCGCUUGCUCUCGGCCACCGAGCCGCCCGACCAUUGCCCGACUGAGAGGAGAGAAAGGGAGAGAUUGAGAGGAGAGGAAAUGAAAAAAGAGAGGGAGUUAAUAUCUGUUGGGAGAGAGAGAGGAGGGGUGGUGAAAAAAAUUUGAAGUAAGGAGGAGCGAAAGAGAAAGAGGAGGAAAAUAAUUAUUAAAAAUAUUAAUUUGAUAAUAAAUGAACUUCGAGUUGAAUUUUAAGAUACUAAAUGAACUUACGUGAAAAAUUUCUUAAAAACAAAGUUAUAUAAAUCAUUGAGAUCUAUAACUUUUCUUUUGGACAUUUCUCCAUCCGAGUUUGAUUGAACUAUAUAAAAUUUGAAUUUUAAAAUAUAAGAAAUUCAAAUAUUUUUUCAGGUAGUAAAUGAAUUCAAAUGAAAAAGUCAUCAACAACAAAGUUGUAUAGCUUAUCAAGAUCUACAACUUUUGUAUUGGUCAAUUUUCUAUAUGAUUUUGUUUGAACAGUUUGAAUUUGAAUUUCAAAUUAUGACAACUUCAAAACAAAAUAUGACUUUGUUUUGGUCAUUUCUUUAUUUUACAUAUCUCUAUUAUAGUUUAUAACUAUAUAAGAGAUACGUAUAUUUUGUGAACAAUGUUAUAAAUCGCUUCGUCAGAUGAAGAGAUGACACAAAUAAAAAUUAUAGAUUUUGAUGAGAUAUACGACUUUGUUAUUGAUGACUUUUUCAGUUGAAAUCAUUUAAUAUUUGAAAAUGUUGUUUGAAGUUGCCAUAAUUUGAAAUUCAAAUUCAAAUUAUUGAAACAAAGUCUUAUAGCAAAAUGACCAAAACAAAACUUGUUGAUAUUGAUGAGUUAUACAACUUUGUUGUCGAUAACUUUUUCAAUUGAAAUUAUUUAGUAUUUAAAAAUGUUAUUUAAAGUUUUCAUAAUUUGAAAUUCAAAUUUUAUAUAGGUCAAUCAAACUCAGAUGGAGAAAUAACCAAAAUAAAAUAGGUAGAUCUCAAUCAGUUAUACAACUUUGUUUUUGACAACUUUUUCACACAAGUUCAUUUAGUAUGAUAAAACUCGAUUCUAAGUUUUAAUAUUUUGAAAUUAAUUGAAAGGAUGGAGGCAAAAUAGACUUCUCGGUGAGGGAAGAGCAAAAGGGCUGGCCCAUAACAGGCCUUGUUUCAUACCAUCUAUGUUUAACCUUUUUUUUUCUUUUAUUUUUUUUACCAUUGUGAAGUAACACACAAAAAUCGAGAUCUACCAAUUUUGUUUUGGUUAUUUGUCCAUCUGAGUUUGAUUAGCCUAUAUAAUAUUUGAAUUUCAAAUUAUGACAACUUCGAACAACAUUUUCAAAAACUACAUGAUUUCAACUCAAAUGGUCAUCAACAACAAAGUUGUUUAAAUCAUCAAUAUCUACAACUUUUAUUUUGAUCAUUUUUCUAUACGACUCUGUUUCAAUAAUUUGAAUUUCAAUUUCAAAUUAUGACAACUUCAAACAACAUUUUCGAAUACUAAAUAAUUUCAACUAAAAAAGUCAUCAACAACAAAGUUGUAUAAAUCAUCAAUAUCUACAACUUUUGUUUUGGUCCUUUCGCUAUAUGAUUCUAUUUCAAUAAUUUUAAUUCAAAUUUCAAAUUAUGACAACUUCAAACAACAUUUUCUAAUACUAAAUGAUUUCAACUGAAAAAGUCAUCAACAACAAAGUUGUAUAAAUCAUCAUAUCCACAACUUUUGUUUUGGUCAUUUUGCUAUAGGACUCUAUUUUAAUAAUUUGAAUUUGAAUUUCAAAUUAUGACAACUUCAGAGAACAUUUUCAAAUACUAAAUGAUUUCAACUGAAAAAGUCAUCAACAUCAAAGUUGUAUAAAUCAUCAAUAUAUAUAACUUUUAUUUUGGUCAUUUCUUCAUCCGAUAAAGUGAUAGCAACAUUGUUCACAAAAUUUACAUAUCUCUUAUAUCGUUUUGAUGUAUUUAAUAUUAUAUUUGUAAAUUGCGACGAAAUUGCUAUAACGUCACAGGUUUUUGGCCGGUUUAUGACGAAAUCGAUAAAAUGUCAUGGUAUUAUGGGCCUUGUAUCCAUUGUUGCAUAUCCGUGACGAUCUCUGAAAAACAUCAUGAAAAUUUCGUCAAAUUUCGUCACAGAUUAAAUAGAUUCUUAUAGUAUUUGGGACCCUACAGUGAGGUUCCAGAAAUAAAAAAAGAGUGAUUCAAGAGAGUCAUCUAAGGAAUAUAGUUAGUUUGUGAAAAUAUAUGAAAAACCCAAGUGAGUAUCAGGGGAAAAGGAACGACUUGAGUCACGACCGUUUCAUUCAUCAAUCGCCCAAGAUUGUAAGAUACACACCGCAAAGUUCACAGGUACAUAUAUGGCUUAGAAUAGAUUGUAUACAUGUAUAUACCUUGAAGAAUUUUAUUCCACAAUAAUCCUUAAUGGGACGAGUAAAGAGCUAAGUGUCGGGGUUUUUUGACGGUUAUUAAUUUCCAAAUUUACGCCGUCAAUACCUGCAUAAAUAUAAAAAGAUAAAACAUCCAACAUAGUGGUAGGGUUUAAUUCUAACGAUUCCUACAGUAUUGGUGUAUAUUUGAAUGCAGGUAAUAAACCAUCAAAGUUGAGGCGAAAUAUACAUAAAGAAGGAGGAGAAUCAAACUCAUAUCCAAGCCUAUGGAGUCUUGGUCCACAAACCUAACAAAACACCUACAAUUGGGCCCAUUCACCAUACAAGCGAACGGAGAGACUCCCUGCCAGAUCCCAGGAGGAAGUGCUGGGCCAGGGAGGCUGCCCAGGGUUCGGCCAAACAAUGCCUGGCCCAGCCCAGCCACAACCGCCUUCAGGCCAUCCCCAAUACAUGUCAAUCUCUACUACCAUAUUGAAUAACUCACGCGACGCGCGGACACUUGUUCCAGUAAUCCAUGCCAAGUCCAUGUAUUGUUUGUCUUCUACAACCAGAUGCAACGAAUUUGAAGAGCCCAACCUAUAUAUAUACUCUAAAUUAAGAACUCCUAAGCUACCAUAAGCGUGGGGUCGGCACACUCUAUUCCAAUCGACCAAACAAUUGCUACCAUUGGCCUUCUCUUGCUCUGACCGUGAGAAGCCGCUCCUCUUGUCUAUAGGUUUGGUCACCUAUUUUAGAAGGUGAUAAAUCGGUAUAGUUGAGAGCACUUCUUUCACCGUAACUAAGCGACUGGCCCUGUUUAUGAGUGAGGUCUUCCACAAAGAGAGUAUGUCAUCAGCAACUGUGUCAAUAAGGGAUAGAAAGUCCGCUUUAGAAGGCUUCUCUACUGUACCACUUUUGCAAGGGAAGUCCUUCACCUUACAAGGCAGCGAGUUAACAAUUACUUGCAGAUCUUCAUCAAAACAUCUAAUAGGAAUGACAAACCUCUUUUGCAUAUUUGUUAACAGCCCCAAAGCAAGACCGAAGAUAUUGCGUUUGACAAUUUCCUCAAUUUUCAGCUGCAAUAGUCUUUUAAUGAGGAUUUUAAAAUUCAUCAUCUUUCCUCACAUGAAGUUCUGGCCUGUUUCUUUUUCUUUUUACUGCAAAGCCCAGCCCCCCACACCAACAUCUCUCAUAGUAGUUUCUGCUCAUCUUUCACGUAGCUCCAAUGGCAGUCACAUCCCUGCCAUCAUCUUGUUCUAGUGUUGCUCGGAGUCAGGACGAAGUCAGUCGGGCUGAACAUACAUCGACCCCAUCCCUAGUUUUGAGGUUAUAGCAAAAUACCUACCAGCUGCCAAGCACGAUUGAGAAGCGCUGAACAAGAGUUACCCAAACAAGCAGUACAAAAAACAAUUAAAUAAUGUCUGUAUAUACUGUUCUUCAAGGUAAUAAGCAUCAGUACAUCCAUCAACAUGGCUUGUACUGAGCAACCUUAGGAGUAUAUCUAAAUACAGGUGUAAGUUCAUUGCUGGUUUGUAAGUGUAAUAGUUUUAUAAUAAUGCUCCCAAGGAGGCCUUAGGCAUACAGUAAUAAACAAGAGGUUGGAUCUGUAAGUUCUCAUGGUGAAUAUAAAUAUGGUUACCUGGUACUGGUAAUUAUUGAGCUCAUUGUGUUGUGGCCAAGAAAACUUUGGAAUAUUUUGGAUGGUCCUCAAGCAUAUAGAAUAGUAAGUCAUUAUACAUUAUUAACUGUGUUUUUAAUCUUCUGUUCCUGAGGUCAAUUGAUAAUAAUUAAACAUUCAUUGUGUUUUGGUCACGUAUCCUUUUAAUUAAGGAAGGAAAAUUAUUUAUUUUCUUCAUCAUGUAUAUGUUCAUAAAACCUGUAUUGGACUAUCUAGCUCAAUUGAUCAUGUAUAUUCAGUGCUACCUCAGUUCCGAUAUAUGUAGCAUGCAUUAUAUAACUUUAACAAAAGGGAUCCAUCCCGAUGACAAGAUUUAUUUCUUAGGCAAUGAUAUCAUCACUCUACAUAUGCUCACAUCCUCAAGAAAAGAUAAUAUAUGAUGGCAGAUCGUGAUUAUCAUAGCUUAUUGGAAAUACAACGUGACAGAAAUCAAGAGAGAUCGAUGGCACACUGGAUUGGAUAUCAUGAUAUCCAUUUUAUUUAUGACUACUCCAGGGUGGCAUAGCCUACCAUGGGCUUCCAUGUGUGAAGCCCCUUAUGCUUGCAUGUUGCACUUGCUUAGGAAACAACGGUGACAGUCUCAGCUUCCUUGGUACAGAAGCGGCGGCAUGCUUCGUUGCAACGAUCGACGGCAUGAUUGGCUUCUUCAUUGCCAAAAACUGAAAAGGAAAACAAACGUUUCAAUCUAUACAUUAGCUAUAUAGAACAAAGAAUAUUUAUUUUUUUGGUUGCAAAUCAAUGGUAAUUUAGCUUGAUGUUUUUUCUCGCUUACGAGUGCUCAUGGUGCUGCACACAGACGAAGCACAUCCCAGCUUGCAGAAGUCAACUACCUCCGAUUCCUCUGCAAAAUCAUGUAUAUGCAUGAAUAAAUGCUUGUACCAAUAGAUAUUACAAAAUUAAUAGCCCAAAAGUUUACACAAAGGGAGUUAAUAUGUUUUAAUUUGCCUAGGUUAGCUGGGGUGAAGGGCGUGGUGAAUGCAAGAUAGAAAUAUAGACAAGGAGAGCUAAUGUUUCUAAUUUACCAGCUUCUGGGUGAAGGGUAUGGUGAACGUAAGGAGGCUUGCAGUUCCCAUCAACAAUUUUGCAGCCAGAAAGUUUAGCACAGGUGUCUCUUGAGCCACCCGCGAAACGGCAUGAGUUAUAGACGUUUCUUGCUGUGGUGGAUGGGCAACAACUCUUUGCUUCCACCUGGAUCUUCUCUUGUUGCAGGACUAAGCCUAGCACUAGCAUACACAUGAUCAAACUCUUCACUCCUUCCAUGCUUUCUAGCUUGUUUUCCAAUGAGAUUUAGUCGCGGAUCAACAAACUAAAGCAAGAGGGCUGAAAGGCUACUGCUUUCUUGGUCUUGUGGUUGUGCAUCUGAUUGGAGAGUGCGACACGUCUAUUUAUAGCUGAAGCCAACAUCAUGCCCAAGCUGCACCCGCAUGAUAGAGAUGAUUAUGUUAUUUUAAUUCACAAUAGUUAUAUUGGUGAUAUGUUCUCUGUAUUUGUUUGUUUAGAGACCAAGCUACUUUAUUGCAUGACACAUGUAUAUGGAUGGCUUGGUACAUGCUUACCUGCUAUCAUCCAGCGAAAUAUAGAAGACCGAGUGUGUACUGUGUUCUGUAGACUGCAACUGAUCCCAUUUCAUGCAAAACUUUUGCUGCCCAUGUGGUGAACGUGAUGAGAAAUAGAAGCUUAAUCACAUGGCAUCUUCUGCCUUACUAGCAUCUAUAGCUAGUAGUACUGGCCUCGUAGCUAGGUGGCUGUUAAAAAUUUUACUAAAAAAAAUGUCGCUACUACACAUUAGGCUAACCUAUGGGUAUAGCUGUUUACAACACCCAAAUUUUAGAAUCGCAUGUAUCCAAUCGAUAAUAGUACUGCUGCCAGUUAAUGUUGUAUACUAGCAGUGAUUAUUUCACACACUAGCAAAUUUAAGUCGAUGGCCACUUGACAGCAACAACACACGUGGAGGACAUAUCAAAAGAAAACGGCACUAAGCUGUUGUGAAAAAAGAAACAUAUACAUCAGCACAAAUCUAACGAUACCGAUGGAGUUCAUCAUCACUUUCUGUCACUGUAGCUAUGUCCUUACCAACAUAUAUUAUUGCCUUCUCUUGCCUCCUCUCUCUAGAUAUGUGUAGAAUCAUGUGAUGAUUUAAUCGUGGUGAUGAACAAUUGUCAAAGGUGAGUGCUUUGUGAAAAUACAGUGAAUAGUGUUUUCGGUAGUCGGCUCUUGGUGGCUGGUCAGACCAGGCGGGGACUGCCGGUCAGACCAGUGGUGUUGGACCGGUCUAACCGGGUUGCCCAACGGUCAGAUUAGCAGACUCCAGGUAGGAGUCAGUUUCGGAUUGUUUUCAUGGGAUUUCUACAGUGCUUUAUGGAUAUGACUUCUAGAUGGUUUCUAUUCGUAUAUGAUGCUAUUGUGUGAUGGUCUGAGUGAAGUUAGUGUGAACUUGCUGCCUCCACGCCACCGGAUCUGGCGGAGGCGAGGUCCAACCCGCCACCACCGCUACACCUCUUCUCUCGCUCGAUCUGGCGGGGGGAGGGGGGGUCCGGGCCGCCGCCUCCAUGUCGUCCGCCGCCGCUGCACCUCCCCUCCCCCCGAUCUAGUUGACGGGAGGGCGUCGCUACCUCUCCUGCCGCUGCCGCAGAGAGAGAGAGAGACACAGAGAGAGAGGAGAAGCGUUGCUACCUCUCCCACCGCUGCCGCAGAGAGAGAGGAGAAGCCGAGAGAAGGGCUCGUCCUUAUCUCCUGCCGGUGUGGGUGUGGGCCCCAUCUGGAGGAAAAAUAUCUCCCCUGGCUGGUUCGGCUCGAUUUUAUCGGUUUCGGUUUUUUUAAAAACCGGCACUUAUAAUUAAUUAUAGGUGAACCGACACCUAAAAUAUAGGUGCCGGUUUUUCUGUAAAACUGACACCUAUCUUCGUUUAAAGGUGUUAGUUUUAUUUUUUUUUUCAUUUUAUGAAGGUGGGAAAAGCACUAUAGGUGCCGGUUUAAUCACUUCCGUUACCUAUAGUGGCAACACCUAUUUGAUAUUUUGUAUGAGUGAUUAUGAGUAUUGUUAAGUCAGAUUUGACACCACAUAUGCUUUAAUUUUUUUUAAUAAAACCACUCGGCUGGUUGAUUUAUUUGCUCUUUGACUAUAUGUUUAGUUUGUUCAUCUAAUCACAUAGUUGGGGUUACACCUAAUUAGCUGCAUCUAGUCGAUGCCACUGACGCCCUCCUUCCCUCCAACUAGAUCAAGGACAGGGAGGGAAAGGGAGUGCAGCCGCCGCCAGCUUCUGCCCCUUUGGCCAGAUUAGGAAGAGAGUGGAGGGGCUGUGGUGGAAAGGGAAGUGGAAAAGGUGAGGGAGAGAGCUGAGAUGGGUGAGGGGCUGAGAGGUCGAGCAGUUAGGGUGUGGGAGGGGCAAGGUGCGCUCGUUGGUUGUGAUCCAAUUUUUUUAAGCCGCUCCUAUAUUUACUGGCGAACGUCUUAAGUCCUCGCCUGCAAAAAAAUGUUAAAUUACUGGCAAGGUCUAAAGAGGACCACAUGCGAAAAUUACUGGCAAGGACUUGAGAAGCCAGAAUACAGUGUAGCUCAUGAGCUGGUCAGUGAUGACCAGAGUUGAGGUAGAGGAUAAUUAUGUAGACCCCUUCACAAACUAAUUGCUGGAAUAGACCCUUUUUGGCAUCAACCUCAUUGGCGCCCUUCCUCUCUUGCAGCACCAGCAUCAUUACCACUAUCCGAAUAGGACUUAGUCACGUGCGCCCUCCCUCCUUCCCCCCAGUCCGUGCCCGAAUAGGAGCAGUUCUCCCUUCCCUCUCCUCUCCUCCUCAAUUCCAGUCGAUUUGGACCUAUUUUUCUCGGAAUUUCUCAUGGAAGUUGAAGAGCAGCAUAUACUACACCAUUCCUCUUUUUUUUCGUUUAAUUGGUCAAAUAUUUAGAGAUCAGAGAGUAACCCUAAAAACUUCGUUUUUCCCCCAAAUUUUAGGCCUCCCAAUGUGGGAUUUUAGGCUUGUAUUGGUUCUUGUAUGUAACUUGCUUCAAGCUCUUAGAAUUUUUCAGAUAUAUAGGUGUUAUUCAAAAUUUUAAGUUGAAAAAUGAAUGCAUGAAUAUAUGCAUAAAUUAAUUUAUAGGCAUUCAAUUGAAUGUAUGUGUUAGUUUAUUGGUGUGUAUUGAUAAUAGAUUUGAGCCAUGGAUUUUUCAUUUUCAUAGGUAUUUAUUAUAUGAAUGAUAGACUAAUUUUGUGGGAUGAUACACUAAUGGUGUACAAACCAUACAAUUAGGUUCGUCAGUAUAUCAGAGUCGGUCGGCACGUGAUAGGUCAAUGAUCGAAUGGUACGUAGAGUGAUCUCGCUGCAUGUGAUUGUGAUCAGAUAAGUACUAUCAGCUGAGUGAUGUAAAGAAUAGACUAAUUAAAUUAUAUUAUAAAAAUAUCUAAGUGCUAGCUCUCUGAUCGAUGAUAAUAUAAUAUGUGUAUGCAUAUCUCAUGCAUAUAUAUUAUCACCUAUACAAAUUUGCUUCCUUGGAUUAUGUAGAUGGAUAUAAUGCAGGGACAUGCAGGCAUGCGGACCAUGCUUAUUGCACUAGCUUGUACAGUUGCACCUAUACCUAUUGUCAGAACAAACAUGGUGAAGUGAGGUCUAGCUAGCAAGGAAAUAGCAACUAAUAGUUCUGCAUUGUACUAGUCGUUGUAGCCCAUGUAACGACUGCUGCCCCACUCUUUGGUUUUACCCCGAUUUAUGUUAACAAAAUUUUAAAAUACUUAAUGUGAAAUUUUUUUAUAUAGAAGUUGUUUAAAAAUAUUAGAUAAAUCUAUUUCUAUCUUUGUAAUAAUUGUAACUCAAUUAAUCAUGCUAGCCGUUUGGAAAUAUCUACGCACUUUAACCUUUUUUUUGUGUGUGUGUUUUAGAAUUGUAAAGUUACAUAUAAAUUAUUCGAGCCCAAUUUCAUACUUGCACUAAACCCCUAAAAAACCGUAAACAUAUAUAUUUCCUAUAAAAGACAUAAUAUGAUCCUCGGCGCCCCAAGGUGUCUUGGUUGGCUCCGUCAAUGCACUAACUCGACGAAACCAAGAUGGCACCUAGAGCACCUCAUAUUCUGUGAUGAUUUAAUAACCUAGGAACUAAAUCCAUAUAUAAAUGAAUAAUUAUAAAAAAAAAUUACAUAUCUACCACAUAUCCUAAGUCCCAAAAAUCACAAAAUUGACAUAUAAAAAAAUUGCAUCUACAUUUUUUAAUAAAAAUUGACAUCGCACAAAAUUGACAAAUUGUCAUUUCACAAAUUUCACAAAUAUCACCCUAAGUCCCAAAUUUCACAUAUCACAAAUUGCACAUAUCACAAAUUUUCACAAAAAACCUAAAACACGCUUACCGCUAGCGGCUUGGGGUGGAGGUGGCCGGCGGCGGAUUUUGGGGAAGCCGGCAGCUUGGGAAGGAGGUGGCCGGCGGCAGAGGUCGGUAAGGCCAGCGGCUUGGGGAGGAGGUCGGCGGCGGCAAAGGUUGGGGAGGCUGGUUGUUUCGGGAGGACGACGGCCGUGGCGGAGGUCGGGGAGGCCGGCGUGAGGGCGAGGAGGAGAGGAGGCAGCAGCGGCCUAGAUCUUGAUGGCGAGAGGAGGAGAGGAGUAGAGGAGGAGGCAUCGGUGGUGGCCGGAGAGGACGUCGCCAGCAUGAAGGGCGAGGACGAGAGGAGCCGGCGGCAGAGGUGGAGGCUGGUGAGGCGAGGAGGCCACCGGCGGCGUUUGGGGCUCAGCGAGGAGGCGGCGGCGGCGGCGGCAAACAACUGGGCAGCGUCGGUGUUAAUUUCGCCCGCCCGCCCGGUGCUUAUGUAACCAUAUUAUCGCCUGCGGAUAAUCGAUAUUCCCAUGCGGGCAGUUUAAGUAGCCCGCACGGGAUGAUAUUAUUUCGUGCGGGCGGCUUAAGCCACCCGCACGCAAAAAUAAAUGCAGAUAAAUUAAUAAAUCCCAUCUAAAUAUAGUUAAUUAAUCAAUAUAAUUAUUCAACAACAAAUUAAAUAUAGUUAUAGUUAAUUAAACCCAUAAAUUAUUUAACCAUAAUUCUUUAACUAUAACUAAAUAGGGUUAUAGUUAAUAAACCACAACUUAAUUAAUUAAUCAAUAUAAUUAUUCAUCCAUAUGAUUAAUGCCAAUAAAUUAUUCAACCAUAGAAAUAUAAUUAUUUAACCACAAAUGAAUUUCAAUCGCAUCUAAUUAAAUCGCUUGUAUAUUGAUCAAACCACAUCUUAAUUAUUCAACCAUAUAAAUUGAGAACGACAUAUAGUACAGCUAAACAUGGAACCAUAAGUUUUAUACAUUAAUCGUUUGAAGGGGCUAUAAGUUGGAUACAUUAAUCGUUUUCAAAACAGGUUGUACUCAACAACAUAUAUAUAUAUAUAUAUAUAUAUAUAUAUAUAUAUAUAUAUACACACACACACACACACUAAUGUUUCACAAUUUUCGCAGCACCAUCCUUCCGCACACGUCAAGGGUUGUCUCAAUUCGCUUGAUCUGGUUAGGAAUAUCUUUGAAUAAUGGGACGUCGUCAUAUUGGUUGUAAUCUGACACGUCUUUAGUGUUAUCGAUGCCAAUAAUGUGUUGCUUUCCCACUACAGUAAUGUCCAUCCGCUCAUUGGAUGGGUCCUUCACGUAGAAAACCUGUCCAACAUAUUCAGCGAGAACGCAUGGAUCAUCCUUGUGGCUUUGUUUACUACGUUCCACAACCGUAAGGCCGUAGUAAUCGAUGGAUACGCCUGUUGUGUCUUUGACUCACUGGCAUCAUAGCACCGGGACCUGGAUGUUAAUGCCAUAGUCAAGCUCCCAAAUGUCUUGUAUUAUCCAUAGUAUGACUUCUUCUCGCCUAUUGCGUCCAACGCUUCCACACGAACUCCACUAUUAUGAGCUGCGCUUUUCUUGUUCUUGCCUAUCGUGUAAAACGUAUAUCCGCCGAUGUCGUACCAUUGCCAUGAGUUCACGAGGCUACUUGGGCCAGUUGCCAACCUGUGCAAGCGAUUCACCGAACGACAUGUUUUUUCCUUCAACCAUUCAGGAAAUUUGCGCUUCUGUUCCUUUGAGAUCCAAGUCGCCGGUCUUCUAGGGUUGCAUGCUCUUAUCUCGUUCAUGUGUCCCUCAAUGUAUGGCUCGAGGAUGGCUAGUUGUUGCGGCACGCUACUAAAAGCUUCCGCUACAGCUUUGUAGUCGUUAUCAUAGAACCUUUUCUUGCCUACAGUCCACUUCCCAAGUAACCGACCCUCAUGUACAACGGGGGUUAUAACAAUGGGUGUGGCGUCCUUCACAUAAUCUAUACAGCAUUCAACCAGCCACCUCCUCAGUUGUGUACCCCAUUAUUAUUGAUCCCUUCUGAUGAGCUAGGUUACAGACAUACCCUUUCAGAACUGACAUGUACCUCUCAGACACCCACAUCUGAUGUAGGUAUACGGGUCCAAUUUCAAUAAUCCGAGGGACGAUGUGGACAAUCAAAUGCUCCAUCAUAUUGAAGUAAGAUGGAGCGAAAAACAUCUCAAGUUGACACGCUGUCUCGGUUGCCAAUGUUUGAAGUGGGCCUAACUCUUCAGGAUCAAAAACGUUUUGUGACAUGUGAGACAUAGAAAGCAUCGGCUCGGCUUGGAGGUGGUUUCCUUUUUUUAAAAAAAAAUCAGGGAGAGCACAAAGGUACCGGUUCUAUAACUGACACUAAUAACCUAGUGUCACUAGUGCCAACCAAUUGGUGCCGGCUAGGAAACCGACACCAAUUGGUUCCUAACUGGCACCUAUAUGGGUUUUUUUUACCAGUGGCCAUCAUUAAUGAGGAGGUUGAGUAUAUAGUUGACCCGAUUAAGGAUCAUAAUCAAGGCAAGUGUCCUCCCUCCCUUUGAAUAUAUUGAACCUCAUGUUUUCGGCAAACAUGUUGUUUUACAAAAUCUGCACAUAUUCGAACGAUAGGAAUGAUUAGAAUACCUUGUUUGUACUCAAAUGGAUCUACUUAUCUUUUUAUUUAUACCAAAUGCUUUUCCUUGCUUGAUAUGUUUAUCAUGGAUAUGGAUCCUACUUAUCCAUGUUGUUUUGAACACAUUUAAACUUAUUUCCAUAGAUAAGACAUGGAGAAUUACCAUAGUUGGCCUGGCAAGAAACUUGCAACUACUAUGUGCACCACAGUUACACACCUACAAAUAUGCCACCAGACACGCUCAAAUGACUGCAGCGCCUGCAUCACUGAUUUUCCCCCUUAUUUUAGAUUCAAUACGGUACUUGGGCUUCGAUCUUAAUUCCUGCCUAGUCUAGCUAGCUGAACCACAGAUAUAGUAUCUUGUCAAUAAUUAUUAUGUGCAUGCAUAUCUCAUGUUAAUUAACUCUCUCUGUAUCGAUGCCUAUUGUCACCUUAAUAUAUAUAUAUAUAUUGCUGAACAGGGAGUACGUGGAUGGACAAAAGAGCACACCAUAUGCAUAUCAUAUGCAUGGCACGUAAGCCAUGCGGACUGCAUUCUCGGGAUGGAUGCAUGGUUCAGAAUGAACUUAAAAAACUCGUACGCAUGAUCCUUGGAGAUUUGGUGGUAUCUCCAAUGUGUGAGAGGCCUAUCAGAAGCCUACUCUCGGUGCGGAAAUUAGCAUUAUAUAUAGUAUGCUAUUUUUUACAAGUUUAAUUUUGAUCAAAGUUUAUUUUUUUCUCCUAGAAUCACCAGUAGAGAAACGAUUUUUCCGUGCAGUUAAAAGUGAUUUUCGCGUGCGGAUGUUCCAACCGUCUGGAACCAAGGGUCUGUAAAAUUUUUGCGUGAGGGUGGCGCACCCGCACACAAAAAUCUAAUUUUCGCGUGCGGAGUGGUUAUGUCGCCCGAAGGCAAAAAUAAAAAACCGAAAAAUAUAAAAUCCAGAAAAGAAAACCCCAACCCUAAAGCUGUCGUCGCCGCCUCCUCGCGGUCGCGGUCGCGGUCGCCGUCGCCGUCGCCGCCACGGUAGCGGAUCCGGAGCCUCCACACUGUCCGGGCCGGUAACGGCCGCCGCCGCACGCACGAGCCGCCGAGCUCGCCGCUCCCGCCAGCUGUUCCCGCUUGCAACCCCCGGGCGAUGCCACGCGCAUGCAGCCGAGGCCGCCGGAUCCGGGUGGGGGACGGCCGCCGCUGCCAGAAUCGGGUGAGGGGAAACUGCCUCCGCUGGAUCCGGGUGGGGGAUGGUCGUCCGCCGCCGCUCCCAGUUGCCCACCGCCGCGCGCACACGCCUUGGUGCCCGCCGCUCUCGGUCGCCGACGCACGCAUGCCGCCGAGGCCGCCGCCAAGUGAGGCGGUGCAGCCGGCCGCCGCCGGCCGUGCCCGCGCCGGCCGUGCCCAGGAGAGAAGAGAGAGGUGAGAGAGUGAGAAAGGAUAGAGAGGUGAGAGAGUGAGAGAGAGAGAGUGUUGGUAUUUCUUAUGACCACAGAUAAAUCUGCAAGCACACGGAAUACCGCUGUAGCACUUCACCUUCGGGUGACCCCAAAAGGAUAUCGAACUCAAGGAACGUGUGUAAUCUAUCUAAGGUUAAGACGAUCCAAGGACAACAACUAUAGGUAGGCAGGCUAGAGAGAACUUUCUAUGUGCUUUAAUUAUCUACGCUAAGCAAGGUAAUUCCCUAUCUAUUGCUUCGGGCACCGACCCCUGCUGGUCUGCCAGCGUGGUUCCGGCUAUAGCUCUAUGAUGUAUUCGAACCUGGUGGAUUACUAGGACGGAAUUCAGGACUAUCACCACCUGCCGCCUACCUUUGACAAAUCCGUGGGAUACACAACUAACAAUGGUUAUCUCUAACAUAGACACCACGCCUAAGUUUUUAAUUACUACUCUAAUACUAGCGCAGGAACUUCCUUCUCUAUCCGGAGUCCUAUGUCACGCCCGGAAGUUUCCCCUUUUGCUUGCUUUAAAAAAAAAAUUAGUUAAAUAAAUUGUCCGAAGAAAUUAUCUUAAUUAACCUAGAGCUAAUUCCCUAAUUAAUAAAUGCAAUUAAUAAUUGAAUUCGGUGUGGUGGAAUUUUUCUUGAGUUCCCCAUGCUCCAAUGCAUUAACAAGAUUUUUAGUGGAAUUUUCAGAGCCUUGGAAAUAAUUUUUUUUACCAAUUAAAAAUCACCAAAGUGCAAUUUUAAUCCCAGGAAAAUCCUUUUUCUCUUUUUCUUUUCUUUUCCCUCCUUUUUCUUUGUUGGGCCGUCGGCCCAUCCCUCUCCCGCGGUCCCUCCUCCUUGUGGGCCGGCCCAAGCCGCCCCUCCCUCCUCUCUCUCGGGACGCCGACAGGUGGGCCCCACCUGUCGGUCGUCUCCCACCUCCGGCCGCUGGAGCCAAAGCUCCAACCGCCCAUGCCGCCGCCACCAUUUCCAGCCGUUCUCCGCGCCCCACUCCGCCCGUGCCGCGCGCCCACGUCGCCGUCCCACUCCUCCGCCCUUCCCGCCCGCGCGCAUGCACGAAGUGGGCGGGAUUCAUUUUGAAUCCCCCCCCACUUUCUCUCUCUCCUCCCCACGUCGCCGGCCAAAUCGGCCACCUCCCCGGCCACGUCCGCCCCCUCCCGCACCUAUAAAUCGCUCCCCGCGUCUUCCUCUCUCGUUUUUCGCACUCGCCGCGCCCUCCCGUGCUUCCUAUCGUCGCCGCGCCGCUCGCCCCUUGCGCCGCCGCCUACCGCCGUCUCCGGCCACGCGCCGCCGCCACUAUAGCCACCGCCGCGCCGCGCAGUCGCCGCCGUCGCGCUCACCGAGCCCGCCCGCACCUCGGCCGCCGCUUCGUUGCCGCGAAUCACCGCCGGAGCUCCGAUUCCCUCGCGCCGCCGGUGAGCUCGCCAUUGUUUCCAUCUCCGGCCAUUUCUCCUCGCCGUGCCGCGGCUCCUCUCUUCUCCCUAACCCCUUCACCGCCUUUUCCCAGGUCGCGCUGCUCCCGUCCGCCGUUUUCCGAAGCACUGCCGCCGCUCAUCCCCUCCCGCUCCGGUCGCCGCCCCUCCGGUGAGGACUCCCUCCCUCUCCCUUUUCUCCCCUUCCCGCGUGCGCCGCCACCUUUGGCCGUGCCGCCGCCUUUGGCCGUGCCGCCGCUCCGGCCGUCCGCCGCCGCCUUCGCGCCGGCCGCCGCCGUCUCCCGCGUCGCCGGUCACCGCCGGUGACCGCGCGUGCCGCCGCCGCCGCCCCAUGGCUGGCCGGCCGGCUUGAGCCGUGCCGAGCUGCCAGCCGCCCACUCCCUCCCCCUUGAGCCACUGCCCGUGGGGCCCACAUGCCGACGCCCUCUCCCUCUCUUAGUGCCGCUGACCAGUGGGGCCCGCAUGUCGGCGCCGCCCCCCUUCCGCUGACGUCAGCCCUGGGCUUUAUUGCGCAAUAAAUUGAUUAAGGACUUUUCUUUAUUAGUAAAAACACAGUUUAUCUUCUAAAAUUCAUAAGUAAUUCAUCCGAGCUCCGUUUAAGUCCAUUCAAGUCUCAGUAAAUCAAGAAAAAUGCAAAGAAUCCAUUAAAAAUGGUUUUGUUUCCUGUUUCUGUAGUCUUAUAGCAUGUUUUGCUUGUGUGCUUUGUUUGUCGCGUAGGUUUCGGCCGUUUCGUCGAUCCGCGGUUUCUCGAAGACGUUGCUGAGGUCUCAUCAGUGCGAGAGCAAGGCAAGUCAUGCAAUACGUUUGAUCAUAUUGUACCCAAUUUACAAAUAUCCCGCAUUUCUAUUAAAUGUUGCAUCCUUUUACAAUGUCAUGAGGGAUGGGUCCUAAUACUCAGCCAUUUAUUGUUUACCUUAUGCCAUUGAUAACUUGGGUAUCAAAAUGACUAGAUGUUGGUUUAGGAAAUGCUUAGCCAUGCUUAGUUCAACUAGCACACACAUGGGGAUCACAUUAUUACAUAGACUUUGACUAUGAGCAUAGCUUUGGAUUGGUGCCACCGCAAUGGUGUGAGUUAAUUAAAAUACACUGAAUGGUGGGCUGUGGGUGCAUGGUUUUGCUGGUCGCACCUAUGGCAGUUAAGGACCGGUUCACGGGAAACCCUGGGAGACUUACUGUCACGACCGGAAAUAACCCAACGGGCGUUCCUGACGUGCGUGCAUUAAUCCUUGUCCCAGGAGGCAAGGUACACCAAAAGUUGAUACAAUUCAGAGUUUAACAAGCGGAAGCGUAAAUAGUUAACUUAUUACAUGGGCAACGGAGGCCCAGCACACACAAAGACAAACGGGAAACAGCGGAAGACUAGGGCGACGACCACAGGCGCUUGACGGCAGGCACGAGCUAGACACCAAAGCCUUCAUCUUCAAGGAGCUCCUCUUCUGGGCUUGGGAAAAAUUGAGCAAGACUGAGUACAACCACCGUACUCAACAAGACACACCCACAAAUGCAGAAUAAAUGCAAGGGAGUACAAUGGAAUUAUAACAUAAAGGGUUAGGGUUGCAGUAAACAGCAUUUAAAGACAUUUAGUUACUCAAAGCUAUUUUGUAAACACGAUCUUAGAACUAUACAAUAUUAUUAAUCAAGGCCGUGAACCCACACGAACCUGCCUUAACCCAAGGCCUAUGAUGAUUCAGACCGAACUGGCAACCCGACCCUGGGUCCCAGCUCGUCCCAAGCCAACCCAGGCCAACCAUUCCAUAUUUUAGUUGUUAAGCAAGUUUUAAGAAUUAAAACACUAACUUGGGUACAUUGCUCGGCUUGCCCAUAACCGAGGGCUCGGCUAUUCGAAUAGAUUAUACUCUGAUCAGAGGUGUACAUCUUUACCCACAAGACACAUCUUCCUCACGUGUAACCACGUGCCACAUACCACCACGGUAUACAGACGGAAGACGUGACAUAGUUUCCAACCCAUCCUAGCCAUAGACAAGAGUACCGACCCAAUCCUGCCUAUGGUCGGAACCCCCGGGACAGGCAGGCAAGACUGAGCCCCUAGCAGCAGGGCACCAACCCUCUGCCAUGACAUCUCGACUACCGGGCCGCAGCUCGUGUAGCCUUCAUUUGCCCUGGAGAAUGUCCAUUGACCCCCGACUUCAUCCAUCUCCAAUCCGUGUACUUUUGUUUAUGACUAGACUGAGCCACAAACUAAGCCUUACCCACUAGACAUGUGGAAGUACGGUAGUGCUUUGCAACAGAGGCCCGAAGACCGGUCCUUAUAUGGCCGAGGUGCUACUAUCAAAACCAUGCACCCCGAGCCCAGCCUAAAACCAUUUUUGGGGAUUUUGAAUAGAGGGGGCGGGGUGAAGCCAAUUCCACAAUACUCCAAUAAUUCCACAGUGUCCAGGUGAUAUGAGAAUUUCCCAAGUCUAAAGUUGUAAAACCACCUAAUGUUACCUAAUUAAAUUGCGAAGCAUCUACCUAAAUUUAAACUAGGGAUACCACGAGUAGAGUGUCCACUAGUUGAGGUUUUGUUUAAUCUAGGGUGAACAAGGUAAUAAUAAUAACAAUAACAAUAAUAAUAUGGUCAUAACAAAGGUAAAUAGGCAUGGCUAAAUAAAACAGUGAUAACGCGGGAAUUUAAAUAAAGCGAUAAUGCAAUAAUUUAAAUCAACAUAAUUUUAUAAAUUGGGAUUCAAUAUGCUCAAAGAUGAUGUGACUUGCCUUGCUCGCUUUCCCAACCGACGACUUCGACUUCCACGAAGAGCGGAUCUUCCGAAGCUACAGCGUCUACACGACCAACGGAAAAGAAAAGGCUUUUACUCUAAUAAACUCCACAUAACAGCAGAAACAAAGCACAAAAAUGGGUUCUUGACUUCUUAAGGAAAAAUUAGAGACUUGAACGGUCCAAUUCCGAGUUCAAAUGGCCAAGAUAUGGCCAUUUGAAGUUUAUAUGCUCUUUAAAUGGAUAUUUGCGAAUUUCUUCAUUUAAAUUUUAAUUAAAAACCGGGUUUAUUGCGUCAGCCGAGGGAGAGGGCGCGCGGACCCGGUCCACGGGAGUGGGGCCCACGCGUCAGCCUCUCGGUCCACGGUGGACCGGGGGCACGCGGCUGGCGGCGGCCGGCGCCGUGGGGCCCACGCGUCAGCCGCACCCGCGGGCGCGGGCGGCUGACGGCCGGGCCCCACCUGGCAGCCGCGGGGCGCGCCCGAAGGCGGCCUCGCCGGCACGGCCGACGGGAGGCGGCGCACUCACGCCCCGAUGGUCGCCGCCGGCGACCAACGGCGCGGCGGAGUGGCACCCGAGAGAGAGGAGGGAAGGGGGAAGCGAACGGAGCGGUCCACGGCUCACCCCGGGACGACGACGACGGCGGAAACGACGACCGGAGCGGAGGAAAGCGGCGGCGCGGUUCGGGACGGCGAGGGCGACGGUGCUCCGGCGGUCGGCGAGCGAAGCGGAGGGGCGGACGAGGUCGACGACGACGCGGCGAAGCCGAUGGAGGUGACGCUGAGACGGGAGGAAGUCCGGAGCGACGACGGCGGUGAACCGGAGCUCGGCGGCGACGGCGGAGAGAAGAUGCGACGGCGCGAGCACGAUUCCGACGGGGAGAGCGAGCGGCGGACGGCGGAAACGGAGGAGAGAGGCACGGGGAACGUUUAUAUAGCGCCGGGAGAGAGAGAGAGCGGCCGGAGAGAGAGGAAUUGGCCGCGGAGAUCGCGGCUCCAUCAAUAGCGCCGGCGAACUUUACGGGAAUAAAAUCGAACGAAUCCGAGGGAGAGAGAGAGGGGAAAGUGGGGGAAACGGGAGAGGGAAUCGCGGGGAAUAAUUCCCCCCACUUUAAUGCGCGCGGGGACGGCGGGAUGCGGCGGAUUCGGCGGCGGCGGCGGCGCUAGGGCACGGACGGGCGGCGGGCGCGGCGCGAGGAAGGCGAUGACAGGUGGGCCCCACCCGUCAGCGAGGGUGGCGGGCGGGCCCGCCUGUCAGCGGCGCGCGCGCGGGGAGGGGCCGAUGGGCCGCGGGGGAGAGGAGAGAGAGGGAGGGAGAGUUGGGCCGAGCCGGCCCAAGAAGGGAAGGGGGGGAAAAGAAGACUUUUAGGGAUUUUUCUUUUUAUAAACCUUUUCAACUUUGUUUAUUUCUUUUCAAUUAUUAUUUGUGCUCUGAAAAUUCCACUAAAAUUUAUUUACGCAUUUUAGGCUUUUAGGAAAUAUACAAAAAUCCUCCAUGCCUUAUUUGACUUUUAAAUUUGCACAUUUCAAUUGUUGGAGGCUUUCACAUGAAUUUUAAUUAUUCUUUGCACAAUUUCGAGGAUGAAUUUUAGAGUCGAUUUGGGACGUGACAAACCUACCCCCCUUAAACGGAAUCUCGACCCCGAGAUUCGGAAGAACUGGCGAAGAGAUCUGGAUGGGCUGCCUUCAGCUCGUCUUCACGCUCCCAGGUAGCUUCUUCUUCUGCGUGGUUGCUCCACUGGACCUUGCAAAAACGGAUUACCCGGUUCCUGGUCCUGCGCUCCAUGGUAUCCAGGAUUUUCACUGGCCUCUCCACGUAGGUCAAAUCUUCGCGAACUUCAAUUUGCUCUGAGUCGGCCUGCUCGGAUGGCACUCGAAGGCAUUUCUUGAGUUGCGACACAUGAAACACAUCAUGCACGUUGCCCAAGGAGGCGGGCAGCUCCAACUGGUAAGCGACUUCUCCGCGCCGAGCAACGAUACGGAAAGGACCCACAUACCGAGGUGCGAGCUUCCCUUUUGUCUGAAACCUGUGCACACCUCGCAAUGGCGUGACCCGAAGAUAUACAAAAUCACCCACUGCGAAUUCCAGGUCACGGCGACGGUUAUCUGCAUAACUUUUCUGCCGGGACUGUGCCACCUUUAGAUUAUCCCGAAUGAUUCUGACUUUAGCUUCAGCUUCUCUCAGGAUAUCAGUCCCGAACACUUGGCUUUCUCCAACUUGGUCCCACAAUAGCGGUGUCCGGCAUUUGCGCCCGUACAACGCUUCAUAAGGUGCCAUUUGUAUGCUGGCUUGAUAACUGUUAUUGUAGGAGAACUCGGCAUAGGGGAGACUCUUAUCCCAGGUCUUCCCGAAAUCUAGGACACAUGCGCGAAGCAUAUCUUCUAGGAUCUGAUUUAGACGCUCGGUCUGUCCAUCUGUCUGCGGGUGAUAGGCGGUGCUGAAAUUCAAUCGAGUACCCAGCUCUUCUUGGAGCUUCUUCCAAAAGUGAGAGGUGAAUUGGCUUCCCCUAUCAGAUACGAUUCUCUUGGGAACGCCAUGGAGGCUCACGAUCCUAGCGAAGUAGAGCUCCGCUAGGUUGUUCCCUCCAUAGGUGGUCUUCACAGGAAUAAAUCGAGCUACCUUGGUUAAUCGAUCCACAACUACCCAUAUAGAAUCAUAUCCGCCUUGGGUUUUUGGAAGUCCGGUGAUGAAAUCCAUCCCAAUUUCAUCCCAUUUCCAUUCUGGUACUUGGAGAGGUUGGAGAAGUCCGGCCGGUCGCUGGUGCUCUGCCUUGACACGCUGGCACACAUCACACAGGGCCACGAACUCUGCAAUCUCCCGCUUCAUGCUAACCCACCAGUAUUUCUCCUUCAAGUCUAGGUACAUCUUUGUACUGCCCGGGUGAAUAGAAUAAGGGCACUCGUGAGCUUCCUGAAGUAUCAGCUGUUUAAGUUCUCUGUUAUCUGGAACGCAUACCCGCUGUCCGUUCCAUAGGGUUCCGUGUUCAUCCUCUGUGAAACCAGCGGCUUUACCCUGUUUCAUAUUCUUGAGGAGUCCAUGCAUGUCCGGAUCAUUCUUCUGAGCCUCGCGGAUUUGAUCGAGCAAGGUAGGCUUGGCUUCCAACGCAGCCAAGACUCCAUGACCAACUAUGCUUAGGUUCAGGGCUUCCAUCUGUUGACUAAGUUCGGGUGGAAUGCCACGGACGUUAAGAGUGUUGCAAUGGCUCUUUCGACUUAGAGCGUCGGCAACCACGUUGGCCUUACCAGGAUGAUAGUGAAUUCCCACAUCAUAGUCUUUGAUGAGUUCUAACCAUCUCCUUUGCCGAAGAUUCAGAUCCGACUGGGUGAAAAUGUAUUUCAAACUCUUAUGGUCGGUAUAUAUUUCACAGCGAUUCCCAAUGAGAUAGUGCCUCCAGAUUUUUAGAGCAUGAACCACCGCGGCUAACUCCAAAUCAUGGGUAGGGUAGUUGCCUUCAUGAGGUCGUAGCUGACGUGAGGCAUAGGCUACCACAUGACCGUCCUGCAUGAGCACGCACCCCAAUCCUUGGCGCGAAGCGUCACAAUACACCAUGAAGUCCUUGCGAGUAUCCGGCAAGAUUAACACUGGCGAGGAAACUAGCUUUUCCUUGAGAGUUUGAAACGCCUUCUCGCAUUGCGGGCUCCACACAAAUUUCUCUUCUUUCUUCAACAACUGUGUCAUGGGUCGAGCGAUUUUGGAGAAGUUCUCGAUGAAUCUCCGAUAGUACCCUGCCAAACCUAAGAAACUGCGAAUUUGAGUGACUGUCUUGGGUUGCUUCCAAUCGGUGACGGCGAUCACUGUUUCGGGAUCCACAGCAACUCCUUUAGCAGAUAUCACGUGCCCUAAGAAUUUGACUUCGGACAACCAGAACUCACACUUGCUAAGUUUGGCAUACAAUUGAUGUUCCCGCAGCUUUCCCAAUACCAGACGGAGAUGGUGCUGAUGGUCUUCCUCUGAUUGUGAGUAUAUCAGAAUGUCAUCAAUGAAAACCACAACAAACUUAUCCAAGUAUUCCAUGAACACUUUGUUCAUCAAGUUCAUGAAGAAGGCAGGUGCAUUGGUCAAACCGAACGACAUCACCGUGAAUUCAUAUAGCCCGUAUCGCGUGGUGAAUGUGGUCUUCGGAAUAUCUUCUUCACGAAUACGUAAUUGGUGAUAUCCGGAACGAAGAUCAAUCUUGGAGAAUACAGUGGCACCUUUAAGCUGAUCGAACAGAUCAUCUAUCCGGGGAAGAGGGUACUUGUUUUUGAUGGUGACUUCAUUGAGAGCUCUGUAGUCGACGCACAUCCUCUUCGUCUUGUCUUUCUUCUCUACAAAAAUCACAGGAGCACCCCAUGGGGAAGUACUCGGACGUAUGUACCCCUUUUCUUUCAACUCUUCCAACUGUUUCUUUACUUCGGCCAGUUCAUUUGCUGCCAUACGGUAGGGUCGCUUGUACAGAGGAGUGGUUCCUGGAGCAAGAUCUAUCCGGAACUCAAUCUCUCGCUUGGGCGGCAUACCGGGUAGUUCUUCCGGAAACACGUCUCCGAACUCUCUGACGAUGGGAAUCUCUGACAGUUCUAUCUGAUGAAGUUCUGAACUUCUGACAGAGGUUGGGGGUGCAAAGAAAACAACCGGUUGUUCUGGCCCUCGGUACAGAGUGACAGUGCGUCUCGCGCAAUCCACUACUCCUUGUAAUUGAGCCAACCAGUUCAUCCCAAGGAUCACAUCCAAGUUCUUUGUGUCUAGAAGAAUCAGAUCCGAGGGAAAAGGAAUCCCCUGAAUUUCUAUAGGGACGGCAGGACUAUAAUACUUUGCUGUCAUAACCCCUCCAGGGGUGGUGAUGAGCAGAGGGUUCCUAAGCCUUUCUACCCCCAACUGAUUUCUCCCCACAAAUGGCACAGAUAUAAACGAGUGGGAAGCUCCAGAGUCGAACAAAAUUGUAGCAGGGAUGGAAUGAACGAGGAACGUACCAACGAUGACGUCCGGAGUUGUCAGCACGUCCUCGGCCGUCACGUGAUUCACACGGCCCCGAAUGACAUCCCUCCCGCCGUUGUUGGAGCGGGGAGGCGCUUGGCAUUGCUGACGCCUUGGCUUUGGGCAUUUAUCCGCAAAGUGCCCGGGCUCGAAGCAGUUGAAGCACAGACGCUGCUGACCUUGAGCGUCCCUGCGGCCUUGGCCAGGCUGCACAGUUGGCGUAGGAGGACGGGGCGCACGAGUCCCUUGCUGAUUCUGCUGCUGCUGCGGCUGUGGGACGCGCACCACGAAUUGAGGUCGGGGCGCGGAGCGAGGUUGCUGCUGCUGUUGUUGCUGCUGCGAGGAGGAUCCCCCUGGAUAGGGAUUGGUGUAGCGGACCCUUUGGUUAGCACCCUGUUGAUUACGGAAAUUCGCCAAGCGGCGCUUGUGCGACUCCAGUUCCUUGUGCUUGGCUUCCAAGCGGAUGCUCUUGUCCACCAAUCGUUGAAAAUCCGGGUAGUCCCCAGAGACUAGACGGACGGACAGCUCAGGGUCCAUUCCUGCCAAGAACUUCUCUUGCUUCUCCUCAUCUUCCCGCACAUCCUCCGGAGCGUAACGGGCCAGACUGUUGAACUCAUGCAAGUACUCCAUCACGGAGCGGUUGCCUUGCUUCAACUCUCGGAAUUCCCUUUUCUUAAGAGCCACGACUCCAGCGGGCACAUGGGUUCUCCGGAAAGCGGCGGUGAAGCGAGCCCAAGUGAUAGGUUGCCCCUCUGGCUGCGUAGCCUGGAAAUGGUCCCACCAUAGAGAUGCGGGUCCCUGCAGUUGGUGGGCGGCGAAGACGACUUUCUCCUCAUCGCUGCACUGCACAGUGUCUAGCUUUUUCCCCACGGCGUGCAACCAAUCCAACGCAUCCACGGGGUUGUUGGAGCUGGAGAAGGUAGGUGGGCGGAUGCGGAGGAACUCGGCGAGUUUAGAGUGUUGUGGGGGUGGUGGUGGAGCAUUCUGUUGUGGCGGGUUUUGGAGGUGGUGGAGGAAAGCGGUCAUCAUGUUGGCUUGCUGGGCGAGGAUUUGGGUGAGAAUGGCGUUGGUGUCUGGUGGUGGUGGUGGAGGCGGAGGAGGAGGUGGAGGUGGGUUGCCCUGGUGGUUGUGGUUGCUGCCUUCAGGUUGGUUGCCGUCACCGGCAGCAGCAUUUCUCCUGGUCGUCACCAUCUGAAAACCCCUCACAGAACCAGCAAACAGAGAAAGAGCUAACAAUUAAAGCUAACCACCCACGACUACCAUUAUUCUUAAAUUUAUUACUGCUAUUAAAUUGGUUCAUUAAUGUUCAAGCUGCUUAGGCGAAUAAAAUAAGACAGGCUCCGACAUAGUUAUGCCACACACCGGCAUAACCAUGCCCCAGACAACUCAAAAAGACAAACGAGAAAGAACAUACGCGCAAGCCUACUAACUGCUCGUCUACUGCUGCGACGGGCCAGGACGGAAGGUGAGCAACAGCGCACCCUCCGUGCUACCAACGCCGGAGGCUUCCCCCUCCUGGGGAACCACGGGCGCGGGCUCGGCACGAGGGGUCUCGACGAAGCAAGUCCACGCCAGGGACUGACGAACAAGCUCGGGCCUGGAGGUGCUCUUGCGGGCGGUGAUCUUCUGGCUGCGGCAGACGCGGCGACUCUUGGGGCGGCAGAUCUCUCCCUGGGCGAUCUUGAGCUGAUGCAGCUGCGCCUCCACCGCGUCGAGGUCCUUCUUGAGCUGCAGGUUCUCCUGACGCAGCUCCAGGAUCUUCAUGUUGUUCUCGACCAUCCCGCGGCGCACCAUCUGAUGGAAGUCGAUACGAGCCGCGUCGUACGCCUCCACCAUGCGCGCCAGGUGCACGAUGGUAGCGUCAUCCUCCGAGCUAGCAUCCCGGAAGGUGGCGUAGUCGCGGGCUCCUCCGCGACGAGGGUGGUAGCGGUAGGGCGAGUGCUGCAACUCGUCCGGGUAGCGCUGGUGAAGAGUGCCGAUGGCGAGGAGAGCGGCGCUCUGGCAAGCGGCGGGGAAGGAGUCUCCACCCGCGGUGACUGUCAACGAAGUCCGCUCGGGAGAGCCAGAGAGGAUCACUGCGGUGACCUCCCAACCAGCGUGGGGCUCCGCGUCGUCUCCCUCCUGAUCCGGAAGUGGCCUGGCCUGGUAGUCCACUCCGUGUGGAUACCCCAGGGCCACGCACAUGCCUCGCAGCUCCAAGACGAAGCCAGUCAUGUCCAAACCACGACGGGUGACGCUGCCGGCCAUCUACAAACAAAAACAAAAAGAGAAACAACAUUUUAAAGGUCAGAUUUUGAUGAUAAGUGAAGCAGCAAGACAGAGAGAGACUAGACAGUUUUCACAAGUAACAAAGGAUUUUUAUUUUUGAAAAUAUUGCUAAGGCUUGGGAUCUACGGCUCGUCCUAGGGUCAAGGGGGGGCUCUGAUACCAACUUGUCACGACCGGAAAUAACCCAACGGGCGUUCCUGACGUGCGUGCAUUAAUCCUUGUCCCAGGAGGCAAGGUACACCAAAAGUUGAUACAAUUCAGAGUUUAACAAGCGGAAGCGUAAAUAGUUAACUUAUUACAUGGGCAACGGAGGCCCAGCACACACAAAGACAAACGGGAAACAGCGGAAGACUAGGGCGACGACCACAGGCGCUUGACGGCAGGCACGAGCUAGACACCAAAGCCUUCAUCUUCAAGGAGCUCCUCUUCUGGGCUUGGGAAAAAUUGAGCAAGACUGAGUACAACCACCGUACUCAACAAGACACACCCACAAAUGCAGAAUAAAUGCAAGGGAGUACAAUGGAAUUAUAACAUAAAGGGUUAGGGUUGCAGUAAACAGCAUUUAAAGACAUUUAGUUACUCAAAGCUAUUUUGUAAACACGAUCUUAGAAUUAUACAAUAUUAUUAAUCAAGGCCGUGAACCCACACGAACCUGCCUUAACCCAAGGCCUAUGAUGAUUCAGACCGAACUGGCAACCAGACCCUGGGUCCCAGCUCGUCCCAAGCCAACCCAGGCCAACCAUUCCAUAUUUUAGUUGUUAAGCAAGUUUUAAGAAUUAAAACACUAACUUGGGUACAUUGCUUGGCUUGCCCAUAACCGAGGUCUCGGCUAUUCGAAUAGAUUAUACUCUGAUCAGAGGUGUACAUCUUUACCCACAAGACACAUCUUCCUCACGUGUAACCACGUGCCACAUACCACCACGGUAUACAGACGGAAGACGUGACAUAGUUUCCAACCCAUCCUAGCCAUAGACAAGAGUACCGACCCAAUCCUGCCUAUGGUCGGAACCCCCGGGACAGGCAGGCAAGACUGAGCCCCUAGCAGCAGGGCACCAACCCUCUGCCAUGACAUCUCGACUACCGGGCCGCAGCUCGUGUAGCCUUCAUUUGCCCUGGAGAAUGUCCAUCGACCCCCGACUUCAUCCAUCUCCAAUCCGUGUACUUUUGUUUAUGACUAGACUGAGCCACAAACUAAGCCUUACCCACUAGACAUGUGGAAGUACGGUAGUGCUUUGCAACAGAGGCCCGAAGACCGGUCCUUAUAUGGCCGAGGUGCUACUAUCAAAACCAUGCACCCCGAGCCCAGCCUAAAACCAAUUUUGGGGAUUUUGAAUAGAGGGGGCGGGGUGAAGCCAAUUCCACAAUACUCCAAUAAUUCCACAGUGUCCAGGUGAUAUGAGAAUUUCCCAAGUCUAAAGUUGUAAAACCACCUAAUGUUACCUAAUUAAAUUGCGAAGCAUCUACCUAAAUUUAAACUAGGGAUACCACGAGUAGAGUGUCCACUAGUUGAGGUUUUGUUUAAUCUAGGGUGAACAAGGUAAUAAUAAUAACAAUAACAAUAAUAAUAUGGUCAUAACAAAGGUAAAUAGGCAUGGCUAAAUAAAACAGUGAUAACGCGGGAAUUUAAAUAAAGCGAUAAUGCAAUAAUUUAAAUCAACAUAAUUUUAUAAAUUGGGAUUCAAUAUGCUCAAAGAUGAUGUGACUUGCCUUGCUCGCUUUCCCAACCGACGGCUUCGACUUCCACGAAGAGCGGAUCUUCCGAAGCUGCAGCGUCUACACGACCAACGGAAAAGAAAAGGCUUUUACUCUAAUAAACUCCACAUAACAGCAGAAACAAAGCACAAAAAUGGGUUCUUGACUUCUUAAGGAAAAAUUAGAGACUUGAACGGUCCAAUUCCGAGUUCAAAUGGCAAAGAUAUGGCCAUUUGAAGUUUAUAUGCUCUUUAAAUGGAUAUUUGCGAAUUUCUUCAUUUAAAUUUUAAUUAAAAACCGGGUUUAUUGCGUCAGCCGAGCGAGAGGGCGCGCGGACCGGGUCCACGGGAGUGGGGCCCACGCGUCAGCCUCUCGGUCCACGGUGGACCGGGGGCACGCGGCUGGCGGCGGCCGGCGCCGUGGGGCCCACGCGUCAGCCGCACCCGCGGGCGCGGGCGGCUGACGGCCGGGCCCCACCUGGCAGCCGCGGGGCGCGCCCGAAGGCGGCCUCGCCGGCACGGCCGACGGGAGGCGGCGCACUCACGCCCCGAUGGUCGCCGCCGGCGACCAACGGCGCAGCGGAGUGGCACCCGAGAGAGAGGAGGGAAGGGGGAAGCGAACGGAGCGGUCCACGGCUCACCCCGGGACGACGACGACGGCGGAAACGACGACCGGAGCGGAGGAAAGCGGCGGCGCGGUUCGGGACGGCGAGGGCGACGGUGCUCCGGCGGUCGGCGAGCGAAGCGGAGGGGCGGACGAGGUCGACGACGACGCGGCGAAGCCGAUGGAGGUGACGCCGAGACGGGAGGAAGUCCGGAGCGACGACGGCGGUGAAGCGGAGCUCGGCGGCGACGGCGGAGAGAAGAUGCGACGGCGCGAGCACGAUUCCGACGGGGAGAGCGAGCGGCGGACGGCGGAAACGGAGGAGAGAGGCACGGGGAACGUUUAUAUAGCGCCGGGAGAGAGAGAGAGCGGCCGGAGAGAGAGGAAUCGGCCGCGGAGAUCGCGGCUCCAUCAAUAGCGCCGGCGAACUUUACGGGAAUAAAAUCGAACGAAUCCGAGGGAGAGAGAGAGGGGAAAGUGGGGGAAACGGGAGAGGGAAUCGCGGGGAAUAAUUCCCCCCACUUUAAUGCGCGCGGGGACGGCGGGAUGCGGCGGAUUCGGCGGCGGCGGCGGCGCUAGGGCACGGACGGGCGGCGGGCGCGGCGCGAGGAAGGCGAUGACAGGUGGGCCCCACCCGUCAGCGAGGGUGGCGGGCGGGCCCGCCUGUCAGCGGCGCGCGCGCGGGGAGGGGCCGAUGGGCCGCGGGGGAGAGGAGAGAGAGGGAGGGAGAGUUGGGCCGAGCCGGCCCAAGAAGGGAAGGGGGGGAAAAGAAGACUUUUAGGGAUUUUUCUUUUUAUAAACCUUUUCAACUUUGUUUAUUUCUUUUCAAUUAUUAUUUGUGCUCUGAAAAUUCCACUAAAAUUUAUUUACGCAUUUUAGGCUUUUAGGAAAUAUACAAAAAUCCUCCAAGCCUUAUUUGACUUUUAAAUUUGCACAUUUUAAUUGUUGGAGGCUUUCACAUGAAUUUUAAUUAUUCUUUGCACAAUUUCGAGGAUGAAUUUUAGAGUCGAUUUGGGACGUGACACUUACCGUGCUUACCACAAGCGGGAGUGGGUAACUGCUUGAUCUGAAGUAUAGCUCGACCCUUUCCUAGGCACCGGUGGCGAGGGUGGGCGUGAUGGAGUUGGGUCGGCCGGGGUGUCCGGUUGUCCAGCUGCCGGAUUCACCGCGGCGCAAGAGGGGACCGCCCACUGCCUUUUGAGGGGUGGGGGUGAAACCUUAGCGUGGUGUGGAUGGUUAGGGGAGGGUUAUGUGGAGGGUCUUGUCACGAUUUCCCCCUUUGCAGUAUCAUGGUGAUACUUCGGGGCAUGGCGACAUGUGUGGAAUCGUGUCUUGUGGGUACAGUUGUACACCUCUGGCCAGAGUAAAACUAUUCGAAUAGCCGUGCCCGCGGUUAUGGGCGAUCAACCAGAUUCACCGUGAUUAGUCUCACCCCUAGUUUAGCUUAAUGAACUGGUGUAGUUCAGGUGGUUGGUUGGGCCUGUUGCAACGUGGUGUAGCGUUGGACAGUGUUUGGUUAAUAUUGAUUAAUUACUACAACUGUUUUACUGCCUUCAACUACUGCUUUUAAAUGCCUGCUUUAUGCAAAAGAACCUCUAGCCUCCUUUGGUUAUAUCUUGCAUCAUACCUCCUCUUCCGGUAUGACUUGCUGAGUACAGUGGGUAGUACUCAGUCUUGCUCUCUUUUCCCCCACACCAGAGUUGAAGUUCUUCUCAGUUGGAGCCGUCUCAGAGAGGUUGGUUUCGUUGCUGCCGUCAAGGUUUGCCUGUGGAGUGGAGUCGCCCGCUGCUGAAGUCAAGCUUCCCGGUUUAGCUCGCUUUUAUCUUUUCCGCUGCAUUUGUAAUCUUUUCUAUUUUUGUAAGACGUGGAUCUGUAUGUCAACAAUUGUCGUUUGUGUACCCUGGCGUCCUGGACAGGGAUUUAAUGCACAUUGUCGCGACCGGGAAAAUUGCCUUUUCCCGAACGCUAGUGUAUUAAUCCCCGUCCCAGGAAAAGCCGGGGUACACCACACAAACAUGAUAUAAAAGACACAUCUUUAUUAUAUCGAUAGUAUUUACGUUAUUACAAAGGCACUUAAGGCCUGACAAUCAAAAAUAAACAACAGCGGACUAGCGGGCCUACGGCUCCAUCUUCACAGGCGCUCAACUGGGGUAUAAGCCAGGACUCCACCUAAGACUUCUUCUCCAAAGCUUCUCUUACUGAAAGGGAGGGGAGAUUGAGCAAGAAUGAGUACAACCACAGUACUCAGCAAGCCACACCGGCAGAUGCAUGAUUAAUGCAAGGGGGUACAAGGGGUAAUAAUAUAGGGGUUAAGUUUUGCAGAAAAGCAGCAUUUAAAAGUCACUUAGUUGCCCAAAGCCAUUUUAUAAAGACGAUCCUAGAGCUACACAGUAUUAUUAAUCAAGGCCGUGAACCCUCACGAACCUGCCUUAACCCAAGGCCUACGAUGAUUCAGACCGAACUGGCAACCCGACCCUGGGUCCCAGCUCGUCCCAAGCCAACCCAGGCCAACCAUUCCACAUUUUAGUUGUUGAGCAAAUUCUAAGAAUUAAAACACUGACUUGGGUACAUUGCUCGGCUUGCCCAUAACCGAGGGCGCGGCUAUUCGAAUAGAUUAUACUCUGAUCAGAGGUGUACAUCUUUACCCACAAGACACAUCUUCCUCACGUGUAACCACGUGCCACAUACCACCACGGUAUACGGACGGAAGACGUGACAUAGUUUCCAACCCAUCCUAGCCAUAGACAAGAGUACCGACCCAAUCCCACCUACGGCCGGAACCUCCGGGACAGGCAGGCAGGACUGAGCCCCUAGCAGCAGGGCACCAACCCUGUGCCAUGACAUCUCGACUACCGGGCCGCAGCUCGUGUAGCCUUCAUUUGUCCUAGAGAAUGUCCAUCGACCCCCGACUUCAUCCAUCUCCAUCCGUGUACUUUUGUUUAUGACCAGACUGAGCCACAAACUAAGCCUUACCCACUAGACAUGUGGAAGUACGGUAGUGCUUUGCAACAGAGGCCCGAGCUUAAUCCUUAUAGUACCCGAGGUACGACUAACAAAACCCAACCACGCACCUCGAGCCCAGCCUAAAACCAUUUUGGGGGUUUUGAAUAGAGGGGGAGGUGUGUGUCCAAUUCCAACAUAAGCCAACCAUUCCAUAGUGUCCAAAUGAUAUGAGAAUUCCCAAAGUCUAAAGUUAUAAAACCACCUAAUGUUGCCUAAUUAAUCAGCGAAGCAUCUACCUAAAUUCAUACUAGUGGAACCAUGAAUAGAGUACCCACUAGUUGGGGUUUUGUUUAUUCUAGGGUGAACAAGGUAAUAAUAACAAUAGCAAUAAUAAUGUCUUAACAAAGGUAAAUAGGCAUGGCUAAAUAAAACAGUGAUAACGCGGGAAUUUAAAUGAAGCGAUAAUGCAUUAAUUUAAAUCAAAAUAAUUUUAUAAACUGGGAUUCAAUAUGCUCAAGGGUGAUGUGACUUGCCUUGCUCGCUUUCCCAAACGUCGGCUUCAACUUCCACGAAGAGCGGAUCUUCCGAAGCUGCAGCGUCUACACGACCAACGGAAAAGAAAAGGCCUUUACUCUAAUAAACUCCAUAUAACAGCAGAAACAAAGCACAAAAAUGGGUUCUUGACUUCUUAAGGAAGAAUUAGAGACUUGAACGGUCCAAUUCCGAGUUCAAAUGGUCAAGUUAUGGCCAUUUGAAGUUUAUAUGCUCUUUAAAUGGAUAUUUGCGAAUUUCUUCAUUUAAAUUUUAAUUUAAAAUCGGAUUUAUUGCGUUAGCCGAGGGGAGGGGCGCGCGGACCGGGUCCACGGGAGUGGGGCCCACGCGUCAGCCUCACGGUCCACGGUGGACCGGGCGCACGCGGCUGACGCCGGCCGGCGCCGUGGGUCCCACGCGUCAGCCGCACCGAGGGCACGGGCGGCUGACGGCCGGGCCCCACCUGGCAGCCGCGGGGCGCGCCCGAAGGCGGCCUCGUCGGCACGGCCGACGGGAGGCGGCGCGCCCGCGCCCCUAUGGUCGCCGGCGGCGGCCAUAGGCACGGCGGAGCGGCGGCCGAGAGAGGGGAGGGAAGGGGGAAACGAAAUGGCGGUCCUCGGCUCACCCCGGGUCGACGGCGAUGACGGGAACGGCGACCGAAGCGGAGAGAGGCGGCGGCGCGGCUCGGGUCAACGAGGACGGCGGUUGUCGCGUCCCAAAUCGACUCUAAAAUCUAUCCUCGAAAUUGUGCAAAGAAUAAUUAAAAUUCAUGUGAAAGCCUCCAACAAUUAAAAUGUGCAAAUGUAAAAGUCAAACGAGGCUUGGAGGAUUUUUGUAUAUUUCCUAAAAGCCUAAAAUGCUUAAACAAAUUUUAGUGGAAUUUUCAGAGCACAAAUAAUAAUUGAAAAGAAAUAAACAAAGUGGAAAAGGUUUAUAAAAAAAAGAAAAUCCUAAAAGAAGUUCUUUUUCUCCCCCCCCUUCCCUCUUGGGCCGGCUCGGCCCACUUCUCCCUCCCUCUCUCUCUCUCCUCCCCUGCGGCCCAUCGGCCUCCCCGCGCGCGCGCGCCGCUGACAGGCGGGCCCGCCCGCCGCUCUCGCUGACGGGUGGGGCCCACCUGUCAUCGCCUUCCUCCCGCCGCGCCCGCCGCCGCGCCCGUGCCCUAGCGCCGCCGCCGCCGCGGAUUGCGCCGCAUCCCGUUUCCCCGCGAUUCCCUCUCCCGUUUCCCCCGUUUUCCCCUCUCUCUCUCCCUCGGAUUCGUCCGAUUUCCUUCCCGCAUUCAUCGCCGGCGCAUCUAUGGCGGCCGAAAUCUCCGCGACCGAUUCCUCCCUCUCCGGCCGCUCUUUCCUUCCCCCGGCGCUAUUUAAACGUUGCCCGAGCUCCGCUCUUCCGUUUCCGCCGCUCGCCGCUCGCUCUCGCCGUCGGAUUCGUGCUCGCGCCGUGCUCCGCUCUCUCCGCCAUCGCCGCCGAGCUCCGUUCCGCCGCCGCCGCCGCUCCGGACUUCCUCCUUACUCGGCGACACCUCCGUCCGCUUCGCCGUGUUGCCGCCGACCCCGUCCGCCGCUCCGCUUCGCCCGUCGACUGCCGGAGCGCCGUCGCCCUCGGCAUCCCGACCCGCGCCGCCGUCUUCCUCCGCUCCGGCCGCCGUUCUCGUCGUCGUCGUUGUCCCGGGGUGAGCCGAGGACCGCCGUUCGCCUUCCCCCUUCCCUCCUCUCUCUCGGGCGCCGCUCCGCCGCGCCGGUGGUCGCCGGCGGUGACCAUCGGGGCGCGGGCGCGCCGCUCCCGUCGGCCGCGCCGGCGAGGCCGCCCUCGGGCGCGCCCUCGCGGCUGCCAAGUGGGCCCGGCCGUCAGCCGCCCGCGCCCGCGGGUGCAGCUGACGCGCGGGACCCACGGCGCCGACCGCCGCCAGCCGCGUGCGCCCGGUCCACCGUGGACCGUGGGGCUGACGCGUGGGCCCCACUUCCCGUGGACCCGGUCCGCGCGCCCCGCUCCCUCGGCUGACGCAAUAAAUAGGAUUUUUAAUUGAAAAUUAAAUGAAGAAAUUCGCAAAUAUCCAUUUAAAGAGCAUAUAAACUUCAAAUGGCCAUAUCUUGGCCAUUUGAACUCGGAAUUGGACCGUUCAAGUCUCUAAUUUUUCCUUAAGAUGUAAAGAACCCAUUUUUGUGCUUUGUUUCUGCUGUUAUGUGGAGUUAUUUAGUGUUAAAGCCUUUUUCUUUUCCGUUGGUCGUGUAGACGCUGCAGCUUCGGAAGAUCCGCUCUUCGUGGAAGUCGAAGCCGUCGAUUGGGAAAACGAGCAAGGCAAGACACAUCAUCUUGAUCAUAUUGAAUCCCAGUUUAUAAAAUUUUGUUGAUUUAAAUUAUUGCAUUAUCGCUUUAUUUAAAUUCCCGCGUUAUCACUGUUUUAUUUAGCCUUGCCUAUUUACCUUUGUUAUGACCUUAUUAUUGUUGUUAUUGUUAUUAUUACCUUGUUCACCCUAGAAUAAACAAAACCCCAACUAGUGGACACUCUACUCGUGGUAUCACUAGUAUGAUUUUAGGUAGAUGCUUCGCUUUUAAUUAGGUAACAUUAGGUGGUUUUAUAACUUUAGACUUGGGAAAUAUUCAUAUCACCUGGACACUAUGGAAUUGUUGGAUUAUUGUGGAAUUGGCUUCACACCGCCCCCUGUAUUCAAAAUCUCCUAAAAUGGUUUUAGGCUGGGCUCGGGGUGCAUGGUUUUGAUGGUAGCACCUCGGCCGUAUAAGGACCGGUCUUCGGGCCUCUGUUGCAAAGCACAACCGUACUUCCACAUGUCUAGUGGGUAAGGCUUAGUUUGUGGCUCAGUCUAGUCUUAAACAAAAGUACACGGAUUGGAGAUGGAUGAAGUCGGGGGUCGAUGGACAUUCUCCAGGGCAAAUGAAGGCUACACGAGCUGCGGCCCGGUAGUCGAGAUGUCAAAAAGCACAGGGUUGGUGCCCUGCUGCGAGGGGCUCAGUUCCGUCUGCCUGUCCCGGGGGUUCCGGCCGUAGGCGGGAUUGGGUCGGUACUCUUGUCUAUGGCUAGGAUGGGUUGGAAACUAUGUCACGUCUUUCGCCUGUAUACCGUGGUGGUAUGUGGCACGUGGUUGCACGUGAGAAAGAUGUGUCUUGUGGGUAAAGAUGUACACCUCUGAUCAGAGUAUAAUCUAUUCGAAUAGCCGCGCCCUCGGUUAUGGGCAAGCCGAGCAAUGUACCCAAGUUAGUGUUUUAAUUCUUAAAAUUUGCUUAACAACUAAAAUAUGGAAUGGUUGGCCUGGGUUGGCUUAGGACGAGCUGGGACCCAGGGUCGGGUUGCCAGUUCGGUCUGAAUCAUCAUAGGCCUUGGGUUAAGGCAGGUUCGUGUGGGUUCACGGCCUUGAUUAAUAACUUUGUAGCGUUCUAGGAUCGCGUUUACAAAGUAGCUUUGAGCAACUAAAUGUCUUUAAAUGCUGUUUACUGCAACCCUAACCCUUUAUAUUAUAAUUCCCUUGUACUCCCUUGCAUUUAUUCUGCAUUUGUGGGUGUGUCUUGUUGAGUACGGUGGUUGUACUCAGUCUUGCUUAAUUUUCCCAAGCCCAGAUGAGGAGUUCCUGGAAGAUGAAGGCUUUGGUGUCUAGCUCGUGCCUGCCGUCAAGCGCCUGUGGUCGUUGCCCUAGUCUUCCGCUGUUUUUCGUUGUCUUUGAGUGUGCUGGGCCUUCGUUGCCCAUGUAAUAAUUUUAUAUACGCUUCCGCUUGUUAAACUCUGUAUUGUAUCAACUUUUGGUGUACCUUGCCUCCUGGGACAAGGAAUAAUACACGCACGUCGGGAACGCCUGUUGGGUGAUUUCCGGUCGUGACAAGUUGGUAUCAGAGCCUCCCUUGACCCUAGGACGAGCCGUAGAUCCCAAGCCUUAGCUAUAUUUUCAAAAAAAAUAAAAAUCCUUUAUUAUUUGUGAAAACCCGCUAUUCUCUCUUUGUCUUGCUGCUUCAUUUAUCGUCAAAAUCUGAUCUUUUAAAUGUUGCUUUUCUUUUGUUUUUGUUUGUAGAUGGCCGGCAGCGUUACCCGUCGUGGUUUGGACAUGACUGGCUUCGUCUUGGAGCUGCGAGGCAUGUGCGUGGUCUUGGGGUAUCCACAUGGAGUGGAUUACCAGGCCAGGCCGCUCCCGGAGCAGGAGGGUGAGGAUGCAGAGCCUCACGCUGGUUGGGAGGUCACUGCAGUGAUCCUCUCCGGCUCUCCCGAGCGGACUUCGCUGGCAGUCACCGCGGGUGGGGAUUCCUUCCCCGCCGCUUGCCAGAACGCCGCUCUCCUCGCCAUCGGCACCCUUCACCAGCGCUACCCGGACGAGUUGCAGCACUCGCCCUACCGCUACCACCCUCGUCGCGGAGGAGCCCGCGACCACGCCACCUUCCGAGACGCCAGCUCGGAGGAUGACGCUACCGUCGUGCAUCUGGCACGCAUGGUGGAGGCGUACGACGCGGCUCGUAUCGACUUCCACCAGAUGGUGCGUCGUGGCAUGGUGGAGAACAACCUGAAGAUCCUGGAGCUGCGUCAGGAGAACCUGCAGCUCAAGAAGGACCUCGACGCGUUGGAGGCGCAGCUGCAUCAGCUCAAGAUCGCCCAGGGAGAGGACAGCCGUCCCAAGCGUCGCCGCGUCUGCCGCAGCCAGAAGAUCACCGCCCGCAAGAGCACCUCCAGGCCCGAGCUUGUUCGUCAGUCCCUGGCGUGGACCUGCUUCGUCGAGACCCCUCGUGCCGCACCUGCGCCCGUGGUUCCCCAGGAGGGGGAAGCCUCCGGCGUAGGUAGCACGGAGGAUGCGCUGUUGCUCACCUUCCGCCCUGGCCCGUCGCAGCGGUAGACGAGCAGUUAGUAGGCCUGCGCGUGUGUUCUUUCUCGUUUAUCUUCUUGUUGAGUCGUGUGGGGCAUGGUUACGCCGGUGUGUGGUGUAACUAUGUCGGAGCCUGUCUUAUUUUAUUUGCCUAAGCAACUUGAACUUUAAUGAACCAAUUUAAUAGCAGUGAUAAAUUUAAGAAUAAUGGUAGUCGUGGGUGGUUAGUUUUAAUUGUUAGCUCUCUCUCUGUUUGCUGGUUCCGUGUGGGGUUUUCAGAUGGUGACGACCAGGAGAAAUGUUAACACCGGUGAAGGCAACCAACCCGAGGGCAGCAACCCCAACCCCCAAGGCAACCCACCCCCACCACCACCACCAGACACCAACGCCAUUCUCACCCAGAUCCUCGCCCAACAAGCCAACAUGAUGACUGCUUUCCUCCACCACCUCCAAAAUCCGCCAUAACAGAAUGCUCCACCACCCCCUCCCCAACACUCCAAACUCGCCGAAUUCCUCCGCAUCCGCCCACCCACCUUCUCUAGCUCCAACAAUCCCGUAGAUGCGUUGGAUUGGUUGCAUGCCGUGGGGAAGAAGCUAGACACGGUGCAGUGCAGCGACGAAGAGAAAGUCAUCUUCGCCGCCCACCAGCUGCAGGGGCCCGCAUCUCUCUGGUGGGACCACUUCCAGGCUACGCAGCCAGAGGGGCAGCCGAUCACUUGGGCCCACUUCACCGCCGCUUUCCGGAGAACCCAUGUGCCCGCCGGAGUCGUGGCUCUCAAGAAGAGGGAAUUCCGAGAGUUGAAGCAAGGCAACCGCUCCGUGAUGGAGUAUUUGCACGAGUUCAACAAUCUGGCCCGGUACGCCCCGGAGGAUGUGCGGGAAGAUGAGGAGAAGCAAGAGAAGUUCUUGGCAGGAAUGGACCCCGAGCUAUCUGUUCGUCUAGUCUCUGGAGACUACCCGGACUUCCAACGUCUGGUGGACAAGAGCAUCCGCUUGGAGGCCAAGCACAAGGAGCUGGAGUCGCACAAGCGCUGCUUGGCGAACUUCCGCAAUCAGCAGGGUGCUAACCAGAGGGUCCGCUACACCAAUCCCUACCCAGGGGGAUCCUCCUCGCAGCAGCAACAACAGCAGCAGCCACCUCGCUCCGCGCCUCGACCUCAAUUCGUGGUGCGCGUCCCACAGCAGCAACAGCAGCAGAAUCAGCAAGGGACUCGUGCGCCCCGUCCUCCUACGCCAGCUGGGCAGCCCGUUCAAGGCCGCAGGGACGCUUCAGGUCCGCAGCGGCUGUGCUUCAACUGCUUCGAACCCGGGCACUUUGCGGACAAAUGCCCGAAGCCAAGGCGUCAGCAAGGCCAAGCGCCUCCCCGCCCCAACAACGGUGGCCAGGACGUCAUCCGUGGUCGUGUGAAUCACGUGACGGCCGAGGACGUGCUGACAACUCCCGACGUCAUCGUUGGUACGUUCCUCGUUCAUUCCAUCCCUGCUACAAUUUUGUUCGACUCUGGAGCUUCCCACUCGUUUAUAUCUGUGCCAUUCGUGGGGAGAAAUCAGUUGGGGGUAGAAAGGCUUAGAAACCCUCUGCUUAUCACCACCCCUGGAGGGGUUAUGACAGCAAAGUACUAUAGCCCUGCCGUCCCUAUAGAAAUUCAGGGGAUUCCUUUUCCCUCGGAUCUGAUUCUGCUAGAUACCAAGAACUUGGAUGUGAUCCUUGGGAUGAAUUGGUUGGCCCAAUUCCAAGGGGUAGUGGAUUGCGCGAGACGCACUGUUACUCUGUACCGAGGGCCAGAACAACCGGUUGUUUUCUUUGCACCCCCAACCUCUGUCAGAAGUUCAGAACUUCAUCAGAUAGAACUGUCAGAAAUCCCCAUAGUCAGAGAGUUCGGAGACGUGUUUCCGGAAGAACUACCUGGUAUGCCGCCCAAGCGAGAGAUUGAGUUCCGGAUAGAUCUUGCUCCAGGAACCACUCCUCUGCACAAGCGACCCUACCGUAUGGCAGCAAAUGAACUGGCCGAAGUUAAGAAACAGUUGGAAGAGUUGAAAGAAAAGGGGUAUAUACGUCCGAGUACUUCCUCUUGGGGUGCUCCUGUGAUUUUUGUGGAGAAGAAAGACAAAACGAAGAGGAUGUGCGUUGACUACAGAGCUCUCAAUGAAGUCACCAUCAAAAACAAGUACCCUCUUCCCCGGAUCGAUGAUCUGUUCGAUCAGCUUAAAGGUGCCACUGUAUUCUCCAAGAUUGAUCUUCGUUCCGGAUAUCACCAAUUACGUAUUCGUGAAGAAGAUAUUCCGAAGACCGCAUUCACUACGCGAUAUGGACUGUAUGAAUUCACGGUGAUGUCGUUCGGCUUAACCAAUGCUCCUGCCUUCUUCAUGAACUUGAUGAACAAAGUGUUCAUGGAAUACUUGGAUAAGUUCGUUGUGGUUUUCAUCGAUGACAUUCUGAUAUACUCACAAUCAGAGGAAGACCAUCAGCACCAUCUCCGUCUGGUGUUGGGAAAGUUGCGGGAACAUCAAUUGUAUGCCAAGCUUAGCAAGUGUGAGUUCUGGUUGUCCGAAGUCAAAUUCUUGGGGCACGUGAUAUCUGCUAAAGGAGUUGCUGUGGACCCCGAAACAGUGACCGCCGUCACCGAUUGGAAGCAACCCAAGACAGUCACUCAGAUUCGCAGUUUCUUGGGUUUGGCAGGAUACUACCGGAGGUUCAUCGAGAACUUCUCCAAAAUCGCUCGACCCAUGACACAGUUGUUGAAGAAAGAAGAGAAGUUUGUGUGGAGCCCGCAAUGCGAGAAGGCGUUCCAAACUCUCAAAGAAAAGCUGGUUUCCUCGCCAGUGUUAAUCUUGCCGGAUACUCGCAAGGAUUUCAUGGUGUAUUGUGAUGCUUCGCGCCAAGGAUUGGGGUGCGUGCUCAUGCAGGACGGUCAUGUGGUAGCCUAUGCUUCACGUCAGCUACGACCUCAUGAGGGCAACUACCCUACGCAUGACUUGGAGUUAGCAGCGGUGGUUCAUGCUCUAAAAAUCUGGCGGCACUAUCUCAUUGGGAACCGCUGUGAAAUAUAUACUGAUCACAAGAGCUUGAAAUACAUCUUCACCCAGUCGGAUCUGAAUCUUCGGCAAAGGAGAUGGUUAGAACUCAUCAAGGAUUAUGAUGUGGGAAUACACUAUCAUCCUGGUAAGGCCAACGUGGUUGCCGACGCUCUAAGUCGAAAGAGCCACUGCAACACUCUCAACGUCCGAGGCAUUCCACCCGAGCUUAAUCAACAGAUGGAAGCCCUGAACCUAAGCAUAGUUGGUCGUGGAUUUUUGGCCGCGUUGGAAGCCAAGCCCACCUUGCUCGAUCAAAUCCGCGAGGCUCAGAAGAAUGAUCCGGACAUGCAUGGACUCCUCAAGAAUAUGAAACAGGGUAAAGCCGCUGGUUUCACAGAGGAUGAACACGGAACCUUAUGGAACGGAAAGCGGGUAUGCGUUCCAGAUAGCAGAGAACUUAAACAGCUGAUACUUCAGGAAGCUCACGAAAGUCCUUAUUCCAUUCACCCGGGCAGUACCAAGAUGUACUUAGACUUGAAGGAGAAAUACUGGUGGGUCAGCAUGAAGCGGGAAAUUGCAGAGUUUGUGGCUCUAUGUGAUGUGUGCCAGCGUGUCAAGGCAGAGCACCAGCGACCGGCUGGACUUCUCCAGCCUCUCCAAGUGCCGGAAUGGAAAUGGGAUGAAAUUGGGAUGGAUUUCAUCACCGGCCUUCCAAAAACCCAAGGUGGAUAUGAUUCUAUAUGGGUAAUAGUGGAUCGAUUAACCAAGGUAGCUCGAUUCAUUCCUGUGAAGACCACCUAUGGAGGGAAUAAACUAGCGGAGCUCUACUUCGCUAGGGUCGUGAGUCUCCAUGGCGUUCCCAAGAAAAUCGUAUCUGAUAGGGGAAGCCAAUUCAUGUAACGUCCCGCCUCCCCCAGGCCGGGCCCGCUUACAUCUGAUAGCUUUCAUAGGUCAUAGACUGCCCUCACAGACCAACACAUAUCUUUUCUGCACACUUUGUCCUCACUCGUGUGCACCUAGGAAGAAUUUCCCGGUCGGUCACCCAUCCCAAAUUGCUCCAGGCCAAGCACGCUUAACCCUGGAGUUUUUUGGAGAUUGGCUUCCGGAAAAGAAGUUGCAACUUGUUGAUAUGAGUAUUCUAUUAAUCCUAUUAAGCCCUAGGCCGGGAUGUUACACCCUCACCCCCUUAAGAGAGAUCGACGCCCCCGUCGAUCAACCCUAGGCCAGGAACGUCCUCUCUUGGCCACGUCCAUGAGUCCAGUGCCAGCGCAUGUGCCAUGCUGUGUAACCACUCCCGGUCUACACCAGCCAUGCGCACCAUGCCUGCGCAACUGCGACACACGCGCCCGUGAAACCGCGAGAGUCGGCUCUGAUACCAUCUUGUCACGACCGGAAAUCACCCAACAGGCGUUCCUGACGUGCGUGUAUUAUUCCUUGUCCCAGGAGGCAAGGUACACCAAAAGUUGAUACAAUUCAGAGUUUAACAAGCGGAAGCGUAUAUAUAAUUAUUACACGGGCAACAACGGCCCAGCACACAAAGACAACGAAAAACAGCGGAAGACUAGGGCGACGACCACAGGCGCUUGACGGCAGGCACGAGCUAGACACCGAAGCCUUCAUCUUCCAGGAACUCCUCAUCUGGGCUUGGGAAAAUUAAGCAAGACUGAGUACAACCACCGUACUCAACAAGACACACCCACGAAUGCAGAAUAAAUGCAAGGGAGUACAAGGGAAUUAUAACAUAAAGGGUUAGGGUUGCAGUAAACAGCAUUUAAAGACAUUUAGUUGCUCAGGGCUAUUUUGUAAACACGAUCUUAGAACUACACAAUGUUAUUAAUCAAGGCCGUGAACCCGCACGAACCUGCCUUAACCCAAGGCCUAUGAUGAUUCAGACCGAACUGGCAACCCGACCCUGGGUCCCAGCUCGUCCUAAGCCAACCCAGGCCAACCAUUCCAUAUUUUAGUUGUUAAGCAAGUUUUAAGAAUUAAAACACUAACUUGGGUACAUUGCUCGGCUUGCCCAUAACCGAGGGCUCAGCUAUUCGAAUAGAUUAUACUCUGAUCAGAGGUGUACAACUUUACCCACAAGACACAUCUUCCUCACGUGUUGCCACGUGCCACAUACCACCACCACGGUAUACGGACGGAAGACGUGACAUAGUUUCCAACCCAUCCUAGCCUUAGACAAGAGUACCGACCCAAUCCUACCUACGGCCGGGAUACCCGGGACAGGCAGGCAGAACUGAGCCCCUAGCAUUGGGCACCAACCCUCCGCCGUAUGACAUCUCGACUACCGGGCCGCAGCUCGUGUAGCCUUCAUUUGCCCUGGAGAAUGUCCAUCGACGCCCGACUUCAUCCAUCUCCAAUCCGUGUACUUUUGUUUAUGACUAGACUGAGCCACAAACUAAGCCUUACCCAUUAGACAUGUGGAAGUACGGUAGUGCUUUGCAACAGAGGCCCGAGCUUAAUCCUUAUAGUGGCCGGGGUGCUACUUCCCACAACUGGCAUGCACCCAAACCCCACCGAAAACAGGUUUUAGGGGUUUUGAAAGGGGAAGAGAGGUGUAUGUCCAAUUCCACCAUAAACCAACAAUUCCAUAGUGUCCAAAUGAUCUGAGCAUUCCCAAAGUCUAAAGUUGUAAAACCUCCUAAUGUUACCUAAUUAAAUUGCGAAGCAUCUACCUAGAAUUAAACUAGUGGUGUCAUGAGUAGAGUGUCCACUAGUUGGGGUUUUGUUUGAUCUAGGGUGAACAAGGUAAUAAUAAUAACAAUGACAAUAAUAAUAUGGUCAUAACAAAGGUAAAUAGGCAUGGCUAAGUAAAACAGUGAUAACGCGGGAAUUUAAAUAAAGCGAUAAUGCAAUAAUUUAAAUCAACAUAAUUUUAUAAAAUGGGAUUCAAUAUGAUCAAGAUGAUGUGUCUUGCCUUGCUCGUUUUCCCAAUCGACGGCUUCGACUUCCACGAAGAGCGGAUCUUCCGAAGCUGCAGCGUCUACACGACCAACGGAAAAGAAAAAGGCUUUAACACUAAAUAACUCCACAUAACAGCAGAAACAAAGCACAAAAAUGGGUUCUUUACAUCUUAAGGAAAAAUUAGAGACUUGAACGGUCCAAUUCCGAGUUCAAAUGGCCAAGAUAUGGCCAUUUGAAGUUUAUAUGCUCUUUAAAUGGAUAUUUACGAAUUUCUUCAUUUAAUUUUCAAUUAAAAAUCGGAUUAUUGCGUCAGCCGAGGGGCGGGCGCGCGGACCGGGUCCACGGGAAGUGGGGCCCACGCGUCAGCCGCUCGGUCCACGGUGGACCGGGCGCACGCGGCUGGCGGCGGUCGGCGCCGUGGGUCCCGCGCGUCAGCCGCACCCGCGGGCGCGGGCGGCUGACGGCCGGGCCCACUUGGCAGCCGCGAGGGCGCGCCCGAGGGCGGCCUCGCCGGCACGGCCGACGGGAGCGGCGCGCCCGCGCCCCGAUGGUCACCGCCGGCGACCAUCGGCGCGGCGGAGCGGCGCCCGAGAGAGAGGAGGGAAGGGGGAAGGCGAACGGCGGUCCUCGGCUCACCCCGGGACAACGACGACGACGAGAGCGGCGGACGGAGCGGAAGAAGGCGGCGGCGCGGCUCGGGAUGACGAUGGCGACGGCGCUCCGACGGUCGACGGGCGAAGCGGAGCGGCGGACGGGGUCGGCGGCAACACGGCGAAGCGGAUGGAGGGGUCGCCGAGUCGGGAGGAAGUCCGGAGCGGCGGCGGCGGCGGAACGGAGCUCGGCGGCGACGGCGGAGAGAGAGGAGCACGGCGCGAGCACGAUUCCGACGGCGAGAGCGAGCGGCGAGCGGCGGAAACGGAAGAGCGGAGCUCGGGGAGCAAUUAUAUAGCAACGGGAGGGAGAGAGGGCGGCCGGAGAGAGAGGAAACGGGCGCGGAGAUCUCGGCUCCAUUGAAUACGCCGGCGAGGUUUGCGGGAUUGAUUCCGAGCGAAUCCGAGGGAGAGAGAGAGGGGAAAGAGGGGGAAUCGGGAGAGGGGAUUGCGGGGAAUAAUUCCCCCCUCUUGAUUGCACGCGGGGCGGAUGGGAGCGGCGGGAUUCGCGGCGGCGGCGGCGCUAGGGCACGGGCGCGGCGGCGGGCGCGGCGGGAGGAAGGCGAUGACAGGUGGGUCCCACCCGUCAGCGAGAGUGGCGGGCGGGCCCGCCUGUCAGCGGCGCGCGCGCGCGCGGGGAGCCGAUGGGCCGGGGGGGGGAAAGAGAGAGAGAGGGAGGGAAUGGGCCGAGCCGGCCCAAGAAGGGAGGAGGAGGGGGAAAAGACUUCUUUUAGGGUUUUCUUUUUAUAAAACCUUUUUAACUUUGUUUAUUUCUUUUCACUUAUUAUUUGUGCUCUGAAAAUUCCACUAAAAUUUGUUUAAGCAUUUUAGGCUUUUAGGAAAUAUACAAAAAUCCUCCAAGCCUCAUUUGACUUUUAUCUUUGCACAUUUUAAUUGUUGGAGGCUUUCACAUUGAAUUUUACUUAUUCUUUUGCACAAUUUUGAGGAUAGAUUUUAGAGUCGAUUUGGGACGCGACAAACCUCCAACGCGUCGAGGUCCUUCUUGAGCUGCAGGUUCUCCUGGCGCAGCUCCAGGAUCUUCAGGUUGUUCUCCACCAUGCCACGACGCACCAUCUGAUGGAAGUCAAUACGAGCUGCGUCGUAUGCCUCCACCAUGCGUGCCAGAUGCACGACGGUAGCGUCGUCCUCCGAGCUGGCGUCUCGGAAGGUGGCGUAGUCGCGGGCUCCUCCGCGACGAGGGUGGUAGCGGUAGGGCGAGUGCUGCAACUCGUCCGGGUAGCGCUGGUGAAGGGUGCCGAUGGCGAGGAGAGCGGCGUUCUGGCAAGCGGCGGGGAAGGAAUCUCCACCCGCGGUGACUGCCAGCGAAGUCCGCUCGGGAGAGCCGGAGAGGAUCACUGCAGUGACCUCCCAACCAGCGUGAGGCUCUGCAUCCUCACCCUCCUGCUCCGGGAGCGGCCUGGCCUGGUAAUCCACUCCAUGUGGAUACCCCAAGACCACGCACAUGCCUCGCAGCUCCAAGACGAAGCCAGUCAUGUCCAAACCACGACGGGUGACGCUGCCGGCCAUCUAAAAACAAAGAAAAGAAAAGCAACAUUUUCAAAGAUCAGAUUUUGACGAUAAAUGAAGCAGCAAGACAAAGAGAGAAUAGCGGGUUUUCACAAAUAAUAGAGGAUUUUUAUUUUUGAAAAUAUAGCUAAGGCUUGGGAUCUACGGCUCGUCCUAGGGUCAAGGAAGGCUUAGAAACCCUCUGCUCAUCACCACCCCUGGAGGGGUUAUGACAGCAAAGUAUUAUAGCCCUGUCGUCCCUAUAGAAAUUCAGGGGAUUCCUUUUCCCUCGGAUCUGAUUCUGCUAGACACCAAGAAUUUGGAUGUGAUUCUUGGGAUGAAUUGGUUGGCUCAAUUCCAAGGAGUAGUGGAUUGCGCGAGGCGCACUGUCACUCUGUACCGAGGGCCAGAACAACCGGUUGUUUUCUUUGCACCUCCAACCUCUGUCAGAAGUUCAGAACUGCAUCAGAUAGGUCUGUCAGAAAUCCCCAUAGUCAGAGAGUUCGGAGACGUGUUUCCGGAAGAACUACCUGGUAUGCCGCCCAAGCGAGAGAUUGAGUUCCGGAUAGAUCUUGCUCCAGGAACCACUCCUCUGCACAAGCGACCCUACCGUAUGGCAGCAAAUGAACUGGCCGAAGUAAAGAAACAGUUGGAAGAGUUGAAAGAAAAGGGGUACAUACGUCCGAGUACUUCCCCAUGGGGUGCUCCUGUGAUUUUUGUGGAGAAGAAAGACAAAACGAAGAGGAUGUGCGUUGACUACAGAGCUCUCAAUGAAGUUACCAUCAAAAACCAGUACCCUCUUCCCCGGAUCGAUAAUCUGUUCGAUCAGCUUAAAGGUGCCACCGUAUUCUCCAAGAUUGAUCUCCGUUCCGGAUAUCACCAAUUACGUAUUCGUGAAGAAGAUAUUCCGAAGACCGCAUUCACUACGCGAUACGGGCUGUAUGAAUUCACGGUGAUGUCGUUCGGUUUAACCAAUGCACCUGCCUUCUUCAUGAACUUAAUGAACAAAGUGUUCAUGGAAUACUUGGAUAAGUUCGUUGUGGUUUUCAUCGAUGACAUUCUGAUAUACUCACAAUCAGAGGAAGACCAUCAGCACCAUCUCCGUCUGGUGUUGGGAAAGUUGCGGGAACAUCAAUUGUAUGCCAAGCUUAGCAAGUGUGAGUUCUGGUUGUCCGAAGUCAAAUUCUUGGGGCACGUGAUAUCUGCUAAAGGAGUUGCUGUGGACCCCGAAACAGUGACCGCCGUCACCGAUUGGAAGCAACCUAAGACAGUCACUCAGAUUCGUAGUUUCUUGGGUUUGGCAGGAUACUACCGGAGGUUCAUCGAGAACUUCUCCAAAAUCGCUCGACCCAUGACACAGUUGUUGAAGAAAGAAGAGAAGUUUGUGUGGAGCCCGCAAUGCGAGAAGGCGUUCCAAACUCUCAAAGAAAAGCUGGUUUCCUCGCCAGUGUUAAUCUUGCCGGAUACUCGCAAGGAUUUCAUGGUGUAUUGUGAUGCUUCGCGCCAAGGAUUGGGGUGCGUGCUCAUGCAGGACGGUCAUGUGGUAGCCUAUGCCUCACGCCAGCUACGACCUCAUGAAGGCAACUACCCUACACAUGACUUGGAGUUAGCAGCGGUGGUUCAUGCUCUAAAAAUCUGGCGGCACUAUCUCAUUGGGAACCGCUGUGAAAUAUAUACUGAUCACAAGAGCUUGAAAUACAUCUUCACCCAGUCGGAUCUGAAUCUUCGGCAAAGGAGAUGGUUAGAACUCAUCAAGGAUUAUGAUGUGGGAAUACACUAUCAUCCUGGUAAGGCCAACGUGGUUGCCGACGCUCUAAGUCGAAAGAGCCACUGCAACACUCUCAACGUCCGUGGCAUUCCACCCGAGCUUAAUCAACAGAUGGAAGCCCUGAACCUAAGCAUAGUUGGUCGCGGAUUCUUGGCUGCGUUGGAAGCCAAGCCCACCUUGCUCGAUCAAAUCCGCGAGGCUCAGAAGAACGAUCCGGACAUGCAUGGACUCCUCAAGAAUAUGAAACAGGGUAAAGCCGCUGGGUUCACAGAGGAUGAACACGGAACCUUAUGGAACGGAAAGCGAGUAUGCGUUCCAGAUAGCAGAGAACUUAAACAGCUGAUACUUCAGGAAGCUCACGAAAGUCCUUAUUCCAUUCACCCGGGCAGUACCAAGAUGUACUUAGACUUGAAGGAGAAAUACUGGUGGGUUAGCAUGAAGCGGGAAAUUGCAGAGUUUGUGGCUCUAUGUGAUGUGUGCCAGCGUGUCAAGGCAGAACACCAGCGACCGGCCGGACUUCUCCAACCUCUCCAAGUGCCGGAGUGGAAAUGGGAUGAAAUUGGGAUGGAUUUCAUCACCGGCCUUCCAAAAACCCAAGGUGGAUAUGAUUCUAUAUGGGUAGUUGUGGAUCGAUUAACCAAGGUAGCUCGAUUCAUUCCUGUGAAGACCACCUAUGGAGGGAACAAACUAGCGGAGCUCUACUUCGCUAGGAUCGUGAGUCUCCAUGGCGUUCCCAAGAAAAUCGUAUCUGAUAGGGGAAGCCAAUUCACCUCUCACUUUUGGAAGAAGCUCCAAGAAGAGCUGGGUACUCGAUUGAAUUUCAGCACCGCAUAUCACCCGCAGACAGAUGGACAGACCGAGCGUCUGAAUCAGAUUCUAGAAGAUAUGCUCCGCGCAUGUGUCCUAGAUUUCGGGAAGACUUGGGAUAAGAGUCUCCCCUAUGCCGAGUUCUCCUACAAUAACAGCUAUCAAGCCAGCAUACAAAUGGCACCCUAUGAAGCGUUGUACGGGCGCAAGUGCCGGACACCGCUAUUGUGGGACCAAGUUGGAGAAAGCCAAGUGUUCGGGACUGAUAUCCUGAGAGAAGCUGAAGCUAAAGUCAGAAUCAUUCGGGAUAAUCUAAAGGUGGCACAGUCUCGGCAGAAAAGUUAUGCAGAUAACCGUCGCCGUGAUCUGGAAUUCGCAGUGGAUGAUUUUGUGUACCUUCGGGUCACGCCAUUGCGAGGUGUGCACAGGUUUCAGACAAAAGGGAAGCUCGCGCCUCGGUAUGUGGGUCCCUUCCGUAUCAUCGCUCGACGCGGAGAAGUUGCUUACCAGCUGGAGUUGCCCGCCUCCUUGGGCAACGUGCAUGAUGUGUUCCAUGUGUCGCAACUCAAGAAAUGUCUUCGAGUGCCAUCCGAGCAGGCCGACUCAGAGCAAAUUGAAGUUCGCGAAGAUUUGACCUAUGUGGAGAGGCCAGUGAAAAUCCUGGACACCAUGGAGCGCAAAUUGAAGUUCGCCGCUGACAGGCGGGCCCGCCCGCCACUCUCGCUGACGGGUGGGACCCACCUGUCAUCGCCUUCCUCCCGCCGCGCCCGCCGCCGCGCCCGUGCCCUAGCGCCGCCGCCGCCGCGAAUCCCGCCGCUCCCGUCCGCCCCGCGUGCAAUCAAGAGGGGGGAAUUAUUCCCCGCAAUCCCCUCUCCCGAUUCCCCCUCUUUCCCCUCUCUCUCUCCCUCGGAUUCGCUCGGAAUCAAUCCCGCAAACCUCGCCGGCGUAUUCAAUGGAGCCGAGAUCUCCGCGCCCGUUUCCUCUCUCUCCGGCCGCCCUCUCUCCCUCCCGUUGCUAUAUAAUUGCUCCCCGAGCUCCGCUCUUCCGUUUCCGCCGCUCGCCGCUCGCUCUCGCCGUCGGAAUCGUGCUCGCGCCGUGCUCCUCUCUCUCCGCCGUCGCCGCCGAGCUCCGUUCCGCCGCCGCCGCCGCUCCGGACUUCCUCCCGACUCGGUGACCCCUCCAUCCGCUUCGCCGUGUUGCCGCCGACCCCGUCCGCCGCUCCGCUUCGCCCGUCGACCGUCGGAGCGCCGUCGCCAUCGUCAUCCCGAGCCGCGCCGCCGCCUUCUUCCGCUCCGUCCGCCGCUCUCGUCGUCGUCGUUGUCCCGGGGUGAGCCGAGGACCGCCGUUCGCCUUCCCCCUUCCCUCCUCUCUCUCGGGCGCCGCUCCGCCGCGCCGAUGGUCGCCGGCGGUGACCAUCGGGGCGCGGGCGCGCCGCUCCCGUCGGCCGUGCCGGCGAGGCCGCCCUCGGGCGCGCCCUCGCGGCUGCCAAGUGGGCCCGGCCGUCAGCCGCCCGCGCCCGCGGGUGCGGCUGACGCGCGGGACCCACGGCGCCGACCGCCGCCAGCCGCGUGCGCCCGGUCCACCGUGGACCGAGCGGCUGACGCGUGGGCCCCACUUCCCGUGGACCCGGUCCGCGCGCCCGCCCCUCGGCUGACGCAAUAAUCCGAUUUUUAAUUGAAAAUUAAAUGAAGAAAUUCGUAAAUAUCCAUUUAAAGAGCAUAUAAACUUCAAAUGGCCAUAUCUUGGCCAUUUGAACUCGGAAUUGGACCGUUCAAGUCUCUAAUUUUUCCUUAAGAUGUAAAGAACCCAUUUUUGUGCUUUGUUUCUGCUGUUAUGUGGAGUUAUUUAGUGUUAAAGCCUUUUUCUUUUCCGUUGGUCGUGUAGACGCUGCAGCUUCGGAAGAUCCGCUCUUCGUGGAAGUCGAAGCCGUCGAUUGGGAAAACGAGCAAGGCAAGACACAUCAUCUUGAUCAUAUUGAAUCCCAUUUUAUAAAAUUAUGUUGAUUUAAAUUAUUGCAUUAUCGCUUUAUUUAAAUUCCCGCGUUAUCACUGUUUUACUUAGCCAUGCCUAUUUACCUUUGUUAUGACCAUAUUAUUAUUGUCAUUGUUAUUAUUAUUACCUUGUUCACCCUAGAUCAAACAAAACCCCAACUAGUGGACACUCUACUCAUGACACCACUAGUUUAAUUCUAGGUAGAUGCUUCGCAAUUUAAUUAGGUAACAUUAGGAGGUUUUACAACUUUAGACUUUGGGAAUGCUCAGAUCAUUUGGACCCUAUGGAAUUGUUGGUUUAUGGUGGAAUUGGACAUACACCUCUCUUCCCCUUUCAAAACCCCUAAAACCUGUUUUCGGUGGGGUUUGGGUGCAUGCCAGUUGUGGGAAGUAGCACCCCGGCCACUAUAAGGAUUAAGCUCGGGCCUCUGUUGCAAAGCACUACCGUACUUCCACAUGUCUAAUGGGUAAGGCUUAGUUUGUGGCUCAGUCUAGUCAUAAACAAAAGUACACGGAUUGGAGAUGGAUGAAGUCGGGCGUCGAUGGACAUUCUCCAGGGCAAAUGAAGGCUACACGAGCUGCGGCCCGGUAGUCGAGAUGUCAUACGGCGGAGGGUUGGUGCCCAAUGCUAGGGGCUCAGUUCUGCCUGCCUGUCCCGGGUAUCCCGGCCGUAGGUAGGAUUGGGUCGGUACUCUUGUCUAAGGCUAGGAUGGGUUGGAAACUAUGUCACGUCUUCCGUCCGUAUACCGUGGUGGUAUGUGGCACGUGGCAACACGUGAGGAAGAUGUGUCUUGUGGGUAAAGAUGUACACCUCUGAUCAGAGUAUAAUCUAUUCGAAUAGCCGAGCCCUCGGUUAUGGGCAAGCCGAGCAAUGUACCCAAGUUAGUGUUUUAAUUCUUAAAACUUGCUUAACAACUAAAAUAUGGAAUGGUUGGCCUGGGUUGGCUUAGGACGAGCUGGGACCCAGGGUCGGGUUGCCAGUUCGGUCUGAAUCAUCAUAGGCCUUGGGUUAAGGCAGGUUCGUGCGGGUUCACGGCCUUGAUUAAUAACAUUGUGUAGUUCUAAGAUCGUGUUUACAAAAUAGCCCUGAGCAACUAAAUGUCUUUAAAUGCUGUUUACUGCAACCCUAACCCUUUAUGUUAUAAUUCCCUUGUACUCCCUUGCAUUUAUUCUGCAUUCGUGGGUGUGUCUUGUUGAGUACGGUGGUUGUACUCAGUCUUGCUUAAUUUUCCCAAGCCCAGAUGAGGAGUUCCUGGAAGAUGAAGGCUUCGGUGUCUAGCUCGUGCCUGCCGUCAAGCGCCUGUGGUCGUCGCCCUAGUCUUCCGCUGUUUUUCGUUGUCUUUGUGUGCUGGGCCGUUGUUGCCCGUGUAAUAAUUAUAUAUACGCUUCCGCUUGUUAAACUCUGAAUUGUAUCAACUUUUGGUGUACCUUGCCUCCUGGGACAAGGAAUAAUACACGCACGUCAGGAACGCCUGUUGGGUGAUUUCCGGUCGUGACAAUUCACCUCUCACUUUUGGAAGAAGCUCCAAGAAGAGCUUGGUACCCGACUAAAUUUCAGCACCGCGUAUCACCCGCAGACAGAUGGACAGACCGAGCGUCUAAAUCAGAUCUUAGAAGAUAUGCUUCGCGCAUGUGUCCUAGACUUCGGGAAGACUUGGGAUAAGAGUCUCCCCUAUGCCGAGUUCUCCUACAAUAACAGCUAUCAAGCCAGCAUACAAAUGGCACCUUAUGAAGCGUUGUACGGGCGCAAAUGCUGAACACCGCUAUUGUGGGACCAAGUUGGAGAAAGCCAAGUGUUCGGGACUGAUAUCCUGAGAGAAGCUGAAGCUAAAGUCAGAAUCAUUCGGGAUAACUUAAAGGUGGCACAGUCCCGGCAGAAAAGUUAUGCCGAUAACCGACGCCGUGAUCUGGAAUUCGCAGUGGAUGAUUUUGUGUACCUUCGGGUCACGCCAUUGCGAGGGGUGCACAGGUUUCGGACAAAAGGGAAGCUCGCACCUCGGUAUGUGGGUCCCUUUCGUAUCACUGCUCGACGCGGAGAAGUCGCCUACCAGCUGGAGUUGCCCGCCUCCUUGGGUAACGUGCAUGAUGUGUUCCAUGUGUUGCAACUCAAGAAAUGUCUCCGAGUGCCAUCCGAGCAGGCCAACUCAGAGCAAAUUGAAGUUCGCGAAGACCUGACGUAUGUGGAGAAGCCAGUGAAAAUCCUGGACACCAUGGAGCGCAGGACCAGGAACCGGGUAAUCCAUUUUUGCAAGGUCCAGUGGAGCAACCACGCCGAAGAAGAAGCUACUUGGGAGCGCGAAGACGAGCUGAAGGCAGCCCAUCCCGAUCUCUUCGCCAGUUCUUCCGAAUCUCGGGGUCGAGAUUCCGUUUAAGGGGGGUAGGUUUGUCGCGUCCCAAAUCGACUCUAAAAUCUAUCCUCGAAAUUGUGCAAAGAAUAAUUAAAAUUCAUGUGAAAACCUCCAACAAUUAAAAUGUGCAAAUGUAAAAGUCAAACGAGGCUUGGAGGAUUUUUGUAUAUUUCCUAAAAGCCUAAAAUGCUUAAACAAAUUUUAGUGGAAUUUUCAGAGCACAAAUAAUAAUUGAAAAGAAAUAAACAAAGUGGAAAAGGUUUAUAAAAAAAAGAAAAUCCUAAAAGUUCUUUUUCUCCCCCCCCCUUCCCUCUUGGGCCGGCUCGGCCCACUUCUCCCUCCCUCUCUCUCUCUCCUCCCCCGCGGCCCAUCGGCCUCCCCGCGCGCGCGCGCCGCUGACAGGCGGGCCCGCCCGCCGCUCUCGCUGACGGGUGGGGCCCACCUGUCAUCGCCUUCCUCCCGCCGCGCCCGCCGCCGCGCCCGUGCCCUAGCGCCGCCGCCGCCGCGGAUUGCGCCGCAUCCCGCCGUCCCCGCGCGCAUUAAAGAGAGGGGAAUCACUCCCCGUGAUUCCCUCUCCCGUUUCCCCCGUUUUCCCCUCUCUCUCUCCCUCGGAUUCGUCCGAUUUCCUUCCCGCAUUCAUCGCCGGCGCAUCUAUGGCGGCCGAAAUCUCCGCGACCGAUUCCUCCCUCUCCGGCCGCUCUUUCCUUCCCCCGGCGCUAUUUAAACGUUGCCCGAGCUCCGCUCUUCCGUUUCCGCCGCUCGCCGCUCGCUCUCGCCGUCGGAUUCGUGCUCGCGCCGUGCUCCGCUCUCUCCGCCAUCGCCGCCGAGCUCCGUUCCGCCGCCGCCGCCGCUCCGGACUUCCUCCUUACUCGGCGACACCUCCGUCCGCUUCGCCGUGUUGCCGCCGACCCCGUCCGCCGCUCCGCUUCGCCCGUCGACUGCCGGAGCGCCGUCGCCCUCGGCAUCCCGACCUGCGCUGCCGUCUUCCUCCGCUCCGGCCGCCGUUCUCGUCGUCGUCGUUGUCCCGGGGUGAGCCGAGGACCGCCGUUCGCCUUCCCCCUUCCCUCCUCUCUCUCGGGCGCCGCUCCGCCGCGCCGGUGGUCGCCGGCGGUGACCAUCGGGGCGCGGGCGCACCGCUCCCGUCGGCCGCGCCGGCGAGGCCGCCCUCGGGCGCGCCCUCGCGGCUGCCAAGUGGGCCCGGCCGUCAGCCGCCCGCGCCCGCGGGUGCGGCUGACGCGCGGGACCCACGGCGCCGACCGCCGCCAGCCGCGUGCGCCCGGUCCACCGUGGACCGUGGGGCUGACGCGUGGGCCCCACUUCCCGUGGACCCGGUCCGCGCGCCCCGCUCCCUCGGCUGACGCAAUAAAUAGGAUUUUUAAUUGAAAAUUAAAUGAAGAAAUUCGCAAAUAUCCAUUUAAAGAGCAUAUAAACUUCAAAUGGCCAUAUCUUGGCCAUUUGAACUCGGAAUUGGACCGUUCAAGUCUCUAAUUUUUCCUUAAGAUGUAAAGAACCCAUUUUUGUGCUUUGUUUCUGCUGUUAUGUGGAGUUAUUUAGUGUUAAAGCCUUUUUCUUUUCCGUUGGUCGUGUAGACGCUGCAGCUUCGGAAGAUCCGCUCUUCGUGGAAGUCGAAGCCGUCGAUUGGGAAAACGAGCAAGGCAAGACACAUCAUCUUGAUCAUAUUGAAUCCCAGUUUAUAAAAUUAUGUUGAUUUAAAUUAUUGCAUUAUCGCUUUAUUUAAAUUCCCGCGUUAUCACUGUUUUAUUUAGCCUUGCCUAUUUACCUUUGUUAUGACCUUAUUAUUGUUGUUAUUGUUAUUAUUACCUUGUUCACCCUAGAAUAAACAAAACCCCAACUAGUGGACACUCUACUCGUGGUAUCACUAGUAUGAUUUUAGGUAGAUGCUUCGCUUUUAAUUAGGUAACAUUAGGUGGUUUUAUAACUUUAGACUUGGGAAAUAUUCAUAUCACCUGGACACUAUGGAAUUGUUGGAUUAUUGUGGAAUUGGCUUCACACCGCCCCCUGUAUUCAAAAUCUCCUAAAAUGGUUUUAGGCUGGGCUCGGGGUGCAUGGUUUUGAUGGUAGCACCUCGGCCGUAUAAGGACCGGUCUUCGGGCCUCUGUUGCAAAGCACUACCGUACUUCCACAUGUCUAGUGGGUAAGGCUUAGUUUGUGGCUCAGUCUAGUCUUAAACAAAAGUACACGGAUUGGAGAUGGAUGAAGUCGGGGGUCGAUGGACAUUCUCCAGGGCAAAUGAAGGCUACACGAGCUGCGGCCCGGUAGUCGAGAUGUCAAAAAGCACAGGGUUGGUGCCCUGCUGCGAGGGGCUCAGUUCCGUCUGCCUGUCCCGGGGGUUCCGGCCGUAGGCGGGAUUGGGUCGGUACUCUUGUCUAUGGCUAGGAUGGGUUGGAAACUAUGUCACGUCUUUCGCCUGUAUACCGUGGUGGUAUGUGGCACGUGGUUGCACGUGAGAAAGAUGUGUCUUGUGGGUAAAGAUGUACACCUCUGAUCAGAGUAUAAUCUAUUCGAAUAGCCGCGCCCUCGGUUAUGGGCAAGCCGAGCAAUGUACCCAAGUUAGUGUUUUAAUUCUUAAAAUUUGCUUAACAACUAAAAUAUGGAAUGGUUGGCCUGGGUUGGCUUAGGACGAGCUGGGACCCAGGGUCGGGUUGCCAGUUCGGUCUGAAUCAUCAUAGGCCUUGGGUUAAGGCAGGUUCGUGUGGGUUCACGGCCUUGAUUAAUAACUUUGUAGCGUUCUAGGAUCGCGUUUACAAAGUAGCUUUGAGCAACUAAAUGUCUUUAAAUGCUGUUUACUGCAACCCUAACCCUUUAUAUUAUAAUUCCCUUGUACUCCCUUGCAUUUAUUCUGCAUUUGUGGGUGUGUCUUGUUGAGUACGGUGGUUGUACUCAGUCUUGCUUAAUUUUCCCAAGCCCAGAUGAGGAGUUCCUGGAAGAUGAAGGCUUUGGUGUCUAGCUCGUGCCUGCCGUCAAGCGCCUGUGGUCGUUGCCCUAGUCUUCCGCUGUUUUUCGUUGUCUUUGAGUGUGCUGGGCCUUCGUUGCCCAUGUAAUAAUUUUAUAUACGCUUCCGCUUGUUAAACUCUGUAUUGUAUCAACUUUUGGUGUACCUUGCCUCCUGGGACAAGGAAUAAUACACGCACGUCGGGAACGCCUGUUGGGUGAUUUCCGGUCGUGACAGCGGUGCUCCGGCGGUCGGCGGGCGAAACGGAGGAGCAGACGAGGUCGGCGAGGACGCGGCGAAGCCGAAGGAGGCGAUGCCGAAGCGGGAGGAAGUCCGGGGCGACGAUGGCGGCGAACCGGAGCUCGGCGGCGACGGCGGAGAGAGAGGACGACGGCGCGAGCUCGAAUCCGACGGGGAGAGAGAGCGGCGAGCGGCGGAAACGGAGGAGGGAGGCACGGGGAGCGUUUAUAUAGGGUUGGGAGUGAGAGAGGGCGGCCGGAGGGGAAGGAAAUCGGCGCGGCGAUCUCGGGCUCCAUUGAUGCGCCGGCGAAGAUUGCGGGAGCGAUUCCAAACGAAUCCGAGGGAGAGAGAGAGGGAAAAGUGGGGGAAAAGAGGGAGGGAAUCACGGGGAGUGAUUUCCCCCUCUUUAUGGCGUGCGGGGACGGCGGGUUCGGCGGAUUCGGCGGCGGCGGCGGCGCUAGGGCACGGGCGGGCGGCGGGAGCGGCGGAAGGUAGGGGAUGACAGGUGGGCCCCACCCGUCAGCGAGGGUGGCGGGCGGGCCCACCCGUCAGCGGCGCGCGCGCGGGGAGGAGGCCGGAUGGGCCGCGGGGAAGAGGAGAGAGAGAGAAAGGGAUGGGCCGAGCCGGCCCAAGAGGGGAAAAAGGGGGGGGAAAAGACUUUUUAGGGUUUUUCUUUUUAUAAAACCAUUUUAGCUUUGUUUAUUUCUUCUUAAUUAUUAUUUGUGCUCUGAAAAUUCCACUAAAAUUUGAGGGCUCCUUUUUGACCAAGGAGAAUUUAACAAAAAUUCUCCGGGCCACAUUUGAAUUUUUCUUGUACGUAUUUUAAUGUUUGCCAAUUUCUUUUCGAAUUUUAAUUAAUUCUAUUAUUCCUUUUAGAAAAUGAUUUUUAUUUUGGGAUGAAUUUAUCAGGACGUGACAAAUCCACCCCCCUUACAAGAAUCUCGUCCCCGAGAUUCGAGGAGGCUAGCAAGAAGAUAGGUUGGGCGGUCUUCUUUUAUGAUCUGACUUCUUCCGUUGCAUCUUCUUGAACGUACUUGCCCAGCAAAACUUCACCACUCGGAACUGCUUGGCUUGACCUCCUGUUGCGGAUGGAAUCUUCUCUUCACCUGACUUGAACCAGGGUGCACCUUUUAGCUGACUCAGACUAGGUUGCGGUAGUUUAAUGAUGCUUCCGUUCCAGAACUUCUCAUGAUUCAUAUCUUCGGAGUCAACCUCAUACAAGUUACCACUUCAUGUCAUGCGUCAACACUAGCUUGUCAUUACUAGGAUGCCAUGUUUGUCAUCAUAAGAAUAUCAUGCUUGUCAUUCACUUCUAACUUGCCACCAACUGCCUCAUAUUAUCUUUCCCGGUCUCCGGGUAAUAGCUACUUCUGCUAUUUGAUGCAAGGGUCGAUAACUUUGCCUUUGAAUUAUGCUUCCCAAGAGAACCAACUUAUCCCACUUGACAUACUUUGACGUCUUCCCAAAUGACUUUAUUGCUGGAUUUGUUAUUGUCUAAUCAUUAUCCUGCCAAAUCUGAGGCUUCGUUGUUAGAUGUGCUUUUAAUCUGACCUCUGUAGAUUAUCUUCGAACAUAUCACUUGAUUCAUAACUGGGAAUAGCUCUCACGAACAAGCAACUCGGAUUCACUUUCUUUACAUUCAGUUUACUUCCCAUUAUUAUCUCCAGGUUGUCCUCAGUUAGCAUUCAACGUAUUCCUUUACACCUUUAACCUUGAUGUGUUCUUUCCCAUUGGAUCAUCUCCCAAGACAUGGCAUUGCCUGGUAACCGGUGCUUGCACUUUUCACUCCGUGUAGCAUCUGAUACCGAGUUGAAGAUUUCACUCUUUGCCUUCAUAGAAACACUUUUACCUAGGUCAUCUUGCUUACUUAAUGACAAGGUGACUGUUGCGGGGCAAUUACAAUCAGGGGUCUUCCUUGAGCGAUGCAGAGCAUGUUUCUGUUUAUCAAUCACCUUUCGGCCUACUUCUUUCAUGCUAGAGAACAUCUUUGCCAAUCUCUUUUAUCAAUCUUCUUUCGGCUUAUCUCUAACAGGUGGUAUUCUUUAAUGUGGAUUGCGGACGCUUCUGGGGACGAUGAGGUCCUUUGGCUUGCUGCCUUUCAGUGAAACCUUGAUGUGGUUUGUCAAAAAGCUGCACUGACUACCUUCAGGGAAAUACCUUGCUUGCUAUCUGUAUCUAUGCCACUAGGGUUUAAUUGCCGAUGACCAUCUUUAGUGCUUCCUCGAGAUGGGGAGCAUCCAAAUUGUUCUUCUGCCAUAUCGCCUGUCACGUCCCAAAUCGACUCUAAAAUACAUCCUUGAAGUUGUGCAAAGAAUAAUUAAAAUUCAUGUGAAAGCCUCCAACAAUUAAAAUGUGCAAAUUUAAAAGUCAAAUAAGGCUUGGAGGAUUUUUGUAUAUUUCCUAAAAGCCUAAAAUGCGUAAAUAAAUUUUAGUGGAAUUUUCAGAGCACAAAUAAUAAUUGAAAAGAAAUAAACAAAGUUAAAAAGGUUUAUAAAAAGAAAAACCCUAAAAGAAGUCUUCUUUUCCCCCCUUCCCUUCUUGGGCCGGCUCGGCCCAACUCCCCCUCCCUCUCUCUCCUCUCCCCCGCGGCCCAUCGGCCCCUCCCCGCGCGCGCGCCGCUGACAGGCGGGCCCGCCCGCCACCCUCGCUGACGGGUGGGGCCCACCUGUCAUCGCCUUCCUCGCGCCGCGCCCGCCGCCCGUCCGUGCCCUAGCGCCGCCGCCGCCGCCGAAUCCGCCGCAUCCCGCCGUCCCCGCGCGCAUUAAAGUGGGGGGAAUUAUUCCCCGCGAUUCCCUCCCUCGUUUCCCCCACUUUCCCCUCUCUCUCUCCCUCGGAUUCGUCCGAUUUUGUGCCCGCAAAGUUCGCCGGCGCAAUCAAUGGAGCCGAGAUCUCCGCGGCCGAUUCCUCCCUCUCCGGCCGUUCUCUCUCUCUCUCGGCACUAUAUAAUUGUUCCCCGUGCCUCUCUCCUCCGUUUCCGCCGUUCGCCGCUCGCUCUCCCCGUCGGAAUCGUGCUCGCGCCAUCGUCCUCUCUCUCCGCCGUCGUCGCCGAGCUUCGGUUCGCCGCCGUCGUCGCUCCGGACCUCCUCCCGACUCGGCGUCACCUCCAUCGGCUUCGCCGCGUCGUCGUCGACCUCGUCCGCGCCUCCGUUUCGCCCGUCGACCGCCGGAGCACCGUCGCCCUCGCCGUCCCGAACCGCGCCGCCGCUUUCCUCCGCUCCGGUCGUCGUUUCCGCCGUCGUCGUCGUCCCGGGGUGAGCCGUGGACCGCCCCUUUCACUUCCCUCUCCUCUCCGCUCUCUCGGGCGCCGCUCCGCCGCACCGGUGGUCGCCGGCGGUGACCAUCGGGGCGUGAGUGCGCCGCCUCCCGUCGGCCGUGCCGGCGAGGCCGCCUUUGGGCGCGCCCCGCGGCUGCCAGGUGGGGCCCGGCCGUCAGCCGCCCGCGCCCGCGGGUGCGGCUGACGCGUGGGACCCACGGCGCCGGCCCGCGCCAGCCGCGUGCUCCCGGUCCACCGUGGACCGAGAGGCUGACGCGUGGGCCCCACUCCCGUGGACCCGGUCCGCGCGCCCUCUCUCUCGGCUGACGCAAUAAACCCGGUUUUCAAUUAAAAUUUAAAUGAAGAAAUUCGUAAAUAUCCAUUUAAAGAGCAUAUAAACUUCAAAUGGCCAUAUCUUGGCCAUUUGAACUCGGAAUUGGACCGUUCAAGUCUCUAAUUUUUCCUUAAGAAGUCAAGAACCCAUUUUUGUGCUUUGUUUCUGCUGUUAUGUGGAGUUUAUUAGAGUAAAAGCCUUUUCUUUUCCGUUGGUCGUGUAGAUGCUGCAGCUUCGGAAGAUCCGCUCUUCGUGGAAGUCGAAGCCGUCGGUUGGGAAAGCGAGCAAGGCAAGUCACAUCAUCUUUGAACAUAGUGAAUCCCAGUUUGUAAAAUUAUGUUGAUUUAAAUUAUUGCAUUAUCGCUUUAUUUAAAUUCCCGCGUUAUCACUGUUUUAUUUAGCCAUGCCUAUUUACCUUUGUUAUGACCAUAUUAUUAUUGUUAUUGUUAUUAUUAUUACCUUGUUCACCCUAGAUUAAACAAAACCUCAACUAGUGGACACUCUACUCGUGGUAUCCCUAGUUUAAAUUUAGGUAGAUGCUUCGCAAUUUAAUUAGGUAACAUUAGGUGGUUUUACAACUUUAGACUUGGGAAAUUCUCAUAUCACCUGGACACUGUGGAAUUAUUGGAGUAUUGUGGAAUUGGCUUCACCCCGCCCCCUCUAUUCAAAAUCCCCAAAAAUGGUUUUAGGCUGGGCUCGGGGUGCAUGGUUUUGAUAGUAGCACCUCGGCCAUAUAAGGACCGGUCUUCGGGCCUCUGUUGCAAAGCACUACCGUACUUCCACAUGUCUAGUGGGUAAGGCUUAGUUUGUGGCUCAGUCUAGUCAUAAACAAAAGUACACGGAUUGGAGAUGGAUGAAGUCGGGGGUCGAUGGACAUUCUCCAGGGCAAAUGAAGGCCACACGAGCUGCGGCCCGGUAGUCGAGAUGUCAUGGCAGAGGGUUGGUGCCCUGCUGCUAGGGGCUCAGUCUUGCCUGCCUGUCCCGGGGGUUCCGGCCGUAGGCAGGAUUGGGUCGGUACUCUUGUCUAUGGCUAGGAUGGGUUGGAAACUAUGUCACGUCUUCCGUCUGUAUACCGUGGUGGUAUGUGGCACGUGGUUACACGUGAGGAAGAUGUGUCUUGUGGGUAAAGAUGUACACCUCUGAUCAGAGUAUAAUCUAUUCGAAUAGCCGAGCCCUCGGUUAUGGGCAAGCCGAGCAAUGUACCCAAGUUAGUGUUUUAAUUCUUAAAACUUGCUUAACAACUAAAAUAUGGAAUGGUUGGCCUGGGUUGGCUUGGGACAAGCUGGGACCCAGGGUCGGGUUGCCAGUUCGGUCUGAAUCAUCAUAGGCCUUGGGUUAAGGCAGGUUCGUGUGGGUUCACGGCCUUGAUUAAUAAUAUUGUAUAGUUCUAAGAUCGUGUUUACAAAAUAGCCCUGAGCAACUAAAUGUCUUUAAAUGCCGUUUACCGCAACCCUAACCCUUUAUAUUAUAAUUCCCUUGUACUCCCUUGCAUUUAUUCUGCAUUUGUGGGUGUGUCUUGUUGAGUACGGUGGUUGUACUCAGUCUUGCUCAAUUUUUCCCAAGCCCAGAAGAGGAGCUCCUUGAAGAUGAAGGCUUUGGUGUCUAGCUCGUGCCUGCCGUCAAGUGCCUGUGGUCGUCGCCCUAGUCUUCUGCUGUUUUUCGUUUGUCUCUGUGUGUGCUGGGCCUUCGCUGCCCAUGUAAUAAGUUAACUAUUUAUGCUUCCGCUUGUUAAACUCUGAAUUGUAUCAACUUUUGGUGUACCUUGCCUCCUGGGACAAGGAUUAAUGCACGCACGUCAGGAACGCCCGUUGGGUUAUUUCCGGUCGUGACACCUUUGACCCUUUUCUGAUACCUGAUAGACUAAUUACCAACCAUCGACUACUAUGUUCUCAAAUAUUGAUGUCUCCUGGAUCUUCUUAACUGUUUGUAGGUAUAUCCGAACUUAUCAAUGUAGAGGCAUGGCGGGUACCCUUGUGGGUUUCAUCCAACAAUCCUUAUCUUGAUCUGUAAAAGGCGUAUCCAAACUCCUAUCCCCAACUACUGUCUCAUUGGCUUUUUAACCCAACACAGUUUAAUUGGUUUUCUUUUCCAUCAACAGGUUGGUUAUUAACUCGAUGUUAGAAUAUAGUUCUUCUGACACGAGACCCUAGGUCUCCUUUGUCAGUAAACCAUUAUACACAUGAUCACAUAUCCGCAUCUUCCAAUAGAAUCCUCUUAGAACUUGUCUGUAUUACACAUUUCUCCCUUAUUACACGAAUACAAGGCACUGCCUUAAACAAAAAGGGAAGGUGCUUAUCAUCGGUACAUUGUAUCCUCAACAUGAAUCAUCCAUAAACAUAGCAAGCUCACUGUUUAUAGACAUGAAUAUAUUUAUUUAUUACAUGAUUGCUGCAAACUUUCGAUUACACAAUGAUAAGUAGCGAACUGAAAACCACAAGCGUGGCUGCUCAUUUUGAUUCUGGAGAGAUAUAGCUGGCAUUGUUCUAGUGACUGCAUCAUCCUUGAUUGGUUCUGUGAUGAUGUGAUAGGACUGCAUAUUGCUAUCAUUCACAGGAGAAGCUUCCUUCUGAUUGCUGUUUGAAGCGGAUGACAGUCUUCUGCUUGGUAUCGCCCUCCGGAGGUUGAUUGCCCUUUGCUCGGCCUGGAGUAGGUCGGGGAGAGACACAACUUCUUCCAUCGACGACAAUUCUUUGCUGAGGCUGUCGGUGCAGAGAAUGGUUGGUGCUAAAGAUAUCAUUGCUAUGAUUUAUUGCAGAGUUAGGUGGAGCAGGAGGAGCAUUGGUGCUGUGGAUGAUAUCGUCGAUGUUGCUGUUGGAGCUGACUAGCUGAUGAGACAAUCGUAGGGUUGUUCGUUGGAUUUCUGCGGUCUUGGUCAACAACACACUGAGUUGGCAAUCCUUGGGCACAUGGUUUGUUCCUUUGCACAGAAAACAGCAUGCCUUUGAUCCAAAGAAGACACAUCUGAAACUCUUAGUCCAAACAAAUGUCUCUUUGGUUGAUCACUUGAUUUUCUUCGCCAUCAAUCGCUAGGUUAUUUGAUUCAUAAUAGAUUAUGAGCUUACGGAAAUGAGACCCUAGGUCUCCCUAAUCAACAACAAAAUGUACCCAACUCACAGCACUUGCGAUCUUAACAUGGAUUCUUCAUAAACUUAUCAAACUCCUUCAUAAUCUCAUGUUUCUCUGUUAUUACAUGAUUGACGGGGAACAACUAUAAAACAUAAGUAUUUGAACACUGAUAUAAGAGUAUUAUGGUUGCUUCUGACUAGCACUAGGCUUAACAGGUACUGCAUUUGCUCCAGUGACCACUUGGCGAUUGGCACGUCUGCUUCCUUAACAGGUACUACAGUUGUAAAUAACUCUCUUACGCUCGGGUUCUUCAUCUUGUACUUGAUUUCUUGGCUGCUGUGCUGGAACAUCCAAAGGUACAAUGCCGAUACUGGCCUCUGUCUUGUCAACUGAUGGCUGGGGCUGAAAUUGAGCAUUGACACCUUGUGGUAAUGCACUCGCUGGAGUUGGAGCUGUUGCAACGCGGGCUAUAGGACUGCUUCGGGAUGCAUGGAUGACAAUUCGCUGAGGAGCAAGCUUCUGAUUGCAGGGAGUUGCGUGGACUGACGUGCUGGCAGCUAUGUUUCUCGGUUUUGGGCACUUGUCGGCAAAAUGACCCAUUCCUUGACAAUUGAAGCAACAGAUAUCUUCCCGGACUCGGCAUUUUCUUUUCUCAUUUUGAUUCCUCUGUCCUGGCACUGGAGUUAGGCUGAAACUGUAAUCUUGGCGAGGACUUGUGUUGCCUUGAGGCUUCUCUCCGUUGGAACUGGCGGGUUGGUUGGCCAUCUUCUUCGUCAGCAGAAAACUGAAUUGACAAUCUUUUGGUACGUGAUCAGUUCCUUCACAAAAGAAACAAGUGAUCCUGCUCGUUGGACACCUGUCGGGUGGAUGGUCUUCCUCACAAUGAACGCAUGUAGUGGCACACGAGCUGGCAACAUGACCGAUUUCUCCACAACGAGAGCAUGCCUUACGUUCCAUUUCAUCUUCAUCAUCUGAGGAGACUUGAUCUGAAUCUUCACUAUCAGACACUCUACCUCCAUUAGCUAAAAGAUGCUCUGUCAACUGUGGUGCACCUUGGAAGGUAUUUCUUCUCUGACGUCUUGUCAUUCCUGGUGGAGGCCAUUCUGUGCUGGUAAUGAUCAUCUUACGGACUUCAUCUUCGGUUCGCAUUGGUGUUUUUCUUUUCUGCUGAGGACAGUUCCUUGCAUGGUGCCCUUGCUCAUCACACAUAAAACAAAUGAUACUUGCUUCUUUUGAGUCAACAUGUGGCAUGUCACCAUGGGUCUUUUGGGAUGCUGGCGGCAUGAUGACUUGUGGUAUGAGUGCUUGGACUGCCUCCAACUGCACUUGAGGCUGUAUCUGACUCAGGUUCAGAAUUGGCGUCUGAUGCUGCUGUAGUAUCUCUAUAAGCAAUCGGUUCUGGUUAAUCAGGUGUUGGACCAAUGUCACACAACUGGUGUCUGGUGCUUCAUUCACUCGGGAGCUUGAGGUACCAAUGUCCUGACUUCUGACCCUAUUGCCUUUCUCAUUGUCAGCCAUCUGUUGCAAAGGUUUGGAGAGGGAGAGAGGGAAAACAAAGGGGAGAGACAGAUUAGAAACUAAGGAUAGGACCUUAACAGAUCUAAGUCUUUUGCUGUUAUGAUGUAUGUUAGGCUUAUUCUGCAAGUUGAUUAAGCAAACAACCUAGCAUGGUUACAUCACAACCCACUGAUGCAAACCACGCGCUACACACACAAGCAAGGAAACACACGACAAACGAAACACUAGAGGGUGGCUUAGGUUCUGCGACGGGUUCUCCAAGAUCUUCACUCCUUCACAGCUGGCUUCACUGCUUCCUCCACUUCGCUAGCGGAUCCUGCAGUCUUCCGGAGCUUCGGCGAACAACUGACGAUGUCUUCUUCUUCACUGACCUGACCAUCUAGUACUGGUUGAAAUUUGAAGAAGGAAGAAAAGGGUAAACCUUUUGCUAAUAGCAUUAGGGGAAGAAGAAAAAGAGGAACUUUCGCAAAUAGUUUUAUUUAUAAAAUAUGUACUUAGGUUUUAUCCACUUGGCUUAUCCUACAGUCGAGAUGGCUCUGAUACCAGCUUGUCGCGACCGGGAAAAUUGCCUUUUCCCGAACGCUAGUGUAUUAAUCCCCGUCCCAGGAAAAGCCGAGGUACACCACACAAACAUGAUAUAAAAGACACAUCUUUAUUAUAUCGAUAGUAUUUACGUUAUUACAAAGGCACUUAAGGCCUGACAAUCAAAAAUAAACAACAGCGGACUAGCGGGCCUACGGCUCCAUCUUCACAGGCGCUCAACUGGGGUAUAAGCCAGGACUCCACCUAAGACUUCUUCUCCAAAGCUUCUCUUACUGAAAGGGGGGGGAGAUUGAGCAAGAAUGAGUACAACCACAGUACUCAGCAAGCCACACCGGCAGAUGCAUGAUUAAUGCAAGGGGGUACAAGGGGUAAUAAUAUAGGGGUUAAGUUUUGCAGAAAAGCAGCAUUUAAAAGUCACUUAGUUGCCCAAAGCCAUUUUAUAAAGACGAUCCUAGAGCUACACAGUAUUAUUAAUCAAGGCCGUGAACCCUCACGAACCUGCCUUAACCCAAGGCCUACGAUGAUUCAGACCGAACUGGCAACCCGACCCUGGGUCCCAGCUCGUCCCAAGCCAACCCAGGCCAACCAUUCCACAUUUUAGUUGUUGAGCAAAUUCUAAGAAUUAAAACACUGACUUGGGUACAUUGCUCGGCUUGCCCAUAACCGAGGGCGCGGCUAUUCGAAUAGAUUAUACUCUGAUCAGAGGUGUACAUCUUUACCCACAAGACACAUCUUCCUCACGUGUAACCACGUGCCACAUACCACCACGGUAUACGGACGGAAGACGUGACAUAGUUUCCAACCCAUCAUAGCCAUAGACAAGAGUACCGACCCAAUCCCACCUACGGCCGGAACCUCCGGGACAGGCAGGCAGGACUGAGCCCCUAGCAGCAGGGCACCAACCCUGUGCCAUGACAUCUCGACUACCGGGCCGCAGCUCGUGUAGCCUUCAUUUGUCCUAGAGAAUGUCCAUCGACCCCCGACUUCAUCCAUCUCCAUCCGUGUACUUUUGUUUAUGACCAGACUGAGCCACAAACUAAGCCUUACCCACUAGACAUGUGGAAGUACGGUAGUGCUUUGCAACAGAGGCCCGAGCUUAAUCCUUAUAGUACCCGAGGUACGACUAACAAAACCCAACCACGCACCUCGAGCCCAGCCUAAAACCAUUUUUGGGGUUUUGAAUAGAGGGGGAGGUGUGUGUCCAAUUCCAACAUAAGCCAACCAUUCCAUAGUGUCCAAAUGAUAUGAGAAUUCCCAAAGUCUAAAGUUAUAAAACCACCUAAUGUUGCCUAAUUAAUCAGCGAAGCAUCUACCUAAAUUCAUACUAGUGGAACCAUGAAUAGAGUACCCACUAGUUGGGGUUUUGUUUAUUCUAGGGUGAACAAGGUAAUAAUAACAAUAGCAAUAAUAAUGUCUUAACAAAGGUAAAUAGGCAUGGCUAAAUAAAACAGUGAUAACGCGGGAAUUUAAAUGAAGCGAUAAUGCAUUAAUUUAAAUCAAAAUAAUUUUAUAAACUGGGAUUCAAUAUGCUCAAGGGUGAUGUGACUUGCCUUGCUCGCUUUCCCAAACGUCGGCUUCAACUUCCACGAAGAGCGGAUCUUCCGAAGCUGCAGCGUCUACACGACCAACGGAAAAGAAAAGGCCUUUACUCUAAUAAACUCCAUAUAACAGCAGAAACAAAGCACAAAAAUGGGUUCUUGACUUCUUAAGGAAAAAUUAGAGACUUGAACGGUCCAAUUCCGAGUUCAAAUGGUCAAGUUAUGGCCAUUUGAAGUUUAUAUGCUCUUUAAAUGGAUAUUUGCGAAUUUCUUCAUUUAAAUUUUAAUUUAAAAUCGGAUUUAUUGCGUCAGCCGAGGGGAGGGGCGCGCGGACCGGGUCCACGGGAGUGGGGCCCACGCGUCAGCCUCACGGUCCACGGUGGACCGGGCGCACGCGGCUGACGCCGGCCGGCGCCAUGGGUCCCACGCGUCAGCCGCACCGAGGGCGCGGGCGGCUGACGGCCGGGCCCCACCUGGCAGCCGCGGGGCGCGCCCGAAGGCGGCCUCGCCGGCACUGCCGACGGGAGGCGGCGCGCCCGCGCCCCUAUGGUCGCCGGCGGAGGCCAUAGGCACGGCGGAGCGGCGGCCGAGAGAGGGGAGGGAAGGGGGAAACGAAAUGGCGGUCCUCGGCUCACCCCGGGUCGACGGCGACGACGGGAACGGCGACCGAAGCGGAGAGAGGCGGCGGCGCGGCUCGGGUCGACGAGGACGGCGGUGCUCCGGCGGUCGGCGGGCGAAACGGAGGAGCGGACGAGGUCGGCGAGGACGCGGCGAAGCCGAAGGAGGCGAUGCCGAAGCGGGAGGAGGUCCGGGGCGACGACGGCGGCGAACCGGAGCUCGGCGGCGACGGCGGAGAGAGAGGACGAUGGCGCGAGCUCGAAUCCGACGGGGAGAGAGAGCGGCGAGUGGCGGAAACGGAGGAGGGAGGCACGAGGAGCGUUUAUAUAGGGUUGGGAGUGAGAGAGGGCGGCCGGAGGGGAAGGAAAUCGGCGCGGCGAUCUCGGGCUCCAUUGAUGCGCCGGCGAAGAUUGCGGGAGCGAUUCCAAACGAAUCCGAGGGAGAGAGAGAGGGAAAAGUGGGGGAAAAGAGGGAGGGAAUCACGGGGAGUGAUUUCCCCCUCUUUAUGGCGCGCGGGGACGGCGGGAUGCGGCGGAUUCGGCGGCGGCGGCGGCGCUAGGGCACGGGCGGGCGGCGGGAGCGGCGGAAGGUAGGGGAUGACAGGUGGGCCCCACCCGUCAGCGAGGGUGGCGGGCGGGCCCACCCGUCAGCGGCGCGCGCGCGGGGAGGAGGCCGGAUGGGCCGCGGGGAAGAGGAGAGAGAGAGAAAGGGAUGGGCCGAGCCGGCCCAAGAGGGGAAAAAGGGGGGGGGAAAGACUUUUUAGGGUUUUUCUUUUUAUAAAACCAUUUUAGCUUUGUUUAUUUCUUCUUAAUUAUUAUUUGUGCUCUGAAAAUUCCACUAAAAUUUGAGGGCUCCUUUUUGACCAAGGAGAAUUUAACAAAAAUUCUCCGGGCCACAUUUGAAUUUUUCUUGUACGUAUUUUAAUGUUUGCCAAUUUCUUUUCGAAUUUUAAUUAAUUCUAUUAUUCCUUUUAGAAAAUGAUUUUUAUUUUGGGAUGAAUUUAUCAGGACGUGACACACAUUCAGCUUAGAAAUUCUGGUUCGAGAAUUUCUGGGCGUGACAAGUUGGUAUCAGAGCCGACCUUGACCGUAGGACAAGCCAACUGGAAACCCUAAGAGCCCUCUGAACCCCUUUUUUUUCAUCUGCAUAUGCCUUUUUGCACCUGGAAUUGUUUUGGGAAAAUUUGGAGUUUUGCCUCUUUGGUUUGCGGGAAAAAUCUUGGUCGUUCUUUCGGAUCGGAUUUUUUUUAAAAAAAAAAAUUAGCUCAAUCUAGGGCUUUAGAAAAAUUUUAGUUGGAGUUUAUUCGACAGUCAGUCGGGAAUUUAUUGGGGGUUAUGCAUUAGGUCGUGUCUAUAUCCAAUGGGGGCAAUGUUAUGCGCAUCAUUUUCCAUGCAACUAGUCUAUGCAUUAAUUUACUGUUUAGUUGCAUUAGUGUCUUUAUUUGAGUUCAUGAAAAAUGUUCUAUGCAUAAAAAUCAUCAUGCUCGGUUACUUAUUUGAGUCUUCUUUUGCUUUGUUUAAUUUGGAUUUGAGCAUGAAUUGGUUCCUAUCCCUUGUCUACUUUAGAUGUCAGUCCUAUCCCUCUUUUGCAAGCGCCGCCCCGAGCUUCAGAGUCGCCGCCCUUAGCUUUAUCGCCUUCUUAGUCUGUUUGCUUGCUAGUUUUCGUGUUUAGGUUUGUUGCUUGUGGGUUAGUCGGCGGUCGAUAUCAUGUGUCAGUGGUAUGACUGCCUCAAUUAGGAGUUGCGUGCCUCUUCUUCAGUGUUUUAAUCAAGAUUAAGAUAAUUGCACUUAAAUUCAUAAGCAAGAUUAGUUUGUGAGCCCCCUGUUUUUCUUCCUUUUCUCAUAUUUCUACCUAUCCCCUUCAGAUGGAGAUAAGGAAUGGUUCACGCGACUCGAACAACGCCAGUGGCAGCGAAGAGCCGAUCAAUGGAGCACGUGCCAACGGUGCAUCUGACAACAGUCCGUCCCCACCGCCCGAGAACCCAACAAUUGCUCAGGUGUUGGACAAUCAGACUCAGAUGAUGACAAUGAUGAUGCAACAGAUGCAGCAACAGUACCAUCAGGUGAUGCAGCAGGUGCAGCAGCAAGCACAGCUGCAGCAGCAGAACCUGCAAUUUGGUCCUCCGCCUCCUCAGUCCAAAUUGUUAGAAUUUCUUCGUGUCAAGCCGCCCACCUUCUCAAGCACCACCAACCCAAUCGAGGCCCACGACUGGCUUCAUGCCAUUGAGAAGAAGCUGAAUCUUUUGCAAUGCAACGAGCAGGAGAAGGUUGCUUUUGCUACACACCAGCUACAAGGUCCCGUUUCUAUUUGGUGGGACAACUACAUGGUGACCCGUCCAACUGGGGCAGAAGUUACUUGGACAGAGUUUUGUCAUAGUUUCAAUAAAGCACAGGUUCCCGAGGGAAUUGUGGCACAAAAGAAGAGAGAGUUCCGUUCCCUGCAACAAGGAACCAGAACAGUUAUAGAGUAUUUGCAUGAGUUCAACCGCCUCGCGCGCUACGCCCCUGAGGACGUGCGUACCGAUGCCGAGAAGCAGGAGAAGUUUCUGUCUGGUCUUGAUGAUGAAUUGACUAACCAGUUGAUCUCUAGAGAUUAUGAGGACUUUGAGAAGCUGGUGGAUAAGGCUAUCCGUCAGGAGGAGCACUGUAACAAAAUAAACCGUAAGAGGAAGGCAGCUCAGUUCAGGACUCCCCAGGGGAAGAGUCAGAAGCCUCGUUUCACGAUGGGACGUCACGGUGGACCUUCCACCAUGAUUAUCCGACAGCACCGUCCCUACCACCCGGGUAGCUUCAACAAGAACCACCAUAGUGGCAGUCACAACAACAGUGAGCAGCACAGUCUCAACCCUACUCCGAGUUCACUAAAGAUUCCAGCUCAAUCAGUUCAGCCAGCUCUGCCAGAACAGCCCAAGAGGUUGGGAGAAAAACCCGAACUCUGCUUCAAUUGUAACAAACCCGGACACACGGUUGGAAAGUGCCCGAAGCCAAGACGUGCCGGACCCAAGUUCGUUCAGGCCCGUGUUAAUCAUGCAUCUGCAGAGGAGGCGCAGUCAGCACCAGAGGUUAUAUUGGGCACAUUCCCCGUCAACUCGACACCGGCAGUAAUAUUGUUUGAUUCUGGUGCAACCCAUUCCUUCAUUUCCAAGCGUUUUGCUGGUGCACAUGGGUUAUCUUUAGUGAAGCUUAAGAUACCAAUGCGAGUUCAUACUCCUGGAGGUGGCAUGACCACAACUCACUACUGCCCAUCUGUGACAGUUGAAAUUCAAGGGUUGAUUUUUCCAGCCAACCUCAUUCUUCUCGAAUCCAAGGACCUAGAUGUCAUACUUGGAAUGGAUUGGUUGACAAGGCACAGAGGAGUGAUUGAUUGCGCCAGCCGCACCAUCAAGUUGACCAAUGCAAAAGGAGAGGUGGUAAUCUUCCAGUCUCCAGUGCCGCGGAAGCCAGGGAUUAGUUUAAACCAGGCUGCUGGUGAAGAACAAGAGGUAGCAGUGGAGAAAACCACUAAGAAGCUGGAGGAUAUUCCCAUAGUCAGAGAGUAUCCAGAGGUUUUUCCGGACGAUCUGACAACAAUGCCACCAAAGAGGGAUAUCGAGUUCCGGAUUGACUUGGUACCUGGAACUGCACCGAUCCACAAGAGGCCUUACAGAAUGGGAGCCAACGAGUUGGCGGAAGUCAAGAAGCAAGUCGAUGAACAGUUACAGAAGGGAUACAUCUGCCCGAGCACGUCGCCUUCGGGUGCUCCGGUUAUCUUUGUGGAGAAGAAAGACAAAACCAAGAGAAUGUGCGUUGACUACCGCGCACUCAAUGAGGUCACCAUCAAGAACAAGUAUCCUUUGCCAAGGAUUGAUGAUCUGUUUGAUCAGUUGAAAGGAGCUACUGUGUUCUCUAAGAUAGACCUGCGAUCAGGCUAUCACCAGUUGAGGAUCCGCGAAGAGGAUAUUCCAAAGACAGCAUUCAUCACUCGGUACGGGUUGUUCGAAUGCACAGUUAUGUCUUUCGGACUCACUAAUGCACCUGCCUUCUUCAUGAAUUUGAUGAACAAGGUGUUUAUGGAAUUUCUAGACAAGUUUGUCGUGGUUUUCAUCGAUGACAUACUUAUCUACUCCAAGUCCGAGGAAGAACAUGAGCAGCAUCUUCGGCUGGUACUUGAAAAGUUAAAAGAGCACCAGCUAUAUGCCAAGUUCAGCAAGUGCGACUUCUGGCUUAAGGAAGUUCAGUUUCUCGGUCACAUCGUGAAUGCUCAAGGAGUAGCUGUGGAUCCAGCAAAUGUGGAGUCAGUUACCAAAUGGACCCCACCAAGAACAGUCACUCAGGUUUGGAGUUUCUUAGGACUUGCGGGCUAUUACCGCCGGUUCAUUGAGAACUUCUCUAAAAUUGCUAAGCCAAUGACACAGCUAUUGAAGAAGGAAGAAAAGUUUAUCUGGUCUGCUGAAUGCAAUAGGAGUUUUGAAGAACUCAAACGACGGUUGGUGUCUGCACCAGUCUUAAUCCUGCCUGAUCAGACGAAAGAUUUCCAGGUCUAUUGUGAUGCAUCUCGCCAGGGGCUAGGAUGUGUGCUGAUGCAGGAUGGCAAAGUGGUUUCUUAUGCUUCACGGCAGUUGCGUCCUCAUGAAGGCAACUACCCGACGCACGAUCUGGAAUUGGCCGCAGUCGUUCAUGCUUUAAAGAUUUGGCGGCACUAUCUCAUCAGUAACCGUUGUGAGGUAUAUACAGAUCACAAAAGUCUAAAGUACAUCUUCACCCAACUUGAUCUGAAUCUCCGACAGCGAAGAUGGUUGGAGCUAAUUAAAGAUUAUGAUAUGGGAAUACACUAUCAUCCCGGCAAGGCUAAUGUGGUAGCAGAUGCCUUGAGCAGGAAGAGUUACUGCAACGUCGCAUGGGUAGAGGAACUAUGCUGUGAGGUUCAACGUGAUUUGGAACAUUUGAACCUUGGAAUAGUUGAGCGCGGAUUCGUGGCAGCCCUAGAGGCACAGCCCACACUGAUGGAGCAGGUUCGCAUAGCUCAAGCAAGUGAUCCUGAAAUAGCAGAGCUCAAAAAGAACAUGAGGGUUGGAAAAGCCCGAGGUUUUGUUGAGGACGAACAAGGAACAAUCUGGAUGGGAGAAAGAUUGUGUGUACCCGAAAACAAGGAAUUAAAAGACCUGAUACUAACCGAGGCUCAUCAAACUCAAUAUUCCAUUCAUCCCGGCAGUACCAAAAUGUACCAAGACCUCAAAGAAAAGUUCUGGUGGGUCAGCAUGAGAAGGGAAAUAGCUGAAUUCGUAGCACUAUGUGACGUCUGUCAACGAGUAAAGGCAGAACACCAAAGGCCAGCAGGUUUGCUACAGCCACUUCAGAUUCUAGAAUGGAAGUGGGAAGAAAUCGGAAUGGAUUUCAUCACCGGUUUGCCCAGGACAUCAUCGGGGCAUGAUUCUAUUUGGGUAGUCGUUGACCGACUCACCAAAGUGGCUCACUUCAUUCCGGUGCACACUACCUACUCAGGGAAGAAAUUAGCAGAACUCUAUCUAGCAAGAAUCAUGUGUUUACAUGGUGUACCUAAGAAGAUCGUGUCUGAUCGAGGAAGCCAAUUCACUUCAAAGUUCUGGCAGAAAUUACAAGAAGAAUUGGGAACCCGUCUAAACUUCAGCACUGCUUACCAUCCACAAACAGAUGGCCAGACCGAGCGAGUCAACCAAAUACUAGAGGAUAUGUUGAGAGCCUGUGCGCUUGACUUUGGUGGAGCAUGGGACAAAAGCUUACCGUAUGCUGAGUUCUCGUACAACAACAGUUACCAAGCUAGUCUGCAGAUGGCACCGUUUGAAGCACUGUAUGGACGAAGGUGUCGUACUCCGCUCUUCUGGGAUCAGACAGGGGAACGCCAAUUGUUUGGUACAGAAGUUUUAAAUGAGGCAGAAGAGAAAGUCAGAGCUGUUAGGGAAAGAUUGAGAAUCGCGCAGUCUCGGCAGAAAAGCUAUACAGACAACCGCCGAAGGGAGCUCGCUUUCGAAACAGGGGAUUAUGUGUAUCUCCGUGUCACUCCGCUUAGGGGAGUACAUCGCUUCCAAACCAAAGGAAAGUUGGCACCACGCUUUGUGGGACCAUACAGGAUCUUGGAACGUAGAGGUGAAGUUGCUUACCAGCUCGAGCUUCCCUCCAACAUGCUUGGCAUCCACAACGUGUUCCACGUCUCUCAGUUGAAGAAAUGUUUGAGAGUUCCUGAGGAACAGGCAAGUCCGGAUCACAUCGAAAUUCAGGAAGAUCUGACGUAUGUGGAGAAGCCGACUCGUAUCCUCGAAACCAGCGAGAGAAGGACCAGAAACAAAGUAAUAAGAUUCUGCAAGGUUCAGUGGAGCCACCACUCAGAGGAAGAGGCCACUUGGGAAAGAGAAGAUGAGUUGAAGGCCACCCACCCGCACCUCUUCCCCAGCUCUUCCGAAUCUCGGGGUCGAGAUUCCGUUUAAGGGGGUAGGUUUGUCACGCCCGGAAGUUUCCCCUUUUGCUUGCUUUAAAAAAAAAAUUGGUUAAAUAAAUUGUCCGAAGAAAUUAUCUUAAUUAACCUAGAGCUAAUUCCCUAAUUAAUAAAUGCAAUUAAUAAUUGAAUUCGGUGUGGUGGAAUUUUUCUUGAGUUCCCCAUGCUCCAAUGCAUUAACAAGAUUUUUAGUGGAAUUUUCAGAGCCUUGGAAAUAAUUUUUUUUACCAAUUAAAAAUCACCAAAGUGCAAUUUUAAUCCCAGGAAAAUCCUUUUUCUCUUUUUCUUUUCUUUUCCCUCCUUUUUCUUUGUUGGGCCGUCGGCCCAUCCCUCUCCCGCGGUCCCUCCUCCUUGUGGGCCGGCCCAAGCCACCCCUCCCUCCUCUCUCUCGGGACGCCGACAGGUGGGCCCCACCUGUCGGUCGUCUCCCACCUCCGGCCGCUGGAGCCGAAGCUCCAACCGCCCAUGCCGCCGCCGCCAUUUCCAGCCGUUCUCCGUGCCCCACUCCGCCCGUGCCGCGCGCCCACGUCGCCGUCCCACUCCUCCGCCCUUCCCGCCCGCGCGCAUGCACGAAGUGGGCGGGAUUCAUUUUGAAUCCCCCCCCACUUUCUCUCUCUCCUCCCCACGUCGCCGGCCAAAUCGGCCACCUCCCCGGCCACGUCCGCCCCCUCCCGCACCUAUAAAUCGCUCCCCGCGUCUUCCUCUCUCGUUUUUCGCACUCGCCGCGCCCUCCCGUGCUUCCUAUCGUCGCCGCGCCGCUCGCCCCUUGCGCCGCCGCCUGCCGCCGUCUCCGGCCACGCGCCGCCGCCACUAUAGCCACCGCCGCGCCGCGCAGUCGCCGCCGUCGCGCUCACCGAGCCCGCCCGCACCUCGGCCGCCGCUUCGUUGCCGCGAAUCACCGCCGGAGCUCCGAUUCCCUCGCGCCGCCGGUGAGCUCGCCAUUGUUUCCAUCUCCGGCCAUUUCUCCUCGCCGUGCCGCGGCUCCUCUCUUCUCCCUAACCCCUUCACCGCCUUUUCCCAGGUCGCGCUGCUCCCGUCCGCCGUUUUCCGAAGCGCUGCCGCCGCUCAUCCCCUCCCACUCCGGUCGCCGCCCCUCCGGUGAGGACUCCCUCCCUCUCCCUUUUCUCCCCUUCCCGCGUGUCACGACCGGAAAUCACCCAACAGGCGUUCCCGACGUGCGUGUAUUAUUCCUUGUCCCAGGAGGCAAGGUACACCAAAAGUUGAUACAAUACAGAGUUUAACAAGCGGAAGCGUAUAUAAAAUUAUUACAUGGGCAACGAAGGCCCAGCACACUCAAAGACAACGAAAAACAGCGGAAGACUAGGGCGACGACCACAGGCGCUUGACGGCAGGCACGAGCUAGACACCAAAGCCUUCAUCUUCCAGGAACUCCUCAUCUGGGCUUGGGAAAAUUAAGCAAGACUGAGUACAACCACCGUACUCAACAAGACACACCCACAAAUGCAGAAUAAAUGCAAGGGAGUACAAGGGAAUUAUAAUAUAAAGGGUUAGGGUUGCAGUAAACAGCAUUUAAAGACAUUUAGUUGCUCAAAGCUACUUUGUAAACGCGAUCCUAGAACGCUACAAAGUUAUUAAUCAAGGCCGUGAACCCACACGAACCUGCCUUAACCCAAGGCCUAUGAUGAUUCAGACCGAACUGGCAACCCGACCCUGGGUCCCAGCUCGUCCUAAGCCAACCCAGGCCAACCAUUCCAUAUUUUAGUUGUUAAGCAAAUUUUAAGAAUUAAAACACUAACUUGGGUACAUUGCUCGGCUUGCCCAUAACCGAGGGCGCGGCUAUUCGAAUAGAUUAUACUCUGAUCAGAGGUGUACAUCUUUACCCACAAGACACAUCUUUCUCACGUGCAACCACGUGCCACAUACCACCACGGUAUACAGGCGAAAGACGUGACAUAGUUUCCAACCCAUCCUAGCCAUAGACAAGAGUACCGACCCAAUCCCGCCUACGGCCGGAACCCCCGGGACAGGCAGACGGAACUGAGCCCCUCGCAGCAGGGCACCAACCCUGUGCUUUUUGACAUCUCGACUACCGGGCCGCAGCUCGUGUAGCCUUCAUUUGCCCUGGAGAAUGUCCAUCGACCCCCGACUUCAUCCAUCUCCAAUCCGUGUACUUUUGUUUAAGACUAGACUGAGCCACAAACUAAGCCUUACCCACUAGACAUGUGGAAGUACGGUAGUGCUUUGCAACAGAGGCCCGAAGACCGGUCCUUAUACGGCCGAGGUGCUACCAUCAAAACCAUGCACCCCGAGCCCAGCCUAAAACCAUUUUAGGAGAUUUUGAAUACAGGGGGCGGUGUGAAGCCAAUUCCACAAUAAUCCAACAAUUCCAUAGUGUCCAGGUGAUAUGAAUAUUUCCCAAGUCUAAAGUUAUAAAACCACCUAAUGUUACCUAAUUAAAGCGAAGCAUCUACCUAAAAUCAUACUAGUGAUACCACGAGUAGAGUGUCCACUAGUUGGGGUUUUGUUUAUUCUAGGGUGAACAAGGUAAUAAUAACAAUAACAACAAUAAUAAGGUCAUAACAAAGGUAAAUAGGCAAGGCUAAAUAAAACAGUGAUAACGCGGGAAUUUAAAUAAAGCGAUAAUGCAAUAAUUUAAAUCAACAUAAUUUUAUAAACUGGGAUUCAAUAUGAUCAAGAUGAUGUGUCUUGCCUUGCUCGUUUUCCCAAUCGACGGCUUCGACUUCCACGAAGAGCGGAUCUUCCGAAGCUGCAGCGUCUACACGACCAACGGAAAAGAAAAAGGCUUUAACACUAAAUAACUCCACAUAACAGCAGAAACAAAGCACAAAAAUGGGUUCUUUACAUCUUAAGGAAAAAUUAGAGACUUGAACGGUCCAAUUCCGAGUUCAAAUGGCCAAGAUAUGGCCAUUUGAAGUUUAUAUGCUCUUUAAAUGGAUAUUUGCGAAUUUCUUCAUUUAAUUUUCAAUUAAAAAUCCUAUUUAUUGCGUCAGCCGAGGGAGCGGGGCGCGCGGACCGGGUCCACGGGAAGUGGGGCCCACGCGUCAGCCCCACGGUCCACGGUGGACCGGGCGCACGCGGCUGGCGGCGGUCGGCGCCGUGGGUCCCGCGCGUCAGCCGCACCCGCGGGCGCGGGCGGCUGACGGCCGGGCCCACUUGGCAGCCGCGAGGGCGCGCCCGAGGGCGGCCUCGCCGGCGCGGCCGACGGGAGCGGCGCGCCCGCGCCCCGAUGGUCACCGCCGGCGACCACCGGCGCGGCGGAGCGGCGCCCGAGAGAGAGGAGAGAAGGGGGAAGGCGAACGGCGGUCCUCGGCUCACCCCGGGACAACGACGACGACGAGAACGGCGGCCGGAGCGGAGGAAGACGGCGGCGCGGGUCGGGAUGCCGAGGGCGACGGCGCUCCGGCAGUCGACGGGCGAAGCGGAGCGGCGGACGGGGUCGGCGGCAACACGGCGAAGCGGACGGAGGUGUCGCCGAGUAAGGAGGAAGUCCGGAGCGGCGGCGGCGGCGGAUCGGAGCUCGGCGGCGAUGGCGGAGAGAGCGGAGCACGGCGCGAGCACGAAUCCGACGGCGAGGGCGAGCGGCGAGCGGCGGAAACGGAAGAGCGGAGCUCGGGCAACGUUUAAAUAGCGCCGGGGGAAGGAAAGAGCGGCCGGAGAGGGAGGAAUCGGUCGCGGAGAUUUCGGCCGCCAUAGAUGCGCCGGCGAUGAAUGCGGGAAGGAAAUCGGACGAAUCCGAGGGAGAGAGAGAGGGGAAAACGGGGGAAACGGGAGAGGGAAUCACGGGGAGUGAUUCCCCUCUCUUUAAUGCGCGCGGGGACGGCGGGAUGCGGCGCAAUCCGCGGCGGCGGCGGCGCUAGGGCACGGGCGCGGCGGCGGGCGCGGCGGGAGGAAGGCGAUGACAGGUGGGCCCCACCCGUCAGCGAGAGUGGCGGGCGGGCCCGCCUGUCAGCGGCGCGCGCGCGCGGGGAGGCCGAUGGGCCGCGGGGGAGGAGAGAGAGAGGGAGGGAGAAGUGGGCCGAGCCGGCCCAAGAGGGAAGGGGGGGGGGGAAAAAGAACUUCUUUUAGGAUUUUCUUUUUUUUAUAAACCUUUUCCACUUUGUUUAUUCCUUUUCAAUUAUUAUUUGUGCUCUGAAAAUUCCACUAAAAUUUGUUUAAGCAUUUUAGGCUUUUAGGAAAUAUACAAAAAUCCUCCAAGCCUCGUUUGACUUUUAUCUUUGCACAUUUUAAUUGUUGGAGGCUUUCACAUUGAAUUUUAAUUAUUCUUUGCACAAUUUCGAGGAUAGAUUUUAGAGUCGUUUUGGGACGCGACAAACCUACCCCCCUUAAACGGAAUCUCGACCCCGAGAUUCGGAAGAACUGGCGAAGAGAUCGGGAUGGGCUGCCUUCAGCUCGUCUUCGCGCUCCCAAGUAGCUUCUUCUUCGGCGUGGUUGCUCCACUGGACCUUGCAAAAACGGAUUACCCGGUUCCUGGUCCUGCGCUCCAUGGUGUCCAGGAUUUUCACUGGCUUCUCCACAUACGUCAGGUCUUCGCGAACUUCAAUUUGCUCUGAGUUGGCCUGCUCGGAUGGCACUCGGAGACAUUUCUUGAGUUGCGACACAUGGAACACAUCAUGCACGUUACCCAAGGAGGCGGGCAACUCCAGCUGGUAGGCGACUUCUCCGCGUCGAGCAGUGAUACGAAAGGGACCCACAUACCGAGGUGCGAGCUUCCCUUUUGUCCGAAACCUGUGCACCCCUCGCAAUGGCGUGACCCGAAGGUACACAAAAUCAUCCACUGCGAAUUCCAGAUCACGGCGUCGGUUAUCGGCAUAACUUUUCUGCCGGGACUGUGCCACCUUUAAGUUAUCCCGAAUGAUUCUGACUUUAGCUUCAGCUUCUCUCAGGAUAUCAGUCCCGAACACUUGGCUUUCUCCAACUUGGUCCCACAAUAGCGGUGUUCGGCAUUUGCGCCCGUACAACGCUUCAUAAGGUGCCAUUUGUAUGCUGGCUUGAUAACUGUUAUUGUAGGAGAACUCGGCAUAGGGGAGACUCUUAUCCCAGGUCUUCCCGAAAUCUAGGACACACGCGCGGAGCAUAUCUUCUAGGAUCUGAUUUAGACGCUCGGUCUGUCCAUCUGUCUGCGGGUGAUACGCGGUGCUGAAAUUUAGUCGGGUACCAAGCUCUUCUUGGAGCUUCUUCCAAAAGUGAGAGGUGAAUUGGCUUCCCCUAUCAGAUACGAUUUUCUUGGGAACGCCAUGGAGACUCACGAUCCUAGCGAAGUAGAGCUCGGCUAGUUUGUUCCCUCCAUAGGUGGUCUUCACAGGAAUAAAUCGGGCUACCUUGGUUAAUCGAUCCACUAUUACCCAUAUAGAAUCAUAUCCACCUUGGGUUUUUGGAAGGCCGGUGAUGAAAUCCAUCCCAAUUUCAUCCCAUUUCCAUUCCGGCACUUGGAGAGGCUGGAGAAGUCCAGCCGGUCGCUGGUGCUCUGCCUUGACACGCUGGCACACAUCACAUAGAGCCACAAACUCUGCAAUUUCCCGCUUCAUGCUGACCCACCAGUAUUUCUCGUUCAAGUCUAAGUACAUCUUGGUACUGCCCGGGUGAAUGGAAUAAGGACUUUCGUGAGCUUCCUGAAGUAUCAGCUGUUUAAGUUCUCUGCUAUCUGGAACGCAUACCCGCUUUCCGUUCCAUAAGGUUCCGUGUUCAUCCUCUGUGAAACCAGCGGCUUUACCCUGUUUCAUAUUCUUGAGGAGUCCAUGCAUGUCCGGAUCAUUCUUCUGAGCCUCGCGGAUUUGAUCGAGCAAGGUGGGCUUGGCUUCCAACGCGGCCAAAAAUCCACGACCAACUAUGCUUAGGUUCAGGGCUUCCAUCUGUUGAUUAAGCUCGGGUGGAAUGCCUCGGACGUUGAGAGUGUUGCAGUGGCUCUUUCGACUUAGAGCGUCGGCAACCACGUUGGCCUUACCAGGAUGAUAGUGUAUUCCCACAUCAUAAUCCUUGAUGAGUUCUAACCAUCUCCUUUGCCGAAGAUUCAGAUCCGACUGGGUGAAGAUGUAUUUCAAGCUCUUGUGAUCAGUAUAUAUUUCACAGCGGUUCCCAAUGAGAUAGUGCCGCCAGAUUUUUAGAGCAUGAACCACCGCUGCUAACUCCAAGUCAUGCGUAGGGUAGUUGCCCUCAUGAGGUCGUAGCUGACGUGAAGCAUAGGCUACCACAUGACCGUCCUGCAUGAGCACGCACCCCAAUCCUUGGCGCGAAGCAUCACAAUACACCAUGAAAUCCUUGCGAGUAUCCGGCAAGAUUAACACUGGCGAGGAAACCAGCUUUUCUUUGAGAGUUUGGAACGCCUUCUCGCAUUGCGGGCUCCACACAAACUUCUCUUCUUUCUUCAACAACUGUGUCAUGGGUCGAGCGAUUUUGGAGAAGUUCUCGAUGAACCUCCGGUAGUAUCCUGCCAAACCCAAGAAACUGCGAAUCUGAGUGACUGUCUUGGGUUGCUUCCAAUCGGUGACGGCGGUCACUGUUUCGGGGUCCACAGCAACUCCUUUAGCAGAUAUCACGUGCCCCAAGAAUUUGACUUCGGACAACCAGAACUCACACUUGCUAAGCUUGGCAUACAAUUGAUGUUCCCGCAACUUUCCCAACACCAGACGGAGAUGGUGCUGAUGGUCUUCCUCUGAUUGUGAGUAUAUCAGAAUGUCAUCGAUGAAAACCACAACGAACUUAUCCAAGUAUUCCAUGAACACUUUGUUCAUCAAGUUCAUGAAGAAGGCAGGAGCAUUGGUUAAGCCGAACGACAUCACCGUGAAUUCAUACAGUCCAUAUCGCGUAGUGAAUGCGGUCUUCGGAAUAUCUUCUUCACGAAUACGUAAUUGGUGAUAUCCGGAACGAAGAUCAAUCUUGGAGAAUACAGUGGCACCUUUAAGCUGAUCGAACAGAUCAUCGAUCCGGGGAAGAGGGUACUUGUUUUUGAUGGUGACUUCAUUGAGAGCUCUGUAGUCAACGCACAUCCUCUUCGUUUUGUCUUUCUUCUCCACAAAAAUCACAGGAGCACCCCAAGGGGAAGUACUCGGACGUAUAUACCCCUUUUCUUUCAACUCUUCCAACUGUUUCUUAACUUCGGCCAGUUCAUUUGCUGCCAUACGGUAGGGUCGCUUGUGCAGAGGAGUGGUUCCUGGAGCAAGAUCUAUCCGGAACUCAAUCUCUCGCUUGGGCGGCAUACCAGGUAGUUCUUCCGGAAACACGUCUCCGAACUCUCUGACUAUGGGGAUUUCUGACAGUUCUAUCUGAUGAAGUUCUGAACUUCUGACAGAGGUUGGGGGUGCAAAGAAAACAACCGGUUGUUCUGGUCCUCGGUACAGAGUGACAGUGCGCCUCGCGCAAUCCACUACCCCUUGGAAUUGGGCCAACCAAUUCAUCCCAAGGAUCACAUCCAAGUUCUUGGUAUCUAGCAGAAUCAGAUCCGAGGGAAAAGGAAUCCCCUGAAUUUCUAUAGGGACGGCAGGGCUAUAGUACUUUGCUGUCAUAACCCCUCCAGGGGUGGUGAUAAGCAGAGGGUUUCUAAGCCUUUCUACCCCCAACUGAUUUCUCCCCACGAAUGGCACAGAUAUAAACGAGUGGGAAGCUCCAGAGUCAAACAAAAUUGUCGCAGGGAUGGAAUGAACGAGGAACGUACCAACGAUGACGUCUGGAGUUGUCAGCACGUCCUCGGCCGUCACGUGAUUCACACGACCCCGAAUGACAUCCUUGCCACCGUUGUUGGAGCGGGGAGGCGCUUGGCCUUGCUGACGCCUUGGCUUCGGGCAUUUGUCCGCAAAGUGCCCGGGCUCGAAGCAGUUGAAGCACAGACGCUGCUGACCUUGAGCGUCCCUGCGGCCUUGAACAGGCUGCACAGUUGGCGUAGGAGGACGGGGCGCACGAGUCCCUUGUUGAUUCUGCUGCUGCUGCGGCUGUGGGACGCGCACCACGAAUUGAGGUCGGGGCGCUGGGCGAGGUUGCUGCUGCUGUUGUUGCUGCUGCGAGGAGGAUCCCCCUGGAUAGGGAUUGGUGUAGCGAACCCUUUGGUUAGCACCCUGUUGAUUGCGGAAAUUCGCCAAGCGGCGCUUGUGCGACUCCAGCUCCUUGUGCUUGGCCUCCAAGCGGAUGCUCUUGUCCACCAGACGUUGGAAAUCCGGAUAGUCCCCAGAGACUAGGCGGACAGACAGCUCGGGGUCCAUUCCUGCCAAGAACUUCUCUUGCUUCUCCUCAUCUUCCCGCACAUCCUCCGGGGCGUACCGGGCCAGAUUGUUGAACUCGUGCAAAUACUCCAUCACGGAGCGGUUGCCUUGCUUCAACUCUCGGAAUUCCCUCUUCUUGAGAGCCACGACUCCGGCGGGCACAUGGGUUCUCCGGAAAGCGGCGGUGAAGUGGGCCCAAGUGAUCGGCUGCCCCUCUGGCUGCGUAGCCUGGAAGUGGUCCCACCAGAGAGAUGCGGGCCCCUGCAGCUGGUGGGCGGCGAAGAUGACUUUCUCUUCGUCGCUGCACUGCACCGUGUCUAGCUUCUUCCCCACGGCAUGCAACCAAUCCAACGCAUCUACGGGAUUGUUGGAGCUAGAGAAGGUGGGUGGGCGGAUGCGGAGGAAUUCGGCGAGUUUGGAGUGUUGGGGAGGGGGUGGUGGAGCAUUCUGUUGUGGCGGAUUUUGGAGGUGGUGGAGGAAAGCAGUCAUCAUGUUGGCUUGUUGGGCGAGGAUCUGGGUGAGAAUGGCGUUGGUGUCUGGUGGUGGUGGUGGGGGUGGGUUGCCUUGGGGGUUGGGGUUGCUGCCCUCGGGUUGGUUGCCUUCACCGGUGUUAACAUUUCUCCUGGUCGUCACCAUCUGAAAACCCCACACGGAACCAGCAAACAGAGAGAGAGCUAACAAUUAAAACUAACCACCCACGACUACCAUUAUUCUUAAAUUUAUCACUGCUAUUAAAUUGGUUCAUUAAAGUUCAAGUUGCUUAGGCAAAUAAAAUAAGACAGGCUCCGACAUAGUUACACCACACACCGGCGUAACCAUGCCCCACACGACUCAACAAGAAGAUAAACGAGAAAGAACACACGCGCAGGCCUACUAACUGCUCGUCUACCGCUGCGACGGGCCAGGGCGGAAGGUGAGCAACAGCGCAUCCUCCGUGCUACCUACGCCGGAGGCUUCCCCCUCCUGGGGAACCACGGGCGCAGGUGCGGCACGAGGGGUCUCGACGAAGCAGGUCCACGCCAGGGACUGACGAACAAGCUCGGGCCUGGAGGUGCUCUUGCGGGCGGUGAUCUUCUGGCUGCGGCAGACGCGGCGACGCUUGGGGCGGCAGAUCUCUCCCUGGGCGAUCUUGAGCUGAUGCAGCUGCGCCUCCAACGCGUCGAGGUCCUUCUUGAGCUGCAGGUUCUCCUGACGCAGCUCCAGGAUCUUCAGGUUGUUCUCCACCAUGCCACGACGCACCAUCUGGUGGAAGUCGAUACGAGCCGCGUCGUACGCCUCCACCAUGCGUGCCAGAUGCACGACGGUAGCGUCAUCCUCCGAGCUGGCGUCUCGGAAGGUGGCGUGGUCGCGGGCUCCUCCGCGACGAGGGUGGUAGCGGUAGGGCGAUGUCACGCCCUGAAGUUCCCCUCCCUUGCUCUAAAUUCAUAAAAUAAAUCGUCCGAAGAAAUUGUUUAAUUUAACCUAGAGAGAAACCCUAAAUUAAUAAAUGCAAAUAAUAAUCGGAAUCGGCAUGUGGAAUUUUUCUUGGGUUCUACAUGUCAAAAUACGCUAACAGGAUUUUUAGUGGAAUUUUCAGAGCCUUGGAAAUAAUUUUAACCAAUUAAAAUGAGCAAAGUGCAAUAUUAAAUCCCUGGGAAAAUCCUUUUUCCUUUUAUCUUUUCUUUUCCCUCCUUUUUCCUCUUUCUUGGGCCCGGCCCAUUCCCUCCCGCGCCGGCCUUCCCUCGGCUGGGCCGGCCCAAGCCGGCCCACUCCCUCCCUCCUCUCUCCGGGUCACCGACAGGUGGGGCCCACCUGUCGGGCCCGUCUCCCUCCUCCCGCCGAUCCCGGCGCGCCGCCGCGCCCGCAACCGUCGCCGCGCCCACGUCUCCGCCUUCCCCGGCCCUCGUCGACCACGCCCGCGCGUGCGCCGCGUCCCCCGCGCCCACUUCCCUCUCUCUCCCGCUCGCGCCCGCGCCCGAGAUGGCCGGGAUUCGAAAAUCGAAUCCCGCCUCUCUCUCCUCCCCCACUCCCCACGUCGGCCGGCGAUUCCCGCCGCUCCCGGCCACGUCCGGCCCCCUCUCCCCUUAUUUAAGCAUCGCCGGCACCCCCUCUCUCUUUUUCCCCAUUUCGCCGACCCCUCCCGUGCUCCCCAUCGUCCCCGCGCCGUGCAACCACCCACCGCCGCCUCUUCCCGCUACUCCGGCCGCCGCUAGCCGUCGCUGGGCUCGCCGCCGUCUUGCGCCGUCGCCGCCGUUCGAUUCGCGUGGCCGAGAUCCACCCCGUCCACCCCUCCUCCGUCGAGGUCCGUCGCCGGAGAGCCGUUCCCGUCGUGCGACGGUGAGGGUCGCCAUGUCCGCCGCCUUCGGCCGGCAUCCCCGCCUCCUAUGGCCCCUCUCUUCCUCUCUAAUCCCUUUCGUUUCGUUCUUUAGGUCGCCCCGGUCGCCGUCCGCCGCGUGUCGACUUCCCUCCGUCGCUCCUCGUCGCCGGACGCCGUCGUCCCCUUCGGUGAGGACUCCUUCCCCUUUCCGUUACUUCCUCGAUUCUCCGUGCGUCGCCGCCGCCGCGCUUGCCGUCGCCUUUGGUCGUUGCCGCCGUCCACUGCCGCCGCUUUCGCGUCGCUUUUGCGCCGUCGCCUCCGCCGCCGGAUGCCGUCGCCGGCAACGCGACGUGCGCGCGCGCCGCCGCCCUCGCCAUAACCGGCCGGCCGGCUUGAAGCCGAGCCGAGCCAGGCCGCCUUUCCCCCCCCUUGUGUCACUGCCAGUGGGGCCCGCGUGCCGGCGCCUCUCCCUCACUCUCUUGAGCCGCCGCUCGGUGGGGCCCGCUUGCCAGCCGCCCCUCUCCCUCCUUGAGUCACUGACCCGCGGGUCCCGCAUGUCGGCGCCGCCCCACCCCUUGGAUGACGUCAGCCCUGGGGCAAUAUUGCGCAAUAAAUUGAUUAAGGCUUUUCUUUAUUAGUAAAACCACAGAGAAUCUUCUAAAAAUCAUAACUAAUUCAUCCGAGCUCCGAUUAAGUCCAUUCAAGUCUCAGUAAAUUCAUAAAAAUGUGUAGAAUCCAUUAAAAAUGGUUUUUGUUUCCUGUUUCAGUAGUCUUAUAGCAUGUUUUGCUUGUGUGCUUUGUUUGUCGCGUAGAUUUCGGCCGUUUCGUCGAUUCGUGGUUGCUCGAAGACGUUGCUGUGGUCGCAUCAGUGCGAGAGCAAGGCAAGUCAUACAUUGCAAUUGAUCAUAUUGUACCUAAUUUACAAAUGUCCCGUAUUUCUAUUAAAUAUUGCAUUGUUUUACAAUAUCAUGUGGGAUGGGUCCUAUUACUCAGCUAUAUGUUGUUUUCCUUAUGCCAUUGAUAACUUGGGUAUUAAAAUGACUAGAUGUUGGUUUAGGAGAUGCUUAGCCAUGCUUAGUUCAACUAGUGCAUAAAAGGGGACCACAUUAAAGCAUAGACUUGAUUAUUGGCAAUAGCUUUGGAUUAGUGCCACCGCAAUGGUGUUGGCUAAUUAAAAUACACUACAUGGUGGGCUGUGGGUGCAUGGUUUUGCUAGACGUGCCCAUGGCGAUUAAGGACCGGUUCGCGGGAUGCCCUGGAAGAAUUUAUCGUACUUACCACAAGCCAGCGUGGGCAACGGCUGGGCUUGUAGUGUAGCUUUUCUCUAGCCGACGUACCCAGGCGAGGGUGGGCGUGAUGGAGUUGGGUCGGCCGGGGUGUCCGGUUGAUCGGCUGCCGGAUUCACCGCGGCACGAAAGGGGGGCUGCCCGUUGCCUGCUGGGGACGGGGGCGAACCCUAAGGUGUGGUGCGAUCGGUUAGAGGGGGUUAUGCGAAGGGUCCUGUCACGGCCUCUUUCCGGUAUGUCGUGGUGGCAUGUCGGCGCACGGGAACGUGUCGUGGGGCUGUGUCUUGUGGGUACAGUUGUACACCUCUGAUCAGAGUAAAACUAUUCGAAUAGCCGUGCCCGCGGUUAUGGGCGGUCGACCAGAUUCACCGUGAUUAGUUUCACCCUAGUUAGCUUUUGGAACUGGUUAGUUCAGGUGGUGGUUUGGGCCUGUUGCAACGUGGUGUAACGUUGGACAGUGAUUGGUUAAUAUGGAUUAAUUACUACAACUGUUUUACUGCUUUCAACUACUGCUUUGAAAUGCCGGCUUUAUGCAAAAGAACCUUUAGCCUCCCUCGGAUAUAUCUUGCAUCAUACCUCCUCUUCCGGUGUGACUUGCUGAGUACAGUGGGUAGUACUCAGUCUUGCUCUCUUUUCCCCCACACCAGAGUUGAAGUCCUUCCCAGUUGAAGAUGUCUCGAGGAGGUUGGUUUCGUCGCUGCCGUCAAGGAAUGCCUGUGGAAUGGAGUCGCCCGCUGCAGGAGUCAAGUCUUCAGGCUUAGCUCGCUUUUCUCUUUUUCCGCUGCAUUUGUAAUCUUUUAUAUUUUUGUAAGACGUGGAUCUGUAUGUCAACAAUUGUCGUUUGUGUACCCUGGCUGGUCCUGGACAGGGGUUUAAUACACAUUCAGCUUAGAAAUUCUGGUACGUGAAUUUCUGGGCGUGACAAGUUGGUAUCAGAGCCGACCUUGACCGUAGGACAAGCCAAAUGGAAACCCUAAGAGCUCUCUUAAACCUUUUCAUCUGCAUAUGCUUUUUGCACUUGGAUUUGUUUCGGGAAAAAUUUGGGGUUUUGCCUCUUUGGUUUGUGGGAAAAAUCUUGGUCGUUCAUUCGGAUCGGAUCCUUAAAAUUAGCUCGGUCUAGGGUUUUAGAAAAAUUUUAUUUGGAGUUAUAUUUGACAGUCAGUUGGGAAUUUAUCGGGUGAUAUGCAUUAGGUCGUGUCUAUGUUCGAUGGGGCAAUUUUAUGCGCAUCAUUUUCCAUGCAACUAGUUUAUGCAUUAAGCUAUGGUUUAGUCAGUCGCAUUAGUGUCUUUAUCCGGGUUCAUGAAAAAUGUUCUAUGCAUAAAAAUCAUCAUGCUCGGCAAGUUACUUGAGUCAUUUGUUGCUUUAUUUAAUUUGGUUUUGAGCAUGUGUUGGUUCCUAUCCCUCUGUACUCUUUAGAUGUCAGACCUAUUCUACGAUCGCAAGCGCCGCUCCAAGCUUCAGAGUCGCCGCCCUUAGCUUUAUCGUCUUCUUAGUCUGUUUGCGUGCUAGUUUUUGUGUUUAGGUUUGUUGCUUGUGGGUUAGUCGGCGGUCGAUAUCAUGCGUGAGUGGUAUGACAGCCUUUAUUAGGAGUUGCGUGCCUCUUUUUCAGUGUUUUAAUCAAGAUUAAGAUAAUGGCACUUAAUCUUAUAAGAAAGAUUAGUUUCCGAGCCGUCUGUUUUCUUCCUUUCUCUUAUUUCUACCUAUCCUCCUCCAGAUGGUGAAGACAAGGAAUGAUCCCCGUGACUCCAACGACGCCAGUGGCAGCGAAGAGCAGACCGAUGGAGCUCAUGUCAGUGGUGCAUCUGGCAGCAGAUCAUCUCCACCGCCCGAAAACCCAACAGUCACUCAAAUGAUGACAAUGAUGAUGCAACAGAUGCAGCAACAUUACCAUCAGAUGUUGCAGCAGGCGCAACAGAACCAGCAGUUUGGUCCUCCACCAUCACACGUGUCCAAACUGUUAGACUUUCUUCGUAUCCAGCCACCCACUUUCUCAAGCACCACCAACCCAAUGGAGGCCAAUGACUGGCUCCGUGCUAUUGAGAAAAAGCUGAACCUACUGCAAUGCAACGACCAAGAGAAAGUUGCUUUUGCUACACAUCAAUUGCAAGGUCCUGCUUCUGCCUGGUGGGAUAACUACGUGGUGACCCGUCCAGAUGCAACGGAGGUUACUUGGGCAGAGUUUUGUCAAAGCUUUAGGAAGGCACAGAUUCCUGAAGGGAUUAUGGCACAACAGAAGAGAGAGUUCCGUGCAUUGCAACAAGGAACCAGAACGGUUACAGAGUACCUGCACGAGUUCAACCGCCUUGCGCGCUACGCUCCUGACGACGUGCGCACCGAUGCUGAGAAGCAGGAGAAGUUUUUGUUUGGGCUCGACGAUGAAUUGACCAACCAGCUAAUCUCCGGGGUUUAUGAGGACUUUGAGAAGCUUGUGGACAAGGUUAUUCGUCAGGAAGAGCAACGCAACAAAAUGGACCGAAAAAGAAAGGCAGCUCAGAUCAGCUUUCCUCAGGGGAACAAUCAGAAGCCUCGCUUCAUGACGGGACAGCUAGGUGGGCCUUCCACCCUGAUCGUCUGUCAGCACCGUCCCUAUCACCCGAGUAACUUCGACAACGACUACAACGGUGGCAGUCACAACAACAGUAAGCAGCACAACCACAACUCGACUCCACCCCCACUAAUGGCACCAGCUCAGUCAGAUCCGCCAGCUGUGUCAGUUCAGUCAGAACAACCCAAGAAGGGGGCUGUAGGAAAGCCAGGACCCUGCUUCAACUGUGGCAAGCACGGCCACUUUGCUGGCAAGUGUCCGAAGCUGAAUCGCACUGGACCCAGGUUCAUCCAGGCCCGCGCCAAUCAUGUGUCUGCAGAGGAAGCACAGGCAGCACCAGAGGUCGUGUUGGGCACGUUUCCAGUGAACUCAUAUCCAGCAACAGUUCUCUUUGAUUCAGGUGCCUCGCAUUCUUUCAUUUCCAAAAGAUUUGCUGGGACACAUGGAUUAUCGGUAGUGGAACUUAAAAUACCGAUGCAGGUUCAUACCCCUGGAAAUGAUAUGAGGACAGCACACUACUGCCCCUCGGUGACUAUAGAGAUCAAAAGAUCACCGUUUCUAUCCAACCUCAUCCUUCUCGAAUCUAAAGACCUGGAUGUCAUUCUUGGAAUGGAUUGGUUGACCAGAAACAAGGGAGUGAUUGACUGCGCAAGCCGCACCAUCACCCUAACCAACGACAAAGGGGAGAAGAUCACUUUCCGUUCCCCAGCAUCGCAGAAGUCCGUAGCGAGUCUGAACCAGGUUGCUAUUGAGGGUCAGACAGAAACAGUGGAGAAAAGUCCCAGGAAGUUGGAGGAUAUUCCUACAGUACAAGAGUAUCCUGAGGUGUUCCCAGAAGACCUCACUACAAUGCCACCGAAGAGAGAAAUCGAGUUCCGGAUCGAUUUGGCACCCGGAACUGCUCCAAUUUACAAGAGGCCGUACAGAAUGGCAGCUAAUGAGCUAGCAGAGGUCAAGAAGCAGGUUGACGAACAGCUCCAGAAAGGGUACAUCCGACCGAGUACUUCACCUUGGGGUGCUCCGGUUAUCUUUGUGGAGAAGAAAGACAAGACCAAGAGGAUGUGCGUGGAUUAUCGCGCCCUUAAUGAGGUCACAAUCAAGAACAAAUAUCCGUUGCCAAGAAUUGAUGACCUGUUUGAUCAGCUAAAAGGAGCUAAGGUGUUUUCCAAGAUAGACCUACGAUCAGGCUAUCAUCAGUUGAGAAUUCGGGAAGAGGAUAUUCCCAAGACAGCCUUCACCACUCGGUAUGGGUUGUUUGAGUGCACGGUUAUGUCCUUUGGACUUACCAAUGCACCGGCUUUCUUCAUGAACUUGAUGAACAAAGUGUUUAUGGAGUUUCUUGACAAGUUUGUCGUGGUAUUCAUUGACGACAUACUUAUUUAUUCAAAAUCAGAAGAGGAACAUGAGCAACAUCUUCGUCUGGUACUUGAGAAAUUGAAGGAGCACCAGUUAUAUGCCAAGUUUAGCAAGUGUGACUUCUGGUUAUCGGAGGUCAAAUUUCUGGGUCACAUCAUUUGUGCUCAAGGCGUGGCAGUGGACCCAUCAAAUGUGGAAUCAGUUACAAAGUGGACCCCACCAAAGACAGUUUCUCAGAUCCGGAGUUUUCUUGGACUUGCGGGCUAUUACCGUCGGUUCAUCGAAAAUUUCUCCAAGAUUGCCAGGCCCAUGACACAGUUGCUAAAGAAAGAUGAAAAAUUCAAGUGGUCAGCUGAGUGCAACCAAAGUUUUGAAGAACUCAAGAAGAGGUUAGUCUCUGCACCAGUUCUAAUUCUGUCAGAUCAGACAAAAGACUUCCAAGUCUACUGUGAUGCAUCUCGCCAAGGAUUGGGAUGUGUGUUGAUGCAAGAAGGCAGAGUGGUUGCAUAUGCUUCGCGACAGUUGCGUCCACAUGAGGCCAAUUAUCCCACUCAUGACCUUGAGUUGGCAGCAGUGGUUCAUGCUCUGAAAAUCUGGCGGCACUAUCUUAUUGGCAACCGCUGUGAAGUUUACACUGAUCAUAAGAGCCUGAAGUACAUCUUCACCCAGCCCGACUUAAAUCUCCGGCAACGAAGAUGGCUGGAGUUGAUUAAAGAUUAUGACAUGGGGAUACACUAUCAUCCAGGCAAAGCAAAUGUGGUAGCAGAUGCUCUGAGCAGAAAGAGCUAUUGCAAUGCAGUAUGUACCGAAGGCAUGUGUGACAAAUUGCAGCAAGAUCUUGAGCACCUAAAUUUGGGCAUCGUAGAACACGGGCACGUAGCUGCCCUAGAGGCACGGCCUACGCUCGUGGAUCAAGUCAGAGCAGCUCAAGUAAAUGAUCCUGAAAUAGCUGAGCUGAAAAAGAAUAUGAGGGUUGGAAAAGCUCGAGAUUUCCAUGAGGAUGAGCAUGGCACAAUCUGGUUGGGAGAAAGAUUGUGUGUGCCUGACGACAAAGGACUGAAGGAUCUCAUACUCACAGAAGCUCAUCAAACUCAGUAUUCAAUUCAUCCCGGCAGUACUAAAAUGUACCAAGACCUCAAAGAGAAAUUCUGGUGGGCCAGCAUGAGAAGAGAAAUAGCCGAAUUCGUCGCACUCUGCGAUGUUUGUCAGCGAGUCAAAGCAGAACAUCAGAGGCCCGCAGGACUGCUACAACCCCUUCAGAUCCCGGAAUGGAAAUGGGAAGAAAUCGGAAUGGAUUUCAUAACAGGUUUGCCCAGAACAUCGUCGGGGCACGAUUCAAUCUGGGUGGUCGUGGAUCGACUCACCAAAGUUGCUCAUUUUAUUCCAGUACACACUACCUAUACUGGGAAAAGGUUGGCAGAGCUUUAUCUUUCAAGAAUCAUGUGUUUGCAUAGGGUACCUAAGAAGAUUGUAUCUGAUCGAGGAAGCCAAUUCACUUCAAAAUUUUGGCAGAAACUGCAAGAAGAAUUGGGGACUCGUUUGAAUUUCAGCACGGCUUAUCAUCCGCAAACUGAUGGUCAGACCGAAAGGGUCAAUCAGAUCUUGGAAGAUAUGCUGCGAGCGUGUGCGCUCGAUUUUGGUGGAGCCUGGGAUAAAAGUCUGCCUUAUGCGGAAUUCUCUUACAACAACAGUUAUCAGGCCAGUUUGCAAAUGGCACCGUUUGAAGCAUUGUACGGACGAAAGUGCCGCACACCACUUUUCUGGGAUCAAACAGGUGAGCGCCAACUGUUUGGGACAGAAGUGUUAACCGAAGCAGAGAAGAAAGUCAGGACCGUCAGGGAAAGACUGCGAAUCGCCCAGUCUCGGCAAAAGAGUUAUGCUGAUAACCGCCGAAGAGAGCUUACUUUCGAAGCAGGGGAUUAUGUGUACCUUCGUGUCACUCCGCUCCGGGGAGUACACCGCUUCCAAACCAAAGGCAAGUUGGCACCACGCUUUGUGGGACCAUACAGGAUCUUGGAACGCAGAGGUGAAGUCGCUUACCAGCUUGAGCUCCCAUCUAAUAUGGUUGGUAUCCACGAUGUGUUUCAUGUAUCUCAAUUGAAGAAGUGUUUGAGGGUACCUGAGGAACAAGCUAGCUCAGAGCACAUUGACAUCCAGGAAGAUCUGACUUAUGUGGAGAAGCCGAUUUGUAUCCUCGAGACCAGUGAGAGAAGGACCAGAAACAAGGUGAUCAAGUUUUGCAAAGUUCAGUGGAGCCACCACUCAGAGGAAGAGGCCACCUGGGAAAGAGAAGAUGAAUUGAAGGCCGCCCAUCCGCACCUCUUCGCCAGCUCUUCCGAAUCUCGGGGUCGAGAUUCCGUUUAAGGGGGGUAGGUUUGUCACGCCCUGAAGUUCCCCUCCCUUGCUCUAAAUUCAUAAAAUAAAUCGUCCGAAGAAAUUGUUUAAUUUAACCUAGAGAGAAACCCUAAAUUAAUAAAUGCAAAUAAUAAUCGGAAUCGGCAUGUGGAAUUUUUCUUGGGUUCUACAUGUCAAAAUACGCUAACAGGAUUUUUAGUGGAAUUUUCAGAGCCUUGGAAAUAAUUUUAACCAAUUAAAAUGAGCAAAGUGCAAUAUUAAAUCCCUGGGAAAAUCCUUUUUCCUUUUAUCUUUUCUUUUCCCUCCUUUUUCCUCUUUCUUGGGCCCGGCCCAUUCCCUCCCGCGCCGGCCUUCCCUCGGCUGGGCCGGCCCAAGCCGGCCCACUCCCUCCCUCCUCUCUCCGGGUCACCGACAGGUGGGGCCCACCUGUCGGGCCCGUCUCCCUCCUCCCGCCGAUCCCGGCGCGCCGCCGCGCCCGCAACCGUCGCCGCGCCCACGUCUCCGCCUUCCCCGGCCCUCGUCGACCACGCCCGCGCGUGCGCCGCGUCCCCCGCGCCCACUUCCCUCUCUCUCCCGCUCGCGCCCGCGCCCGAGAUGGCCGGGAUUCGAAAAUCGAAUCCCGCCUCUCUCUCCUCCCCCACUCCCCACGUCGGCCGGCGAUUCCCGCCGCUCCCGGCCACGUCCGGCCCCCUCUCCCCUUAUUUAAGCAUCGCCGGCACCCCCUCUCUCUUUUUCCCCAUUUCGCCGACCCCUCCCGUGCUCCCCAUCGUCCCCGCGCCGUGCAACCACCCACCGCCGCCUCUUCCCGCUACUCCGGCCGCCGCUAGCCGUCGCUGGGCUCGCCGCCGUCUUGCGCCGUCGCCGCCGUUCGAUUCGCGUGGCCGAGAUCCACCCCGUCCACCCCUCCUCCGUCGAGGUCCGUCGCCGGAGAGCCGUUCCCGUCGUGCGACGGUGAGGGUCGCCAUGUCCGCCGCCUUCGGCCGGCAUCCCCGCCUCCUAUGGCCCCUCUCUUCCUCUCUAAUCCCUUUCGUUUCGUUCUUUAGGUCGCCCCGGUCGCCGUCCGCCGCGUGUCGACUUCCCUCCGUCGCUCCUCGUCGCCGGACGCCGUCGUCCCCUUCGGUGAGGACUCCUUCCCCUUUCCGUUACUUCCUCGAUUCUCCGUGCAUCGCCGCCGCCGCGCUUGCCGUCGCCUUUGGUCGUUGCCGCCGUCCACUGCCGCCGCUUUCGCGUCGCUUUUGCGCCGUCGCCUCCGCCGCCGGAUGCCGUCGCCGGCAACGCGACGUGCGCGCGCGCCACCGCCCUCGCCAUAACCGGCCGGCCGGCUUGAAGCCGAGCCGAGCCAGGCCGCCUUUCCCCCCCCUUGUGUCACUGCCAGUGGGGCCCGCGUGCCGGCGCCUCUCCCUCACUCUCUUGAGCCGCCGCUCGGUGGGGCCCGCUUGCCAGCCGCCCCUCUCCCUCCUUGAGUCACUGACCCGCGGGUCCCGCAUGUCGGCGCCGCCCCACCCCUUGGAUGACGUCAGCCCUGGGGCAAUAUUGCGCAAUAAAUUGAUUAAGGCUUUUCUUUAUUAGUAAAAACACAGAGAAUCUUCUAAAAAUCAUAACUAAUUCAUCCGAGCUCCGAUUAAGUCCAUUCAAGUCUCAGUAAAUUCAUAAAAAUGUGUAGAAUCCAUUAAAAAUGGUUUUUGUUUCCUGUUUCAGUAGUCUUAUAGCAUGUUUUGCUUGUGUGCUUUGUUUGUCGCGUAGAUUUCGGCCGUUUCGUCGAUUCGUGGUUGCUCGAAGACGUUGCUGUGGUCGCAUCAGUGCGAGAGCAAGGCAAGUCAUACAUUGCAAUUGAUCAUAUUGUACCUAAUUUACAAAUGUCCCGUAUUUCUAUUAAAUAUUGCAUUGUUUUACAAUAUCAUGUGGGAUGGGUCCUAUUACUCAGCUAUAUGUUGUUUUCCUUAUGCCAUUGAUAACUUGGGUAUUAAAAUGACUAGAUGUUGGUUUAGGAGAUGCUUAGCCAUGCUUAGUUCAACUAGUGCAUAAAAGGGGACCACAUUAAAGCAUAGACUUGAUUAUUGGCAAUAGCUUUGGAUUAGUGCCACCGCAAUGGUGUUGGCUAAUUAAAAUACACUACAUGGUGGGCUGUGGGUGCAUGGUUUUGCUAGACGUGCCCAUGGCGAUUAAGGACCGGUUCGCGGGAUGCCCUGGAAGAAUUUAUCGUACUUACCACAAGCCAGCGUGGGCAACGGCUGGGCUUGUAGUGUAGCUUUUCUCUAGCCGACGUACCCAGGCGAGGGUGGGCGUGAUGGAGUUGGGUCGGCCGGGGUGUCUGGUUGAUCGGCUGCCGGAUUCACCGCGGCACGAAAGGGGGGCUGCCCGUUGCCUGCUGGGGACGGGGGCGAACCCUAAGGUGUGGUGUGAUCGGUUAGAGGGGGUUAUGCGAAGGGUCCUGUCACGGCCUCUUUCCGGUAUGUCGUGGUGGCAUGUCGGCGCACGGGAACGUGUCGUGGGGCUGUGUCUUGUGGGUACAGUUGUACACCUCUGAUCAGAGUAAAACUAUUCGAAUAGCCGUGCCCGCGGUUAUGGGCGGUCGACCAGAUUCACCGUGAUUAGUUUCACCCUAGUUAGCUUUUGGAACUGGUUAGUUCAGGUGGUGGUUUGGGCCUGUUGCAACGUGGUGUAACGUUGGACAGUGAUUGGUUAAUAUGGAUUAAUUACUACAACUGUUUUACUGCUUUCAACUACUGCUUUGAAAUGCCGGCUUUAUGCAAAAGAACCUUUAGCCUCCCUCGGAUAUAUCUUGCAUCAUACCUCCUCUUCCGGUGUGACUUGCUGAGUACAGUGGGUAGUACUCAGUCUUGCUCUCUUUUCCCCCACACCAGAGUUGAAGUCCUUCCCAGUUGAAGAUGUCUCGAGGAGGUUGGUUUCGUCGCUGCCGUCAAGGAAUGCCUGUGGAAUGGAGUCGCCCGCUGCAGGAGUCAAGUCUUCAGGCUUAGCUCGCUUUUCUCUUUUUCCGCUGCAUUUGUAAUCUUUUAUAUUUUUGUAAGACGUGGAUCUGUAUGUCAACAAUUGUCGUUUGUGUACCCUGGCUGGUCCUGGACAGGGGUUUAAUACACAUUCAGCUUAGAAAUUCUGGUACGUGAAUUUCUGGGCGUGACAGGCGAGUGCUGCAACUCGUCCGGGUAGCGCUGGUGAAGGGUGCCGAUGGCGAGGAGAGCGGCGUUCUGGCAAGCGGCGGGGAAGGAAUCCCCACCCGCGGUGACUGCCAGCGAAGUCCGCUCGGGAGAGCCGGAGAGGAUCACUGCAGUGACCUCCCAACCAGCGUGAGGCUCUGCAUCCUCACCCUCCUGCUCCGGGAGCGGCCUGGCCUGGUAAUCCACUCCAUGUGGAUACCCCAAGACCACGCACAUGCCUCGCAGCUCCAAGACGAAGCCAGUCAUGUCCAAACCACGACGGGUAACGCUGCCGGCCAUCUACAAACAAAAACAAAAGAAAAGCAACAUUUAAAAGAUCAGAUUUUGACGAUAAAUGAAGCAGCAAGACAAAGAGAGAGUAGCGGGUUUUCACAAAUAAUAAAGGAUUUUUAUUUUUUUUGAAAAUAUAGCUAAGGCUUGGGAUCUACGGCUCGUCCUAGGGUCAAGGGAGGCUCUGAUACCAACUUGUCACGACCGGAAAUCACCCAACAGGCGUUCCCGACGUGCGUGUAUUAUUCCUUGUCCCAGGAGGCAAGGUACACCAAAAGUUGAUACAAUACAGAGUUUAACAAGCGGAAGCGUAUAUAAAAUUAUUACAUGGGCAACGAAGGCCCAGCACACUCAAAGACAACGAAAAACAGCGGAAGACUAGGGCGACGACCACAGGCGCUUGACGGCAGGCACGAGCUAGACACCAAAGCCUUCAUCUUCCAGGAACUCCUCAUCUGGGCUUGGGAAAAUUAAGCAAGACUGAGUACAACCACCGUACUCAACAAGACACACCCACAAAUGCAGAAUAAAUGCAAGGGAGUACAAGGGAAUUAUAAUAUAAAGGGUUAGGGUUGCAGUAAACAGCAUUUAAAGACAUUUAGUUGCUCAAAGCUACUUUGUAAACGCGAUCCUAGAACGCUACAAAGUUAUUAAUCAAGGCCGUGAACCCACACGAACCUGCCUUAACCCAAGGCCUAUGAUGAUUCAGACCGAACUGGCAACCCGACCCUGGGUCCCAGCUCGUCCUAAGCCAACCCAGGCCAACCAUUCCAUAUUUUAGUUGUUAAGCAAAUUUUAAGAAUUAAAACACUAACUUGGGUACAUUGCUCGGCUUGCCCAUAACCGAGGGCGCGGCUAUUCGAAUAGAUUAUACUCUGAUCAGAGGUGUACAUCUUUACCCACAAGACACAUCUUUCUCACGUGCAACCACGUGCCACAUACCACCACGGUAUACAGGCGAAAGACGUGACAUAGUUUCCAACCCAUCCUAGCCAUAGACAAGAGUACCGACCCAAUCCCGCCUACGGCCGGAACCCCCGGGACAGGCAGACGGAACUGAGCCCCUCGCAGCAGGGCACCAACCCUGUGCUUUUUGACAUCUCGACUACCGGGCCGCAGCUCGUGUAGCCUUCAUUUGCCCUGGAGAAUGUCCAUCGACCCCCGACUUCAUCCAUCUCCAAUCCGUGUACUUUUGUUUAAGACUAGACUGAGCCACAAACUAAGCCUUACCCACUAGACAUGUGGAAGUACGGUAGUGCUUUGCAACAGAGGCCCGAAAACCGGUCCUUAUACGGCCGAGGUGCUACCAUCAAAACCAUGCACCCCGAGCCCAGCCUAAAACCAUUUUAGGAGAUUUUGAAUACAGGGGGCGGUGUGAAGCCAAUUCCACAAUAAUCCAACAAUUCCAUAGUGUCCAGGUGAUAUGAAUAUUUCCCAAGUCUAAAGUUAUAAAACCACCUAAUGUUACCUAAUUAAAGCGAAGCAUCUACCUAAAAUCAUACUAGUGAUACCACGAGUAGAGUGUCCACUAGUUGGGGUUUUGUUUAUUCUAGGGUGAACAAGGUAAUAAUAACAAUAACAACAAUAAUAAGGUCAUAACAAAGGUAAAUAGGCAAGGCUAAAUAAAACAGUGAUAACGCGGGAAUUUAAAUAAAGCGAUAAUGCAAUAAUUUAAAUCAACAUAAUUUUAUAAACUGGGAUUCAAUAUGAUCAAGAUGAUGUGUCUUGCCUUGCUCGUUUUCCCAAUCGACGGCUUCGACUUCCACGAAGAGCGGAUCUUCCGAAGCUGCAGCGUCUACACGACCAACGGAAAAGAAAAAGGCUUUAACACUAAAUAACUCCACAUAACAGCAGAAACAAAGCACAAAAAUGGGUUCUUUACAUCUUAAGGAAAAAUUAGAGACUUGAACGGUCCAAUUCCGAGUUCAAAUGGCCAAGAUAUGGCCAUUUGAAGUUUAUAUGCUCUUUAAAUGGAUAUUUGCGAAUUUCUUCAUUUAAUUUUCAAUUAAAAAUCCUAUUUAUUGCGUCAGCCGAGGGAGCGGGGCGCGCGGACCGGGUCCACGGGAAGUGGGGCCCACGCGUCAGCCCCACGGUCCACGGUGGACCGGGCGCACGCGGCUGGCGGCGGUCGGCGCCGUGGGUCCCGGGCGUCAGCCGCACCCGCGGGCGCGGGCGGCUGACGGCCGGGCCCACUUGGCAGCCGCGAGGGCGCGCCCGAGGGCGGCCUCGCCGGCGCGGCCGACGGGAGCGGCGCGCCCGCGCCCCGAUGGUCACCGCCGGCGACCACCGGCGCGGCGGAGCGGCGCCCGAGAGAGAGGAGAGAAGGGGGAAGGCGAACGGCGGUCCUCGGCUCACCCCGGGACAACGACGACGACGAGAACGGCGGCCGGAGCGGAGGAAGACGGCGGCGCGGGUCGGGAUGCCGAGGGCGACGGCGCUCCGGCAGUCGACGGGCAAAGCGGAGCGGCGGACGGGGUCGGCGGCAACACGGCGAAGCGGACGGAGGUGUCGCCGAGUAAGGAGGAAGUCCGGAGCGGCGGCGGCGGCGGAACGGAGCUCGGCGGCGAUGGCGGAGAGAGCGGAGCACGGCGCGAGCACGAAUCCGACGGCGAGGGCGAGCGGCGAGCGGCGGAAACGGAAGAGCGGAGCUCGGGCAACGUUUAAAUAGCGCCGGGGGAAGGAAAGAGCGGCCGGAGAGGGAGGAAUCGGUCGCGGAGAUUUCGGCCGCCAUAGAUGCGCCGGCGAUGAAUGCGGGAAGGAAAUCGGACGAAUCCGAGGGAGAGAGAGAGGGGAAAACGGGGGAAACGGGAGAGGGAAUCACGGGGAGUGAUUCCCCUCUCUUUAAUGCGCGCGGGGACGGCGGGAUGCGGCGCAAUCCGCGGCGGCGGCGGCGCUAGGGCACGGGCGCGGCGGCGGGCGCGGCGGGAGGAAGGCGAUGACAGGUGGGCCCCACCCGUCAGCGAGAGUGGCGGGCGGGCCCGCCUGUCAGCGGCGCGCGCGCGCGGGGAGGCCGAUGGGCCGCGGGGGAGGAGAGAGAGAGAGGGAGGGAGAAGUGGGCCGAGCCGGCCCAAGAGGGAAGGGGGGGGAAAAAGAACUUCUUUUAGGAUUUUCUUUUUUUUAUAAACCUUUUCCACUUUGUUUAUUCCUUUUCAAUUAUUAUUUGUGCUCUGAAAAUUCCACUAAAAUUUGUUUAAGCAUUUUAGGCUUUUAGGAAAUAUACAAAAAUCCUCCAAGCCUCGUUUGACUUUUAUCUUUGCACAUUUUAAUUGUUGGAGGCUUUCACAUUGAAUUUUAAUUAUUCUUUGCACAAUUUCGAGGAUAGAUUUUAGAGUCGUUUUGGGACGCGACACCGCGUGCGCCGCCACCUUUGGCCGUGCCGCCGCCUUUGGCCGUGCCGCCGCUCCGGCCGUCCGCCGCCGCCUUCGCGCCGGCCGCCGCCGUCUCCCGCGUCGCCGGUCACCGCCGGUGACCGCGCGUGCCGCCGCCGCCGCCCCAUGGCUGGCCGGCCGGCUUGAGCCGUGCCGAGCUGCCAGCCGCCCACUCCCUCCCCCUUGAGCCACUGCCCGUGGGGCCCACAUGCCGACGCCCUCUCCCUCUCUUAGUGCCGCUGACCAGUGGGGCCCGCAUGUCGGCGCCGCCCCCCUUCCGCUGACGUCAGCCCUGGGCUUUAUUGCGCAAUAAAUUGAUUAAGGACUUUUCUUUAUUAGUAAAAACACAGUUUAUCUUCUAAAAUUCAUAAGUAAUUCAUCCGAGCUCCGUUUAAGUCCAUUCAAGUCUCAGUAAAUCAAGAAAAAUGCAAAGAAUCCAUUAAAAAUGGUUUUGUUUCCUGUUUCUGUAGUCUUAUAGCAUGUUUUGCUUGUGUGCUUUGUUUGUCGCGUAGGUUUCGGCCGUUUCGUCGAUCCGCGGUUUCUCGAAGACGUUGCUGAGGUCUCAUCAGUGCGAGAGCAAGGCAAGUCUUGCAAUACGUUUGAUCAUAUUGUACCCAAUUUACAAAUAUCCCGCAUUUCUAUUAAAUGUUGCAUCCUUUUACAAUGUCAUGUGGGAUGGGUCCUAAUACUCAGCCAUUUAUUGUUUACCUUAUGCCAUUGAUAACUUGGGUAUCAAAAUGACUAGAUGUUGGUUUAGGAAAUGCUUAGCCAUGCUUAGUUCAACUAGCACACACAUGGGGAUCACAUUAUUACAUAGACUUUGACUAUGAGCAUAGCUUUGGAUUGGUGCCACCGCAAUGGUGUGAGUUAAUUAAAAUACACUGAAUGGUGGGCUGUGGGUGCAUGGUUUUGCUGGUCGCACCCAUGGCAGUUAAGGACCGGUUCACGGGAAACCCUGGGAGACUUACCGUGCUUACCACAAGCGGGAGUGGGUAACUGCUUGAUCUGAAGUAUAGCUCGACCCUUUCCUAGGCACCGGUGGCGAGGGUGGGCGUGAUGGAGUUGGGUCGGCCGGGGUGUCCGGUUGUCCAGCUGCCGGAUUCACCGCGGCGCAAGAGGGGACCGCCCACUGCCUUUUGAGGGGUGGGGGUGAAACCUUAGCGUGGUGUGGAUGGUUAGGGGAGGGUUAUGUGGAGGGUCUUGUCACGAUUUCCCCCUUUGCAGUAUCAUGGUGAUACUUCGGGGCAUGGCGACAUGUGUGGAAUCGUGUCUUGUGGGUACAGUUGUACACCUCUGGCCAGAGUAAAACUAUUCGAAUAGCCGUGCCCGCGGUUAUGGGCGAUCAACCAGAUUCACCGUGAUUAGUCUCACCCCUAGUUUAGCUUAAUGAACUGGUGUAGUUCAGGUGGUUGGUUGGGCCUGUUGCAACGUGGUGUAGCGUUGGACAGUGUUUGGUUAAUAUUGAUUAAUUACUACAACUGUUUUACUGCCUUCAACUACUGCUUUUAAAUGCCUGCUUUAUGCAAAAGAACCUCUAGCCUCCUUUGGUUAUAUCUUGCAUCAUACCUCCUCUUCCGGUAUGACUUGCUGAGUACAGUGGGUAGUACUCAGUCUUGCUCUCUUUUCCCCCACACCAGAGUUGAAGUUCUUCUCAGUUGGAGCCGUCUCAGAGAGGUUGGUUUCGUUGCUGCCGUCAAGGUUUGCCUGUGGAGUGGAGUCGCCCGCUGCUGAAGUCAAGCUUCUCGGUUUAGCUCGCUUUUAUCUUUUCCGCUGCAUUUGUAAUCGUUUCUAUUUUUGUAAGACGUGGAUCUGUAUGUCAACAAUUGUCGUUUGUGUACCCUGGCUGGUCCUGGACAGGGAUUUAAUGCACAUUCAGCUUAGAAAUUCUGGUUCGAGAAUUUCUGGGCGUGACAUCCUAGCACUAGAGCACUUAGUAUAAAUACUAAACAAUGAACCUGCAAAGAUGGAAAUAUAACUUACUUAGACUAAAUAAUUAAAUAACAAAAGAAAGAAACACGAAUGUUUACUUAAUAGAAGAAGUUCUCUGAACCCGGAGCAGAGUGUACCGACAGCUCCGGUACUCCUCCCGAAUUCCUCCUACGAGGCUACACUCGUCGACGUAGAAGUCGGAUGAGCGCCAAACUUCCGGGCACUCCUCCAGAGCUUCCCAUCACUCUCAAUCAUAUUCUAAUGUACAAAAGAUACAAUAGAGCCUCUUGUAAUUUAGCUAAAAGUUGUGUGUCGGAAAUGAGAGUGAACUACUCCUUAUAUAGGCAGGUAUGACAGUUACAGCCUAUGCGAAAUGACCAAACUACCCUGGAACAGCCAUCAGGAAGUAAUCAGGGCCGUCCACACGAAAUUUGGCGAUCAACGGCCACCAAAAGGGUUCGGCCGAACUGGUAACCCGGGAUGGCUCCGUUCGGCCCGUUUUUCCAUCGUGGACACUAAUUUUGAGGCCCUCAGCCCAUUGGCAUGAUAGUUGGGCCUAUUUGGAGUUGUUUAAUUGACUUUUGGGGCCUCCAAUCCAUGUAAAUGCGUCCUGAAUGCGCGGAGGUGCAUUUUGUCGCAUGACGGAUGUGUUUUCUCCUCAAAAUACAUGCAUACACAUGUUUCACCAACACUAGUGGAAAUGAUUAGUAAUAAUACCUACCACUAAGUUGGAUACCAUAUUUUAUUUCAUUAUAUGCAAGUAUUGACGGUCAAAUAUUAUGAUUUUUGGAUCGUCAACAACACCCCCACACUUAACCUUUGCUCGUCCCGAGUGAAGGCUAAGGACUCUACAACAGAGUUAUAACUUCCUUACUAAUAAUCAUGCAAACAAAUUAUUCAAAGCCAUACAUGUACUUGUGGGUCUUUGUAGUGUCUACCAUGCGAUCCUGAGCAAUUGAGAAAUGGAACAAUCUCAUGGAACAUCAGGCGGGCGUGCUUGGCGUCUGCGGCCCUGCAUGGCAUUGCCUCUACCCACUUGGACACAUAGUCAACGGCCACCAGGAUAUACUUGCAAUCAUAGGACUUUGGGAAAGGUCCCAUGAAAUUGAUGCCCCAUACAUCAAAUAACUCGACUUGAAGGUUGUAUGUAAGUGGCAUCGCAUCGCAAGCAGUGAUUCCUCCAUGCUUCUGGCAACUUGUGCAUCUCCGAAUGAAUUCCUUUGUGUCAUCGUACAUUCUUGGCCAAAAGAAUCCGCUCUGCCAGAUCUUUGCGUGUGUUCUGAAUGCUCCAUAGUGACCUCCAUAUGGGGCAGCAUGACACUUCUCAAUGAUCUUCAUGCCUUUAUCUACCGGAACGCAUCUUCGUAGUAGACCGUCUGAACAGACUCUGUACAGGUAAGGUGCAUACCACAAGUGCCCGCGGCUCUUGUAGAUCAAUCUCUUCUUAUUUUCUCCCGGGGGUACAUGCCCCGCGACCAUGAAGUUGACGAUGGUUGCAUACCAUGAGUCAGAGUCUAUGACUUUCAACAGCAUGUCGUCUCGCAGAUAGUCAUUUAUCGGUAGCUCGUGCAUGUUAGUGAUUUGCAUACGCGACAAAUGAUCUGCAAUAGAAUUCUCUACUCUCUUUUUAUCCUUAAUCUCUAUGUCAAACUCUUGGAGCAGAAGAAUCCACCUAAUCAGCCGACGUUUUGAAUCUUUUUUAGUGAGCAAGUAUUUUAGUGCAGCAUGGUCAGUGUAAACAAUUACCUUAGCUCCCACUAAAUAAGACCUGAAUUUAUCAAUGGCAAACACUAUGGCUAGGAGCUCUUUUUCAGUUGUGGCAUAGUUAAGCUGAGCUCCAGUCAAUGUUUUACUAGCAUAUGCAAUAGCAUGGUGUUUUCUAUCCUUAGUUUGCCCAAGAACAGCUCCCACAGCAAAAUCACUAGCAUCGCACAUGAUUUCAAAUGGCAGUGACCAAUCAGGGGGUUGGAUGAUUGGUGCUGAGAUGAGUGAUUCAUUAAGGAUUUUGAAGGAUUUCAUACACUGAUCAUCAAAGUCAAACGGAACAUCCUUAGCUAGCAAGGCGGUUAGGGCUCUAGCGAUUUUGGAGAAAUCCUUUAUUAAGCGCCUGUAGAACCCCGCAUGACCCAAGAAGCUACGGACUCCCUUGACAUUGACAAGAGGUGGAACCUGUCGAAUUACUUCGAUUUUUGCUCUGUCCACCUCAACUCCCCUUUCGGAGAUUUGAUGUCCCAGGACUAUUCUGUCACGCACCAUGAAGUGGCACUUUUCCCAAUUAAGUACCAAGUCCUUUUCCUGACAUCUUUGUAAGACCCUACCUAAAUUCAACAGACACUGAUCGAAAGUUUUACCAUAGACUCAAAAAUCAUCCAUGAAGACUUCCAUGAUAUCCUCGAUCAUGUCAGAGAAAAUAGACAUCAUGCAUCUUUGAAAUGACGCGGGUGCAUUGCACAACCCGAACGACAUUCUGCGAUAUGCAUACGUUCCGUAUGGGCACGUGAACGUGGUCUUACUUUGAUCAUCAGGAUGGAUGGGGAUUUGAUGAUAACCAGAAUACCCAUCAAGGAAACAAAAAAAGGGAUGGUUCGCCAACCGCUCAAGCAUUUCAUCAAUGAAAGGCAGUGGAAAGUGAUCCUUCUUAGUAGCCUUGUUGAGUUUCCUAUAGUCAAUGCACAUUCUCCAUCCCGUUACGGUUCGUUGCGGGAUCAACUCAUUGUUCGAGUUUUCAACGACUGUCAUGCCUCCCUUCUUAGGCACUACUUGGACAGGGCUAACCCACUCGCUAUAUGGCAUGGGAUAGAUAAUCCCGGCAUGUAGGAGUUUCAAGACUUCCUUUUUGACGACCUCCCUCAUCGAAUUAUUCAACCUCCUCUGAGGUUCCCUAGAUGGAGUGCAAGACGGUUCUAAGGGAAUGCGAUGAGUGCAAAGGGUCGGACUGAUGCCUUUCAAGUCUUGGAGGGAAUAGCCAAAAACUAUGAUGCUUUUCUAAAACGGCGAUAAGUUGGGUCGUCUCCCUCUUAGAGAGUUUGUCACUUAUAAUGACAGGAGACUCCGCAUCGCCGUUCAAAAAUGCAUAGCGUAGACCUAAAGGUAAGGGCUUUAGCUCAAUUGGGGCUUGUGACGGCUGAUCCGUUUUUGGCAAAUCAAUCGUUUCCCCAUAUUUAUCCUCCCCUUCAUUGAAUUCUUCAAUGGAUUCAUCGAAAAUAGACUCUGGGCCUUGAAUGGAGAAACGGCCAUCACUUCCUCAAUUGGCUCAGGAACAGGAAGAGACUCCGUCAAAGAAUUGGUUGAUUGCAACAUAGGGAUGGAGGUGGCGAUUCUUCCUAUUUACAGGUUGAGGACACUGGUUUCGGGCACAUCUAAGAGUUGGGAUGGCCUAUGAGUAUGUCGAAAUCAGAUAUGUCGAACACAUGGAAAUCUAAGAUGACCUCAAUGUUGUUGUGCAGUGUGGGUACUCCAGAGAUAAUCCCUAAACCUUCGGUAGUAGAGUUUGUGGAAAUUCGAAAGGUCUUGACGGUUGGUUCCAACGGUUUGUCCCCUAAGCAAUCGAGUGCAAAUGUUGCGGACAUAAUAUUUGCACCAACAAAGGGAUUAUACAGAGCACGGACCAAAUUACCUCCAAUGAAACACAUAAUGGUUGAGGAGGGGCAUCGGAUCUGAAUCGAUUCAGAUGAGAGCUCACCUUCCCUUAACCAUUCGUUACUCAUGAUGGUGGUCAACUUAUUCACCAUCUCUUUAAGCAUAGCUUUAUCGAGAGGAUCAUUUGACUUGACCUUGGACGGUGGUCUCUUCUCGCGGGAAUAAUUCGAGGUGUUUCCAUAAUCUUCGAAAAGGUCCUGCUCGAAUUGGAAUGGAAUUUCUGAAGGAUGAACUAGGAUGAGGAUUCGACAGUUGAGUCGGGUUCCAACUCCAUAUGCAGAGAUUCCUCAUGGAUAAUCUCGACCUCCGGGACGGCUUCGCUUCAGCCGAAAGAAUCAUUCUCUAAGAUCAAAUCUAAGAGUUCGCUUCCUUCGGCGGUUGUCUUGUGUGCGAACGAUCCUCCGGCAGAAAUAUCGAGAUUUUCAGCAGACUCCUUGUCUAACCCGUACCAAAAAGGUUGUAACAACACAUGGUUGGGUAAAGACAAGUCUAGGCCAGACUGAAUUAACAGUGAGAACCUGGCAUAUGCUGCACCGAGAGAUUCCUUCUCAUUCCACGAAGAUUGAUUACACAGGUUAAUGGAAAGAAAGUAAGGCAAAAAUUGCACUUUAGUUCCUCCCUUUCACCGUAGAAUUUCUUGACAGACAGAGUGUACCAUUGCUUCGCUUCAUGUCCAAGAGAAAAAGGAAACAAUUUCCACUUAAGAGAUUCAUGCGUCAUGCCUACAAUGGAUAGGCAUGAACACACUAGUUCAAAGUCCCGAAGAUGGAGGUAUGGGUUUUCACCGAUACUACCAAAGAAGGUUUUCUCUUGAACCAUGGCUAUAUAGCCAGGACUGAUUUUGUAGCCAUCGGAUAGGAUUGGUUCUUAAGAACAGGACGGCUCACAAAGAUCCGCCCGAGGAGCAGAAAGGUUUUGAAUUGUGGGUUACUCCAUCAAGGAAAAGAAUAAAAGAAGAAGAAAUGAAAAUAAAGAUACGAGGAUGACCUAGACUCGGAUAAAUUAGCAACCGUUCCCCGGCAACGGCGCUAGAAAUGCUUGUUGGUAUUUCUUAUGACCACAGAUAAAUCCGCAAGCGCACGGAAUACCGCUGUAGCACUUCACCUUCGGGUGACCCCAAAAGGAUAUCGAACUCAAGGAACGUGUGUAAUCUAUCUAAGGCUAAGAUGAUCCAAGGACAACAAUUAUAGGUAGGCAGGCUAGAGAGGACUUUCUAUGUGCUUUAAUUAUCUACGCUAAGCAAGGUAAUUCCCUAUCUGUUGCUUCGGGCACCGACCCUGCUGGUCUGCCAACGUGGUUCUGGCUAUAGCUCUAUGAUGUAUCCGAACGUGGAGGAUUACUAGGACGGAAUUCAGGGCUGUCACAACCUGCCGCCUAUCUCUGACAAAUCCGUGGGAUACACAACAAACAAAGGUAAUCUCUAACCUAGACACUACGCCUAAGUUAUUAAUUACUACUCUAAUACUUGCGCAAGAACUUCCUUCUCUAUCCGGAGUCCUAGUACUAGAGCACUUAGUAUAAAUACUAAACAAUGAACCUGCAAAGAUGGAAAUAUAACUUAGACUAAAUAAUUAAAUAACAAAAGAAAGGAACAUGUCACGAGCAAGGAUUAUGUGGAGAAGAAUCGGGAUGAGUGGGGAUAGAUUGGAUUAUAGUAGAUGAAAUGACAAGGAACAGUCCUAAACCUAAACGGCGCGACGCUCUCCAUCGCACUGAGAAGGCAGGCCGAUGGGCACUAAAUUAAAUCUUGAUCUAUUGCCUAAUUGACCUAUGAUAGGAUCCCUCCUUCUAUAGAUGGAGGACCACUUAAUCUAAUCCUAACAAACCCUAAGCCUAUCCAAUGGGUCUAGGACGCCCGACCUAAAGCCCAGGACAUUACUCCCCUCUUUUUGAGCAGCUCAUCCUCGAGGAAUUAAAUCCCUGUCCAGGAAUCAGCUAAGGCACACAAAACAACAAAUUAAUGUACAGAUAGAUACGUAAAUAAAGCGUAUAUACUUACAUAAGAGGCGCUUAGUCCUCACACCAAAAGGGAACGACAGCCGCGGAAAAGGUGAUCCUAGCGGGACUUCAGCUCCACUCCACAGGCAAAACUCAACUGGGAUCUAAGCCUUGGUCUACUAACUUCAUCUUCAGCUCAGAAGCACUACACUUCUAAAAAAGGGAGAAAUAGCAAGGCUGAGUACAACUACCGUACUCAGCAAGCCACACAAAUGAUGCACUUGUGCAAGGGGAUACAAAGAGAGGUUUGUGGCAAUUUGCAUAAAAGAAGUUGUAAAGCAUUUUAUUGCGCAAAACAGUAAAGCAGUUGGUUAAUUAAGAUAAUACUAAAUCUCUACUGAACAACGCUACAGCACGUUGUACAGGCCCAACCAUCCCACCUGAACCACACAGUGCAUUGGAUCGAUUUAUUUGGUGAGAUUAAUCACGGUGAUUCUGGUCAAUUGCCCAAAACCGCAGGCAUGGCUAUUCGAAUUGUUUUACUCUGGCUAGAGGUGCACAACUGUACCCACAAGACACAAUCCACCGGCAUGUCACCGCGCCUGGCCGGACACGUCACCAUGUUGAGUGAUUGUGACAAGACCCUUCAUAUAACCACCUCUAACCAAUCGCACCAAACCACAGGUUUCGCCCCCAUCCCCAGCAGGCAACGGGCAGCCCCCCUCGUACCACGGUCGAUCCGGAAGCCGCAAAGGCCGUCGCAGGGCCCAUCCAAACUCCAUCACGCCCAUCCUAGCCAGGGUACGUCAACCAGAGGAAAGCUAUACUUCAAAUCAAGCAGUUACCCAUUCCCGCUUGUGGUAAGCGCGGUAAGUCUUGCAGUGCAUCCCGCGAACCGGUCAUUAAUUGCCAUGGGUGCGACUAGUAAAACCAUGCACCCACAGGACACCACUCAGUCGCAUUUUAAUUGGAUAAUUACGACCAAUGAAACAUGGCCACUUAAUUUUAGUGGUAAUUAAGCAUGGCUAAGCAUAAAUAAUUCUACCUGGGUUAACACAAGUAACACAAGCUAGUCGAUUUAUCAUCGAAGGUUCGCAAAGGACAGAUAUCAAGUAAUAUGGCACAAGCGAGUAAAUAGGUAAACCCUAUUCCCAUGUAAUUAGCAAAACAUGCAUAUUUAUUUACAAACGGUAAAACGUUUGUAGAGUAGGCUCAAUAUGUUCAAGGGGGGAUGUGUGACUUGCCUUGCUUCUUCAAAACAAUCUUCUGAACUCUGAUCCUUGCGACCGCAAUCUUCCGAAACGAAGGAAACUACACGCUGGCAUGCAAAAUGAGGAAAAACUCUAAUAAAAACCAAGUAAACAGUACAUAAAUAGUAAACAAACAUGUAGAGCUCAAUUUUAGAUUAAUUUUGCAACUUGAAUGGCUCAAUUUGGAGUUCGUAUGAAUUAGUUAUGAAUUUUAGAAGUUUUGAGCCAUUUAAAUUAAUUUCUAUAAUUAAAUCUGAAUUAUGACGCAAUUAAUAAUUAUUUUUACAAAGGAAAAGGGUCGUUGCUGACAUCAUCAAAGGGUGGUGCUGACGGGCGGGCCCCACGAGUCACAUGGCGGCCACGGUGGCAAGGUAAGGCGAGGUGGCGACGAUGUGGUGCCGACGCGGCGGGGCCACGGGCGGCCACGGCGGACACCCCGUGGAUGGCCCGGAUCAGCCUGAAGGGGAUCAGGAGGCCACAGCGAAGGAGAGGCCGGCUCGCCGGCCGGGCCGACCAAACGGCGAUACGGCGGUGGCAGCCGGCGACGCAGGACGGCGGCGAGCGGCUAGAGGGCGGCGGUGCUCACGAGUGGUGGCGGCGCACGCGGAAAAGCGGCGGCGUGGCACGGCCAACGAAGAUGAAAAGGAGGAUGGAGUAGGGGUCCUCACCAGAAGUGGCGGCCGAUGCAGAGCAAGAUGACGACAACGGCGAUUAGGAGGCUCUUGGUGAAGGAGGAGGGGCGGCCGAGAGCUGACAGGACCUGGGGAAUCGAUUGGAGGCAUUAGGGAGGGAAAUGGAUGAUCGGAGCGGCGAGGAAACAAUGCCAAGGACGGUGAAGAGCGGCGGAGCUUACCAACGAGAGAGGGUGAUGGAGCUCUGGCGGGUUUCCGGCUAAAAGGGGUGGACGCCGAGCUGGCCCUCCUUCCCGUGAAGCCGAAGGAGGCGGCGACAUGGUGCGGAGUCAACCGGAGAGGCAACACAGUGCUGCCGGAGGCGACAAACGCGGCGGCGGCCUUCGGUCGAUGGCGAAAGAGGUGUUUCCGUCAGUAGACUGGGCAAAUGAGGUGGCGGCCGGCCUUGCUCUUGCAACUGCGAAGCCAAUGGCGCAAGCAGUGAGCCGCGGCGUUGGUUGAAGCGGUGGUGGCGGGCGGCUGGAGGCGGCGAAUUGCGGUGGUGGUUCGGGUUGGCAAUGGGGUGGUGGUUCUGGCGAUGGAAUGGGGAAACGGAGCUAAGGCCGGGGUGCGGCACCACGCGGCGAAGCUGGCGGUGGCAGUGGCGCAGCACGGCGACGGCGGGAGCGGUGGCGGCACAUGGUUGGAGGGCUCCGGAGAGUGGCGGCACACGGUUCAACGUGGGGACCAUGGUAGGGGCAUGGUGAGCUCGGGAAAUUGGGGAAAAAGGAGGGAGGAGGUCGAGGGCGGCAUUUAUAGGGUCGGGGAGGGCACGACAGUGGUGGGGAGAGGUGGGGCACCGGCGACGGGGUAGAGCGCUGACUUCGGCGAAGUGGCGGUGCUUCGGCACCGAUUUUGUAGGGAGGAGUGGGGGAGGAGAGGAGGGAAAGUGGGCGACGAGGUCCCACGGUCGGGUGCGGCCGCGCGAAGUGGAGGAGGUGGGUAGGGUGGCGCGGGAUUGGUGGCGAUGUGGGGUGGAUGCCAUGGCGGCUGGAGGUUGGGGAUAGGGCUGACAGGUGGGGUCACGGGUCAACCUGUCGGCGAGGGAAAGAGAGAGGAGAUGGGAGACGGAGGCAAAAAAGACUUUAGGGGAAGGAGGCCGAGCGGGGCGAGGGAGAGGGGCCGGCCCAAGAGGAGAAGGGAGGAGAGGCAUGGCUGGAGUGGAAAAAGGGGAAAAGGAGGGGGAUUGGGCCGGGAGUGGCCCAAAGACAAAGAGGGGAAAUUUUAUUUGUUUUCUUUUAUUUAAUUGAUUAAUAGAAAUCCAAAAAUUAGAGGGAAAUUCCAGAGAAUAUAUCACGGCACAAAGAAUAUUACAAAAUAUCCUCGGCCAUGAUUUUUAAAGGAAAAUUUUUAAUUCCCUCAAUAAUGUCACAUGAUUAAAUUGCUUUAACUUUUAUUUAAUUCCUAAAAAAUGCAUUAUUUAAUGAUUUUUAAUCCUGAACGAAAAUCGGGGCGUUACACUAGAGUACAUGGAACAGGUACCACUGAUGUUAGAAACCGAAAAGCUUUGUCAUGACAAGGCUAAUGUGUUUGGCAAGCGCACAUCUACUGCAGUAUGAGUAUCCUUUAAACUAUUCGAAUAGCCGUGCUCGUUGUUAUCGGGCAUCGGAACUCACUAUGGCAUCUUGGUUAGAAACCUAAUUCAAGAUUUUAUUAAAUACUGACACACUUCAAACAUCACAGGCUUUCUUCUUCUACAUUCUCUGCUUUCUACAACUUAAUAUAGCCCUACUCAAUUACUAUUAUUUCAUGCAUUCAUUACUCAAUAUAAUAGCUUGCUGAGUACAACUCUUGCUUCAACCCCUCCUUUUCAGAGUCAAUUUGAUGUUCUUGCCGAAGCUGGGAGUUCAAUCAUAUAAGUUAGUCUCAUUUCAACCUAGUUCUCAAGUCUAGAUUAGUUAGAUGGUUUAAGUCUAAGUAAAACAUUCAUGUUGAGUCCCUCUAUAGCUUUUGUUGGAUUAGUUAGCCACAAGCUUGUAAAUUCCCCUAUUAUUUUAUGUAAAGAAAUCCCCUUUGGAGCCUUGUUCAACUGUAUGCAAUAAAGAUCCAGAUUGUUACCUGUAUCAAUCAAUCGAUCUAGGGCUUGAUAAAGUCUAAACAUACCGGUUUUCGAAUCAUUAGUUUUCACUUCAAGAAUAUAUUUUAUCUAUGACAAAAAAAAUUCAUCAUGGAUCACUGAAAAUUCGUCACAGAAAUUUGUCCGUGACGAUUCUACUUACCAUCAUCUAUUGAGCGUCACAGAUUAAAUCUGCCGAUGUUUUCUCCGAAAUCAUCAUGGAUCAGUACAAUCUAUUACAUUUUUUAACCGUCAUAAAAUGUUUUUGGGCUCGUGUAGUCCAGCCAGGCCCGACCUUACGUCACAUAUGGUUGCCACAUGGUGGCCAACAUGGCAGGUGACGUGGUCGUUGACACAUGUGUGAUGACGUGUCACUGAUGACGUAGCAGCUAACGUCAGCAAAUAUUUUCAAACGUCCCAUUAUUUUUUGACGACCCAUUAAUUUUUUAACAGCCCAUUAAUUUUUUACAUUGGUCCAUUAAUUAUUUAACAGCGGCCCAUUAUUUUUUAGAACUAGCCCAUUUUAAAAUAGGUUCAUUUUAGAACUAGGCCCAAUUCAAAACUGGCCCAUAUUUUCAACGAACUAUCAGUUCAAAGCCCACUAAACGGGCCCAUUAAAUUUGAGCCCACCAAAUUCAAUCCAAUUUUACAUACCAUCUCAGAUUCAAACCUAAUAAUAGAUACCAUCUCAGAUUCAACUAAUAACAUAACAGAUACAAUCAGAAUUAGGGCUAUCAAAAAAGCUCGAGGCUCGCGAGCAGCUCGAGCUUGGCUCGUCCUAGGCUCGAUUUGAGCUCGGCCCGAGCACCAAACGAGCUGAACCCAAGCCUGAGCAAAAGCUUGCGAGCUUUACCGAGCCGAGCUCGAGCUUCUACCGAGCUUGGCCGAGCUUGACUGUGAAUAGUUUAUAUUGCAGGUUCACCUCUUUAAUAUAAUAAACUAAUAGAUAAAUAUAUAUAUAUAUAUGUGUGUGUAUGUAUCUAUUUACACAAUAAAUUAGCAUGUGUUAGCACAAUAUAUUUAUUUUAAUCAUUUUUUACUCUGUUAUUAGUGUGAUUAACUAGAAAAUAAUUAUACUUAUCAAUAGAUUAUUAUUAAAAUAUAUAUUAUACUACUUAUGGCUGAGCUCGGUAACCGAGCUCGAGCUCAAACCGAGCUUGCCUAAGAGCUCGAAGGUGCAAUAUGCUCGGCUCGAGCAUGUGUCGAGCUCGAACUUGGGCAAAUGAGCUCGCUCGAGCUCGGCUCAUUGACAGCCCUAAUCAGAAUACAACAGUAUUCAAACAAUAGUUCAUCUCAGGUUUAACCUAAUACCAGAGUCUCAGAUACUCUGCUUCCAGAAUCAAACAAUAGUUCCACAACAAGCAACAAAAUGUAUGGUUCAAUUAAAAGAAUCUUACAUCACCCAUGGAAUAAUGCAUAGCAAGUCCAUGUUCAACCAUAUGCACUCCGUUAAGCCAAAUAUUCACCUGCAAUGGGUCCAUAAAGAACUCAAUGGAUUACGAAGAAAAGGUGAAUGGGGAUAUAAAUAUUUCAAAAUCCAACUAAAAGGGAAAGCUGGACACUGACCAGCGUGACCAAUAAGGUAAAUAAAAGGAGGCAACAACAUUAGGAUGGAAGCCAACAUGUACUUUUGGGGUUGCUACUGCCUAACAUAUUCAUGGUAAGCAAAUACAUAUUUGUCUAAAUCCAACUCCAAUGUUUCAAAGUGCACAAUAACUAUUUUUAGACGGAAGCAAUACUGAAACAUUUAUAAAGUGUAAUAGUACCAUAAUAUCUAUGAUCACUAUAACUAUUACUCUAUAAAAACAUAACAAGUUGUAUAAGAGUUGCUCAUUUCUUUGAACUACAAGUUGUAUCUGCAUCAGAAGGAAAUACAUCAUAUAAGUUCCAGUAUCAAAUAACGUUCUAGCGAUGCCUAGUAUGUAACUUAUCACGACUAAUGGUAUCAUCUGAAAAAUUAAAAGAUGGGUCAAGGGCAGCAGCAUACAUGUAAUGUACCAACAUAAGUAACAAAAAAAUGGCACUUUUUUCAUGAGUUCUAUUAAUAUAAAGAAAUAUGGAGCAGAGAACUUCUAGUAAUAGAGUUUAAGCAUACUUAGAAACUGAUCAUCAGAAUGUAUGUGUGUUUUUGGACAUUGGGAACUGCACCUUGUUGGAAAAACAUAGUAUUUUCCUGGAAGAAAAAUCGCCAUGCUGCAACUUUACAUAGGUCUUUAAUGCAGAAAAGCAAGACAACAGAUUUAAUCAAGGAAUUGGCACAUCAAGUCCAAUACGUAUUUGUGUAAUAUUUUUUCUUUAGAAGUUCAGCCUGUAACAUUUACCCAAAGAACACACAAACAAAGGAGUAAUUAAUUGUUGGAAGAAGAGUAGCAAUUCCCCUUUAACAUACAGAAAGAAAGUUCCCCUUUUAGUUUUUCUUACUAAAAGGAUAAACAUACACAAAGAAAGUUCCCCUUUAAAUCAAGAAAAGGUUUCGUUAAGAUAGUUAUGGAAACAUAUUCCCCUUUAGUCCAUGUUUUCGCUUUCGGACAAGUAAUCUACUCUUAUGCCCAAGAAAGUUCACCUAUGCUAACAAAUUCCUUGUCCCCGUAGUAAAUUUAUUCAUGGAAUUCAGUUUGCUAAUGUUUUUUUGCACUAGUUUAGUUAGAGUUAUGUUUAUAAGCGGUUCAGCCAGGUGGCAAAUUAAUUGUCAAAAUUGCUAGAGCAAUUAAAGUUGUCAAUUGAAUACUAGUUUUGUUCUGUUUUGCACUUAAUAUAGCUGAUCACAGUUUAAAAUGCCGCUGCACUUAACAAUAGGUACAGAUCUUGAACCCACAUAAUCCAUAUAAAAUGGUUUGGAUUGUAGGUAAGCAUAAUGUUUGUAUUUUGCUAAUUAUUCAGAACAUUCAUAACAAGAUGCUAGUAAAAUAACUCAUUCAGUUAGCCAAAAGAUUCAGGAACAAUUUAGCACAGAUUUCUACAAGCAAAAGAACUCCAUCCAACUCAUGCCUUCAGUAGAAUAAAACUGCGCUCAGGAUCAGCAAGCAGCUAUGUAAAAAAAUGUAGAAAAUCUAAGAGAAAAAGGAAAUAUAAACCUUCCUGUCCUCAGCGGUUGCGCUCCGGUGGAAGGGGCCGGUUGAACCCGCCACGGCAGUUCAUGUACUGCCGUGGCUGCCGCUUGGUGACGACGCGCACCCCGCUAACAUCGGCGUCAGGGACGUGCUUCCCCUUGGUGGAGUCGAAGCCGACGGGGAUCCCCAUCAUCUUCAUCAUCUCCAGCUCCUCCACGUCCACGUCCCCUUCGCCCGCCGCGACCCCAUCCCCGGCGGCACUCUGAGCAGGAAGAGGCCCGCGUCACCAACCACAUGUCGACAUCGUCGGGGUUGCCGCCGCCGCCACCACCCGCGUUGUUGUCGUCGUCGGGGAUGGAGCCGCCGCAGGAUCAGCGCGAGGGAGGGCCCCCUGCGCCGGAUCCGCGCCGCUCGGCCGUCGCUCGUCGCCCGCUCCCAUCUGGCGCCCCUCACUCCCAGCCGCGAUCUGCCGCCACCCUCGCCUGGCCGCCAUGGUGCCGCUGAGCCCCCCGGCCGCCGUCGCUUGCCGCCGCUUACUCCCGGCCACCGAGCCGCCCGACCAUUGCCCGACUGAGAGGAGAGAAAGGGAGAGAUUGAGAGGAGAGGAAAUGAAAAAAGAGAGGGAGUUAAUAUCUGUUGGGAGAGAGAGAGGAGGGGUGGUGAAAAAAAUUUGAAGCAAGGAGGAGCGAAAGAGAAAGAGGAGGAAAAUAAUUAUUAAAAAUAUUAAUUUGAUAAUAAAUGAACUUCGAGUUGAAUUUUAAGAUACUAAAUGAACUUACGUGAAAAAGUUCUUAAAAACAAAGUUAUAUAAAUCAUUGAGAUCUAUAACUUUUCUUUUGGACAUUUCUCCAUCCGAGUUUGAUUGAACUAUAUAAAAUUUGAAUUUUAAAAUAUAAGAAAUUCAAAUAUUUUUUCAGGUAGCAAAUGAAUUCAAAUGAAAAAGUCAUCAACAACAGAGUUGUAUAGCUUAUCAAGAUCUACAACUUUUGUAUUGGUCAAUUUUCUAUAUGAUUUUGUUUGAACAGUUUGAAUUUCAAUUUCAAAUUAUGACAACUUCAAAACAAAAUAUGACUUUGUUUUGGUCAUUUCUUUAUUUGACAAAGUAAUAGUAACACUGUUCACAAAAUUUACAUAUCUCUAUUAUAGUUUAUAAACUAUAUAAGAGAUACGUAUAUUUUGUGAACAAUGUUAUAAAUCGCUUCGUCAGAUGAAGAGAUGACACAAAUAAAAAUUAUAGAUUUUGAUGAGAUAUACGACUUUGUUAUUGAUGACUUUUUCAGUUGAAAUCAUUUAAUAUUUGAAAAUGUUGUUUGAAGUUGUCAUAAUUUGAAAUUCAAAUUCAAAUUAUUGAAACAAAGUCAUAUAGCAAAAUGACCAAAACAAAAGUUGUUGAUAUUGAUGAGUUAUACAACUUUGUUGUCGAUAACUUUUUCAAUUGAAAUUAUUUAGUAUUUAAAAAUGUUAUUUAAAGUUUUCAUAAUUUGAAAUUCAAAUUUUAUAUAGGUCAAACAAACUCAGAUGGAGAAAUAACCAAAAUAAAAUAGGUAGAUCUCAAUAAGUUAUACAACUUUGUUUUUGACAACUUUUUCCCACAAGUUCAUUUAGUAUGAUAAAACUCGAUUCUAAGUUUUAAUAUUUUGAAAUUAAUUGAAAGGAUGGAGGCAAAAUAGACUUCUUGGUGAGGGAAGAGCAAAAGGGCUGGCCCAUAACAGGCCUUGUUUCAUACCAUCUAUGUUUAACCUUUUUUUUUCUUUUAUUUUUUUUACCAUUGUGAAGUAACACACAAAAAUCGAGAUCUACCAAUUUUGUUUUGGUUAUUUGUCCAUCUGAGUUUGAUUAGCCUAUAUAAUAUUUGACUUUCAAAUUAUGACAACUUCGAACAACAUUUUCAAAUACUACAUGAUUUCAUCUCAAAAGGUCAUCAACAACAAAGUUGUAUAAAUCAUCAAUAUAUACAACUUUUAUUUUGAUCAUUUUUCUAUACGACUCUGUUUCAAUAAUUUGAAUUUCAAUUUCAAAUUAUGACAACUUCAAACAACAUUUUCGAAUACUAAAUGAUUUCAACUAAAAAAGUCAUCAACAACAAAGUUGUAUAAAUCAUCAAUAUCUACAACUUUUGUUUUGGUCAUUUCGCUAUAUGAUUCUAUUUCAAUAAUUUUAAUUCGAAUUUCAAAUUAUGACAACUUCAAACAAUAUUUUCUAAUACUAAAUGAUUUCAACUGAAAAAGUCAUCAAAAACAAAGUUGUAUAAAUCAUCAUAUCCACAACUUUUGUUUUGGUCAUUUUGCUAUAGGACUCUGUUUUAAGAAUUUGAAUUUGAAUUUCAAAUUAUGACAACUUCAGAGAACAUUUUCAAAUACUAAAUGAUUUCAACUGAAAAAGUCAUCAACAUCAAAGUUGUAUAAAUCAUCAAUAUAUAGAACUUUUAUUUUGGUCAUUUCUUCAUCCGAUAAAGUGAUAGCAACAUUGUUCACAAAAUUUACAUAUCUCUUAUAUGGUUUUGAUGUAUUUAAUAUUAUAUUUGUAAAUUGCGAUGAAAUUGCUAUAACAUCACAGGUUUUUGGCCGGUUUAUGACGAAAUCGAUAAAAUGUCAUGGUAUUAUGGACCUUGUAUCCAUUAUUGCAUAUCCGUGACGAUCUCUGAAAACAUCACGAAAAUUUCGUCAAAUUUCGUCACAGAUUAAAUAGAUUCUUAUAGUAUUUGGGACCCUACAGUGAGGUUCCAGAAAUAAAAAAAGAGUGAUUCAAGAGAGAGUCAUCUAAGGAAUAUAGUUAGUUUGUGAAAAUAUAUAAAAAACCCAAGUGAGUAUCAGGGGAAAAGGAACGACUUGAAUCACGACCGUUUCAUUCAUCAAUCGCCCAAGAUUGUAAAAUACACACCUCAAAGUUCACAGGUACAUAUAUGGCUUAGAAUAGAUUGUAUACAUGUAUAUACCUUGAAGAAUUUUAUUCCACAAUAAUCCUUAAUGGGACGAGUAAAGAGCUAAGUGUCGGGGUUUUUUGACGGUUAUUAAUUUCCAAAUUUACGCCGUCAAUACCUGCAUAAAUAUAAAAAGAUAAAACAUCCAACAUAGUGGUAGGGUUUAAUUCUAACGAUUCCUACAGUAUUGGUGUAUAUUUGAAUGCAAGUAAUAAACCAUCAAAGUUGAGGCGAAAUAUACAUAAAGAAGGAGGAGAAUCAAACUUAUAUCCAAGCCUAUGGAGUCUUGGUCCACAAACCUAACAAAACACCUACAAUUGGGCCCAUUCACCAUACAAGCGAACGGAGAGACUCCCUGCCAGAGCCCAGGAGGAAGUGCUGGGCCAGGGAGGCUGCCCAGGGUUCGGCCAAACAAUGCCUGGCCCAGCCCAGCCACAACCGCCUUCAGGCCAUCCCCGAUACAUGUCAAUCUCUACUACCAUAUUGAAUAACUCACGCGACACGCGGACACUUGUUCCAGUAAUCCAUGCCAAGUCCAUGUAUUGUUUGUCUUCUACAACCAGAUGCAACGAAUUUGAAGAGCCCAACCUAUAUAUAUACUCUAAAUUAAGAACUCCUAAGCUACCAUAAGCGUGGGGUCGGCACACUCUAUUCCAAUCGACCAAACAAUUGCUACCAUUGGCCUUCUCUUGCUCUGACCGUGAGAAGCCGCUCCUCUUGUCUAUAGGUUUGGUCACCUAUUUUGGAAGGUGAUAAAUCGGUAUAGUUGAGAGCACUUCUUUCACCGUAACUAAGCGACUGGCCCUGUUUAUGAGUGAGGUCUUCCACAAAGAGAGUAUGUCAUCAGCAACUGUGUCAAUAAGGGAUAGAAAGUCCGCUUUAGAAGGCUUCUCUACUGUACCACUUUUGCAAGGGAAGUCCUUCACCUUACAAGGCAGCGAGUUAACAAUUACUUGCAGAUCUUCAUCAAAACAUCUAAUAGGAAUGACAAACCUCUUUUGCAUAUUUGUUAACAGCCCCAAAGCAAGACCAAAGAUAUUGCGUUUGACAAUUUCCUCAAUUUUCAGCUGCAAUAGUCUUUUAAUGAGGAUUUUAAAAUUCAUCAUCUUUCCUCACAUGAAGUUCUGGCCUGUUUCUUUUUCUUUUUACUGCAAAGCCCAGCCCCCCACACCAACAUCUCUCAUAGUAGUUUCUGCUCAUCUUUCACGUAACUCCAAUGGCAGUCACAUCCCUGCCAUCAUCUUGUUCUAGUGUUGCUCGGAGUCAGGACGAAGUCAGUCGGGCUGAACAUACAUCGACCCCAUCCCUAGUUCCUAAUUUUGAGGUUAUAGCAAAAUACCUACCAGCUGCCAAGCACGAUUGAGAAGCGCUGAACGAGAGUUACCCAAACAAGCAGUACAAAAAACAAUUAAAUAAUGUUUGUAUAUACUGUUCUUCAAGGUAAUAAGCAUCAGUACAUCCAUCAACAUGGCUUGUACUGAGCAACCUUAGGAGUAUAUCUAAAUACAGGUGUAAGUUCAUUGCUGGUUUGUAAGUGUAAUAGUUUUAUAAUAAUGCUCCCAAGGAGGCCUUAGGCAUACAGUAAUAAACAAGAGGUUGGAUCUGUAAGUUCUCAUGGUGAAUAUAUAUAUGGUUACCUGGUACUGGUAAUUAUUGAGCUCAUUGUGUUGUGGCCAAGAAAACUUUUGAAUAUUUUGGAUGGUCCUCAAGCAUAUAGAAUAGUAAGUCAUUAUACGUUAUUAACUGUGUUUUUAACCUUCUGUUCAUGAGGUCAAUUGAUAAUAAUUAAACAUUCAUUGUGUUUUGGUCACGUAUCCUUUUAAUUAAGGAAGGAAAAUUAUUUAUUUUCUUCAUCAUGUAUAUGUUCAUAAAACCUGUAUUGGACUAUCUAGCUCAAUUGAUCAUGUAUAUUCAUUGCUACCUCAGUUCCGAUAUAUGUAGCAUGCAUUAUAUAACUUUAACAAAAGGGAUCCAUCCCGAUGACAAGAUUUAUUUCUUAGGCAAUGAUAUCAUCACUCUACAUAUGCUCACAUCCUCAAGAAAAGAUAAUAUAUGAUGGCAGAUCGUGAUUAUCAUAGCUUAUUGGAAAUAAAACGUGACAGAAAUCAAGAGAGAUCGAUGGCACACUGGAUUGGAUAUCAUGAUAUCCAUUUUAUUUCUGAGUACUCCAGGGUAGCAUAGCCUACCAUGGGCUUCCAUGUGUGAGGACCCUUAUGCUUGCAUGUUGCACUUGCUUAGGAAACAGCGGUGACAGUCUCAGCUUCCUUGGUACAGAAGCGGCGGCAUGCUUCGUUGCAACGAUCGACGGCAUGAUUGGCUUCUUCAUUGGCAAAAACUGAAAAGGAAAACAAACGUUUCAAUCUAUACAUUAGCUAUAUAGAACAAAGAAUAUUUAUUUUUUUGGUUGCAAAUCAAUGGUAAUUUAGCUUGAUGUUUUUUCUCGCUUACGAGUGCUCAUGGUGCUGCACACAGACGAAGCACAUCCCAGCUUGCAGAAGUCAACUACCUCCGAUUCCUCUGCAAAAUCAUGUAUAUGCAUGAAUAAAUGCUUGUACCAAUAGAUAUUACAAAAUUAAUAGCCCAAAAGUUUACACAAAGGGAGUUAAUAUGUUUUAAUUUGCCUAGGUUAGCUGGGGUGAAGGGCGUGGUGAAUGCAAGAUAGAAAUAUAGACAAGGAGAGCUAAUGUUUCUAAUUUACCAGCUUCUGGGUGAAGGGUAUGGUGAACGUAAGGAGGCUCGCAGUUCCCAUCAACAAUUUUGCAGCCAGAAAGUUUAGCACAGGUGUUUCUUGAGCCACCCGCGAAACGGCAUGAGUUAUAGACGUUUCUUGCUGUGGUGGAUGGGCAACAACUCUUUGCUUCCACCUGGAUCUUCUCUUGUUGCAGGACUAAGCCUAGCACUAGCAUACACAUGAUCAAACUCUUCACUCCUUCCAUGCUUUCUAGCUUGUUUUCCAAUGAGAUUUAGUCGGGGAUCAACAAACUAAAGCAAGAGGGCUGAAAGGCUACUGCUUCCUUGGUCUUGUGGUUGUGCAUCUGAUUGGAGAGUGCGACGUGUCUAUUUAUAGCUGAAGCCAACAUCAUGCCCAAGCUGCACCCGCAUGAUAGAGAUGAUUAUGUUAUUUUAAUUCACAAUAGUUAUAUUGGCGAUAUGUUCUGUGUAUUUGUUUGUUUAGAGACCAAGCUACUUUAUUGCAUGCAUGACACAUGUAUAUGGAUGGCUUGGUACAUGCUUACCUGCUAUCGUCCAGCGAAAUAUAGAAGACCGAGUGUGUACCGUGUUCUGUAGACUACAACUGAUCCCAUUUCAUGCAAAACUUUUGCUGCCCAUGUGGUGAACGUGAUGAGAAAUAGAAGCUUAAUCACAUGGCAUCUUCUGCCUUACUAGCAUCUAUAGCUAGUAGUACUGGCCUGGUAGCUAGGUGGCUGUUAAAAAUUUUACUAAAAAAAAUGUUGCUACUACACAUUAGGCUAACCUAUGGGUAUAGCUGUUUACAACACCCAAAUUUUAGAAUCGGAUGUAUCCAAUCGAUAAUAGUACUGCUGCCAGUUAAUGUUGUAUACUAGCAGUGAUUAUUUCACACACUAGCAAAUUUAAGUCGAUGGCCACUUGACAGCAACAACACACGUGGAGGACAUAUCAAAAGAAAACGGCACUAAGCUGUUGUGAAAAAAGAAACAUAUACAUCAGCACAAAUCUAACGAUACCGAUGGAGUUCAUCAUCACUUUCUGUCACUGUAGCUAUGUCCUUACCAACAUAUAUUAUUGCCUUCUCUUGCCUCCUCUCUCUAGAUAUGCGUAGAAUUAUGUGAUGAUUUAAUCGUGGUGAUGAACAAUUGUCAAAGGUGAGUGCUUUGUGAAAAUACGGUGAAUAGUGUUUUCGGUAGUCGGCUCUUGGUGGCUGGUCAGACCAAGCGGGGACUGCCGGUCAGACCAGUGGUGUUGGACCGGUCUAACCGGGUUGCCCAACGGUCAGAUUAGCAGACUCCGGGUAGGAGUCAGUUUCGGAUUGUUUUCAUGGGAUUUCUACAGUGCUUUAUGGAUAUGACUUCUAGAUGGUUUCUAUUCGUAUAUGAUGCUAUUGUGUGAUGGUCUGAGUGAAGUUAGUGUGAACUUGCUGCCUCCACGCCACCGGAUCUGGCGGAGGCGAGGUCCAACCCGCCACCACCGCUACACCUCUUCUCUCGCUCGAUCUGGCGGGGGGAGGGGGGGUCCGGGCCACCGCCUCCAUGUCGUCCGCCGCCGCUGCACCUCCCCUCCCCCCGAUCUAGUUGACGGGAGGGCGUCGCUACCUCUCCCGCCGCUGCCGCAGAGAGAGAGAGAGACACAGAGAGAGAGAGGAGAAGCGUCACUACCUCUCCCACCGCUGCCGCAGAGAGAGAGAGAGGACAAGCCGAGAGAAGGGCUCAGCCUUAUCUCCUGCCGGUGUGGGUGUGGGCCCCAUCUGGAGGAAAAAUACCUCCCCUAGCUGGUUCGGCUCGAUUUUAUCGGUUUCGGUUUUUUUAAAAACCGGCACUUAUAAUUAAUUAUAGGUGAACCGACACCUAAAAUAUAGGUGCCGGUUUUUCCGUAAAACUGACACCUAUCUUCGUUUAAAGGUGUUAGUUUUAUUUUUUUUUCAUUUUAUGAAUGUGGGAAAAGCACUAUAGGUGCCGAUUUAAUCACUUCCGUUACCUAUAGUGGCAACGCCUAUUUGAUAUUUUGUAUGAGUGACUAUGAGUAUUGUUAAGUCAGAUUUGACACCACAUAUGCUUUAAUUUUUUUUUAAUAAAACCACUCGGCUGGUUGAUUUAUUUGCUCUUUGACUAUAUGUUUAGUUUGUUCAUCUAAUCACAUAGUUGGGGUUACACCUAAUUAGCUGCAUCUAGUCGAUGCCACUGAACGCCCUCCUUCCCUCCAACUAGAUCAAGGACAGGGAGGGAAAGGGAGUGCAGCUGCCGCCAGCUUCCGCCCCUUUGGCCAGAUUAGGAAGAGAGUGGAGGGGCUGUGGUGGAAAGGGAAGUGGAAAAGGUGAGGGAGAGAGCUGAGACGGGUGAGGGGCUGAGAGGUCAAGCAGUUAGGGUGUGGGAGGGGCAAGGUGCGCUCGUUGGUUGUGAUCCAAUUUUUUUAAGCCGCUCCUAUAUUUACUGGCGAACGUCUUAAGUUCUCGCCUGCAAAAAAAUGUUAAAUUACUGGCAAGGUCUAAAGAGGACCACAAGCAAAAAUUACUGGCAAGGACUUGAGAAGCCAGAAUACAGUGUAGCUCAUGAGCUGGUCAGUGAUGACCAGAGUUGAGGUAGAGGAUAAUUAAGUAGACCCCUCCAUAAACUAAUUGCUGGAAUAGACCCUUUUUGGCAUCAACCUCAUUGGCGCCCUUCCUCUCUUGCAGCACCAGCAUCAUUACCACUAUCCGAAUAGGACUUAGUCACGCGCGCCCUCCCUCCUUCCCCCCAGUCCGUGCCCGAAUAGGAGCAGUUCUCCCUUCCCUCUCCUCUCCUCCUCAAUUCCAGUCGAUUUGGACCUAUUUUUCUCGGAAUUUCUCAUGGAAGUUGAAGAGCAGCAUAUACUACACCAUUCCUCUUUUUUUUCGGUUUAAUUGGUCAAAUAUUUAGAGAUCAGAUAGUAACCCUAAAAACUUCGUUUUCCCCCCAAAUUUGAGGCCUCCCAAUGUGGGAUUUUAGGCUUGUAUUGGUUCUUGUAUGUAACUUGCUUCAAGCUCUUAGAAUUUUUCAGAUAUAUAGGUGUUAUUCAAAAUUUUAAGUUGAAAAAUGAAUGCAUGAAUAUAUGCAUAAAUUAAUUUAUAGGCAUUCAAUUGAUGGUAUGUGUUAGUUUAUUGGUGUGUAUUGAUAAUAGAUUUGAGCCAUGGAUAUUUCAUUUUCAUAGGUAUUUAUUAUAUGGAUGAUAGACUAAUUUUGUGGGAUGAUACACUAAUGGUGUACAAACCAUACAAUUAGGUUCGUCAGUAUAUCAGAGUCGGUCGGCACGUGAUAGGUCAAUGAUCGAAUGGUACGUAGAGUGAUCUCGCUGCAUGUGAUUGUGAUCAGAUAAGUACUAUCAGCUGAGUGAUGUAAAGAAUAGACUAAUUAAAUUAUAUUAUAAAAAUAUCUAAGUGCUAGCUCUCUGAUAGAUGAUAAUAUAAUCUGUGUAUGCAUAUCUCGUGCAUAUAUAUUAUAACCUAUACAAAUUUGCUUCCUUGGAUGGAUAUAAUGCAGAAACAUUCAGGCAUGCGGACCAUGCUUAUUGCACUAGCUUGUACAGUUGCACCUAUACCUAUUGUCAGAACAAGCAUGGUGAAGUGAGGUGAUCUAGCUAGUAAGGAAGUAGCACCUAUACCUCUCCUCCUCAAAUCCCGUCGAUUUGGACCUAUUUUUCUCGGAAUUUCUCAUGGAAGUUAAAGAGCAGUAUAUACUACACCAUUCCUCUUUUUUUUCGAUUUAAUUGGUCAAAUUUAGAGAUUGGAGAGUAACCCUAAAAACUUCUUUUUUUUCUCCAAAUUUAGGCCUCCCAAUGUGGGAUUUUAGGCUUGUAUUGGUUCUUGUAUGUAAUGUGCUUCUAGCUCUUAGAAUUUUUCAGAUAUAUAGGUGUUAUUAAAAAUUUUAAGUUGAAAAACGAAUGCAUGAAUAUAUGCAUAAAUUAAUUUAUAGGCAUUCAAUUGAAGGUAUGCUAGUUUAUUGUUGUGUAUGGAUAAUAAAUUUGAGCCAAGGAUUUUUCAUUUUUAUAGGUAUUUAUUAGAUGGAUGAUAGACUAAUUUUGUGGGGUGAUCGACUAAUGGUGUACUAAACAUACAAUUUGGUUCAUUAGUUUAUCAGUUGGUCGGCACGUGAUAGGUCAAUAUUCGAAUGGUACGUAGAGUGAUCUCGCCGCAUGUGAUUGUGAUCGGAUAUGUACUAUCAGCUGAGUGAUGUAAAGAAUAGACUAAUUAAAUUCCAGUAUAAAAAUAUCUAAGUGCUAGCUCUCUGAUCGAUGAUAAUAUAAUAUGUGUAUGCAUAUCUCGUGCAUAUAUAUUAUCACCUAUACAAAUUUGCUUCCUUGGAUUAUGUAGAUGGAUAUAAUGCGGGGACAUGCAGGCAUGCGGACCAUGCUUAUUGCACUAGCUUGUACAGUUGCACCUAUACCUAUUGUCAGAACAAACAUGGUGAAGUGAGGUCUAGCUAGUAAGGAAGUAGCAACUAAUAGUUCUGCAUUGUACUAGUCGUUGUAGCCCAUGUAACGACCGCUGCCCCACUCUUUGGUUUUACCCCGAUUUAUGUUAACAAAAUUUUAAAAUACUUAAUGUGAAAUUUUUUUAUAUAGAAGUUGUUUAAAAAUAUUAGAUAAAUCUAUUUCUAUCUUUGUAAUAAUUGUAACUCAAUUAAUCAUGCUAGCCGUUUGGAAAUAUCUACGCACUUUAACCUUUUUUUUGUGCGUGUGUUUUAGAAUUGUAAAGUUACAUAUAAAUUAUUCAAGCCCAAUUUCAUACUUGCACUAAACCCCUAAAAAACCGUAAACAUAUAUAUUUCCUAUAAAAGACAUAAUAUGAUCCUCGGCGUCCCAAGGUGUCUUGGUUGGCUCCGUCAAUGCACUAACUCGACGAAACCAACAUGGCACCUAGAGCACCUCAUAUUUCUGUGAUGAUUUAAUAACCUAGGAACUAAAUCCAUAUAUAAAUGAAUAAUUAUCAAAAAAAAUUACAUAUAUACCACAUAUCCUAAGUCCCAAAAAUCACAAAAUUGACAUAUAAAAAAAUUGCAUCUACAUUUUUUAAUAAAAAUUGACAUCGCACAAAAUUGACAAAUUGUCAUUUCACAAAUUUCACAAAUAUCACCCUAAGUCCCAAAUUUCACAUAUCACAAAUUGCACAUAUCACAAAUUUUCACAAAAAACCUAAAACACGCUUACCGCUAGCGGCUUGGGGUGGAGGUGGCCGGCGGCGGAUUUUGGGGAAGCCGGUAGCUUGGGAAGGAGGUGGCCGGUGGCAGAGGUCGGUAAGGCCAGCGGCUUGGGGAGGAGGUCGGCGGCAGCAAAGGUUGGGGAUGCUGGUUGUUUCGGGAGGACGACGGCCGCGGCGGAGGUCGUGGAGGCCGGCGUGAGGGCGAGGAGGAGAGGAGGCGGCAGCGGCCCAGAUCUUGAUGGCGAGAGGAGGAGAGGAGUAGAGGAGAAGGCAGCGGUGGUGGCCGGAGAGGACGUCGCCAGCAUGAAGGGCGAGGAGGAGAGGAGCCGGCGGCAGAGGUGGAGGCUGGUGAGGCGAGGAGGCCACCGGCGGCGUUUGGGGCUCAGCGAGGAGGCGGCGGCAGCGGCGGCAAACAACAGGGCAGUGUUGGUGGUAAUUUCGCCCGCCCGCCCGGUGCUUAUGUAACCAUAUUAUCGCCUGCGGGUAAUCGAUAUUCCCAUGCGGGCGGUUUAAGUUGCCCGCACGGGAUGAUAUUAUUUCGUGCGGGCGGCUUAAGCCACCCGCACGCAAAAAUAAAUGCAGAUAAAUUAAUAAAUCCCAUCUAAAUAUAGUUAAUUAAUCAAUAUAAUUAUUCAACCACAAAUUAAAUAUACUUAUAGUUAAUUAAACCCAUAAAUUAUUUAACUAUAAUUCUUUAACUAUAACUAAAUAGGGUUAUAGUUAAUAAACCACAACUUAAUUAAUUAAUCAAUAUAAUUAUUCAUCCAUAUGAUUAAUGCCAACAAAUUAUUCAACCAUAGAAAUAUAAUUAUUUAACCACAAAUGAAUUUCAAUCGCAUCUAAUUAAAUCGCUUGUAUAUUGAUCAAACCACAUCUUAAUUAUUCAACCAUAUAAAUUGAGAACGACAUAUAGUACAGAUAAACAUGGAACCAUAAGUUUUAUACAUUAAUCGUUUGAAGGGGCUAUAAGUUGGAUACAUUGAUCGUUUUCAAAACAGGUUGUACACAACAACAUAUAUAUAUAUAUAUAUAUAUAUAUAUAUAUAUAUAUAUAUAUAUAUAUACACACACACUAAUGUUUCACAAUUUUCGCAGCACCAUCCUUCCGCACAGACGAAAACUUCUCUUCGUCAAGGGUUGUCUCAAUUCGCUUGAUCUGGUUAGGAAUAUCUGUGAAUAAUGGGACGUCGUCAUAUUGGUUGUAAUCUGACACGUCUUUAGUGUUAUCGAUGCCAAUAAUGUGUUGCUUUCCCACUACAGUAAUGUCCAUCCGCUCGUUGGAUGGGUCCUUCACAUAGAAAACCUGUCCAACAUAUUCAGCGAGAACGCAUGUAUCAUCCUUGUGGCUUAGUUUACUACAUUCCACAACCGUAAGGCCGUAGUAAUCGAUGGAUACGCCUGUUGUGUCUUUGACUCACUGGCAUCAUAGCACCGGGACCUGGAUGUUAAUACCAUAGUCAAGCUCCCAAAUGUCUUGUAUUAUCCAUAGUAUGACUUCUUCUCGCCUAUUGCGUCCAACGCCUCCACACGAACUCCACUAUUAUGAGCUGCGCUUUUCUUGUUCUUGCCUAUCGUGUAAAACGUAUAUCCGCCGAUGUCGUACCAUUGCCAUGAGUUCAUGAGGCUACUUGGGCCAGUUGCCAACCUGUGCAAGGGAUUCACCGAACGACAUGUUUUUUCCUUCAACCAUUCAGGAAAUUUGCGCUUCUGUUCCUUUGAGAUCCAAGUCGCCGGUCUUCUAGGGUUGCAUGCUCUUAUCUCGUUCAUGUGUCCCUCAAUGUAUGGCUCGAGGAUGGCUAGUUGUUGCGGCACGCUGCUAAAAGCUUCCGCUACAGCUUUGUAGUCAUUAUCAUAGAAUCUUUUCUUGCCUACAGUCCACUUCCCAAGUAACCGACCCUCAUGUACAACGGGGGUUAUAACAAUGGGUGUGGCGUCUUUCACGUAAUCUAUACAGCAUUCAACCAGCCACCUCCUCAGUUGUGUACUCCAUUAUCAUUGAUCCCUUCUGAUGAGCUGGGUUACAGACAUACCCUUUCAGAACCGACAUGUACCUCUCAGACGCCCAUAUCUGAUGUAGGUAUACGGGUCCAAUUUCAAUAAUCCGAGGGACGAUGUGGACAAUCAAAUGCUCCAUCAUAUUGAAGUAAGAUGGAGCGAAAAACAUCUCAAGCUGACACACUGUCUCGGUUGCCAAUGUUUGAAGUGGGCCUAACUCUUCAGGAUCAAAAACGUUUUGUGACAUGUGAGACAUAGAAAGCAUCGGCUCGGCUUGGAGGUGGUUUCCUUUUUUAAAAAAAAAAUCAGGGAGAGCACAAAGGUACCGGUUCUAUAACUGACACUAAUAACCUAGUGUCACUGGUGCCAACCAAUUGGUGCCGGCUGGGAAACCGACACCAAUUGGUUCCUAACUGGCACCUAUAUGGGUUUUUUGUACCCGUGGCCAUCAUCAAUGAGGAGGUUGAGUAUAUAGUUGACCCGAUUAAGGAUCAUAAUCAAGGCAAGUGUCCUCCCUCCCUUUGAAUAUAUUGAACCUCAUGUUUUCGGCAAACAUGUUGUUUUACAAAAUCUGCACAUAUUCGAACGAUAGGAAUGAUUAGAAUACCUUGUUUGUACUCAAAUGGAUCUACUUAUCUUUUUAUUUAUACCAAAUGCUUUUCCUUGCUUGAUAUGUUUAUCAUGGAUAUGGAUCCUACUUAUCCAUGUUGUUUUGAACACAUUUAAACUUAUUUCCAUAGAUAAGACAUGGAGAAUUACCAUAGUUGGCCUGGCAAGAAACUAGCAACUACUAUGUGCACCACAGUUACACACCUACAAAUAUGCCACCAGACACGCUCAAAUGACUGCAGCGCCUGCAUCACUGAUUUUCCCCCUUAUUUUAGAUUCAAUACGGUACUUGAGCUUCGAUCUUAAUUCUUGCCUAGUCUAGCUAGCUGAACCACAGAUAUAGUAUCUGGUCAAUAAUUAUUAUGUGCAUGCAUAUCUCAUGUUAAUUAACUCUCUCUGGAUCGAUGCCUAUUGUCACCUUAAUAUAUAUAUAUAUAUAUAUAUAUAUAUAUAUAUUGCUGAACAGGGAGUACGUGGAUGGACAAAAGAGCACACCAUAUGCAUAUCAUAUGCAUGGCACGUAAGCCAUGCGGACUGCAUUCUCGGGAUGGAUGCAUGGUUCAGAAUGAACUUAAAAAACUUGUACGCAUGAUCCUUGGUGAUUUGGUGGUAUCUCCAAUGUGUGAGAGGCCUAUCAGAAGCCUACUCUCGGUGCGGAAAUUAGCAUUAUAUAUAGUAUGCUAUUUUUUACAAGUUCAAUUUUAUCAAAGUUUAUUUUUUUCUCCUAGAAUCACCAGUAGAGAAACGAUUUUUCCGUGCGGUUAAAAGUGAUUUUCGCGUGUGGAUGUUCCAACCGUCUGGAACCAAGGGUCUGUAAAAUUUUUGCGUGAGGGUGGCGCACCCGCACGCAAAAAUCUAAUUUUCGCGUGCGGAGUGGUUAUGUCGCCCGCAGGCAAAAAUAAAAAACCGAAAAAUAUAAAAUCCAGAAAAGAAAACCCCAACCCUAAAGCUGUCGUCGCCGCCUCCUCGCGGUCGCCGUCGCUGUCGCUGCUGCGGUAGCGGAUCCGGAGCCUCCGCACUGUCCGGGCCGGUAACGGCCGCCGCCGCACGCACGAGCCGCCGAGCUCGCCGCUCCCGCCAGCUGUUCCCGCUUGCAGCCCCCGGGCGAUGCCACGCGCAUGCCGCCGAGGCCGCCGGAUCCGGGCGGGGGACGGCCGCCACCGCCAGAAUCGGGUGAGGGGAAACUGCCUCCGCUGGAUCCGGGUGGGGGACGGUCGUCUGCCGCGCGCACGCGCCGCCGAGACGCCGCUCCCGGUUGCCCACCGCCGCGCGCACGCGCCUUGGUGCCCGCCGCUCUCGGUCGCCGACGCACGCAUGCUGCCGAGGCCGCCGCCAAGUGAGGCGGUGCAGCCGGCCGCCGCCGGCCGUGCCCGCGCCGGCCGUGCCCAGGAGAGAAGAGAGAGGUGAGAGAGUGAGAAAGGAUAGAGAGGUGAGAGAGUGAGAGAGAGAGUGUUGGUAUUUCUUACGACCACAGAUAAAUCUGUAAGCACACGGAAUACCGCUGUAGCACUUCACCUUUGGGUGACCCCAAAAGGAUAUCGAACUCAAGGAACGUGUGUAAUCUAUCUAAGGUUAAGACGAUCCAAGGACAACAACUAUAGGUAGGCAGGCUAGAGAGGACUUUCUAUGUGCUUUAAUUAUCUACGCUAAGCAAGGUAAUUCCCUAUCUAUUGCUUCGGGCACCGACCCCUGCUGGUCUGCCAGCGUGGUUCCGGCUAUAGCUCUAUGAUGUAUUCGAACCUGGUGGAUUACUAGGACGGAAUUCAGGACUAUCACCACCUGCCGCCUACCUUUGACAAAUCCGUGGGAUACACAACUAACAAUGGUUAUCUGUAACAUAGACACCACGCCUAAGUUAUUAAUUACUACUCUAAUACUAGCGCAAGAACUUCCUUCUCUAUCCGGAGUCCUAGCACUAGAGCAAUUAGUAUAAAUACUAAACAAUGAACCUGCAAAGAUGGAAAUAUAACUUACUUAGACUAAAUAAUUAAAUAACAAAAGAAAGAAACACGAAUGUUUACUUAAUAGAAGAAGUUCUCUGAACCCGGAGCAGAGUGUACCGACAGCUCCGGUACUCCUCCCGAAUUCCUCCUACGAAGCUACACUCGUCGACGUAGAAGUCGGAUGAGCGCCAAACUUCCGAGCACUCCUCCAGAGCUUCCCAUCACUCUCAAUCAUAUUCUAAUGUACAAAAGAUACAAUAGAGCCUCUUGUAAUUUAGCUCAAAGUUGUGUGUCGGAAAUGAGAGUGAACUACUCCUUAUAUAGGCAGGUAUGACGGUUACAGCCUAUGCGAAAUGACCAAACUACCCUGGAACAGCCAUCAGGAAGUAAUCAGGGCCGUCCACACAAAAUUUGGCGAUCAACAGCCACCAAAAGGGUUCGGCCGAACUGGUAACCCGGGACGGCUCCGUUCGGCCCGUUUUUCCAUCGUCGACACUAAUUUUGAGGCCCUCAGCCCAUUGGCAUGAUAGUUGGGCCUGUUUGGAGUUGUUUAAUUGACUUAUGGGGCCUCCAAUCCGUGUAAACGCGUCCUGAAUGCGCGGAGGUGCAUUUUGUCGCAUGACGGAUGUGUUUUCUCCUCAAAAUACCUGCAUAUACAUGUUUCACCAACACUAGUGGAAAUGAUUAGUAAUAAUACCUACCACUAAGUUGGAUACCAUAUUUUAUUUCAUUAUAUGCAAGUAUUGACGGUCAAAUAUUAUGAUUUUUGGAUCGUCAACAACACCCCCACACUUAACCUUUGCUCGUCCCGAGUGAAGGCUAAGGACUCUACAAUAGAGUUAUAACUUCCUUACUAAUAAUCAUGCAAACAAAUUAUUCAAAGCCAUACAUGUACUUGUGGGUCUUUGUAGUGUCUACCAUGCGAUCCUGAGCAAUUGAGAAAUGGAACAAUCUUUACUCAAGUCACCCUAACUUUUCAUGAAGAACAACUUGGGGUUUUUUUUCAAGUAACACAAAACUAUAACUUUGCUUUACUCCCCCAUUGAUUCUCUCGAUCACUCAAAGUGUAUGAUUCCUCACAAAGGCAUAUAAUUGUGCCUUUUCUUUUCCUACCAUCUAAUAAGGCUUAUGUGGAGCUAGGGUAUGGAAAAGAGUAGAGCAUUACUUGCAUCACAUAUAUUGCAAAGUCAAAUAACGGAUCCAUGGAAAGACAAGACAUACUUUCUGGUCAAGAAUGUGCAUGUGUAUGUGUAUGGUGAAGUUGUGGGUGGAAAAAGGAAAAUAAAAAUAACUCCUUUUGUAUACCUCCUCCUCCAUUUAUUUUUUUUCUUUUGAAACUUGGGAGAGUACAUGGCUAUCUUUUUUUUCUUUUAUUUUUCUUUUUUUCUCCUUCUUUUUCACCAUCAUGCUCCAUACUUCUAUGAGCACUUUUUUUCUUUCUUUUUGCACAGCCAUGCCUCUCUCUUUUUCUUUUUUUUUCUUUGGAAGAACUUUGGAGGAAGAGGCAUAAAUGACAUGGAGUAUUUAUUUUGUGGACUAUGGAUGAAAUGAAUGGUAAAUGAGCAAUGCUGACUUCCAAUGUAGAAGUCAAGCAUUUAUGUGUGUAUGUGGAAUGUGUGUGAUCUUGACCAUGAAAGUAUGAAAAGCAUUUCACUAGGGUCACAAAACUUGACAAGGCUCAAUGUAAUAAUAAGCAGCGUAUGUAGCGAGCUAAUCAUGAAUGAUCAACCUAUGGCUCUAGUGGGAAUAAAAAUAUCAAUGAGGAGUUUAGCAUCGUUAUUUUUUUUUCUUUUAUAAAAUUCCCAAGUGUGCAACAUGAAGAGCAGGAUUUCUAUCAUCAGACUAUAUCUCAAUCCUCAAUUACCUAGAUAGCAUGGGGUGCCUAUUGAAUAUGUCUCCACAAGCAACAAGUAAUGAGCAAAGAAUAAUAGGCAUGCAUGUUAUUUUUAGGGAGGCCAUGAACUCUAAUUGUACCAUCCCUAGCUUGAGUUUAAUUAUCUUCGAUGUUUCAGAAUUGAUAAUCAAAUUAAACUCAAGAUAGAAUGGAUGUCCAAAGGAAAAAUUGUGCAAACCUGCGCUCUGUAUAAGAUUAUAUAGAGGACGAUUCAUUGGUUCUGACUGUAUCAAUUUCCCUUGUGUGUUUCAUCAUGGCUCAUCACUUCUGGGGUGAUCUUGCUUUGGUUAUGGCGUUGAUGUGCAAGAUCAUCCCCACACUUGACUUUGUACAUGGGGCUCUUUAUUGGACACAAAAAUGAAAAACAAAGACAAAAGUGAAGCAAAAAGGACUCACUUGGUUGGAAGACUAAGGAGCCAACUUUAUUUUAUUUUAUUUUAUCCAUGAAAGCUAGACCUAAGAUAACUAGAGGGAGGCCAAAGGACUCGUGGCAUUGAAAACUAACGGAUCAAGUGGGAGCUAAAGACUCCAGGUAGAAGCUAAAAGAGACUAGAUUCACAACAUCUAAGUCACAAUCAACUUCUAACGGAUCAAGGAAAACUUUUAAACGAUGACCAUUUACCUUAAAGAUGUUACCUUCGUUGUCGCGCAGCGUGACGGCUCCUUGUGAUGAAGCGUCGACGACAGUAUAUGGACCCAUCCAUUUACUUCGAAGUUUUCCAUGUCCGAAAAGUUUCACCCGAGAAUUGAACAGCAGCACCUUGUCCCCUGCUUUGAACUCCUUGUGCUUGAUCCGCUUGUCAUGCCAUCUUUUGGUUCUAUCCUUGUAGAUCUUGGCAUUGUGAUAGGCCUUGUCCCUCCAUUCUUCUAGCUCAGAGUGCUGCAUCUUCCUGUGCUGUCCGGGUCCCGUUAAAUCCAUGUUCCAAGUCCGGAUAGCCCAGUGCGCCCUGUGUUCCAACUCUACUGGAAAGUGACAAGUCUUUCCGUAGACAAGUUGGUAUGGUGACAUGCCGAUGGGCGUCUUAUAAGCAGUCCUAUAUGCCCAAAGUGCAUCAGGUAGCUUGUUCUUCCAUGCCUUCCCCAUCUCAUUGACAGUCUUCUGCAGAAUGUUCUUGAUUUGUUUGUUGCUCGUUUCUGCCUAUCCACUUGUUUGGGGAUGAUAUGGAGUGGCAAUGUUGUGCUGAGCCCCAAGUUCUUGCAAAAAGUUUCGGAAGGUCUUAUCGAUGAAAUGAGACCCUCCGUCACUUAUCACCAUCCAGCGGAGUUCCAAAACGAGGGAAGAUAAUCUCAUGGAACAUCCGGCGGGCGUGCUUGGCGUCUGCGGCCCUGCAUGGAAUUGCCUCUACCCACUUGGACACAUAGUCAACGGCCACCAGGAUAUACUCGCAAUCAUAGGACUUUGGGAAAGGUCCCAUGAAAUUGAUGCCCCAUACAUCAAAUAACUCGACUUGAAGGUUGUAUGUAAGUGGCAUCGCAUCGCGAGCAGUGAUUCCUCCAUGCUUCUGGCAACUUGUGCAUCUCCGAACGAAUUCCUUUGUGUCAUCGUACAUUGUUGGCCAAAAGAAUCCGCUCUGCCAGAUCUUUGCGUGUGUUCUGAAUGCUCCAUAGUGACCUCCAUAUGGGGCAGCAUGACACUUCUCAAUGAUCUUCAUGCCUUUAUCUACCGGAACACAUCUUCGUAGUAGACCGUCUGAAUAGACUCUGUACAGGUAAGGUGCAUCCCACAAGUGCCCGCGGCUCUUGUAGAUCAACCUUUUCUUAUUUUCUCCCGGGGGUACAUGCCCCGCGACCAUGAAGUUGACGAUGGUUGCAUACCAUGAGUCAGAGUCUAUGACUUUCAACAGCAUGUCGUCUCGCAGAUAGUCAUUUAUCGGUAGCUCAUGCAUGUUAGUGAUUUGCAUACGCGACAAAUGAUCUGCAAUAGAAUUCUCUACUCUCUUUUUAUCCUUAAUCUCUAUGUCAAACUCUUGGAGCAGAAGAAUCCACCUAACCAGCCGACGUUUUGAAUCUUUUUUAGCUCGAGCUUGGCUCGUCCUAGGCUUGAUUUGAGCUCGGCCUGAGCACCAAACGAGCUGAACCCAAGCCCGAGCAACAGCUUGCGAGCUUUACCGAGCCGAGCUCGAGCUUCUACCGAGCCUGGCCGAGGUUGACUGUGUAUAGUUUAUAUUGCAUGUUCACCUCUUUAAUAUAAUAAACUAAUAGAUAAAUAUAUAUAUAUAUGUGUGUGUGUGUAUGUAUCUAUUUACACAAUAAAUUAGCAUGUGUUAGCACAAUAUAUUUAUUUUAAUCAUUUUCUACUCUUUUAUUAGUGUGAUUAACUAGAAAAUAAUUAUACUUAUCAAGAGAUUAUUAUUAAAAUAUAUAUUAUACUACUUAUGGCCGAGCUCGGUAGCCGAGCUCAAGCUCGAACCGAGCUUGCCUAAAAGCUCGAAGGUGCAAUAGGCUCGGCUCGAGCAUGUGUCUAGCUCGAACUUGGGCAGAUGAGCUCGCUCGAGCUCGGCUCAUUGACAGCCCUAAUCAGAAUUCAACAGUAUUCAAACAAUAGUUCAUCUCAGGUUCAACCUAAUACCAGAGUCUCAGAUACUCUGCUUCCAGAAUCAAACAAUAGUUCCACAACAAGCAACAAAAUGUAUGGUUCAAUUAAAAGAAUCUUACAUCACCCAUGGAAUAAUGCAUAGCAAGUCCAUGUUCAACCAUAUGCACUCCGUUAAGCCAAAUAUUCACCUGCAAUGGGUCCAUAAAGAACUCAAUGGAUUACGAAGAAAAGGUGAAUGGGGAUAUCAAAUAUUUCAAAAUCCAACUAAAAGGGAAAGCUGGACAUCGACCAGCGUGACCAAUAAGGUAAAUAAAAGGAGGCAACAACAUUAGGAUGGAAGCCAACAUGUACUUUUGGGGUUGCAACUGCCUAACAUAUUCAUGGUAAGCAAAUACAUAUUUGUCUAAAUCCAACUCCAAUGUUUCAAAGUGCACAAUAACUAUUUUUAGACGGAAGCAAUCCUGAAACAUUUAUAAAGUGUAAUAGUACCAUAAUAUCUAUGAUCACUAUAACUAUUACUCUAUAAAAACAUAACAAGUUGUAUAAGAGCUGCUCAUUUCUUUGAACUACAAGUUGUAUCUGCAUCAGAAGGAAAUACAUCAUAUAAGUUCCAGUAUCAAAUAACGUUCUAGCGAUGCCUAGUAUGUAACUUAUCACGACUAAUGGUAUCAUCUGAAAAAUUAAAAGAUGGGUCAAGGGCAGCAGCAUACAUGUAAUGUACCAAAAUAAGUAACAAAAAAAUGGCACUUUUUUCAUGAGUUCUAUUAAUAUAAAGAAAUAUGGAGCAGAGAACUUCUAGUAAUAGAGUUUAAGCAUACUUAGAAACUGAUCAUCAGAAUGUAUGUGUGUUUUUGGACAUUGGGCACUGCACCUUGUUGGAGAAACAUAGUAUUUUCCUGGAAGAAAAAUCACCAUGCUGCAACUUUACAUAGGUCUUUAAUGCAGAAAAGCAAGACAACAGAUUUAAUCAAGGAAUUGGCACAUCAAGUCCAAUACGUAUUUGUGUAAUAUUUUUCCUUUAGAAGUUCAGCCUGUAACAUUUACCCAAAGAACACACAAACAAAGGAGUAAUUAAUUGUUGGAAGAAGAGUAGCAAUUCCCCUUUAACGUACAUAAAGAAAGUUCCCCUUUUAGUUUUUCAUACUAAAAGGAUAAACAUACACAAAGAAAGUUCCCCUUUAAAUCAAGAAAAGGAAUCGUUAAGAUAGUUAUGGAAACAUAUUCCCCUUUAGUCCAUGUUUUCGCUUUCGGACAAGUAAUCUACUCUUACGCCCAAGAAAGUUCACCUAUGCUAACAAAUUCCUUGUCCCCGUAGUAAAUUUAUUCAUGGAAUUCAGUUUGCUAAUGUUUUUUUGCACUAGUUUAGUUAGAGUUAUGUUUAUAAGCGGUGCAGCCAGGUGGCAAAUUAAUUGUCAAAAUUGCUAGAGCAAAUAAAGUUGUCAAUUGAAUACUAGUUUUGUUCUGUUUUGCACUUAAUAUAGCUGAUCACAGUUUAAAAUGCCGCUGCACUUAACAAUAGGUACAGAUCAUGAACCCACAAAAUCCAUAUAAAAUGGUUUGGAUUGUAGGUAAGCGUAAUGUUUGUAUUUUGCUAAUUAUUCAGAACAUUCAUACCAAGAUGCUAGUAAAAUAACUCAUUCAGUUAGCCAAAAGAUUCAGGCACAAUUUAGCACAGAUUUCUACAAGCAAAAGAACUCCAUCCAACUCAUGCCUUCAGUAGAAUAAAACUGUGCUCAGGAUCAGCAAGCAGCUAUGUAAAAAAAUGUAGAAAAUCUAAGAGAAAAAGGAAAUAUAAACCUUCCUGUCCUCAGCAGUUGUGCUCCGGUGGAAGGGGCCGGUUGAACCCGCCACGGCGGUUCAUGUACUGCCGUGGCUGCCGCUUGGUGACGACGCGCACCCCGCUAACAUCGGCGUCGGGGACGUGCUUCCCCUUGGUGGAGUCGAAGCCGACGGGGAUCCCCAUCAUCUCCAGCUCCUCCACGUCCACGUCCCCUUCGCCAGCCGCGACCCCAUCCCCGGCGGCACUCUUGGGCGGGACGAGGCCCGCCGCCGCCGGAUCUGAGCAGGACGAGGCCCGCGUCGCCAACCACAUGUCGACGUCGUCGGGGUUGCCGCCGUCGCCACCACCCGCGUUGUCGUCGUCGUCGGGGAUGGAGCCGCCGCUGGAUCCGCGCGAGGGAGGGCCCCCUGCGCCGGAUCCGCGCCGCUCGGCCGUCGCUCGUCGCCCGCUCCCAUCUGGCGCCGCUCGCUCCCAGCCGCGAUCUGCCGCCACCCUCGCCUGGCCGCCUUGCCGCCGCUUGCUCCCGGCCACCGAGCCGCCCGACCAUUGCCCGACUGAGAGGAGAGAAAGGGAGAGAUUGAGAGGAGAGGAAAUGAAAAAAGAGAGGGAGUUAAUAUCUGUUGGGAGAGAGAGAGGAGGGGUGGUGAAAAAAAUUUGAAGCAAGGAGGAGCGAAAGAGAAAGAGGAGGAAAAUAAUUAUUAAAAAUAUUAAUUUGAUAAUAAAUGAACUUCGAGUUGAAUUUUAAGAUACUAAAUGAACUUACGUGAAAAAGUUCUUAAAAACAAAGUUAUAUAAAUCAUUGAGAUCUAUAACUUUUCUUUUGGACAUUUCUCCAUCCGAGUUUGAUUGAACUAUAUAAAAUUUGAAUUUUAAAAUAUAAGAAAUUCAAAUAUUUUUUCAGGUAGUAAAUGAAUUCAAAUGAAAAAGUCAUCAACAAAAAGUUGUAUAGCUUACCAAGUUCUACAACUUUUGUAUUGGUCAAUUUUCUAUAUGAUUUUGUUUGAACAGUUUGAAUUUGAAUUUCAAAUUAUGACAACUUCAAAACAAAAUAUGACUUUGUUUUGGUCGUUUCUUUAUUUGAGAAAGUAAUAGUAACGCUGUUCACAAAAUUUACAUAUCUCUAUUAUAGUUUAUAAACUAUAUAAGAGAUACGUACAUUUUGUGAACAAUGUUAUAAAUCGCUUCGUCAGAUGAAGAGAUGACACAAAUAAAAGUUAUAUAUUUUGAUGAGAUAUACAACUUUGUUAUUGAUGACUUUUUUAGUUGAAAUCAUUUAAUAUUUGAAAAUGUUGUUUGAAGUUGUCAUAAUUUGAAAUUCAAAUUCAAAUUAUUGAAACAAAGUCAUAUAGCAAAAUGACCAAAACAAAAGUUGUUGAUAUUGAUGAGUUAUACAACUUUGUUGUCGAUAACUUUUUCAAUUGAAAUUAUUUAGUAUUUAAAAAUGUUAUUUAAAGUUGUCAUAAUUUGAAAUUCAAAUUUUAUAUAGGUCAAUCAAACUCAGAUGGAGAAAUAACCAAAACAAAAUAGGUAGAUCUCAAUAAGUUAUACAACUUUGUUUUUGACAACUUUUUCACACAAGUUCAUUUAGUAUGAUAAAACUCGAUUCUAAGUUUUAAUAUUUUGAAAUUAAUUGAAAGGAUGGAGGCAAAAUAGACUUCUCGGUGAGGGAGGAGCAAAAGGGCUGGCCCAUAACAGGCCUUGUUUCAUACCAUCUAUGUUUAACCUUUUUUUUUCUUUUAUUUUUUUUACCAUUGUGAAGUAACACACAAAAAUCGAGAUCUACCAAUUUUGUUUUGGUUAUUUGUCCAUCUGAGUUUGAUUAGCCUAUAUAAUAUUUGAAUUUCAAAUUAUGACAACUUCAAACAACAUUUUCAAAUACUACAUGAUUUCAACUCGAAAGGUCAUCAACAACAAAGUUGUAUAAAUCAUCAAUAUCUACAACUUUUAUUUUGAUCAUUUUUCUAUACGACUCUGUUUCAAUAAUUUGAAUUUCAAUUUCAAAUUAUGACAACUUCAAACAACAUUUUCGAAUACUAAAUGAUUUCAACUAAAAAAGUCAUCAACAACAAAGUUGUAUAAAUCAUCAAUAUCUACAACUUUUGUUUUGGUCAUUUCGCUAUAUGAUUCUAUUUCAAUAAUUUUAAUUCGAAUUUCAAAUUAUGACAACUUCAAACAACAUUUUCUAAUACUAAAUGAUCUCAACUGAAAAAGUCAUCAACAACAAAUUUGUAUAAAUCAUCAUAUCCACAACUUUUGUUUUGGUCAUUUUGCUAUAGGACUCUGUUUUAAUAAUUUGAAUUUGAAUUUCAAAUUAUGACAACUUCAGAGAACAUUUUCAAAUACUAAAUGAUUUCAACUGAAAAAGUCAUCAACAUCAAAGUUGUAUAAAUCAUCAAUAUAUAUAACUUUUAUUUUGGUCAUUUAUUCAUCCGAUAAAGUGAUAGCAACAUUGUUCACAAAAUUUACAUAUCUCUUAUAUGGUUUUGAUGUAUUUAAUAUUAUAUUUGUAAAUUGCGACGAAAUUGCUAUAACGUCACAGGUUUUUGGCCGGUUUAUGACGAAAUCGAUAAAAUGUCAUGGUAUUAUGGGCCUUGUAUCCAUUGUUGCAUAUCCGUGACGAUCUCUGAAAAACAUCACGAAAAUUUCGUCAAAUUUCGUCACAGAUUAAAUAGAUUCUUAUAGUAUUUGGGACCCUACAGUGAGGUUCCAGAAAUAAAAAAAGAGUGAUUCAAGAGAGAGUCAUCUAAGGAAUAUAGCUAGUUUGUGAAAAUAUAUGAAAAACCCAAGUGAGUAUCAGGGAAAAGGAACGACUUGAGUCACGACCGUUUCAUUCAUCAAUCGCCCAAGAUUGUAAGAUACACACCGCAAAGUUCACAGGUACAUAUAUGGCUUAGAAUAGAUUGUAUACAUGUAUAUACCUUGAAGAAUUUUAUUCCACAAUAAUCCUUAAUGGGACGAGUAAAGAGCUAAGUGUCGGGGUUUUUUGACGGUUAUUAAUCUCCAAAUUUACGCCGUCAAUACCUGCAUAAAUAUAAAAAGAUAAAAUAUCCAACAUAGUGGUAAGGUUUAAUUCUAACGAUUCCUACAGUAUUGGUGUAUAUUUGGAUGCAGGUAAUAAACCAUCAAAGUUAAGGCGAAAUAUACAUAAAGAAGGAGGAGAAUCAAACUCAUAUCCAAGCCUAUGGAGUCUUGGGCCCACAAACCUAACAAAACACCUACAAUUGGGCCCAUUCACCAUAUAAGCGAACUGAGAGACUCCCUGCCUGAGCCCAGGAGGAAGUGCUGGGCCAGGGAGGCUGCCCAGGGUUCGGCCAAACAAUGCCUGGCCCAGCCCAGCCACAACCGCCUUCAGGCCAUCCUCGAUACAUGUCAAUCUCUACUACCAUAUUGAAUAACUCACGCGACGCGCGGACACUUGUUCCAGUAAUCCAUGCCAAGUCCAUAUAUUGUUUGUCUUCUGCAACCAGAGCCAACGAAUUUGAAGAGCCCAACCUAUAUAUAUACUCUAAAUUAAGAACUCCUAAGCUACCAUAAGCGUGGGGUCGGCACACUGUAUUCCAAUCGACCAAACAAUUGCUACCAUUGGCCUUCUCUUGCUCUGACCAUGAGAAGCCGCUCCUCUUGUCUAUAGGUUUGGUCACCUAUUUUGGAAGGUGAUAAAUCGGUAUAGUUGAGAGCACUUCUUUCACCAUAACUAAGCGACCGGCCCUGUUUAUGAGUGAGGUCUUCCACAAAGAGAGUAUGUCAUCAGCAACUGUGUCAAUAAGGGAUAGAAAGUCCGCUUUAGAAGGCUUCUCUACUGUACUUCCUUUCACUACACCAUGACACUAGAUUACCAACAGACAUCUGUCGGUAAAGAUAAACAAUUAUUGAUAGACUAUUUGUUGGUAAAGGCUUUUGGUAAAUUAUAUGUCAGCAAUACUAUGUAAUAAGACAUGUUAUAUGUUAGCAAUUCCAAAUAUUUAUUGGGUCAAAAUAACUGUCAGCAAUAUUAAGAGUGGAAACCAAUUAUAUGUCAGGAAAACUUAAUGAUAACCUAUCUGUCAGCAAUGUUUCGUCCGUUGGAUGUUGAUCCCACGGUUAGGAUAGAGCGAGGUGAUCGGUGCGCAGUAAAAUAAAAAAAGAAGCGCAAAAAAAUCCGCGCAAAAAAAAAACCACGCCGAAAAGAAAAUCCACCCCAAAAAGGAAAACCCUAGGCUCGCACCGCGCGCCGCCAUUUCUCCCCCUUCCACCGCGCACCGCCUCCUCCGCCAAAUCCACCGCCGCGGCGCGCGGCCUCCUCCUCCGCCGCGGCGUGCCGCCACCUCGCUCCUCUCUCCCCAUCCACCGCGCUGCCGGAGUCGACCUCGCGCCCGCCCAGGUUUGUACGGGCUAGGGUUUGGGGGGCGCCCGUCCAGAUCUGGGGGAUUGACUUGGGUGUUGGGGUUGGUGUUGGUUGCAGGUGGUGGUGUGUGCCGGGUAGAGGAGGAGGAGGAAGCGAGGGCGUCGGACUUGUGCGUGCGCAGGUCCAGGGGCAGGACGACAUUCGACGCGGUCGCCGACGAGGUCUCCUAGUUCACUCUGCUUGUUGUUGCUGAAUGGGUAGUGAUUAUCAAUACUGAUGGACUGCAUUUCUCUUGCAGUUUUUCCCCUUUUGCCUUUGAUUUCUUCGGCCCUUUCCUUUCAAGUUUUGAUACAAAGAAUUCAGAAACUCAUACUAUAUGAUGGGUAGUUUCCUCUGUUUAGUCCUGUAUCUUGGAACUCAUACUUUAUGAUCAAAGAAUUCAGAAAAGGAUCAUGUAACUAUCCAGUCUAGUAUGGACUGUAGUUGUUUCUAACUGCUUUCCAUAGAAACUUUUGCACCCUUUGUGGUAUAAAGAAUUAGAACAAAUCAUAAGAUUCUUAAGCUGCUAAGGUUAAGUAUCAUGACCUUCACUAGUAAAUCAUAAGAUUCCUCCUAGUUCACUCUGCUUGAUGUUCAACAGACCUCAUGAUGCAUGUGCCCCGGAAAUAUAUUGCUCUCAUAUUUGUAGGAUUAGAUAUUCAGUAAAGUUCCAGAGUUUCGCUCUGUUUUUUAUAGUACAAUGGGUGCUUUUUUGUCUAAACUGUGUGCUGGUAAAUAUAAACGAUAAAACCAUCCAGAACUGAGAAAACCUAGCAGCCGCUGGUGUUGUGUUUAAUUACAUAUUGCAGAUGUAUACACCUCUGCAUUUCUAAGUUUGUAUUCCUGCAGUUAUAAACUCAUAAUCCGCUUAUACUCUGCAAACACAUAUAUGAGGUAAGUUCAGUCUGGCUGCAGUUAAUUAAGAUUAAGGUUGAAAAUACGGUGAACUCAUUUUGGUAUUGAUCUGUGACCAUGAGUUCAUGUUGAAUCCUAUAUAUGCUUAAUUUAGCACAUCUGUUGUUGUCUGCAUAGUGGUCUUCAUGGCAUAUGCUAAUUCUGGAAGUGCCACCGAUAAGGUGUGGCCUUGCUCUGUUCAUUUGUCGAAAUUAAGAACUUUGAUUCUAAAUGCAUGCUAUUUGUUAGAGGCUGUGUGUGGCUACAAGUUUCUAUAUGUCCUUUGGGCCUAACAGAGGCAUUAAUAUCUGUUUUGCUUUUUGGAUCACUUCUCAUUCCCUGAAUUUUGUCUUCUGACUUUUCAGAAGCCUGAGUUCUGAAAAGGGCAUACUAGAAAACAUCUGUUGCUGCUCUUUCUGCUAGAUGGAGUACAUAAUUUUUUUUAUGUUAUGUUAGCUUGAAUAUUGACCUGGCCUCAAGUUGCUAUGUUAGCUCUGAAUUUUCCUAGCUUAACACUGCUAAGUCACAAGUGCGGCAUUACAAACAUUUCAGUAACUGAUAUUUAUAGGAUUAGAUGUUCAAUUAAGUUUCAGGAUUUUGCUUUGUUUUUAAUGAAGCAUGAUCUGAUUUUUUUUACCAAUUCAUAUAAUUAGAUGGCUGAGAUUUGUUGUUUCAUGUAAUGCAUGCAAAAUGUUUGACUUAGAAUUUUUCUUGUAGACAACUCAGGGACAGAUGGAGUAGUAGUUGGAGGUCCAAUAUUAUAGCCUAGGACACGAACAAAUGCAGAAAAUGGAGGUGUUGAUGCUAAUGAUCCUCGAAAUAUGCCCUUAGCUGGUGAAGGUAUUUCAUUCGACAUUUGCAUGUAUCGUUAAUAAGAUUAAGGUAUAUGAAUAUAUCAAGUUCUUAUCAUCUCUUUUCAUAUGUAAGCAGAAAAUGUUCCAGGUGUUAAUAAUGUACAGCUACAAAAGAAGGUACACAAGAAGACAGCAAAGACUAACCAGCGAGCAGGUACUUAAUUUGUACAUGAUGCAACAUGUUUUUGUGUAUAUAUUGCCUCUCUGACUUAAUUUGCCAUGCCUUGCAUCUAUAUCCAUCAUCAUGAUAUAUACCCAAUAGUUAGUGUGCACUUUAUAAGCUGAACAAUUGGUAUUGUUUUGUUAGAAAGGAUAACCAAUGCUUGUAGCCUAAAACAUCUUUCAGAUUUACUAACUCCGAAGGCAGUAUCUCUACUAGUUGCAAAUCAGAUCCUUAAUGCAUUUGUGCUUUUUUACAACAUAGAAGUUCUAUUGUUUCCUUUCUCAUAUAUGUACUGAUUACUGACUCAUCAAUAGGGUCUUUGAAGGUGCUCUCUUGGUAGUUUUACAGGCUACAAUUUUCUUUCUGACAGGGUCUUUGAAUUAGCCAUUUGCUCUUCACUAAAUUUAUCUGUUAUGCUAUUCUAAUUGCCAUGGACUACAUAUAUUCUUCUGUGGUUCUCUGUACACUAGAUAUGUUUACUCUGUACACUACUGAUGAUUAUUCAUUUCAUUUACUCUGUCCAUUAUUUUGCAGGCAACCAUAAAAAGGGCUAGCAGAGGUGCUGUAAAAAAAAUCAAGAACCUACAAGAACCAUAAAAGAGAUGAUUUGUUUUGUUUUUGGGACCUCAAUACACCUACAAGAACCUUAGUUACAUCUAAAUUAUGUAAUUAUUGCUAUGUACUUGAACUCUUAUGUAAUAGCUAUUUGAGCUGAUGGAUAACUGCUAUAUAGGAAUACUGCUACUUGAUGGGUGAACAAUAGUUACAUGAUGAUAUGUCAGAAUGCAUUUGUGAACAAUAGUUAUGAAUAGUUGAAUAUUGUGUUAUGCAUGUGUGUAACUUACUGAAAGGUGAUAAUCCGUGUUGCAAAAUUUGGAGUGAUAUUCAUCCAUAUAUAUGCUGCAAAUUUAAUUUGAGGUAUGGUUCAUAAAAUGGAUGAUUGGUAAUUAGUAUAUUUUUUGUGUGGAUUACUGACUGAUUGCUUGUUAGUUCUUGUGCUUGCCAUCAAUACAUUAAUUGUCGGUAAAUCUAUAACACAGUGACAUGCUAUCUGUUGGGAAUCUUCUUAAGUGUCGGUAAAAGUCUGUCUGUUGGUAAAACUAUCUGUCGGUAAAUAUGUAGCAACACUAUCGGUCUAUCUGUCGGCACAGAUUUAUCUGUCGGGAAAGACUUUUGCCGGCAGCACUUGGCCUGACAGACCUUAUCUGUCGGGAAACGUUUUGCUGACAAAUAAUUUGGCAGCAUAUAGGGCCUUUCCUGACAGAUAUGUAGUAAGCAAACUUGGGGCAUGGUGUAGUGUUUGCAAGGGAAGUCUUUCACCUUACAAGGCAGCGAGUUAACAAUUACUUGCAGAUCUUCAUCAAAACAUCUAAUAGGAAUGACAAACCUCUUUUGCAUAUUUGUUAACAGCCCCAAAGCAAGACCGAAGAUAUUGGGUUUGACAAUUUCCUCAAUUUUCAGCUGCAAUAGUCUUUUAAUGAGGAUUUUAAAAUUCAUCAUCUUUCCUCACAUGAAGUUCUGGCCUGUUUCUUUUUCUUUUUACUGCAAAGACCAGCCCCCCACACCAACAUCUCUCAUAGUAGUUUCUGCUCAUCUUUCACGUAGCUCCAAUGGCAGUCACAUCCCUGCCAUCAUCUUGUUCUAGUGUUGCUCGGAGUCAGUACGAAGUCAGUCGGGCUGAACAUACAUCGACCCCAUCCCUAGUUCCUAAUUUUGAGGUUAUAGCAAAAUACCUACCAGCUGCCAAGCACGAUUGAGAAGCGCUGAACGAGAGUUACCCAAACAAGCAGUACAAAAAACAAUUAAAUAAUGUCUGUAUAUACUGUUCUUCAAGGUAAUAAGCAUCAGUACAUCCAUCAACAUGGCUUGUACUGAGCAACCUUAGGAGUAUAUCUAAAUACAGGUGUAAGUUCAUUGCUGGUUUGUAAGUGUUAUAGUUUUAUAAUAAUGCUCCCAAGGAGGCCUUAGGCAUACAGUAAUAAACAAGAGGUUGGAUCUGUAAGUUCUCAUGGUGAAUAUAAAUAUGGUUACCUGGUACUGGUAAUUAUUGAGCUCAUUGUGUUGUGGCCAAGAAAACUUUUGAAUAUUUUGGAUGGUCCUCAAGCAUAUAGAAUAGUAAGUCAUUAUACGUUAUUAACUGUGUUUUUAACCUUCUGUUCAUGAGGUCAAUUGAUAAUAAUUAAACAUUCAUUGUGUUUUGGUCACGUAUCCUUUUAAUUAAGGAAGGAAAAUUAUUUAUUUUCUUCAUCAUGUAUAUGUUCAUAAAACCUGUAUUGGACUAUCUAGCUCAAUUGAUCAUGUAUAUUCAUUGCUACCUCAGUUCCGAUAUAUGUAGCAUGCAUUAUAUAACUUUAACAAAAGGGAUCCAUCCCGAUGACAAGAUUUAUUUCUUAGGCAAUGAUAUCAUCACUCUACAUAUGCUCACAUCCUCAAGAAAAGAUAAUAUAUGAUGGCAGAUCGUGAUUAUCAUAGCUUAUUGGAAAUACAACGUGACAGAAAUCAAGAGAGAUCGAUGGCACACUGGAUUGGAUAUCAUGAUAUCCAUUUUAUUUCUGAGUACUCCAGGGUGGCAUAGCCUACCAUGGGCUUCCAUGUGUGAAGACCCUUAUGCUUGCAUGUUGCACUUGCUUAGGAAACAACGGUGACAGUCUCAGCUUCCUUGGUACAGAAGCGGCGGCAUGCUUCGUUGCAACGAUCGACGGCAUGAUUGGCUUCUUCAUUGGCAAAAACUGAAAAGGAAAACAAACGUUUCAAUCUAUACAUUAGCUAUAUAGAACAAAGAAUAUUUAUUUUUUUGGUUGCAAAUCAAUGGUAAUUUAGCUUGAUGUUUUUUCUCGCUUACGAGUGCUCAUGGUGCUGCACACAGACGAAGCACAUCCUAGCUUGCAGAAGUCAACUACCUCCGAUUCCUCUGCAAAAUCAUGUAUAUGCAUGAAUAAAUGCUUGUACCAAUAGAUAUUACAAAAUUAAUAGCCCAAAAGUUUACACAAAGGGAGUUAAUAUGUUUUAAUUUGCCUAGGUUAGCUGGGGUGAAGGGCGUGGUGAAUGCAAGAUAGAAAUAUAGACAAGGAGACCAAGCUACUUUAUUGCAUGACACAUGUAUAUGGAUGGCUUGGUACAUGCUUACCUGCUAUCGUCCAGCGAAAUAUAGAAGACCGAGUGUGUACCGUGUUCUGUAGACUGCAACUGAUCCCAUUUCAUGCAAAACUUUUGCUGCCCAUGUGGUGAACGUGAUGAGAAAUAGAAGCUUAAUCACAUGGCAUCUUCUGCCUUACUAGCAUCUAUAGCUAGUAGUACUGGCCUGGUAGCUAGGUGGCUGUUAAAAAUUUUACUAAAAAAAAUGUCGCUACUACACAUUAGGCUAACCUAUGGGUAUAGCUGUUUACAACACCCAAAUUUUAGAAUCGGAUGUAUCCAAUCGAUAAUAGUAAUGCUGCCAGUUAAUGUUGUAUACUAGCAGUGAUUAUUUCACACACUAGCAAAUUUAAGUCGAUGGCCACUUGACAGCAACAACACACGUGGAGGACAUAUCAAAAGAAAACGGCACUAAGCUGUUGUGAAAAAAGAAACAUAUACAUUAGCACAAAUCUAACGAUACCGAUGCAGUUCAUCAUCACUUUCUGUCAUUGUAGCUAUGUCCUUACCAACAUAUAUUAUUGCCUUCUCUUGCCUCCUCUCUCUAGAUAUGUGUAGAAUCAUGUGAUGAUUUAAUCGUGGUGAUGAAAAAUUGUCAAAGGUGAGUGCUUUGUGAAAAUACGGUGAAUAGUGUUUUCGGUAGUCGGCUCUUGGUGGCUGGUCAGACCAGGCGGGGACUGCCGGUCAGACCAGUGGUGUUGGACCGGUCUAACCGGGUUGCCCAACGGUCAGAUUAGCAGACUCCAGGUAGGAGUCAGUUUCGGAUUGUUUUCGUGGGAUUUCUACAGUGCUUUAUGGAUAUGACUUCUAGAUGGUUUCUAUUCGUAUAUGAUGCUAUUGUGUGAUGGUCUGAGUGAAGUUAGUGUGAACUUGCUGCCUCCACGCCACCGGAUCUGGCGGAGGCGAGGUCCAACCCGCCACCACCGCUACACCUCUUCUCUCGCUCGAUCUGGCGGGGGGAGGGGGGGUCCGGGCCGCCGCCUCCAUGUCGUCCACCGCCGCUGCACCUCCGCUCCCCUCGAUCUAGUUGACGGGAGGGCGUCGCUACCUCUCCCGCCGCUGCCGCAGAGAGAGAGAGAGACACACAUAGAGAGAGAGAGGAGAAGCGUCGCUACCUCUCCCACCGCUGCCGCAGAGAGAGAGGAGAAGCCGAGAGAAGGGCUCGGCCUUAUCUCCUGCCGGUGUGGGUGUGGGCCCCAUCUGGAGGAAAAAUAUCUCCCCUGGCUGGUUCGGCUCGAUUUUAUCAGUUUCGGUUUUUUUAAAAACCGGCACUUAUAAUUAAUUAUAGGUGAACCGACACCUAAAAUAUAGGUGCCGGUUUUUUUGUAAAACUGACACCUAUCUUCAUUUAAAGGUGUUAGUUUUAUUUUUUUUUUCAUUUUAUGAAGGUGGGAAAAGCACUAUAGGUGCCGGUUUAAUCACUUCCGUUACCUAUAAUGGCAACACCUAUUUGAUAUUUUGUACGAGUGACUAUGAGUAUUGUUAAGUCAGAUUUGACACCACAUAUGCUUUAAUUUUUUUUAAUAAAACCACUCGGCUGGUUGAUUUAUUUGCUCUUUGACUAUAUGUUUAGUUUGUUCAUCUAAUCACAUAGUUGGGGUUACACCUAAUUAGCUGCAUCUAGUCGAUGCCACUGACGCCCUCCUUUCCUCCAACUAGAUCAAGGACAGGGAGGGAAAGGGAGUGCAGCCGCCGCCAGCUUCCGCCCCUUUGGCCAGAUUAGGAAGAGAGUGGAGGGGCUGUGGUGGAAAGGGAAGUGGAAAAGGUGAGGGAGAGAGCUGAGACGGGUGAGGGGCUGAGAGGUCGAGCAGUUAGGGUGUGGGAGGGGCAAGGUGCGCUCGUUGGUUGUGAUCCAAUUUUUUUAAGCCGCUCCUAUAUUUACUGGCGAACGUCUUAAGUCCUCGCCUGCAAAAAAAUGUUAAAUUACUGGCAAGGUCUAAAGAGGACCACAUGCGAAAAUUACUGCACAUGCGAAAAUUACUGGCAAGGACUUGAGAAGCCAGAAUACAGUGUAGCUCAUGAGCUGGUCAGUGAUGACCAGAGUUGAGGUAGAGGAUAAUUAAGUAGACCCCUCCAUAAACUAAUUGCUGGAAUAGACCCUUUUUGGCAUCAACCUCAUUGGCGCCCUUCCUCUCUUGCAGCACCAGCAUCAUUACCACUAUCCGAAUAGGACUUAGUCACGCGCGCCCUCCCUCCUUCCCCCCAGUCCGUGCCCGAAUAGGAGCAGUUCUCCCUUCCCUCUCCUCUCCUCCUCAAUUCCAGUCGAUUUGGACCUAUUUUUCUUGGAAUUUCUCAUGGAAGUUGAAGAGCAGCAUAUACUACACCAUUCCUCUUUUUUUUCGGUUUAAUUGGUCAAAUAUUUAGAGAUCAGAGAGUAACCCUAAAAACUUCGUUUUCCCCCCAAAUUUGAGGCCUCCCAAUGUGGGAUUUUAGGCUUGUAUUGGUUCUUGUAUGUAACUUGCUUCAAGCUCUUAGAAUUUUUCAGAUAUAUAGGUGUUAUUCAAAAUUUUAAGUUGAAAAAUGAAUGCAUGAAUAUAUGCAUAAAUUAAUUUAUAGGCAUUCAAUUGAUGGUAUGUGUUAGUUUAUUGGUGUGUAUUGAUAAUAGAUUUGAGCCAUGGAUAUUUCAUUUUCAUAGGUAUUUAUUAUAUGGAUGAUAGACUAAUUUUGUGGGAUGAUACACUAAUGGUGUACAAACCAUACAAUUAGGUUCGUCAGUAUAUCAGAGUCGGUCGGCACGUGAUAGGUCAAUGAUCGAAUGGUACGUAGAGUGAUCUCGCUGCAUGUGAUUGUGAUCAGAUAAGUACUAUCAGCUGAGUGAUGUAAAGAAUAGACUAAUUAAAUUAUAUUAUAAAAAUAUCUAAGUAUUAGCUCUCUGAUAGAUGAUAAUAUAAUCUGUGUAUGCAUAUCUCGUGCAUAUAUAUUAUAACCUAUACAAAUUUGCUUCCUUGGAUGGAUAUAAUGCAGAAACAUUCAGGCAUGCGGACCAUGCUUAUUGCACUAGCUUGUACAGUUGCACCUAUACCUAUUGUCAGAACAAGCAUGGUGAAGUUAGGUGAUCUAGCUAGUAAGGAAGUAGCACCUAUACCUCUCCUCCUCAAAUCCAGUCGAUUUGGACCAAUUUUUCUCGGAAUUUCUCAUGGAAGUUGAAGAGCAGUAUAUACUAGACCAUUCCUCUUUUUUUUCGAUUUAAUUGGUCAAAUUUAGAGAUUGGAGAGUAACCCUAAAAACUUCUUUUUUUUCCCUAAAUUUAGGCCUCCCAAUGUGGGAUUUUAGGCUUGUAUUGGUUCUUGUAUGUAAUGUGCUUCUAGCUCUUAGAAUUUUUCAGAUAUAUAGGUGUUAUUAAAAAUUUUAAGUUGAAAAACGAAUGCAUGAAUAUAUGCAUAAAUUAAUUUAUAGGCAUUCAAUUGAAGGUAUGCUAGUUUAUUGUUGUGUAUGGAUAAUAAAUUUGAGCCAAGGAUUUUUCAUUUUUAUAGGUAUUUAUUAGAUGGAUGAUAGACUAAUUUUGUGGGGUGAUCGACUAAUGGUGUACAAAACAUACAAUUUGGUUCAUUAGUUUAUCAGUUGGUCGGCACGUGAUAGGUCAAUAUUCGAAUGGUACGUAGAGUGAUCUCGCCGCAUGUGAUUGUGAUCGGAUAUGUACUAUCAGCUGAGUGAUGUAAAGAAUAGACUAAUUAAAUUCCAGUAUAAAAAUAUCUAAGUGCUAGCUCUCUGAUCGAUGAUAAUAUAAUAUGUGUAUGCAUAUCUCGUGCAUAUAUAUUAUCACCUAUACAAAUUUGCUUCCUUGGAUUAUGUAGAUGGAUAUAAUGCAGGGACAUGCAGGCAUGCGGACCAUGCUUAUUGCACUAGCUUGUACAGUUGCACCUAUACCUAUUGUCAGAACAAACAUGGUGAAGUGAGGUCUAGCUAGUAAGGAAGUAGCAACUAAUAGUUCUGCAUUGUACUGGUCGUUGUAGCCCAUGUAACGACCGCUGCCCCACUCUUUGGUUUUACCCCGAUUUAUGUUAACAAAAUUUUAAAAUACUUAAUGUGAAAUUUUUUUAUAUAGAAGUUGUUUAAAAAUAUUAGAUAAAUCUAUUUCUAUCUUUGUAAUAAUUGUAACUCAAUUAAUCAUGCUAGCCGUUUGGAAAUAUCUACGCACUUUAACCCUUUUUUUUGUGUGUGUGUUUUAGAAUUAUAAAGUUACAUAUAAAUUAUUCGAGCCCAAUUUCAUACUUGCACUAAACCCCUAAAAAACCGUAAACAUAUAUAUUUCCUAUAAAAGACAUAAUAUGAUCCUCGGCGUCCCAAGGUGUCUUGGUUGGCUCCGUCAAUGCACUAACUCGACGAAACCAACAUGGCACCUAGAGCACCUCAUAUUCUGUGAUGAUUUAAUAACCUAGGAACUAAAUCCAUAUAUAAAUGAAUAAUUAUAAAAAAAAUUACAUAUAUACCACAUAUCCUAAGUCCAGAAAAUCACAAAAUUGACAUAUAAAAAAAUUGCAUCUACAUUUUUUAAUAAAGAUUGACAUCGCACAAAAUUGACAAAUUGUCAUUUCACAAAUUUCACAAAUAUCACCCUAAGUCCCAAAUUUCACAUAUCACAAAUUGCACAUAUCACAAAUUUUCACAAAAAACCUAAAACACGCUUACCGCUAGCGGCUUGGGGUGGAGGUGGCCGGCGGUGGAUUUUGGGGAAGCCGGCAGCUUGGGAAGGAGGUGGCCGGCGGCAGAGGUCGGUAAGGCCAGCGGCUUGGGGAGGAGCUCGGCGGCGGCAAAGGUUGGGGAGGCUGGUUGUUUCGGGAGGACGACGGCCGCGGUGGAGGUCGGGGAGGCCGGCGUGAGGGCGAGGAGGAGAGGAGGCGGCAGCGGCCCAGAUCUUGAUGGCGAGAGGAGGAGAGGAGUAGAGGAGAAGGCAGCGGUGGUGGCCAGAGAGGACGUCGCCAGCAUGAAGGGCGAGGAGGAGAGGAGCCGGCGGCAGAGGUGGAGGCUGGUGAGGCCAGGAGGCCACCGGCGGCGUUUGGGGCUCAGCGAGGAGGCGGCGGCAGCGGCGGCAAACAACUGGGCAGCGUCAGUGGUAAUUUCACCCGCCCGCCCGGUGCUUAUGUAACCAUAUUAUCGCCUGCGGGUAAUCGAUAUUCCCAUGCGGGCGGUUUAAGUUGCCCGCACGGGAUGAUAUUAUUUCGUGCGGACGGCUUAAGCCACCCGCACGCAAAAAUAAAUGCAGAUAAAUUAAUAAAUCCCAUCUAAAUAUAGUUAAUUAAUCAAUAUAAUUAUUCAACCACAAAUUAAAUAUAGUUAUAGUUAAUUAAACCCAUAAAUUAUUUAACUAUAAUUCUUUAACUAUAACUAAAUAGGGUUAUAGUUAAUAAACCACAACUUAAUUAAUUAAUCAAUAUAAUUAUUCAUCCAUAUGAUUAAUGCCAACAAAUUAUUCAACCAUAGAAAUAUAAUUAUUUAACCACAAAUGAAUUUCAAUCGCAUCUAAUUAAAUCGCUUGUAUAUUGAUCAAACCACAUCUUAAUUAUUCAACCAUAUAAAUUGAGAACGACAUAUAGUACAGAUAAACAUGGAACCAUAAGUUUUAUACAUUAAUCGUUUGAAGGGGCUAUAAGUUGGAUACAUUAAUCGUUUUCAAAAAAGGUUGUACACAACAACAUAUAUAUAUAUAUAUAUAUAUAUAUAUAUAUAUAUAUACACACACUAAUGUUUCACAAUUUUCGCAGCACCAUCCUUCCGCACAGACGAAAACUUCUCUUCGUCAAGGGUUGUCUCAAUUCGCUUGAUCUGGUUAGGAAUAUCUGUGAAUAAUGGGACGUCGUCAUAUUGGUUGUAAUCUGACACGUCUUUAGUGUUAUCGAUGCCAAUAAUGUGUUGCUUUCCCACUACAGUAAUGUCCAUCCGCUCGUUGGAUGGGUCCUUCACAUAGAAAACCUGUCCAACAUAUUCAGCGAGAACGCAUGGAUCAUCCUUGUGGCUUAGUUUACUACAUUCCACAACCGUAAGGCCGUAGUAAUCGAUGGAUACGCCUGUUGUGUCUUUGACUCACUGGCAUCAUAGCACCGGGACCUGGAUGUUAAUGCCAUAGUCAAGCUCCCAAAUGUCUUGUAUUAUCCAUAGUAUGACUUCUUCUCGCCUAUUGCGUCCAACGCCUCCACACGAACUCCACUAUUAUGAGCUGCGCUUUUCUUGUUCUUGCCUAUCGUGUAAAACGUAUAUCCGCCGAUGUCGUACCAUUGCCAUGAGUUCAUGAGGCUACUUGGGCCAGUUGCCAACCUGUGCAAGCGAUUCACCGAACGACAUGUUUUUUCCUUCAACCAUUCAGGAAAUUUGCGCUUUUGUUCCUUUGAGAUCCAAGUCGCCGGUCUUCUAGGGUUGCAUGCUCUUAUCUCGUUCAUGUGUCCCUCAAUGUAUGGCUCGAGGAUGGCUAGUUGUUGUGGCACGCUGCUAAAAGCUUCCGCUACAGCUUUGUAGUCAUUAUCAUAGAACCUUUUCUUGCCUACGGUCCACUUCCCAAGUAACCGACCCUCAUGUACAACGGGGGUUAUAACAAUGGGUGUGGCGUCUUUCACGUAAUCUAUAUAGCAUUCAACCAGCCACCUCCUCAGUUGUGUACCCCAUUAUCAUUGAUCCCUUCUGAUGAGCUGGGUUACAGACAUACCCUUUCAGAACCGACAUGUACCUCUUAGACGCCCACACUGUCUCGGUUGCCAAUGUUUGAAGUGGGCCUAACUCUUCAGGAUCAAAAACGUUUUGUGACAUGUGAGACAUAGAAAGCAUCGGCUUGGCUUGGAGGUGGUUUCCUUUUUUUAAAAAAAAAAUCAGGGAGAGCACAAAGGUACCGGUUCUAUAACUGACACUAAUAACCUAGUGUCACUAGUGCCAACCAAUUGGUGCCGGCUGGGAAACCGACACCAAUUGGUUCCUAACUGACACCUAUAUGGGUUUUUUGUACCAGUGGCCAUCAUCAAUGAGGAGAUUGAGUAUACAGUUGACCCGAUUAAGGAUCAUAAUCAAGGCAAGUGUCCCCCCUCCCUUUGAAUAUAUUGAACCUCAUGUUUUCGGCAAACAUGUUGUUUUACAAAAUCUGCACAUAUUCGAACGAUAGGAAUGAUUAGAAUACCUUGUUUGUACUCAAAUGGAUCUACUUAUCUUUUUAUUUAUACCAAAUGCUUUUCCUUGCUUGAUAUGUUUAUCAUGGAUAUGGAUCCUACUUAUCCAUGUUGUUUUGAACACAUUUAAACUUAUUUCCAUAGAUAAGACAUGGAGAAUUACCAUAGUUGGCCUGGCAAGAAACUUGCAACUACUAUGUGCACCACAGUUACACACCUACAAAUAUGCCACCAGACACGCUCAAAUGACUGCAGCGCCUGCAUCACUGAUUUUCCCCCUUAUUUUAGAUUCAAUACGGUACUUGGGCUUCGAUCUUAAUUCCUGCCUAGUCUAGCUAGCUGAACCACAGAUAUAGUAUCUGGUCAAUAAUUAUUAUGUGCAUGCAUAUCUCAUGUUAAUUAACUCUCUCUGGAUCGAUGCCUAUUGUCACCUUAAUAUAUAUAUAUAUAUAUAUAUAUAUAUAUAUAUAUAUAUAUAUAUAUAUAUAUAUAUAUAUAUAUAUAUAUAUAUAUAUAUAUAUUGCUGAACAGGGAGUACGUGGAUGGACAAAAGAGCACACCAUAUGCAUAUCAUAUGCAUGGCACGUAAGCCAUGCGGACUGCAUUCUCGGGAUGGAUGCAUGGUUCAGAAUGAACUUAAAAAACUCGUACGCAUGAUCCUUGGUGAUUUGGUGGUAUCUCCAAUGUGUGAGAGGCCUAUCAGAAGCCUACUCUCGGUGCGGAAAUUAGCAUUAUAUAUAGUAUGCUAUUUUUUACAAGUUCAAUUUUAUCAAAGUUUAUUUUUUUCUCCUAGAAUCACCAGUAGAGAAACGAUUUUUCCGUGCGGUUAAAAGUGAUUUUCGCGUGUGGAUGUUCCAACCGUCUGGAACCAAGGGUCUGUAAAAUUUUUGCGUGAGGGUGGCGCACCCACACGCAAAAAUCUAAUUUUCGCGUGCGGAGUGGGUAUGUCGCCCGCAGGCAAAAAUAAAAAACCGAAAAAUAUAAAAUCCAGAAAAGAAAACCCCAACCCUAAAGCUGUGGUCGCCGCCUCCUCGCGGUCGCCGUCGCCGUCACCGCCGCGGUAGUGGAUCCGGAGCCUCCGCACUGUCCGGGCCGGUAACGGCCACCGCCGCACGCACUAGCCGCCGAGCUCCCCGCUCCCGCCAGCUGUUCCCGCUUGCAGCCCCCGGGCGAUGCCACGCGCAUGCCGCCGAGGCCGCCGGAUCCGGGCGGGGGACGACCGCUGCCGCCAGAAUCGGGUGAGGGGAAACUGCCUCCGCUGGAUCCGGGUGGGGGACGGUCGUCCGCCGCGCGCACGCGCCGCCGAGACGCCGCUCCCGGUUGCCCACCGCCGCGCCUUGGUGCUCGCCGCUCUCGGUCGCUGACGCACGCAUGCCACCGAGGCCGCCGCCAAGUGAGGCGGUGCAGCCGGCCGCCGCCGGCCGUGCCCAGGAGAGAAGAGAGAGGUGAGAGAGUGAGAAAGGAUAGAGAAGUGAGAGCGUAAGAGAGAGAGUGUUGGUAUUUCUUACGACCACAGAUAAAUUUGCAAGCACACGGAAUACCGCUGUAGCACUUCACCUUCGAGUGACCCCAAAAGGAUAUCGAACUCAAGGAACGUGUGUAAUCUAUCUAAGGUUAAGACGAUCCAAGGACAACAACUAUAGGUAGGCAGGCUAGAGAGGACAUUCUAUGUGCUUUAAUUAUCUACGCUAAGCAAGGUAAUUCCCUAUCUAUUGCUUCGGGCACCGACCCCUGCUGGUCUGCCAGCGUGGUUCCGGCUAUAGCUCUAUGAUGUAUUCGAACCUGGUGGAUUACUAGAACGGAAUUCAGGACUAUCACCACCUGCCGCCUACCUUUGACAAAUCCGUGGGAUACACAACUAACAAUGGUUAUCUCUAACAUAGACACCACGCCUAAGUUAUUAAUUACUACUCUAAUACUAGCGCAGGAACAUCCUUCUCUAUCCGGAGUCCUAGCACUAGAGCACUUAGUAUAAAUACUAAAUAAUGAACCUGCAAAGAUGGAAAUAUAACUUACUUAGACUAAAUAAUUAAAUAACAAAAGAAAGAAACACGAAUGUUUACUUAAUAGAAGAAGUUCUCUGAACCCGGAGCAGAGUGUACCGACAGCUCCGGUACUCCUCCCGAAUUCCUCCUACGAAGCUACACUCGUUGACGUAGAAGUCGGAUGAGCGCCAAACUUCCGGGCACUCCUCCAGAGCUUCCCAUCACUCUCAAUCUUAUUCUAAUGUACAAAAGAUACAAUAGAGCCUCUUGUAAUUUAGCUCAAAGUUGUGUGUCGGAAAUAAGAGUGAACUACUCCUUAUAUAGGCAGGUAUGACGGUUACGGCCUAUGCGAAAUGACCAAACUACCCUGGAACAGCCAUCAGGAAGUAAUCAGGGCCGUCCACACAAAAUUUGGCGAUCAACGGCCACCAAAAGGGUUCGGCCGAACUGGUAACCCGGGACGGCUCCGUUCGGCCCGUUUUUCCAUCAUGGACACUAAUUUUGAGGCCCUCAGCCCAUUGGCAUGAUAGUUGGGCCCGUUUGGAGUUGUUUAAUUGACUUAUGGGGCCUCCAAUCCGUGUAAACGCGUCCUGAAUGCGCGGAGGUGCAUUUUGUCGCAUGACGGAUGUGUUUUCUCCUCAAAAUACCUGCAUAUACAUGUUUCACCAACACUAGUGGAAAUGAUUAGUAAUAAUACCUACCACUAAGUUGGAUACCAUAUUUUAUUUCAUUAUAUGCAAGUAUUGACGGUCAAAUAUUAUGAUUUUUGGAUCGUCAACAACACCCCCACACUUAACCUUUGCUCGUCCCGAGUGAAGGCUAAGGACUCUACAACAGAGUUAUAACUUCCUUACUAAUAAUCAUGCAAACAAAUUAUUCAAAGCCAUACAUGUACUUGUGAGUCUUUGUAGUGUCUACCAUGCGAUCCUGAGCAAUUGAGAAAUGGAACAAUCUCAUGGAACAUCAGGCGGGCGUGCUUGGCGUCUGCGGCCCUGCAUGGCAUUGCCUCUACCCACUUGGACACAUAGUCAACGGCCACCAGGAUAUACUUGCAAUCAUAGGACUUUGGGAAAGGUCCCAUGAAACUGAUGCCCCAUACAUCAAAUAACUCGACUUGAAGGUUGUAUGUAAGUGGCAUCGCAUCGCGAGCAGUGAUUCCUCCAUGCUUCUGGCAACUUGUGCAUCUCCGAAAGAAUUCCUUUGUGUCAUCGUACAUUGUUGGCCAAAAGAAUCCGCUCUGCCAGAUCUUUGCGUGUGUUCUGAAUGCUCCAUAGUGACCUCCAUAUGGGGCAGCAUGACACUUCUCAAUGAUCUUCAUGCCUUUAUCUACCGGAACGCAUCUUCGUAGUAGACCGUCUGAACAGACUCUGUACAGGUAAGGUGCAUACCACAAGUGUCCGCGGCUCUUGUAGAUCAACCUCUUCUUAUUUUCUCCCGGGGGUACAUGCCCCACGACCAUGAAGUUGACGAUGGUUGCAUACCAUGAGUCAGAGUCUAUGACUUUCAACAGCAUGUCGUCUCGCAGAUAGUCAUUUAUCGGUAGCUCGUGCAUGUUAGUGAUUUGCAUACGCGACAAAUGAUCUGCAAUAGAAUUCUCUACUCUUUUUUUAUCCUUAAUCUCUAUGUCAAACUCUUGGAGCAGAAGAAUCCACUUAAUCAGCCGACGUUUUGAAUCUUUUUUAGUGAGCAAGUAUUUUAGUGCAGCAUGGUCAGUGUAAACAAUUACCUUAGCUCCCACUAAAUAAGACCUGAAUUUAUCAAUGGCAAACACUAUGGCUAGGAGCUCUUUUUCAGUUGUGGCAUAGUUAAGCUGAGCUCCAGUCAAUGUUUUACUAGCAUAUGCAAUAGCUGAGCUCCAAUGCCUUCGGUCGAUGGUGAAAGAGGUGUUUCCGUCAGUAGACUGGGCAAAUGAGGUGGCGGCCGGCCUUGCUCUUGCAACCGCGAAGCCAAUGGCGCAAGCAGUGAGCCGCGGCAUUGGUUGAAGCGGUGGUGGCGGGCGGCUAGAGGCGGCGAAUUGCGGUGGUGGUUCGGGUUGGCAAUGGGGUGGUGGUUCUGGCGAUGGAAUGGGGAAACGGAGCUGAGGCCGGGGUGCGGCACCACGCGGCGAAGUUGGCGGUGGCAGUGGCGCAGCACGGCGACGGCGGGAGCGGUGGCAGCACAUGGUUAGAGGGCUCCGGAGAGUGGUGGCACACGGUUCAGCGUGGGGACCACGGUAGGGGCAUGGUGAGCUCGGGAAAUUGGGGAAAAAGGAGGGAGGAGGUCGAGGGCGGCAUUUAUAGGGUCGGGGAGGGCACGACAGUGGUGGGGAGAGGUGGGGCACUGGCGACGGGGUAGAGCGUUGACUUUGGCGAAGUGGUGGUGCUUCGGCGCCGAUUUUGCAGGGAGGAGUGGGGGAGGAGAGGAGGGAAAGUGGGCGACGAGGUCCCACGGUCGGGUGCGGCCGCGCGAAGUGAAGGAGGUGGGUAGGGUGGCGCGGGAUUGGUGGCGAUGUGGGGUGGAUGCCAUGGCGGCUGGAGGUUGGGGAUGGGGCUGACAGGUGGGGCCACGGGUCCACCUGUCGGCGAGGGAAAGAGAGAGGAGAUGGGAGACGGAGGCAAAAAAGACUUUAGGGGAAGGAGGCCGAGCGGGGCGAGGGAGAGGGGCCGGCCCAAGAGGAGAAGGGAGGAGAGAGGCAUGGCUGGAGUGGAAAAAGGGGAAAAGGAGGGGGAUUGGGCCGGGAGUGGCCGAAAGACAAAGAGGGGAAACUUAGUUCCCUCAAUAAUGUCACAUGAUUAAAUUGCUUUAACUUUUAUUUAAUUCCUAAAAAAUGCAUUAUUUAAUGAUUUUUAAUCCUGAACGAAAAUAGGGGCGUUACACUAGAGUACAUGGAACAGGUACCACUGAUGUUAGAAACCGAAAAGCUUUGUCAUGACAAGGCUAAUGUGUUUGGCAAGCGCACAUCUACUGCAGUAUGAGUAUCCUUUAAACUAUUCGAAUAGCCGUGCUCGUUGUUAUCGCACAUCGGGACUCACUAUGGCAUCUUGGUUAGAAACCUAAUUCAAGAUUUUAUUAAAUACUGACACAUUUCAAACAUCACAGGCUUUCUUCUUCUACAUUCUCUGCUUUCUACAACUUAAUAUAGCCCUACUCAAUUACUAUUAUUUCAUGCAUUCAUUACUCAAUAUAAUAGCUUGCUGAGUACAACUCUUGCUUCAACCCCUCCUUUUCAGAGUCAAUUUGAUGUUCUUGCCGAAGCUGGGAGUUCAAUCAUAUAAGUUACUCUCAUUUCAACCUAGUUCUCAAGUCUAGAUUAGUUAGAUGGUUUAAGUCUAAGUAAAACAUUAAUGUUGAGUCCCUCUAUAGCUUCUGUUGGAUUAGUUAGCCACAAGCUUGUAAAUUCCCCUAUUAUUUUAUGUAAAGAAAUCCCCUUUGGAGCCUUGUUCAACUGUAUGCAAUAAAGAUCCAGAUUGUUACCUGUAUCAAUCAAUCGAUCUAGGGCUUGAUAAAGUCUAAACAUACUGAUUUUCGAAUCAUUAGUUUUCACUUUAAGAAUCUAUUUUAUCUAUGACAAAAAAAAUUCAUCAUGGAUCACUGAAAAUUCGUCAUAGAAAUUUGUCUGUGACGAUUCUACUUACCAUCAUCUAUUGAGCGUCACAGAUUAAAUCUGCCGAUGUUUUCUCCGAAAUCGUCACGGAUCAGUACAAUCUAUGACGUUUUUUAACCGUCAUAAAACGUUUUUGGGCUCGUGUAGUCCAGCCAGGCCCGACCUUACGUCACAUAUGGUUGCCACAUGGUGGCCAACAUGGCAGGUGACGUGGUCAUUGACACAUGUGUGAUGACGUGUCACUCAUGACGUAGCAGCUAACGUCAGCAAAUAUUUUCAAACGUCCCAUUAUUUUUUUGACGACCCAUUAAUUUUUUUACAGCCCAUUAAUUUUUUACAUUGGUCCAUUAAUUAUUUAACAGCGGCCCAUUAUUUUUUAGAACUAGCCCAUUUUAAAAUAGGUUCAUUUUAGAACUAGGCCCAAUUCAAAACUGGCCCAUAUUUUCAACGAACUAUCAGUUCAAAGCCCACUAAACGGGCCCAUUAAAUUUGAGCCCACCAAAUUCAAUCCAAUUUUUCAUACCAUCUCAGAUUCAAACCUAAUAAUAGAUACCAUCUCAGAUUCAACUAAUAACAUAACAGAUACAAUCAGAAUUAGGGCUAUCAAAAAAGCUCGAGGCUCGUGAGCAGCUCGAGCUUGGCUCGUCCUAGACUCGAUUUGAGCUCGGCCCGAGCACCAAACGAGCUGAACCCAAGCCUGAGCAAAAGCUUGCGAGCUUUACCGAGCCGAGCUCGAGCUUCUACCGAGCCUGGCCGAGCUUGACUGUGUAUAGUUUAUAUUGCAUGUUCACCUCUUUAAUAUAAUAAACUAAUAGAUAAAUAUAUAUAUAUAUAUAUAAUGUGUGUGUGUGUAUGUAUCUAUUUACACAAUAAAUUAGCAUGUGUUAGCACAAUAUAUUUAUUUUAAUCAUUUUUUACUCUUUUAUUAGUGUGAUUAGCUAGAAAAUAAUUAUACUUAUCAACAGAUUAUUAUUAAAAUAUAUAUUAUACUAGUUAUGGCCGAGCUCCGUAACCGAGCUCGAGCUCAAACCGAGCUUGCCUAAAAGCUCGAAGGUGCAAUAUGCUCGACUCGAGCAUGUGUCGAGCUCAAACUUGGGCAGAUGAGCUCGCUCGAGCUCGGCUCAUUGACAGCCCUAAUCAGAAUACAACAGUAUUCAAACAAUAGUUCAUCUCAGGUUCAACCUAAUACUAGAGUCUCACAUACUCUGCUUCCAGAAUCAAACAAUAGUUACACAACAAGCAACAAAAUGUAUGGUUCAAUUAAAAGAAUCUUACAUCACCCAUGGAAUAAUGCAUAGCAAGUCCAUGUUCAACCAUAUGCACUCCGUUAAGCCAAAUAUUCACCUGCAAUGGGUCCAUAAAGAACUCAAUGGAUUACGAAGAAAAGGUGAAUGGGGAUAUCAAAUAUUUCAAAAUCCAACUAAAAGGGAAAGCUGGACACCGACCAGCGUGACCAAUAAGGUAAAUAAAAGGAGGCAACAACAUUAGGAUGGAAGCCAACAUGUACUUUUGGGGUUGCAACUGCCUGACAUAUUCAUGGUAAGCAAAUACAUAUUUGUCUAAAUCCAACUCCAAUGUUUCAAAGUGCACAAUAACUAUUUUUAGACGGAAGCAAUACUGAAACAUUUAUAAAGUGUAAUAGUACCAUAAUAUCUAUGAUCACUAUAACUAUUACUCUAUAAAAACAUAACAAGUUGUAUAAGAGCCUGCUCAUUUCUUUGAACUACAAGUUGUAUCUGCAUCAGAAGGAAAUACAUCAUAUAAGUUCCAGUAUCAAAUAACGUUCUAGCGAUGCCUAGUAUGUAACUUAUCACGACUAAUGGUAUCAUCUGAAAAAUUAAAAGAUGGGUCAAGGGCAGCAGCAUACAUGUAAUGUACCAAAAUAAGUAACAAAAAAAUGGCACUUUUUUCAUGAGUUCUAUUAAUAUAAAGAAAUAUGGAGCAGAGAACUUCUAGUAAUAGAGUUUAAGCAUACUUAGAAACUGAUCAUCAGAAUGUAUGUGUGUUUUUGGACAUUGGGCACUGCACCUUGUUGGAAAAACAUAGUAUUUUCCUGGAAGAAAAAUCGCCAUGCUGCAACUUUACAUAGGUCUUUAAUGCAGAAAAGCAAGACAACAGAUUUAAUCAAGGAAUUGGCACAUCAAGUCCAAUACGUAUUUGUGUAAUAUUUUUCCUUUAGAAGUUCAGGCUGUAACAUUUACCCAAAGAACACACAAACAAAGGAGUAAUUAAUUGUUGGAAGAAGAGUAGCAAUUCCCCUUUAACAUACAUAAAGAAAGUUCCCCUUUUAGUUUUUCUUACUAAAAGGAUAAACAUACACAAAGAAAGUUCCCCUUUAAAUCAAGAAAAGGUUUCGUUAAGAUAGUUAUGGAAACAUAUUCCCCUUUAGUCCAUGUUUUCGCUUUCGGACAAGUAAUCUACUCUUACGCCCAAGAAAGUUCACCUAUGCUAACAAAUUCCUUGUCCCCGUAGUAAAUUUAUUCAUGGAAUUCAGUUUGCUAAUGUUUUUUUGCACUAGUUUAGUUAGAGUUAUGUUUAUAAGCGGUGCAGCCAGGUGGCAAAUUAAUUGUCAAAAUUGCUAGAGCAAUUAAAGUUGUCAAUUGAAUACUAGUUUUGUUCUGUUUUGCACUUAAUAUAGCUGAUCACAGUUUAAAAUGCCGCUGCACUUAACAAUAGGUACAGAUCUUGAACCCACAAAAUCCAUAUAAAAUGGUUUGGAUUGUAGGUAAGCAUAAUGUUUGUAUUUUGCUAAUUAUUCAGAACAUUCAUAACAAGAUGCUAGUAAAAUAACUCAUUCAGUUAGCCAAAAGAUUCAGGAACAAUUUAGCACAGAUUUCAACAAGCAAAAGAACUCCAUCCAACUCAUGCCUUCAGUAGAAUAAAACUGCGCUCAGGAUCAGCAAGCAGCUAUGUAAAAAAAUGUAGAAAAUCUAAGAGAAAAAGGAAAUAUAAACCUUCCUGUCCUCAGCGGUUGCGCUCCGGUGGAAGGGGCCGGUUGAACCCGCCACGGCGGUUCAUGUAGUGCCAUGGCUGCCGCUUGGUGACAACGCGCACCCCACUAACAUCGGCGUCAGGGACGUGCUUCCCCUUGGUGGAGUCGAAGCCGACGGGGAUCCCCAUCAUCUUCAUCAUCUCCAGCUCCUCCACGUACACGUCCCCUUCGCCCGCCGCGACCCCAUCCCCGGCAGCACUCUGAGCAGGACGAGGCCCGCGUCGCCAACCACAUGUCGACGUCGUCGGGGUUGCCGCCGCCGCCACCACCCGCGUUGUCGUCGUCGUCGGGGAUGGAGCCGCCGCCGGAUCCGCGCGAGGGAGGGCCCCCUGCGCCGGAUCCGCGCCGCUCGGCCGUCGCUCGUCGCCCGCUCCCAUCUGGCGCCGCUCGCUCCCAGCCGCGAUCUGCCGCCACCCUCGCCUGGCCGCCACGGUGCCGCUGAGCCCCCCGGCCGCCGUCGCUUGCCGCCGCUUGCUCCCGGCCACCGAGCCGCCCGACCAUUGCCCGACUGAGAGGAGAGAAAGGAAGAGAUUGAGAGGACAGGAAAUGAAAAAAGAGAGGGAGUUAAUAUCUGUUGGGAGAGAGAGAGAGGAGGGGUGGUGAAAAAAAUUUGAAGCAAGGAGGAGCGAAAGAGAAAGAGGAGGAAAAUAAUUAUUAAAAAUAUUAAUUUGAUAAUAAAUGAACUUCGAGUUGAAUUUUAAGAUACUAAAUGAACUUACGUGAAAAAGUUCUUAAAAACAAAGUUAUAUAAAUCAUUGAGAUCUACAACUUUUCUUUUGGACAUUUCUCCAUCCGAGUUUGAUUGAACUACAUAAAAUUUGAAUUUUAAAAUAUAAGAAAUUCAAAUAUUUUUUCAGGUAGUAAAUGAAUUCAAAUGAAAAAGUCAUCAACAACAAAGUUGUAUAGCUUAUCAAGAUCUACAACUUUUGUAUUGGUCAAUUUUCUAUAUGAUUUUAUUUGAACAGUUUAAAUUUGAAUUUCAAAUUAUGACAACUUCAAAACAAAAUAUGACUUUGUUUUGGUCAUUUCUUUAUUUGACAAAGUAAUAGUAACACUGUUCACAAAAUUUACAUAUCUCUAUUAUAGUUUAUAAACUAUAUAAGAGAUACGUAUAUUUUGUGAACAAUGUUAUAAAUCGCUUCGUCAGAUGAAGAGAUGACACAAAUAAAAAUUAUAGAUUUUGAUGAGAUAUACGACUUUGUUAUUGAUGACUUUUUCAGUUGAAAUCAUUUAAUAUUUGAAAAUGUUGUUUGAAGUUGUCAUAAUUUGAAAUUCAAAUUCAAAUUAUUGAAACAAAGUCAUAUAGCAAAAUGACCAAAACAAAAGUUGUUGAUAUUGAUGAGUUAUACAACUUUGUUGUCAAUAACUUUUUCAAUUGAAAUUAUUUAGUAUUUAAAAAUGUUAUUUAAAGUUGUCAUAAUUUGAAAUUCAAAUUUUAUAUAGGUCAAUCAAACUCAGAUGGAGAAAUAACCAAAACAAAAUAGGUAGAUCUCAAUAAGUUAUACAACUUUGUUUUUGACAACUUUUUCACACAAGUUCAUUUAGUAUGAUAAAACUCGAUUCUAAGUUUUAAUAUUUUGAAAUUAAUUGAAAGGAUGGAGGCAAAAUAGACUUCUCGGUGAGGGAAGAGCAAAAGGGCUGGCCCAUAACAGGUCUUGUUUCAUACCAUCUAUGUUUAACCUUUUUUUUUCUUUUACUUUUUUUACCAUUGUGAAGUAACACACAAAAAUCGAGAUCUACCAAUUUUGUUUUGGUUAUUUGUCCAUCUGAGUUUGAUUAGCCUAUAUAAUAUUUGAAUUUCAAAUUAUGACAACUUCAAACAACAUUUUCAAAUACUACAUGAUUUCAACUCAAAAGGUCAUCAACAACAAAGUUGUAUAAAUCAUCAAUAUCUACAACUUUUAUUUUGAUCAUUUUUCUAUACGACUCUGUUUCAAUAAUUUGAAUUUCAAUUUCAAAUUAUGACAACUUCAAACAACAUUUUAGAAUACUAAAUGAUUUCAACUAAAAAAGUCAUCAACAACAAAGUUGUAUAAAUCAUCAAUAUCUACAACUUUUAUUUUGGUCAUUUCGCUAUAUGAUUCUAUUUCAAUAAUUUUAAUUCGAAUUUCAAAUUAUGACAACUUCAAACAACAUUUUCUAAUACUAAAUGAUUUCAACUGAAAAAGUCAUCAACAACAAAGUUGUAUAAAUCAUCAUAUCCACAACUUUUGUUUUGGUCAUUUUGCUAUAGGACUCUGUUUUAAGAAUUUGAAUUUGAAUUUCAAAUUAUGACAACUUCAGAGAACAUUUUCAAAUUCUAAAUGAUUUCAAUUGAAAAAGUCAUCAACAUCAAAGUUGUAUAAAUCAUCAAUAUAUAGAACUUUUAUUUUGGUCAUUUAUUCAUCCGAUAAAGUGAUAGCAACAUUGUUCACAAAAUUUACAUAUCUCUUAUAUGGUUUUGAUGUAUUUAAUAUUAUAUUUGUAAAUUGCGACGAAAUUGCUAUAACGUCACAGGUUUUUGGCCGGUUUAUGACGAAAUCGAUAAAAUGUCAUGGUAUUAUGGGCCUUGUAUCCAUUGUUGCAUAUCCGUGACGAUCUCUGAAAACAUCACGAAAAUUUCGUCAAAUUUCGUCACAGAUUAAAUAGAUUCUUAUAGUAUUUGGGACCCUACAGUGAGGUUCCAGAAAUAAAAAAAGAGUGAUUCAAGAGAGAGUCAUCUAAGGAAUAUAGUUAGUUUGUGAAAAUAUAUGAAAAACCCAAGUGAGUAUCAGGGGAAAAGGAACGACUUGAGUCACGACCGUUUCAUUCAUCAAUCGCCCAAAAUUGUAAGAUACACACCGCAAAGUUCACAGGUACAUAUAUGGCUUAGAAUAGAUUGUAUACAUGUAUAUACCUUGAAGAAUUUUAUUCCACAAUAAUCCUUAAUGGGACGAGUAAAGAGCUAAGUGUCGGGGUUUUUUGACGGUUAUUAAUUUCCAAAUUUACGCCGUCAAUACCUGCAUAAAUAUAAAAAGAUAAAACAUUCAACAUAGUGGUAGGGUUUAAUUCUAACGAUUCCUACAGUAUUGGUGUAUAUUUGGAUGCAGGUAAUAAACCAUCAAAGUUGAGGCGAAAUAUACAUAAAGAAGGAGGAGAAUCAAACUCAUAUCCAAGCCUAUGGAGUCUUGGUCCCACAAACCUAACAAAACACCUACAAUUGGGCCCAUUCACCAUACAAGCGAACGGAGAGACUCCCUGCCAGAGCCCAGGAGGAAGUGCUGGGCCAGGGAGGCUGCCCAGGGUUCGGCCAAACAAUGCCUGGCCCAGCCCAGCCACAACCGCCUUCAGGCCAUCCCCGAUACAUGUCAAUCUCUACUACCAUAUUGAAUAACUCACACGACACGCGGACACUUGUUCCAGUAAUCCAUGCCAAGUCCAUGUAUUGUUUUCUUCUGCAACCAGAUGCAACGAAUUUGGAUGCAGGUAAUAAACCAUCAAAGUUGAGGCGAAAUAUACAUAAAGAAGGAGGAGAAUCAAACUCAUAUCCAAGCCUAUGGAGUCUUGGUCCCACAAACCUAACAAAACACCUACAAUUGGGCCCAUUCACCAUACAAGCGAACGGAGAGACUCCCUGCCAGAGCCCAGGAGGAAGUGCUGGGCCAGGGAGGCUGCCCAGGGUUCGGCCAAACAAUGCCUGGCCCAGCCCAGCCACAACCGCCUUCAGGCCAUCCCCGAUACAUGUCAAUCUCUACUACCAUAUUGAAUAACUCACACGACACGCGGACACUUGUUCCAGUAAUCCAUGCCAAGUCCAUGUAUUGUUUUCUUCUGCAACCAGAUGCAACGAAUUUGAAGAGCCCAACCUAUAUAUAUACUCUAAAUUAAGAACUCCUAAGCUACCACAAGCGUGGGGUCGGCACACUCUAUUCCAAUCGACCAAACAAUUGCUACCAUUGGCCUUCUCUUGCUCUGACCAUGAGAAGCCGCUCCUCUUGUCUAUAGGUUUGGUCACCUAUUUUGGAAGGUGAUAAAUCGGUAUAGUUGAGAGCACUUCUUUCACCGUAACUAAGCGACUGGCCCUGUUUAUGAGUGAGGUCUUCCACAAAGAGAGUAUGUCAUCAGCAACUGUGUCAAUAAGGGAUAGAAAGUCCGCUUUAGAAGGCUUCUCUACUGUACCACUUUUGCAAGGGAAGUCCUUCACCUUACAAGGCAGCGAGUUAACAAUUACUUGCAGAUCUUCAUCAAAACAUCUAAUAGGAAUGACAAACCUCUUUUGCAUAUUUGUUAACAGCCCCAAAGCAAGACCGAAGAUAUUGCGUUUGACAAUUUCCUCAAUUUUCAGCUGCAAUAGUCUUUUAAUGAGGAUUUUAAAAUUCAUCAUCUUUCCUCACAUGAAGUUCUGGACUGUUUCUUUUUCUUUUUACUGCAAAGCCCAGCCCCCCACACCAACAUCUCUCAUAGUAGUUUCUGCUCAUCUUUCACGUAGCUCCAAUGGCAGUCACAUCCCUGCCAUCAUCUUGUUCUAGUGUUGCUCAGAGUCAGGACGAAGUCAGUCGAGCUGAACAUACAUCGACCCCAUCCCUAGUUCCUAAUUUUGAGGUUAUAGCAAAAUACCUACCAGCUGCCAAGCACGAUUGAGAAGCGCUGAACGAGAGUUACCCAAACAAGCAGUAAAAAAACAAUUAAAUAAUGUCUGUAUAUACUGUUCUUCAAGGUAAUAAGCAUCAGUACAUCCAUCAACAUGGCUUGUACUGAGCAACCUUAGGAGUAUAUCUAAAUACAGGUGUAAGUUCAUUGCUGGUUUGUAAGUGUAAUAGUUUUAUAAUAAUGCUCCCAAGGAGGCCUUAGGCAUACAGUAAUAAACAAGAGGUUGGAUCUGUAAGUUCUCAUGGUGAAUAUAAAUAUGGUUACCUGGUACUGGUAAUUAUUGAGCUCAUUGUGUUGUGGCCAAGAAAACUUUUGAAUAUUAUGGAUGGUCCUCAAGCAUAUAGAAUAGUAAGUCAUUAUACGUUAUUAACUGUGUUUUUAAUCUUCUGUUCAUGAGGUCAAUUGAUAAUAAUUAAACAUUCAUUGUGUUUUGGUCACGUAUCCUUUUAAUUAAGGAAGGAAAAUUAUUUAUUUUCUUCAUCAUGUAUAUGUUCAUAAAACCUGUAUUGGACUAUCUAGCUCAAUUGAUCAUGUAUAUUCAUUGCUACCUCAGUUCCGAUAUAUGUAGCAUGCAUUAUAUAACUUUAACAAAAGGGAUCCAUCCCGAUGACAAGAUUUAUUUCUUAGGCAAUGAUAUCAUCACUCUACAUAUGCUCACAUCCUCAAGAAAAGAUAAUAUAUGAUGGCAGAUCGUGAUUAUCAUAGCUUAUUGGAAAUACAACGUGACAGAAAUCAAGAGAGAUCGAUGGCACACUGGAUUGGAUAUCAUGAUAUCCAUUUUAUUUAUGAGUACUCCAGGGUGGCAUAGCCUACCAUGGGCUUCCAUGUGUGAAGCCCCUUAUGCUUGCAUGUUGCACUUGCUUAGGAAACAACGGUGACAGUCUCAGCUUCCUUGGUACAGAAGCGGCGGCAUGCUUCGUUGCAACGAUCGACGGCAUGAUUGGCUUCUUCAUUGGCAAAAACUGAAAAGGAAAACAAACGUUUCAAUCUAUACAUUAGCUAUAUAGAACAAAGAAUAUUUAUUUUUUUGGUUGCAAAUCAAUGGUAAUUUAGCUGAAUAUUUAUUUUUUUGGUUGCAAAUCAAUGGUAAUUUAGCUUGAUGUUUUUUCUCGCUUACGAGUGCUCAUGGUGCUGCACACAGACGAAGCACAUCCCAGCUUGCAGAAGUCAACUACCUCCGAUUCCUCUGCAAAAUCAUGUAUAUGCAUGAAUAAAUGCUUGUACCAAUAGAUAUUACAAAAUUAAUAGCCCAAAAGUUUACACAAAGGGAGUUAAUAUGUUUUAAUUUUCCUAGGUUAGCUGGGGUGAAGGGCGUGGUGAAUGCAAGAUAGAAAUAUAGACAAGGAGAGUUAAUGUUUCUAAUUUACCAGCUUCUGGGUGAAGGGUAUGGUGAACGUAAGGAGGCUUGCAGUUCCCAUCAACAAUUUUGCAGCCAGAAAGUUUAGCACAGGUGUCUCUUGAGCCACCCGCGAAACGACAUGAGUUAUAGACGUUUCUUGCUGUGGUGGAUGGGCAACAACUCUUUGCUUCCACCUGGAUCUUCUCUUGUUGCAGGACUAAGCCUAGCACUAGCAUACACAUGAUCAAACUCUUCACUCCUUCCAUGUUUUCUAGCUUGUUUUCCAAUGAGAUUUAGUCAGGGAUCAACAAACUAAAGCAAGAGGGCUGAAAGGCUAGUGCUUCCUUGGUCUUGU